rnacentral:lncRNA from 1 species
UAGCAGCGGUUGCACAGGCAAACAAUGCUGCUCAACCAGCACCUCAACUUUACUGGAACUCCGUCCUGCCAAACACACAGAUGCCAAGAUCUAUCAGUGAACUUCUGCAUCCUGGUUUGUGUUGAGCUCUUUAGAAUCUUAGAUAUCUCUUCUACCUGCCAUUUUACUUAAAUAUGUUCGACCACAUAUUUAUCAGUUAACUACUGUCAUUACAUGAGUGACACAUAUUCACAAAUCGGCUGAUCACUUAUUUUCCAUUAUGACGUUGAUAUAUAAUUUGCAGACUCCACAAAUGAAGAAAAGAGCACAAAUGACGUUGGCAAACCUGAAACUUUCCCAUUGGGCAAUCAAAAUUACUCCAGUCAAAAAAAUUAUGGAACAGGCAAUAAACGUUACUGCAGUCAAAAAAGGUAUGGAAGAGGCAAGAAACGUUACUGCGAUCAAAAAAAGUAUGGAAGAGGUGCUUCUCCAUCUGACAAUCAACUACUCCAUUAUAAAGACUUAGCUAUUUUCUUCUUGGAGAAGGACAUGCGCCCUGGCACAACAAUGAAGUUCCAAUUCUCUAGAAAUUCAAACACGGCUACUUUCUUGCCACGAGAAAGCGCUCAAUCGAUCCCCUUCUCCUCUAACAAACUACCAGAAAUUUUCAACCAUUUUUCAGUGAAGCCAACAUCUGAGGAAGCCAAAACAAUUAAGCAAACAAUCGAAGAGUGUGAAGCUCCCGGCCUUAAGGGAGAGGAAAUAUAUUGCGCCACAUCUUUAGAAUCAAUGGUUGAUUUUAGCACUUCGAAGCUUGGAACAAGAAACGUUGAAGCAAUCUCGACGGAGGUAUUGGAAAAAGGAGCCACCAUGUCCAUGCACAACUAUACAACAAUGCCGGGACUGAAGAAGUUGGCCAGUGACAAAGUCGUUGUGUGUCAUAAGCAGAACUAUCCCUAUGCUGUGUUUUUCUGCCAUGCAAUAAAACAUACAGCAGCUUAUGUUCUCUUCCUGAAAGGCGAUGAUGGGGAGAAGGUUAAAGCAGUAACCAUCUGUCAUCUAGACACAUCAGAAUGGAACCCAGAGCAUAUGUCCUUCCAAAUCGUCAACGUUAAGCCCGGAACCAUUCCCAUCUGCCAUUUCAUUUCCACUGAUGCUAUUGCCUGGGUUCCGAACCACAAAUCUGCAUGAUCAUCACUUAGCACUGUACGUAUAAUUAUCUCCUUACUUAUUUCUGCCUCUUCAUCAUGUGGUGUAAGAUAUAUGAUGAGAUGAAGUUUUUGGGAUUAGUGGUUGGGUUGCCUGAAAAACACAGAUUACAGAAACUGCUUGAAAUUAACCCGAUCAUGUUUUCUCUUGUAACUAUAUAGACUUCAACUUGUACUCAUAAUAAAGCAUGCUAUAUUUAUGAAGAGAUAUUAAUCUAUAUAUAUUUUUUAUAUAUGCUUUGGCUUUGUGGUUCUACCCAAUGUUUGAGUGUUGAAUUGUUACGUUGGAAUAGGCUGCUAAUGCAUGUAGUUAGAGAAGCCUUCAUUUAUAUCAAAGUCCUCAAACUAUCAAGAACUAAUGUAUCCAGAAACAUAUACCAAGACGCAAAACAACAUAUUUUCCAUGCUCUGUCUGUAACACCAAAGCAAACUUCCUUGAUCACAAAAGGAUCAAAUUCCAGUACUAAUCUAAUCCAUCAUGUAAAGCAUACAAGUGCCUCCCUAAAUACUAUACUCUUUUUGUUAUUUCCUACUAUACUAUUUAAGAUUUAAAAUUCAGGUCAACCCAUAGAUUUCUCGCCUUUUUCUUCUUCAUCUCGUCGGGCUUGUCUUCUUCUUGAGGAUUGUAUAGGCCAAGGAAAUGCUUUGAGUUAGUUUUUGCGCUUUUGCGUUUUGGGCCUUGGAAGUUGGGACCCAAACCAACUUCACAAAAAGAAAACGCUCAGACUAUAAUGAGUGGAAAGUUAUAAGGGGUAAGUUAUAAGGAGUUCACUUUAUAGCCAUCAGAUCAAUCUAAGGGCUGGGGAGAAUUGAGAUAAAGUUUUAAAAUCGGGUAGGUGAGGAACCCAAACCCGAAUUGAAUAUCCAGCACGUCCGAAAAAGAAGAAGAAGAGGCAAGCACGUCCGAAAAAGAAGAAGAAGAGGCAAGGUCGAAGUUUGAACAGAAAAAACUCAUCUCUUUAAAACCCAUAGCUCUGAGAAACGGUUGAAGGCAACGGUUAACGACGGUUGUUGAAGCCACUCCGUUCUCCAGACCCUGAAAAAGUAUUUAUUUUGAGUAGAAGGGGCAAAUGUGUGGAUUCCGAAACAGUGAAGGGGCGAAGCAGUGGAAGGGGAAGGAGAGAAGCCGUAUUCGUUGGAAGUGGUAGGUUCCAUUUGUGGAGCAAAGCAACACAAAGACCCCGCACAGACACCUUGCGAUUGUUCAAUAACCAGCAUUUGGUGAGUAAUUUAUGGAAUUUGAGUUUAGGGUUAGAGUAAUGGUUUUCCCCAAUUUGUACCAUCAAUUUUGUUGGAUUUGGCAUCUCUUCUUUGUGCUUCAGUUGCAUGUUAAUUUUUGCUUGGGUAUAUGUUAAAAAAAGAAUGAAAAUCAAGUCAAUAACAAGUGAAUAACAUGUCAAUAAUGAUAUGAAUAAGAUAAUGGUGUUGAAUUGGAGGAGGCCCUCAAAACAUUCCACAUUUGAAGCAGUGCAUAGUGCAGAUUAUCUCUCUGGCGCUAGAAUAUAUAUAUAUUUUGAAAUAAAUAUGAUUUCCUUUGUUACUAAAUUUGCCUGAGAAACAUGAGAACAGAUAAUAAUAAACUCAUGAAUAGAAGUGCAAAGCAUUUGAUGAGUAAUUUAUGGAAUUUGAGUUUAGGCCCAGGAAAUUCCUUGACCCCAAAAAAAAAAAAAAAGUUGAUUUAAAAUUCAGGUCAACCCAUAGAUUUCUCGCCUUUUUCUUCUUCAUCUCGUCGGGCUUGUCUUCUUCUUGAGGAUUGUAUAGGCCCAGGAAAUGCUUUGAGUUAAUUUUUGCAUUUUUGCGUUUUGGGCCUUGGAAGUUGGGACCCAACCCAACUUCACAAAAAGAAAACAGAUUUGCCAAAAAUCAAAUUUCAAGUCUCUCCUCCGAUCGAAAUUUGGAUUUGAUGAACUAAAGUGGUUUUACUUUCUCCAUCAGUGUUUGAUAACUUAAUUUGUUAUUUACUUUUUUUUUAAAAAACUUUGGCUUAUAUAUAUUAGUUUUCUUUUUUCCUUCAUAUUCACCACCUUUAUGUUGCAUAAGUAUUUCAGUCUUAAUGGGUUUCCAUCUACCACUCAUCUUUGCUCUUCUCAGUGUAAGCCUUUUUUUUUUUUUAAAGCACAAGAUUAGAGGGGAGGGGGAUUUCUCAAUGUAAGCUUUGCAGUUUCAUAAUUAAUAUUUCCAAUAUCUCACUGUUAGUAAAAUACAGAAAAAGUACUAAUAACAUAUGCACAUGUUACUAAUUUAUUGAGAUAAAACACCAUUUUGCCCCUAGAAUAUUUUAUUAGGUUUAAAGUUGACUUUUUGACCAGGAAGGAAUUUGGGUAUUUAGACUAUAUCGUUGCGUAGAGCAUGGCGAGAUGAGUCCGUAGACACAUGAUUGGCUCGAAUCAGAGUUAUAAUGAGAGAGAUACGAUCAAAAUACCCUCAGUGGUAUAACCGUAAUUUUGGCUUAAAGGGUUUGAUAAAAUAUAAUUUUUCUUUCUUUCUUUCUCUCUCUCUCUCUCUCUCUCUCUCUCUCCUCUCUCUCACGACGGCAGUGAUAGCCGGCCACUUUUUGGCCAGCCAUGCUCUCGUCCGGCCACUAAAGUUGACGGGGCCGGUACCAAAAUGACCGGGCCACCAUCCUUUUCCAACCCCAGCCAGGCCCCACUGCCAGCAGUCGUGAUUUUGCUGAAAAAUGGAGAAGAAGCGGCCGAUUUCGUUCGAACUUCUCCGACUUCGUUCUCUCUCCUCCGGCCACCGAUUUCGAUGAAUGAGGUAUGGUUUCUCACCUACUUUUUAUGCUCUAGCUGCCUGUUGGGUAGGAUUCGAUCAAUUCCUUGCGUAGGUAGCUUGAUUUUCGAAUUGGAUUUCGGCCGGUUUUGGGAUCUCGAUUCCGGCCACUUCCGGUCAGUUUUUGGGGUACAUCCCAAAACAAAAGUGGUUCUAAAUAGGGUGUUAUACCUAGGGUAGGAACCUUGAACCGUAAUUUUGAGAAUUUUCGGUGAUGCCUAAUCGCUUUGGACACCUACGCUAUGCCUGCGUGUGGGCACUAUAGAAAAAGGGCAUUGUGUCCCGAUGCAAUCCCCUUGUUGUCUUGAGCGCGUAGGUGUGCUCGGAUUUCAAUUUGGAUACCGUUUGAAUCUCGAACGAAUAUCGCAUAUUGUGCGUUAUUCGGGGUCGAUAGGUUUGAACUGUUGGAUAGUCUUAGAUUUAUAAUAUGUUAAUCUAGACAUUCUUAGGAUCGAAUGGGAUUAAACGGAUCGUAAAACGGAGUCCCGGAUACUCCAAAAAUGCCAACCCUAGGGCUAGGUUCCUAGUAACCGUCCGAUCGUGCGAUCGUGAGCGAUCCGACCGUUUGAUCCGAACCAAACUUGCAGGACGUGUAUCCUAAACCUUGUAGAACCCAUAGGAACUUUCGGAUUAGAAUUUGGAGGUCGUGGGCCCCUUGGGCCGUUUGACUAAGUUUGGGUAGUUUGACCCUUGGCUGAUCGUGAGUCUUCAGAGGUCUUGAGCGUUGUUGAGCUAUGUUGACUAGGUUUAGACUUUUAGAGUGUUUAUUAUUAUCAUAGGAAACUAUUAGAUAUUAUUUUAAUAAUUGAAAUUAUCAAAUUUAUGUUUAUGUGCAUGAUUGUUGGUCUAAAAAUAACAUUGUUUUCUUGAUAAAAUUACGUUGCAGUCUACUAUAGACUGGUAUCACUAAAUGGAGAUUACCUCUAUUAUUAGUUUAGAUAAUUAAGAGUAUGUCAGUUUGAAGUGCUAUAUGCACUACCCUAAGUACCACCCUGUGAUUGUUAGGUCCCAUGUGGUGUAGAUUAUACAGCGUCAGGACAGACCCCAUACGUGGCUUUGGAUGUUCUGGCGCAUGGGGGAGAUUAUGUAAUGGUUAGGUCAUACGUGGCGUAGGUUAUUCAGCGUGUUGACAGACCCUAUACGUGGCGUUGGAUGUUCCAGUAUGGAAAGAUUUUGUGAUUGUUAGGUCCCACGUGGCGUAGAUUAUCCGGCGUGAGGACAAACCCCAUUCGUGGCUUUGGAUGUUCCUGCGUAUGGGGGAGAUUAUGUGAUGGUUAGGUCACACGUGGCGUAGGUUAUUCGGCGUGUUGGCUAACCCCAUAAGUGCCGUUGGAUGUAACGACCGGUCCUAAAUAAAUUAGUGAAUAUUAAUUUAUUCAGAGAAAAUACCAUUUUGCCCAUAGAGUAUUUUAUUAGGUUCAAAGUUGACUUUUUGAUCAGAAAGGAAUUUGAGAAUUUCGAUUAUACCGUUGCAUAGAGCACGGCGAGAUGAGUCCGUAGACACGUGGUAUGCUCGAAUCGAAGUUGUAACGAGAGAGAUACGAUCAAAAUACCCUCAGUGGCAUAACCGUAAUUUUGGCAAAAAGGGUCGAUAAAAUCAUAUAUAUAUAUUUUCUCUCUCUCUCUCUCUCUCUCUCUCUCUCUCUCUGCGAUAUUGUCCCUCUCUCUCUUUGAUUCACUGCCAUCUGCCCACGGCAGGACUUGAGACUGGUCACGUUUGAACCGGCUCGAUGUCCCGAUCACGUCGCACCCAAAAUGCAAAUGGAAACCUUGAAUUCCAGCCACGGCUUCGACUGGUUUGAACUGGGUUUUUCCCGGCGUUGCGCCACCGCCUCCGCCGCCCAAUUCCGGUGAAACAGGUAUAAUUCCUCACCUAUUUUUCGAGAUCCAGCUGUUGUUGUGUAGGAAUUAGACGAUUUUCAUGUUUAGGAACUCGAUUUAGAAUUUAGGUUUUGGUCGAAUUUUCAAAGUGAAAUUUCGGCCACUUCCGCUGGUUUUUCGGGGUAUGUCUAAGAACAAAAGUGGUUCCAAAUAGGGUGUUAUACCUAGGGUAGGAACCUUGAGCUGUGAUUUUGAGAAUUUCCGGCGAUGCGUAUUCGCUUUGGACACCCACGCGCCGACAGCGCGUGGGCACUGUAGAAAAGGGGCAUUGUGUCUCAAUGCGAUCUGCUUGUUGUCUUGAGCUCGUAGGUAUGCUCGAAUUUCAAUUUGGAUACUGUUUGAGUCUCGAACGGAUAUCGCAUAGUGUACGUUAUCCGGGUUUGAUAGGUUUGAACCAUUGGAUAGUUUUGAAUUUGAUAUAUGUUAAUCUAGGCAUUUCUAGGAUCAUGUAGGAAUUCAGGGAUCAUGAAUCAGAGCCCCGGAUGUUCCGAUUUAAUAACUUAAAGUUUAUGUUUAUAAUAACUAUCAGAUCGUGCGAUCGUGAGCGAUCCGACUGUCUGAUCUGGACCAAACUUGCAGCACGUAUAUCCUAAACCUUGUGGAACAUAAAAAAAUUUCGGAUUAGAAUUUGGAGGUCGUGGGCCCCGUGGGCCCAUUUAACCAAUUAUGGGUAGUUUGAUCCUUGGUUGACCGUGAGUCUUCCGAGAUAGUUUUACCUUCCUAGGAGGAUUAUAAUGACCCUAGUGAUAGGUCUUGACCGUUGUUCAGCUAUGUUGACUAGGUUGAGACUUCUAGAGUGUUUAUUAUAUUAUUGUAGGAAACUCUUAGAUAUUAUUUUAAUAAUUGAAAUUAUGAAAUUUAUGUUUAUGUGCAUGAUCGUUGGUCUAAAAAUAAUAUUAUUUUCCUGAUAAAAUUACGUUGCAGUCUACUAUAGACUAGUAUCACUAAAGUGGGAAUACCUCUAUUAUUAGUUGAGAUAAUUGGGAGUAUGUCAGUUUGAAAUGUUAUACCCUAAGUACUACUCUAUGAUUGUCAGGUCACCCGUGGCGUAGGAUUUUCCGGUGAGAUGACAGACCCCAUACGUGGCGUUGGAAUUUCCAACGUAUGGAGAGAUUAUAUGAUUGUUAGGUUUCACGUGGCGUAGGAUUUUUCAGCGGGAUGACAAACCCCAUACGUGGCAUUGGAAGUUUCAGCGUAUGGGGAGAUGAUAUGAUUGUUAAGUCACACGUGGCGUAGGUUAUUUGGAGUGCUGACAGACCCCAUACGUGGCGUUGAAAUUUCUGGCGUAUGGAGAGAUGAUAUGAUUGUUAGGUCACUUUGGAUGUUCUAGCGUAUUGGGAGAUUAUGUGAUUACCAGUGAGAUGAAUAAAGGAUUGUUAUGUUAUAUUGGGAAAAACAUGUUUGUAGAAAGAAUUACGUGUGGCUUGAUCCCUCAGUAAGGGUACGUAGGCAGCCUAGGGUAGUGCCUUGGUGCAGUCGCUGACUAAACAUUAUAAUGUUGUUUUUAGGUUUGAUUAUAUGGUAUUAUGGGGCAAGGCCCCUAGGACUAUUGGUGAUAAUUCAUAGAUGGUAGUGGAUGCAUGCUAGAAAUUUGUAGGAAGUUAUUUCAUGUGGAUUGCAGUGGUACUCGUAAAAUUUAUUUGAGUUCCUUAAUUGCAUUGUUAAUAUAUUAAUUUACUUAAGAGUACUGCUAGUAGUUCUGCCUUGAUUUAUUUGAAGGCUGGAGGCCUUGUCUGGAAACUGUGUGCAAUUAGAUUGUGUGUGCUGGCAGUUGACUUUUUAAAUUGUGAAUUUUGUGCAGGUUGAAAUUUGGGAAAUGUUCAAUUUACAGGGGAGACUCUGCUGAAAUUUCGGUAGAAAGUCUUGUGCCCUUAUUCCUUUUUGGGGAAAAGGAUAUAGUUUUAGAAGUGGCGAUGUCGGGAAUUUCCACAGGAUUCGUCUCGGGUUUCGGGAAAUUCGGGGCGGGUCUGAAAAAGUUGUUUCAGUUUUGGCAAGUAUCGGAAAAGACCAAAAUUUUCCGACUUUAUUAUUACUAGAAACAAGGUCGAAGUAUUUACCAAUCAUGUGGCCUUCCAAGUGCUCUAGGUUAAGCCAGGAACCGUUCCUAUCUGCCGUUUCCUUCCCAACUAUGAUCAUGUUGUCUGGGUUCCAACCCACAAAUCUACAUUGGGCUACGUAUUUGAAUUUGUACUAAAGCGUGAUCUAUAGUAUGCAUAUAUUGGAUAAGUUUGAGAUCAGUGGCUUGGGUGUCCGCUGAGCUUGAACAAGUUUGGGUGUGCUGAGUGUUUCCAUGGGUGUGUUGAUGAUCAUGGUUAUUAGAUUUGUGAUAGUUUGGGCUCAAUUUCAACAGAACUCAUCUCAAGCCUAGAUAGUUGAUUCUUAAGUUUAUCAGGAAAAAAAAUUAAAAAUUAAAAAAUCUAAAGUUAAGCCCAAGGCGCCGAACUUGGACUUCUCACCAAACUGUGCAUAAAUUGAAAUAUUUAAUAGAAGCCCAAGAUUUUUGAAGCACAUAAUAUCUACAAAAAUCUACAAAGUGUAAUACUUUACAAACUUCUUAUGUGUACCAAUUUCUGCUCAAAUUAAUUUCUCUGUGGUGCUGAGAUUCAUCAUAAUUUUAGUAGAAAUUGGAAGUUUUCAUCAUUUUUGCUUUAAGUCUCUCCUCCACUCACUAAUAAAGAUUACUCAAGUGAGUUUACAAAACAUUUUUUUUCUACUCUCUCCUGAAGACUACACAUCUUCUCAAAAGAUUAGAUCACUUCACAUCUUGUAUAUGUGAAAACUAAUGCAAAAAGUUGAAACUUUAUCAUAAAACCUCGACAAAAAUUAGCUCUACUUAGAACAUUAAAUUUGGAUUCGUUGAUUUAAAUGGCAAUUUGACACUUCAUAGAAAUUUUUACAUACAUGUGUUAGUGUUUGAUCACUUCACUUAUUACUUACUAUAUUUAUUCCAUGAUUCUCCCUCAAGUUAUGUAAAUAUUAUUAUCAAACAUUUCAAUUCAUUUGUGAUAUUUCUUGUCCAUCUUUCAAUGUACCCUGAAAUCCAUUAGCCACAUAUGAUGACCAAAAUCCACACUCUGUUGUUUGCAAACGUUCAAUAUACGACUUGCAUCCACAGUCCUGACCCAAAUGAAAUGCGGAAACUGUCAAGCUAACUGUAGGGAGGACUAUAUUUGAUUUUACCUUAAAGACUGAUCCGAAACCACCUUCUCCAAGUUUAUUGUUGUUUGAAUAGUUUUUGGUUGCACAAACAACAGCGGCCAAGUCAAAUAAUGGCAAUUCCAGAUCUUCCUUUUGGCCGGGCUUCAGUUCUCCUGUGAAGUACGUAGUGAAGUAAAUAAUGUAGCAUGGAACCUUAGCUUAGAAACCAGAGAGGCAACAGCAAAAAUUUUCUAUAGAACUGAACCUACCUAUCUUAGAAAAUGAAGGGGCAGAAGAGUAGAAAAUCAAAUAGCUUACCAUAUUUUUGUUGCUGGUUCUUCCUCACAUAUAAUAGCAGGGUAAGGCCCAGGGUCAGCAGUCCAGUAGACAACACAGUACUGGUUACUAUGAUCUUUGUAUUGUGUCCUUGAUCUAGGAAUGAAGUAUUUGAAAGCAGAAGAUUGAGGAGUCAGAAAUUCAUAAAGAAAAAAUCUCUACUUUUUAUCAUCCAACGAACAAUUAAUGCUAGUUUCUGAGACAGUUCUAAAGAAAUAUUUUUCUAACAAUGUCAAAAGUUUUCUGGCUCUAUCUUGUUUCUAAUCAUGUCACUGUUGGAAGAUUUCUUUCUUCUUUUUUCCUUGGUGGCUUUUAUUUUUCUUUCAAACUUUGUUUUAAACAGCAAGAUGAUUCCAUACCUAGUUCUGACGAAGCCAUUCUUAUGUAAAUAUCUUGCCCAUUUAUAUUGGAAUAUCUUAUAUCAACCAGAUCGCUGAACCACAGCAAGGACCCCCUUCCUCCAUCUCGGAUAUCCAAAUUUGAAAAAGCGGCGCAGGAGCAGUUGUUCAUGCACAUCAUCUCACAUUCCUUGAGGUUCAUAAUUGUGUUAUACUAGGAUUGUUCUGUACUUUAUUUCACCCCAGUGUACUUCUUAAAGAUGUCUCCACUGCAAUUCAGUUGGCUCUUUCUCACAGAUCUAUAUGACCAAUCCACCAAGUCCCAGUCUUGUUGAAAGUCGGUAUAAAUCCUUUCAAGCAGCUACGUACUGGGGACUUGUCAAUACAACAUGCACCAUUCGGACCACAUAUUCCAUAUUUGUCGCAGAUAUCAGUCGUUGCUCUUAGAUAAACAACCCAACCUUGGUUUCCAUCACUCCCGAUGUAGCUCAGCCCAAAUCCAUCUUGAGUUAACGCCAGCCUGAAAAGAGUUGAGCUGUUGAGAAGCUUAUAACCAUAAUAUACUUCAUCAUCAUUAUCCAACACAAAAUCAUAUGUUGGAUUUAAAUUAUGCAUCCCACUAAAUUGGAUUCCAUUCCAUGGUGCAGUCCGAUAUUUUAUAACAGAACCCUCCCUCAGAAUUAAUUCAUGGUACCCAUAAGGACCAAGUUGAUAUGGGUAAUGUCCUUGAGAAGGAUCCUGGGGGCUUUUCCAGGGUGUAAGAUGCCAAUUAAAACCUGUGAUUUUGUUCCUAACAAGCUUCAUACCUGGUAUUAAUGUAUCUCCUGGGUAAUCAAAACUCUGCCAUAAAAUAUUAUCAGAGUCAUUACGACCAUUGCCAUCUAUCACAACAAGAUUUCCGGAAUCCAAAAUCUGUGCCACUGGAUUCUAUGAAGAACUUGAUGUGUUGGAAGACCUGUAGUGUUCUUUGUUGAAUAUUUGGAUUGCAAAGGGAGCAAGAAAUGUACUGAGAGAGAAAGAGAGAGAGAGAGAGAGAGAGAGAGAGAGAGAGAGAGCAGUGAGCCUUAGAUUGUUCUAACAGUUUUCUUACUCUGCAUGAACAUAGCAGCAGAGCUUAUAUUCCUUCAUGACUGUUACAUGUUCUCUCUUACAUCAGUAGAUUCAAAUCUAACGGUUUGUAAUAGUAAGCCAAUGUGAGUAUGACACAUGGCAAUACACAGCUGUCCUAACAGCUGGGAAUUCAAAACAGACUCUAGCAUUGCACCUGGCAUAUAAGCACAAGGCACUCAGCUAACACAAAGAUUAAAAACAGAUUGAAUAUAAACUGACAUAGAACUUACUAACUAAUCUGAAAUUAGCUAGACAGUUUACAUUUUAACACUCCCUUCUAAAGUGCUAGCUGAUUUCACUCCAAGCAUUCUCCUCAAAUAGUCAAACCUGUCUUUGGGAAGAGCUUUGGUGAAGAUAUCAGCAAUCUGCUCUUCUCCUUUGCAGUAGAGCAGUUCAAUCACUUCUUCUUGUAUUGCAUCUCUAAUAAAAUGAAACUUCCUUUUAAUAUGCUUGCUCCGUUGAUGAAAAACAGGAUUUUUAGCCAUUGCUAUGGCUGAAGUGUUGUCACAAAACACAGUUGUUGCAGUGGUCUGUUCUUCCCCAAAAUCUUCAAGAACAAACCUGAGCCAAAUGGCUUGUGAUGUAGCUUCUGCUGCACUCACAUACUCUGCCUCUGCAGUAGAGAGAGCCACACUGUGUUGUUUGACUGAUGCCCAUGAAAAAGCACCACUUCCAAAUGAAAAUGCAUAUCCAGAAGUGCUUUUCAUAUCUUCCUCAGAUCCACUCCAGUCACUGUCACAGUAACCAACUAAGAGUGCAGAUUUUCCUGUCACAUACUCAAUUCCAUAGUCAAUUGUGCCUUGUAUGUACCUUAGAACCCUUUUAGCUGCCCCAUAGUGCAUCUUAGAAGGGUUAUGCAUGAAUCUUGCAAGCAGGCAGGCAGAGAACAUGAUAUCUGGCCUGGUUGCAGUAAGGUACAGCAGGCUGCCUACAAUUUUUCUGAACAAACUUUCAUCUGCAGCAUCACUUCCAUCCUCUCUUUUCAAUUUAUCAGUAGCCACUAAUGGAGUGCUUACUGACUUGCAGUCUUUGAGUCCAAACUUAUCCAAGAGAGUGAGAGCAUACUUCUUUUGAUGAAUGAAGAUGCUCCCUUCAGUUUGUGUUACUCCCAUACCAAGAAAAUGGUGGAGUAAACCCAAAUCAGACAUCUCAUACUUGCACAUCAUUUCAGCUUUGAAUUCUUUCAUCAUUUCAUCUCUACUUCCUGUGUACACUACGUCAUCUACAUAGAUUGACACUAUUAGUGUUCCCACCUUCCUUUGUUCUCACAUAGAGAGUGGCUUCACUUGGACUUCUGUGAAAACCACACUGAUUCGAGUAGGUGUCAAUUUCACUAUACCAGGCCCUUGGAGCCUGCUUCAACCCAUAGAGGGCUUUUCUUAACCUAUACACCUUAUCCUCAUCAUCUUUAACCACAAAACCAUCCGGUUGAUCAAUAUAAACUUCUUCUUCAAGGACACCAUUUAGGAAGGCUGACUUGACAUCCAAUUGCCAUAGUUUCCAGCCUUUCUGAGCAGCAAGAGCUAUGAGAGUUCUAAUGGUGUCUAACCUUGCUACAGGAGCAAAGGUUUCAUUGAAAUCAAUCCCUGGUUUUUGUGUGUAUCCCUUGGCAACAAGUCUUGCUUUAUGUUUUUGAAUGGAGCCAUCAAGAUUAAGCUUAAUUUUGAAUAUCCACUUCACUCCCACAAUUGGUUUACUACUUGGCCUGUCAACCAAUUCCCAACUGGAGUUUUUCUCUAUCAUAAGUAUCUCCUCAGUCAUAGCCUUCCCCCAAGCUUCAUCUUUGACUGCUUCUUCAAAAUUUUCAGGUUCAAUGAUGCUCAUCUUGCAUUGAGCAUACACUUCACUCAAACUCUUCCAUUUCUUUGGGGUGUUAUCAUAAGUUUCUAAUGGAGCAGAGUCUUGAGUAGCAUGCACAUCAUUACUUGUUUGUGUUUCCAUAGGAGACUGUACAAUCUGUUGCUGUAACAGAUUUGGUUAUGAAUCCAAAUCUGAUACAAUUGAACUUACUCCAUCACCCCAAGACAUAGGGAUUUGCAAUGCCUCAUUGGUUUCCCAAUUCCACAUUGCUUCUUCAUCAAAAAUAACACUCCUAGACAGCUCAAUCUUUUGAGUUCUCAAGUUGAGCACUCUAUACCCCUUUUCACAUACACCAUAUCUUACAAAUACUCCCUUCUCACCUGUGUCUUCCAGCUUGUGCCUUUUCUGUGUGGGGAUGUGAAUAUAGCAUAGAGAACCAAAUAUUCUCAAAUGCUUGACACCUGGUUUUCUUCCACCGAACUUUUCAAAUGGAGUGGAAUUGUCCAGUGCACUUGUAGGACAUCUGUUCUGCAAAUAUACAGCUGUAUUGACAGCUUCUGCCCAAAACUUCAAAGGGAUUUUCUUCUCAUACAUCAUGGCUCUUGCCAUUUCCAUCACAGUACGAUUCUUUCUCUCUGUAACUCCAUUCUGUUGUGGAGAGUAGCCUACUGNNNNNNNNNNNNNNNNNNNNNNNNNNNNNNNNNNNNNNNNNNNNNNNNNNNNNNNNNNNNNNNNNNNNNNNNNNNNNNNNNNNNNNNNNNNNNNNNNNNNNNNNNNNNNNNNNNNNNNNNNNNNNNNNNNNNNNNNNNNNNNNNNNNNNNNNNNNNNNNNNNNNNNNNNNNNNNNNNNNNNNNNNNNGGUGUGGUCAUCAAUGAAGGUGAGGAAAUAUCUGUUCCCUCCAAGAGUGAUGGUCUGCAUUGGACCACAAAUGUCUGAGUGAAUCAGUUCUAGAGGUUGAGUGGCUCUCCAAGCUCCUUCCUUAUCAAAAGAGCUUCUGUGAUUCUUGCUUUCAGCACAACCUGAGCAGACCUUCUCAUGUUCUUGUAAAUUAGGCAUUCCCUGAACCAUAUCUCUCUCUUGUAACAACUUCAAACUAAUAUAGUUUAGGUGCCCAAAUCUUCUGUGCCACAGCCAGGAUGUUUCUCCAACUGUUGCUCUGUUUGCCAUAGGAGGAUUAACAUAGUCAAGAUUUAAAGGAAAACAUUUGUUUCCCUUCAUUGGCACUCUUGCAAUGCAAUCUUCCAACUGCCUAUCUCCAUAGAUAUCAACUGCAUUAUCACCAAAUACAAGCCAAUGCCCAUGUUCUAUCAUUUGACCUACACUUAGCAAAUUUUCAUCUAAACUUGGUACAAUCAUGAUUUCUUUGAUAUAUCUAGUCACACCCUUCAUUUCUAUAGCCAAAGUCCCUUUGCCUAUUAACUGCACUAGAUCACCAGUCCCCAUUUUGACUUUACUCUUCAUACUUUUAUCAACAUUUACAAGUAAUGACUCAUGGGAAGUCAUGUGAUUGCUGCAUGCACUAUCAACAUACCACAUAUUCACAUUCUUUCCAAUUGUUGCAGCAUGACAUGCAUAGAACAUAAUGGCAGGUUCAGUUACCUGAUUUGCAAUGUUAGCAAGUUUCCCUGCCUUGUUUGCUUGGUCACAGUCCUUAACAAAAUGACCAAAUCGAUUGCAGCCAUGACACUUUGGUUUUCCUUUAAACCAACACUCACCAUAGUGUAACUUCUCACAAUGUUUGCAUUUUCCAGAUUUGUCUCCUUGACUUGGUUUUCCCCCUUGAUUGGCACUGUUUUGGGGUUUAGAAUCCCAUUUCUUAUCCUUGGACUUCCAAUUCUUCUUUGAUUUAUUAGAGCCAGAACUAGAACUUGAUUGAGAUCCUUUUGAGUUUAUGCUCAUGCUGCUGAAAGCUUUCUCAGUGGUGCUUUCUGCAUGUCUGUCAAGGCGCUGAGCAAAACCUCUUAAUGCUGCAAUUACCUCCUGCACUUCAAUGGUUUCAAUGUCUCUAGUUUGCUCAAUCACAUAGCAGACUGGAUCAAAUUCCUUGGUUAAGCUUAUUAGCAGUUUUUGAACUAUCCUCCCUUUGGUCAGAUCUUCCCCAUAUCCCUUCAUCUGAUUUACAAGCUCAAGUAACCGAGUGAUGUAUCCAGACAAGAUCUCAUCAUCCUUCAUCCUGGUGUACUCAAAAUCUCGACGCAGACCCUGCAACAUGAUGGAUCUGACUUGCUUAUCACCAUGAAACUCCUGAUGCAAGAUAUCCCAAACACCUUUUGAGGUUUCUUCAUUUGAGAUUCUGGGAAAGAUGUCAUCUGAAACAGCACCUUGGAUAAUACCAAGAGCCUUAGCAUCUUUCAUCAACAAGGACACCAUCUCUGAAUCUGAUGACCCUUCUUUAUCAGCUUUUGAAUCUGGAACUUGAAGGCCUUUCUCAACCAAAUUCCAGAUUCCAUGAGAUUUGAAAAUUGUUCUCAUUCGAAUCUUCCAAAACUCAUAGUUCUCCCCAUUGAAUAUUGGAGCUCUAAGAUCACUCCCUCCUGACCCAGCCAUCUGAGACCAGACUCAAUGAGUUGAGAGUAGGAAAUUUCCCGUUGGAUUUCCAGACUCAGCUCCCACAGCUUCAACGCCCUCUAUCCAGAUCCAACCUGCGCACCUGAUACCAUGUUGAAUAUUUGGAUUGCAAAGGGAGCAAGAAAUGUACUGAGAGAGAGAGAGAGAGAGAGAGAGAGAGAGAGAGAGCAGUGAGCCUUAGAUUGUUCUAACAGUUUUCUUACUCUGCAUGAACAUAGCAGCAGAGCUUAUAUUCCUUCAUGACUGUUACAUGUUCUCUCUUACAUCAGUAGAUUCAAAUCUAACGGUUUGUAAUAGUAAGCCAAUGUGAGUAUGACACAUGGCAAUACACAGCUGUCCUAACAGCUGGGAAUUCAAAACAGACUCUAGCAUUGCACCUGGCAUAUAAGCACAAGGCACUCAGCUAACACAAAGAUUAAAAACAGAUUGAAUAUAAACUGACAUAGAACUUACUAACUAAUCUGAAAUUAGCUAGACAGUUCACAUUUUAACAUUCUUAUGGUCGGCAGGGACAAGAAUUCCAGGGCUGCUCAACUUGAAUACACCUGAUGAACCAGUGAGGGGUGUGUUUCUUUUAGUCUGCACUAUAUAUGCAGGGUCUGACUCUAAUUAGAAGAUAAUUGUAUUAAUUUGGUAAAGCUUUGUCUGUAACUGUCUCGCACCUUAAAAAAAUUUCACAAUUAGCAGCAUUGGCAAUACUUGAUUAGAAAGCAGAAACCCUACAGUAUAUAGUUAAGUUGAGUAGCUGGGAAGACAAUUAGUAAGCUUUCAAUACUAAAGUUGAAUAUUGGGGAGACAAAUUACUAGAGCUUCAAGUUCAGAUAAAUAGGAUGAAUUUCUCUUAAGGGAUCCCCUUUCACUGUAGCUUGGAGUAGAAUUCAUUUUGACACAAUAUCAAUUAUCAAUGUAAACACGUUACUGAUGCACUAUUGACAAUAUCGAUGCACGUCAUAUCAUAUUUGUGGGAGUAAAUUUCCUCACGAGAAUAUUUGGUUCAAAAGAUUCCCCUUUUUUUUUUUUUUGCCGCCUCUUUCUCCUUGCAAAAUAGAACAAAUAAGAGGACCACACCCGGGGGGUGUUGGCCAAAGGCCCUCCGAUGCUAAAUUAGUUCAAGUAUUUGUAAGAAAAAUACUAGCUAACUAGGGUACAGAGGUGUAUUUAAGGUGUAAACCGGGCAGCCGAAGUCUUAUGUAAAAGAGAGAGAGAAAGGAGGUGGCUAGCGUUUGAGAGGAAUUUUCUGCAGAGUUUUUAGUAGAGAUUUCAGACGUACCUCAACCAUUGUGUGUGGCCAUCUUUUUAUAGUGGUCUUGGAGGCUAGGGUUUCAGAGGAAUAAUUCCGUAGAUGGAAAGGAAUUAUUCCUCCCCUAUUUGGAAUUGAUUUGAUUAAUUAGGGAUUUGAUUUAUUAGGGUAAAUCAAAUCCCUAAUUGUGGUAGGUAUCAAAUCAAAUCCUUUUUUAAUUAGGUAACUCCUCAUUUAAUUGGGAAUUGUGGUAGGAAUCAAAUCAAUUCUCAACCUAAUUAGGUAACGUUCAAUUUAAUUGGGUAAUUCCCAAUUAAAUUGAGUAACUCCCAAUUAGGUUGAUUAAUUCCCAAUUAGAUCAAAUAAUCCCCUAAUUGAAGGAAUUAUUUGACCUAGGGUCUGAUUUAAUUCGAUUCCCACAAAUGCCCCCCAGCUUCUGCAUGGUGCAUGGUGGCACGUAGGAGAUGUAAAUUAUCUGUUGGGCUGUCCAGCUGUAACUGGGCUUCCUUCGUGGACCUGGGCUCCCGAGUAGAGGAGGUGUUUGACUUGCCAAUUUUAUGAACACCCAAUUGGAAAGGGUUUGAGAUUCCUUGUAGGUCAAGGAAUUUUGCUCCUUAUAAAUGUAGGGCUCCUCCAAAUUAUUCUCGACAUCAGAAAUCUACUCCUCCAAAUUUGUUAGUGAGAGAGAGAAGACUUUGGAGAAUUUUUCAGCGUGCUUGAGACUUCAUCUUUGCAGCCCAUCCAAGGUAAUUUGAUAGGAAGAAUUUUAUUUUGAGUUGCUAUGACUUUUGGCAGCAAGCUGUGAGACUAAGGGCAUGUCUUGAGGUGCGCGCUAGGGCUUUAGGCAUGGCAAGAGACUCGGAAAGGCUAGCAGGUUCGUUUCCACCUACGCUGGGCUCAAGGAGAAGGCAACAGGGCUUCAGGCCUUGUGGAUGAAGUGGGCUUUCGCUGGGAGCAAGAGGCCUGGAGCUGAGGCAAGGAGACAAUGGGCCUGGUACGAGGUGUGGGCUGAGCAUGCCAGCUUUGGAGCAAGGGGGCCAGGACGACUGCUGGGCAGGAGGUGCGCUGGGCUGCAUGCGCGAGCUGCGCCGAGUGCUGGCUGGAGGAGCGAGCUGGGCUGCGCGCUAGGCCAUUCAUGCUGGGCUACUUCCGUUUUUUUUUUGUUUUUUUUUAAAUUUUAUUUGCUGUUGCUGCUUUUUUUUUUGUUUUUUUGUUUUUUUUUUGUUUGGUAUUCUAACUCGUAAUUUUUUUUUUCUUCUUACAGCUACUUGUUGAUCAACCAUGUCUUCCGGAGAUGGUAGCAAGGCUCCAAGCUCUUAGGUCCUUUUGUAUUUAUGGGGAGGCUCCAUAGUGCAUGGCAAGAAGUUUGUGGUCAACUUGCAUCGCGUCACGACUUAUGCUCAGUUCCAGAAGUGGCGGGCCACUUAUGCGUCUGCCAUUCCAGAUGACGUGCUGGUCAAGCUAUUGAAAUCUCAAACUGAUAACGAGCCUUUGGUGGACGUGAGUGAUCAUGAUGCUAGGAUCAUUACCUUCCGUCCUUUUUACUUCUCUUUAGGCUUCAAAUUCCCGUUGUCAAAGCUCUUCAAGAAGGUGUUCUGUGCCAUGGGGUGUGCUCCGAGCCACUGUACUCAUGUGCUUCAAGAAUUUGAGUCGUUUCUUCAUGUUGGAGCUGACGAUGCGAGAGUUCUUUUAUUUUUUUCGAAGUGAGGCACUUUGAGCGGUACGCCCAAGUUCGUAUCUACAAGGCCAAGCUGUUCCACGGUCUCAGUCAAGGAGAUCACGCUUGACAUGAAGAUGUGUUGGAGGUCAGCAGACGGUGGGAGGGUGACGUCGGUGACGGCCCACCUGUUCCCAUCACCUAUUGUGAUGGUAUGUCUCUUUACGAUUUUUGAUAUGCUCCUUUUAUUUGAAUUUCUUGAAGUGUGGCAGACUAACUUCUAUCUUCUGCUCGUAGUGAGUGACAUUAGCAAGCAAUUGGAGCUCCGACCAGACAUGGCUAAGGUCCGUCGUGCUUUGAACAUCCCUCUAAGGUUUCACGAGUGGCGCUGGCUGUUGAGUGAGUACCGGGAGGAAGACGGUGGUUUUCUCCUUGCCGAGGAUGUCGAAAGGUGGAAGCAGAACGAUCCUGACCCUGAUGAUCUGCUUGGCAGACAGGAAGAAUGUUCUGCUUAAUCGCUCUUAAAGAGAAAGGCUGCUGCCAAAUCUUUGAGAUGUGAAGCUACUUCUUCGCAUGCAAAGGAUGGGUCUCCAUCGAGGAAGAAACCAAGGCUCCCUUCUGCUGAGAAGACUCAAGUGGGGUCUGCUCCCUCAUCAUCUGCCAGGGUUAAGCAUCUCGUGGGUGCAGAUAGCAAGAAGGUUGGUGGUAUGCAUGGUACUCGGGGUGUUCUGCCCAAGCUUCCUGCUGACACGCUCGAAAACCAUGAUAUACUUCGUGAAGUGGCUCGUGCCCAACCUAGUUCUGCCAAGCGUCAAAGAGAUGUAGACAUUCCUCCUAGAAGUUCGAGUUGUCUGCAUCGGUCAAAAGAUGGAGACCGAAGCGGGAGGUCUGCUUAUGAUCCAGCAUUAUUGACUCAUUUGGAGAUGAGGUUGGCGAAGGCUAAGAAGGUGAAAGAGUCAUCUGCCCGGGUUAAGGGUUCUUCCUCGGCGUUGGUAGUUGGUCCCAAGAUGAACAAGUCUAGCUCUGUAGGGGAUGCAUGCGUAUCUGAUCUGCUCAAGAUGAACUUCCUAUCAAACCCGUCCUCUUGUGUUGAGUUGGUUGAUCACAUCCCUCAAGCGGGCGAUCUAGGCACUUUCUCGUGCCUUUCCUUAGAAAAAUGAAGGAAAAUGACAUUCCAUCUGAUUCAAAAAGGACUGGUUUUUGCUACUGAGACUAUUUGGAACUCAUCUGCUAUUGCCCCUCUUCUGUCCAACUCAGCGAGUUGGAGAAGAAGAAUGCUGAUUGGCUAGACAGCUUUCCGCCGAGCAGGCCCGUUACGAGAAGAAGAUGUCUGAUUUGAGGGCGAUGAUAUCUGAGCUGAAAAGCUCCCUUACCGAGAAGGAUUUCGAGCUCAACUCUUCUGCUGCUGAUUUGGCUAGUCGAAAAGAUACCUUCUUUCGUCUUGAGCAUAAGAAUGCUGACAUCUUCCUUAGCUAUAACAAACUCCUGGCUAGAUUUCAUGCCUACCAUAAGUCUGCUAAAGAAUCCAAGACAGAUGGAGCUGCUGAAGGCGUAGCCGGUCAGGUGGAUGCCGAAGAGGCUGCAGCUUAAAAGUCUUCUGCUGGCGUCUCAGAGUAGAUGAAGACUCUUUUUUGUUUCUUUUCAGCUUUUGUAGUUUGCUUUAUUGUUUAGAAUAACUGGUCUUAUUUGACCAUCUUCUUUUUGUUGAACUUGGCUGGUUGGUCUGUUUGUUAGGGAAAUUUCAGUUACAUUUUCCAACUUCAAUUUGCAUAUUUGACUUGUGAACUGCUUAAGUAACCAGCCUGUGUUUUGAUUGCACAUCCCCCUUUAGAGAUUUGUGAGUACCAGGGUCCCCCUUGGAGGACUCCGGCCAUGCACAGUAUAUCUCGUAGGAUGGUUCCCCUUAGGAAGUUGGCGAGUACCAGGGUCCUCUUUGAGAGACUCCGGGUGUGUUCUGCACAUCCCGUAUGAUGCCUUAAUCGUCGCCUUGCUUCUCCCGUAGGACGCUGCUUAUAGGCAACUAUAUGACUAUCCUGCCUUUCUUAGGAAACGGAUAGGAACCUGGAUAUUUCCCGCAUGAAGCAUGGAGACCUCCUUUUAAGAAAUUUUUGGUGCACCAUGCUUCUCCCUUAGGACGCUUUUUUCGCAGGCUGGGUCUCCAAAUGGACGCUUUUAGUCGUUGCCCUGCGUCUCCCUUAGGACGCUCCUUAUGGGCAACUGUGUGACUAUCCUGCCUCCCUUAGGAAAUGGAUAAGACUUGAAUAUUUCCCGCAGUAAGCAUGGCGACCCCCUUUUAAGAAACUCCUGGCGUACCCUGCAUCUCCCUUAGGAUGCUUUUUAAGAGGGCUGCUUCUCCAAACGGACGCUUUUAGUCGUUGCCUAUGUCUCCCCUAGGAUGCUCCUUAUGGGCAACUGUGUGACUAUCCUGCCUCCCUUAGGAAACAGAUAGGAAACUAGAUAUCUCCCUUAGGAAAUUCCUAGCGCACCUUGCGUCUCCCGAAGGACGCUUUUUUAGCUGGCUACGUCCCGAAACGGACACUUUUAGUCGUCGCCCUGCGUCUCCCUUAGAAUGCGCCUUAUAGGCAACUGUGUGACUAUCCUGCCUCCCUUAGGAAACGGAUAGGAACCUGGAUAUCUCUCUUAGGAAAUUCCUGGGGCACCUUGCGUCUCCCGAAGGACGCUGCUUAUGGGAAAAUAUUGUGUUUCGUGGGCAGAUGAGACAUUUUGGAAUGAGAAACUGAACUUAUAUUGAUAUUCAUAAGAUUACAGUCCUUUAUUUGAAAAUGGAAAUAACUUGGUUCAAAAACUUAGAACUUCUAGCAGCUACGAGGAAGCACUAUGGAUAAUACUUUCGGAGAUGGUGAGCAUUCCAUUGUCGUGGUAUUUCCUUCCUAUCCAUGGUGUCCAGUGUGUUGCUUCCUCUGCCCCGGACCUGCUGAUCACAUAAACGCCCUCCCAGUUAGGAUUCACUUUUUUUGACCCGUGUCUUGGUGCAGUAAUGAAAGCCUUAGCACGAGGUCGCCUGGUUGAAACUGUUUGACCUUAGCUCUUUUGUCGUAGUAAGACUUCAACUGCUAGUGAUAGGAGGCGACCCGAAUAAUGGUCUUCUCACGCCUGCCCUCAAGUAAGUUGAGGUUGAGCCUCAUCUGCUCGGAGUUCUGAUCAACACUGCCUACCUUAAGACUUAUAGAGAGGACAGUGAUGUGAGGUGGUAUGAUCACUUCUGUUCCAUAGGCGAGAGAGAAUGGGGUUUCACCAGUCGAUCUUCGCUUGGUGGUGUGAUAAACCCAUGGUACUCUGGGGAGUUCAUCCACUCAUUUCCCUUCAGCGCCUUCCAGCCUUUUCUUUAAGCAGUCCAAUAUGACUUUGUUGGAUGCCUUGGCUUGUCCAUUUCCUUGUGGAUACCUCGGGGUGGACAAGUGUUGUUUGAUCUUGUAUUUCACAAAAAAAGCGGUGAUCUGCUUGCCAAUGAACUGUGAGCCAUUGUCGGUAACCAACGACUGUGGGCAGCCAAACCGGCAUAUGAUGUUUCUCCAGAUGAAUCACUCCACAUCGGCUUCUUUAGUAAAUGAUAGAGCUUCGGCCUCGAUUCAUUUAGUAAAGUAGUCGGUGGGGACGAUCAUCAUUUCUUUCUUGGCGGGCGCUAGUGGCAAGGGAUCCACUAGGUCGAUGGCCCAUUGCAUGAACAGCCAUGGACUGUUUUGCGGAUGAUAGACUUCGGCAGGCAAGUUAGGGAUCGGCUUGUAUUGCUGACAGCGUCACAUUUCUUGGCACAUUCAGCACAGUCGUGACGUAUGGUAGGCCAGAAGUAGCCUAUGUUUAGAACUUUCUGGGCGAGUGACCUGCCCCAGAAUGGUUGCCAUACUCGUCGUCGUGAAUUUUACAGAUAAUCUCAAGUGUUUGAUGGUACUUUAUGCAGGUGAGAUGAAGGCCGGAGUAUGAUCUGUGGAUGAGCUUGUUGCCGUGCAUGUAGUAUCUCUCGGCCUUUUGCUGGACUUUUCUAGCUUCGGACUUGUCCGUUGGCAGGUUUCCAUUCGUGAAAUAGUCGAUGAUGAGGUCUUGCUAGCUGGGGUCCUCGUCAAUCUGCAUGGUAUUAAUCGGCUCUAUUUCUUCAAUGCUUGGUCGGUCAAGGUGUUCGACCUAGAUGGAGUGUUUGAACUGGGUAUCCAGCGUUGAACCUUGGCUUGCCAGUGCGUCUGCAUGCGCGUUCUUUGCCCGGGACACUUGUUGGAUAGUGAAGGUAGGAAAUGCCUUCAACAGCUCUUGGACUCUAUCAAGGUAUAAGAUCAUCCUUGGGUGCUUUGCCAUAUAUUCACCUGAGGCUUGAUUCGUGAUCAACUGUGAGUUUGAGUAGAUGGCUAGCUUUUUGAUUGCGAGCUCCUUUGCCAAGCGUAAGUCGGCGAGUAAUGCCUCGUAUUCUACCUCGUUGUUCGAGACCGAGAAGCCAAGCGUAAUAGCUUGCUCUAACAGGGUUCUAUCCAGGGUGGUGAUAACGACCCCUGCUCCAGCUCCUUUUUGGUUCGACGCUCCGUCUACACGCAACUGCCACAUGUCUCUGGGAUGGCUUGGUUCUGCGGAGGUCCUGUCUGCUUUUGAACUUCCCUCCUUUUGGUUGACUAACUUCUCUUUUUUGGCUGAUGGGGUGAAUUCUGCGACGAAGUAUGCUAAAGCCUGGGCUUUUAUUGCAGUUUUUGGCCCGUAGAGGAGGUCAUAUUGGCUUAGCUCUAUAGCCCACUUCAUGAGUCGCUGAGAAGCAUCAGGGCUGUGGAGGAUUGAUCUCAAAAGAAAGUCAGUCAUGACUAUGACUCGAUGAGCUUAGUAGUAGGGUCGCAGCUUUCUCGCAGAAACUACAAGAGCCAAAAUAAGUUUCUCCAAUUUCGGGUAACGAGUCUCUGCAUCGAGGAGAGCUUUUGACGUGUAGAAUACCGGAUAUUGGGCCCCUAUCUCUUCUCGGAUGAGAGCUGAACUGACAGCUGAGUUGGACUUACCUCACUAGGGACUGGAUUUGAGAGCAUGGAAGGUGAGGUGAGGUAAGUCUUCAGAUUAUGGAAAGCUACUUUGCAGUCCUCAUCCCAUUUCUCUCUUUGUCCUUUCUUCAAAGCUUUGAAGAGUGGUCUGCACUUGUCGGUUGAUCUCGAGAGGAAUCGGUUGAGAACCGCUGCUUUGUCCGUCAGACUUUAUAUCUCUUUCACCGUGGAAGGCGACUUCAUCUCUAGAAUGGCUUUGAUUUGACGUGGAUGUGCCUCGACACCUCGUUGCGUGGCUAGGUAUCCCAAGAAUCGGCCGGAGGAUACACCAAACAGGCAUUUACUUGGAUUCAACUUCAUGCGAUACUGGCGGAGCAAGCUGAAUGAUUGGGUAAGACUUCCGAUGUGAUCUGCACGUUUUGGGGCUUUGACCAGCAUGUCAUCCACGUAGACCUUCAUAGUUUUGCCGAUCUGCUUAUUGAAGAUUUUAUUCCCGAGCCUUUGAUAGGUUGCUUUGGCGUUCUUCAGCCCAAAGGGCAUGACCUUAUAGCAGCAGGUCCCUCUCUCGAUGAUGAAAAAAGUUUUUGCCUUGUCAUCCUCGUGCAUCAGGAUUUGUUUAUAGCUGGACUAGGCGUCCAUGAAGCUAAGCAGUUGAUUGCCAGAAGUGGAAUCCACGAGUUGGUCGAUUCUCGGCAAUGAGAAGUUGUCUUUAGGGCAUGCUUUGUUGAGGUCUGUGUAAUCGACACAAACUCUCCAUUUGCCAUUUUCUUGUUUUGCCACCAAAACAACGUUGGCAAGCCACUCUGAGUAGGAGGCCUCUUCGAUGAAGCCGACAGCUAGGAGUUUGUCAAUCUCGGCCUCGAUGAUAGCAAGUCGCUGGGGUGCGAAGUUGCGUCUCUUCUGCGCCACUGGCUUGCAGGCAGGGUUGAAGUGGAGUCAGUGACAGAUGAUGUUCUUGUCGAUGCCAGACUUGUCUGACGGCAACCAUGCGAACAUGUCUCUGUUGCUCUGGAGGAAGGUGGUAAGCUCCACAUUCUCUUCUGGCCUUAGGCGCGAACCGAUCCACUCUUUCCUAUCUGGUUGGUCAGGAUCCAAGGGUAUUAACUCGACGUCCUCCUUGGGUUUCCAUCCUUCUUCAGGAAAGACCUAUGGACGGAUUUCCUCGACUUGGUCCUGACGCUUUAAUUGCUAUAAGAUAGCAAGAUCCAGUUGCUCAACCUCCUCCAGAUCUGCCUGGCUCACAGGGAGAAACUGCGCUUGUUUACCUUUCUUUAGCCCUUGGGCGGAGCAUUUCCUCGCCAUUGCCUAAUCGUUGUUGAUUUGGCCGACACCGCCCCCAAGGAUUGGGUACCGAAUUUUCUAAUGUGUGGCGGAGGUGAUUGCAUUAAUUUUGCCAAUCGAUGGUCUGCCCAGAAUGCCGUUGUAGGGUAAGACCUUAUUAAUGACCAUGAAGGUUAUGAGCUGAUUAUAAGUGGGGAGUAGACGUCGAGGUCUAUCAUGCCCACGGUAACCGUUGUUGCACCAUUAAAAUCGCUCAGCAACCUAGCUAAUUUGUAAAUCUUUGUCUCCAAUCCCAUCUGUUGAAUGACCUCCAGUUGCAGGAUAUUGGCUGCGCUGCCCUCGUCUGUGUGGAUUCAGUCUACCAUGACCUGAGCAAUUUGAAUGCUGAUGACAAGGGCUUCGUUAUGUGGCAUGUAGAGGCCGAUCAGAUCUUUCUUUUGGAAGCCGAUUACAGGAUCGUCUUCUGCUGGUGGAAGGUCGGUCGAGAUUUGGGAGAUCACAGUGGUCUGUUUGAUCUUCCUCUUUUUUUCCUUUCUGGUCAGCCCAGACUCCUCGGAGUCAGCUAGGAUUGUGUUAAUUCUUAUGACCUUCUGAGGCGGCUCCUUGGCGAUGUCACGAUCUUCUAUCCGCUGGAUGACCUUCUUUGCAAUGAAUUCUGUGCAGUGACCUUCUCUCACGAGUUCUUCAAGAUGUGCUUUCCAAGCGAAGCAGUUGUUCAUAGUGUGUCCGUGCAUUUCAUGGACGGCACAGUAUUUGCUAGUAUUCCUUUUGUCCGGAUCUUCUUUCAAGGGUGGUGGUCUUCUUACCCAAGGUUGUUCUUCACUUGGGCUAAGAUUUGAUGUAUGGAGAUGGUGAACUUGGUGUAGUUCUCUCCUGCCGUAGCAUCCCCUUAUGGGUGCGACCUGCGCUUGUCCUUGUCCCUGUUGCUAAAUCCGUCGCUUCUUUGGCCUGCCCCCUUAGUCGGCUGAUCUUCCUGCUUAGUAGAGUUCUUUGCGGCGAUUCGAUCGUCAUCCCAAAGCGCAUAGCUUUCCGCGGUCUCGUAGACCUCUGCCAAAGUUUGGCUGGGAGUGAUGGUCAGCUCGUGGUACAAGUCGUGCUCAGUCGAAAGGUCUUUCUUGAAAGCAGAGGACGCAAUUUGGUCAUCACAUCCUACAAUGUUGGCCUUUUCUACUUUGAAUCUCUUGAUGUAAUCUCUAAAGGAUUCGUCGAACUUCUUGCGCAGGUUAUACAGGUGGUCAGGGUUCUUCUUGAUUGUUCGGUAAGAGGUGUAUUCUUUGGUGAAUAAGUAAGUCAGCUCCUUGAAGCUGCUGAUCGACCUGGAUGGCAGAGUAUGGAACGAGUCUUGGGCUUCCUCACAAGGUCAUUGCAAACACCUUGCACAUCAGCGCGUCGUCAACCUUGUGGAGGAUCAUGACACUUUUGAAGUGUUUUAGAUGGCUCUCAGGAUCGGAAUCCCCCUUGAAGUGUGUGAAUGUGGGCGUUGAGAAUCGCUUCAGGAGAGCAGCCUGCUCGAUUUUGGCAGUGAAAGGUGUAGAGUAUGCCUGGUCUACCUCAUUUCGUACAUCUUCGAAAUUUCCACCGGUCUUCAAGUCUCGAAGUUGGUCAUUCACAAGCUUCUCUACGUCUUCCGCACACAUUGCUUGUCGGCCACAUUGGCGACCUUCACGAAUUGUUCGAUGCUGACUGACUUCCUCGUUGAUUUCCGAGGAUCGACCUUCUUGUCUGCAUUGCCUAGGUGGAGUGUUGGUGGAUUGCGCCUACGAAAGAUUCUCUGUGGCUUGUCAAUGAGAAUCGGUUCUUCGAGAGUGAGUAACGAAGUGCCUUUCCUCAUGGUCCUUAUUGUGAGGGUUAUCCAGCUGACCUCCCUGGGGCCUAGCCUUUCCUGAAUGCUUCUCUGCGAGUAGACAGUUGAAUGCUUUUCUUCACGAUCCUCGUUGUGAUGGUUGUUUGGCUGACCUCCUUAGGGUCUUAGCCUUUGAUGUACAUUUCCCUGCCUGCCCAAGUAGGUGCGGACGUCGAGUCGUGGGCCCAGCCUUUCGUGCACGUCGUUCCUUAAACUCAAUCUGCUCUGAGUGUGGCUUGCAGAUGCUUGCGACAUGUCGGCAGGUCGAUCACGUUGUUGUCCCUCGACUUGUCUGCCCACUCUUGCUUGACCUGCUUGGUACUCGUUGAGCUGUCUACCGGCCCGUUCAUCCUUCCUUCUUUCCUCGCCUGGUUGUCCAAGGCCAAGGUUUUGAGCAAAGCUUAUUUGGUUGAGGAGCUGCCUCAUUAGAUUGUUUUGGUCGUCCAUUCUUUAAGCUAGCUGGUCAACUCUCAGAUUAAGGUCUGCUUGAUUUCAUGGAUCAGGAGGAGAGAAGUGUGUGGAGCUCAACUGCACAUAGGCUAGGGUUUCAUUAGAGGUGUAUGCGGGAGCGUGUGUCGAGCGUGGAGGCAAUAGAGGGAAUGCUUGGAGUUGCUCCAAGACCGGCCCUAGGUCGGCGGUGGUAACGAGUCCACCUUGAUGGGAAGUUCCACCAUGUUUGGCGGCAGUGACCGAUGCAGUGGUGAGAGGUGGUGGUGCCACCAUGUCGAUCGCGGGAUCGUUGGUGGAGUGGCUUUGGGCCGUCGCAAAUCUAGCCAUCAUGGCGGCUUUGCCUCUCGUGUUCAUGCUUCCAACCAUGGUUGUUUGGAAGGCUUAGGUGGAUUGGAAAAUUAGAGGAACGGAUUCCUUGAGCACGCAUUGAGUAUAACUCGUGCUCUCAAUGAAAGCACCAAUUUGUGGGAGCAAAUUUCCCCACGAGAAUAUUCGGUUCGAAAGAUUCCCCUUUCUUAUUCGCCGCCUCUUUCUCCUCGCAAAAUAGAACAAAUAAGAGGACCACACCCGAGGGGUGUUGGCCAAAGGCCCUCCGAUGCCUAAAUUAGUUCAAGUAUUUGUAAGAAAAACACUAGCUAACUAGGGUAUGGAGAUGUGUUUAAGGUGUAAACCGGGCGGCCGGAACCUUAUGUAAAAGAGAGAGAGAAAUGAGGUGGCUAGGGUUUGAGAGGAAUUUUCUGCAGAGUUUUUAGUAGAGAUUUCAGACGUACCUCAACCAUUGUGUGUGGCCAUCUUUUUAUAGUGGUCUUGGAGGCUAGAGUUUCAGAGAAAUAAUUUCGUAGAUGGAAAGGAAUUAUUCCUCCCCUAUUUAGAAUUGAUUUGAUUAAUUACGGAUUUGAUUUAUUAGGGUAAAUCAAAUCCCUAAUUGUGGUAAGUAUCAAAUCAAAUCCUUUUUUAAUUAGGUAACUGCUCAUUUAAUUGACAAUUGUGGUAGGAAUCAAAUCAAUUCUCAACCUAAUUGGUAACGUUCAAUUUAAUUGGGUAAUUCCCAAUUAAAUUGAGUAACUCCCAAUUAGGUUGAUUAAUUCACACUUAGAUCAAAUAAUCCCCAAAUGGAAAGAAUUAUUUGACCUAAGGUAUGAUUUAAUUCGAUUCCCACAAUAUUUAGAUGCAUAAUUGAAUGCGAAUAAACAUCACUCUCUCCAGUGUGAAAUGGCGAAAAUUCUCUUCAAUCAAAAGUGGGCUUACUUCAAAUUUAGUUGAAGAAUGAUGGUGUGUCUUGCCUGACAAUUGACAAUUAGGUUUAGGAGCGUUCCUCUAGUAGAAAAAUCUAAAUCAUUUGUGGUCAUCCACUCACUUGGUUAGUCUUCCAGAAUCAAAUACCAAAUCAACCCAAAGGAAGCUGCAAUUUUCUGAAUUGUAUACUUGUUUUAAUUCUUCCUAUCUUUUUCUCUCUUUCAUUUUUUUUGUCUCCCUCAAGUUAAUACUUAAGUGAGUUGCCAAAUGGGGGUAAAAAAGAGAGUAGAAGAGAUGAACCCCACAUUUGACUUUAAUAGACAAAUGCCCAAGAGAAGUACCAGUAAGAGCAUCUCCAAUUGGGAGGUGCUAUCCUAUAAUUUGACACACAUUUCUUUUUUCUUUUUUUUCAAUUCUAACAACAUGUCAUCUAUAUCGCAAUAGGCCGUUGUAGUUAAAUUUUCAAAUAACCAAGUUGCUCUCUAUUUUCCAAAGAAGACUAGAAAACAACUUACCAUCUAUCUGGUGCUGCUUCUUCCAAACAUUAGAAAAAACAGAGCUACACCCAGGAGGAGCCCAGGAGAUGACACAAUACUGCCUACUAUGAUUCUUACUUUCUUCACAUUCAAUGAGACUAUAAAAUAUAACCCAAGUGGUCUAACCCCCCAGGGCGGAAAUUGGGUUUAGCAAGUUUAGCACUGAUUGUUGUAUAGUCUUAAACAGUCCUGAUCUCUUGGACCCCUGUAGUCCAAGAGAUUUAUGGUCACCCACCGUUGGAUGUAAAUUCAACGGUUGACUUGAAUCGGGUAAUAAUAAUUUAUGUCAUAUUGCAUUUAUAUAUAUCAUUUUGAACCAUUGGAUUAAUAUCCAACGGUGGGUGACCACAAUCUCUUGGACUCCUGUGGUCCAAGAGAUCGGGACUGUAGUCUUAAAAUAAGUAGUUUAGCGAGUGCAAACUUCGACUUAAAAAAACUCUCAUGUAUAGCCGCGCGGCUAUACUAUUUACAUAUAAAUAUAUAAAAAAGCACCCCCUAGUCACGUGUCACAAAUAGUAUAGUCGAAAACAGUAGAGCCGCGCGGCUAUACUGUUUUUAAAAUAAAAAAAACCAUAUUCGAUUCUCCUUAUAUUUAAAAGGGGUAUAGCCGCAUGGCGAUACUAAUUUUUUUUUUUCAAAAAAAGGGACCCCAGUACUCCUUUUAUAUAUUAUAAUAUAUUGUCUAAUAUUUGGAAUAUUUACUCUAAAAUAAACAAUAUAUUAGGUUCUUUUUGUCUACAAAUUGACCAUUAAACUUCUUAAUCACUCUUAUACUUUCAAUUAAAUCUACUAGGCUAGGUUAUGAUAUUUUCACUAAAAAACUCCUCCUUUUUUUCUUCUCUUUCUCUUCCUGUUUUGUUUAACUUAAGCUUAAGUUUUGUAAUUUUUUUUCCCGCCCUUUUUACAUGUUUGAGUAGGGUACUUUAAUAUUGGGAUUUAUGAACUUUUUUUGUAUUUCUUCUUUAUAUUGGAAUAUAAAUUAUUAACUUUUGAGUCUUUAAUAGUGUAGAUGAUGAGAUUAUUAUUCAACCAUUUUAUAAUAUGAAAUGAAGGACAAUCAUGAUUGUGAUGAAUGGAUUAUUAAUCAAUAUGAAAUGAUAUUAUGAAGUGGGCUAAAUCGAGUAGUUAGUAUCGUAUUGUUGAGACCCAAAAAAUCCAAGGCUAGGCCCAAAUAUAUUAUGAAGUGGGCUAAAUCGAGUAGUUAGUAUCGUAUUGUUGAGACCCAAAAAAUUCAAGGCUAGGCCCAAAUAUAUUUCCGGUCCAAUGCGAUACCUUACCGAGAAGAAACCUUAUUUGGGCACGCGAAAGUUCGUCAUAUGCUCUUGCACACAUGCCAUGCCAAGCAAAUAAGCAACAUGCCACGCUACAAGCUUAAGUGGGCCCAAGCCACGUGAAUGCCUAGGGCCUGCUGAGUGGGUUGUGGUAUGGAUGGUUAUGAGUAUUCACGAGGCCCAUUGAUGGUCUAAGGAGUGGAAGUUUUGGGCUACUUGGGAGCACCAAAACUCAAGCCCAUUCAUUGAGCCCAAACAUAUGGGUAAGCAUGAGAUAAAACCUAGUAGCCCAUCACCUUAAGAAAUCCUAAUAGCCCAUAACAUGUGAGAAAAUCCCACAUCAACCAAAGCUUCCAGCAGUCUGACGAAAUCAAAGGGAACUCACAAGCCGUUGGAAACAAAACAACCCAACACUGUAACACCCCGACCCCAAAUUUCCCCAAAUUUAACCCUUAUUUAAUUAUUUAAGGGUAUUUUAGUCAUAUUUUUAACCGGAGAGAGUUUGGGGCAAUGACUAGUAUUUUUGGAUAGGUCGUACUGAGACGAGUUUAUGGACACGCAGUGAGCUCGAAUCGGAGUUGUAACGAGAGAGAUAUGGUCAAAAGAAGCCCAGUGGCACAAUCGUAAAUAUUUUGAAAUGAGAUUUUUUAUAAAAAUCUGGUUUUCUCUCUCUCUCUCUCUCUCUCUCUCUCUCUCUCUCUCUCUCUCUCUCUCUCGCUAGCGACCUCUCUCUCUCUCCCCCGUCGGUCUCUCCCCUCUUUCUCCUCGUAACUCCGGCCACCGGCCCCGGCUGUGGACGGGGCCGGUACCAAAAUGACCGAGGCGUCGUCCUCUUCCUACCCCAGCCACCUCCCACCGCCAGCCGUCGCGGAUUCGCCGGAAUCUGGAGAUGAAGCGGCCUACGUCGUCCAAAUUUCAAAGCUGCCGAUCUCCCUCCUCCGGCCACCAAUUCCGUCGACCCAGGUAUGGAUUUUGAACUUCUCGAGCUGCUCUAGCUGAUGGUUGGGUAGGAUUAGAUCGAUUCUUAGCUUAGACAACUCGAUUUUCAAAUUGAAAAUCGGCCGAACUUCGGCUGCCGUGAUCGGCCAUUUCCGGCCACUUUUUGGGGUAGGUCCAAGAACAAAAGUGGCUCCAAAUAGGGUGUUAUACCUAGGGUAGGAGUUUGGAGCCGUGGUUUUGAGAUUUUCCGGCGAAGCGUUAUCGCUUUGGGCACCCACGCGCUGCCGGUGCGUGCGGCGGCGCGUGGGCACUGUAGAAAAAGUAGCACUGUGUUCCGAUGAGAUCCUUAGGUUGUCACGAGUGCGUAGGAUUUUGCGGAUCUCAAUUCGGACGUCGUUUGACUAUCGAACGGAUAUUCGCAUAUUGCGCGUUAUUCGGGUUCGAUAGGUUGGGACCGUUGGAUGGACCCAAAUUUAAUAUAUGUUAAUCUAAUUAAUUCUAGGAUCGUGUAGGAAUUCACGGAUUGUGAAUCGGAGCCCCGGAUGUUCCGAAUAAUAAUUUUAAAGUUUGUAUUUUAUAUUAAUUGUCAGAUCGUGCGAUCGUGAGCAAUCUGACCGUUCGAUCUGAACCAAACUUGCAGGACAAGUGUCCUAUACCUUGUAGAACCCAUAGGGACCUUCGGAUCGGAAAUUGGAGGUCGUGGGUUCCGCAAGUCGGUUUGACCAGGGUUAGAGAAGUUUGACCCUUGGUUGACCGUGAGUCUCCCGGAGUAAUCUCACCUUUCUAGGGGAGAUUAUCGGGUACUAGAUGAUUGUGGACACAAUAUUAGAAUUAAUUUAUAUAAUUAUAAUUAUAUAUGGUUGUACAAGGGUACAACAGAGUCUAGAAUGUCAGUUUGGAGUGCUAUACGCACUACUUUAGGUACCUCCCCGGAUGUUGGGAUUUACUACAAGUACCACCAAGUGAAAUUGAGGUCCCGCGUGGCGUAGGUUAUCCAGCGUUGGGAUAGGUCUCAUACGUGGGGUUGGUUGUACCGGCGUAUGGGGAGAUUUGUGAUAUUAUGUUCAGGUCUCACGUGGCGUAGGUUAUCCGGCGUUGAGACAGGCCCCAUACGUGGUGUUGGUUGUACCAGCGUAUGGGGAGCUAUGUGAUAUUGUGUUGAGGUCGCACGUGGCGUAGGUUAUCGGGCGUGUCGACAGACCCCAUACGUGGCGUUGGUUGUACCGGCGUAUGGGGAGAUUUGUGAUAUGAAAUUGAGGUCCCACGUGGCGUAGGUUAUCCGGCGUUGGGACAGGCCCCAUACGUGGCGUUGGUUGUACCGGCGUAUGGGGAAAUAUGUGAUAUGAUGGCAUGGUCGCACGUGGCAUAGGUUAUUCGGCUUGUUGACAGGCCCCAUACGUGGCGUUGGUUGUACCGGCGUAUGGGGAGAUUAUUUGAAAUGCAGAGAAACGAAAUAUGGUAUCGCCCAAAUGUGGAAUUGGGUUUUAGGGAAGAACUACGUGUGGCUUGAUCCCUCAAGGAGGGUACGUAGGCAGCCUAAGGUUAAUAGGUGCAGCCGCAGACUAAAUGUUAGUCAUAAUUGAUAUUUGAAUUGUUUGGUAGUUGGUUAAGAAUUAUUGGAAGGCCGAAGGCCAUUUGUGUGAAUUGCAUGAAAUUAUAUUGUGCAUGCUGCCAGUUGGGAAUAUUAAAUGCGUUUUUAUGCAGGUAUAAAUUUUAGGAAAUGUCCAAUUUAUAGGGGAGACUCUGCCGAAUUUUCGGCAGGAAGUCUCAGUUUUUAGUAUCUGGGCCUGGCAUCGGGAGGAUGUCGGGAAUUCCAAAGGGUCGUCUCGAGUUCUGAAAAAUUCGGUGCGGGUCCUUUCAAACACCUUAUAAAAUAUCCAACGCCGUGCAUCUCUGUUAAAACCAGAUCACAGCCAAACCACCAAAACCAUGCAAACCCAUAUGCUGAUCACCAUUUUUACUAGCACCCUUACCCAUUCUUUCCUCUUCAAGCUUUGGUGAGAAAACAAGAAACAAAAGUGGGCGGAUCUUCACCCACAUGGAGAAAUCCAGCUGCCUGAGGGCCCUGGAACUCCAAAAAACUUCUUACCUACAUGCUCAGGCUAGGGAAGUUUCACCAAAUAAGCAAGAAUGGAAGAAAGUGAAGGAAAAGGGGAAAGGGUGGCUUGACGAAAUUAAGGUUUUCAGCACUUAUAAAAGGAAACACUUUCUAUCCAGCAAAAACAACUCACCCUGGUUGCUGCAAGCCUCCUAGCAACCAUGAGAAUUCAUUGAAGGCAAGCAUCCCCUUUGGAACCCUUCAAUUUCAUGCUUUGUUCUUCCAUCUUCCUCCUUUCUCUCUCUCUCAAAACCCACAUCCAGAGAGAGCAAGCAUCAUCUCUCAUCUUUGGAACCCUUCGAUUUGAAGCCUUGUUCUUCCAUUGCUUCCCAUUUUCUCUUCUGUCAAAUCACCUAGGAGCUUGACGAAACUUUCGUCAAGCUGCUGGAAAUAUGGUAAAGCCACCCAUGCUUCCAUCUUCUUCCUCUCUUUCCAUAAACACACAUCCAAAGAGCAAGCUUCAUCUCUCAUCCUCUAAACCUCUGCAAUUUCAAGCCUCAUUCCUCUAUCUUCUCCCAUUUUCAGCGGUAGUGAGAAUGAUUUCUGCGUGUGCAUGGGAAGGAUUGUAACUCAGAUGAGGAGGAGAUGGUUUGGAGUGGGGUGAGGCAGUUGGAUAGAGCUCUUGGCCUUUUCAAGUUUGGAUGGGAAAGAGCAGGGAUGAAAGAAGCUUUACAACUGCAAGGGCAUAUAUGGUGCGUAGGGGCUGAAGGCAGAACACUUACAUAUAGAGGAAACACAUUUUUUGUCCAUGGGAUUCAUGUUUGACAAACACUUGUCUUAGACUAUGAGUUCAAAUUUCAAAACCUUUUUUUUUUCUUUCUGAAAUCAGGACCAGUGUGGAGAACUAGCAAGGAUUGGAGAAACAGAUUUUUGGGCGUCACUUGACCACAGAUUGUUGAUUGCUCAAAUGUGUAGAAUUGGCCAUCUUAAAUGUCAAAAUGAUUUAUCAAUUGGGGUUUUUUUAGAAACGUUUAUGUUUGUCAAUAGAGACAGAAGUCAGAGAACAUAAACCUUUCUCAGCAAAUUGAAAUUCUCAGUGCAUGCUCUGUUCUUCCAUGGCUUUCAAACCUUCUCUGCCACGGUGAAAUGGAUCGAUAGAGAUAGUUUAGGCCGUUCCAUUUGUUUGAUGAAGCAUUCGUUCUAGGGAUUCUGUAUAUUCAUAACAAAAUCACUAGAAUGAUUCUUAGAAAUUCAUCACUGCUAAAGGCAAUGGGUUCAGCAUAAUAACUUCUUAGUCUUGCUUCUUGGUCCUUUAUUUUCUUUGCAUAAUACUCCAAGUUUACCUGGGUUCUACAGAGAAAAUCUCGUAGAUACCUCUUUUUGUGGUCUUCCAUGGCAUUUAAGUGCUGCUUUCCAUGGUGAAGUGGGCCUAUAGAGACUACCUGAGGUGUGUAGGCUUUGUCAUUUCCACGCCGUAAUCGCUCAGGAACUCUGUAGAUACACCUUCAAGGGGGACAAGGGAGACAAACUAUCCAAUUCCUUGCGCCUUACAAAUAGAUCGCAUGGGUUUUCUAUUUCAUCUGCAGCUUCAUCAAUUCCUUCCAUUUUUCUCCUGAUCAUCAUGCGCGGUGAUUCAAAUAUUUCAUAAUGAACAUUGAAAUGAGAUGCUACAAGCAAACUUAUGAAAAGAAACAGAAAUACCAAAAAGACAAAUCAAUGUAGAUGGUUUAGAAAAUCUAAACAUUGCAAUUAUACUCCUUUGCCCAACUUCUAGGAGCAAACGUACACAAAGACCUUAUUGCUUCCAACUUUUCCAACAGAAUUUCAUAUGAAUUGCUCCAAGUGAAAUCCGUAUGAAAAAUCGGUAGUUGGAUUUUCAUCCUGCUUUAAUAUGAUUAUUUAACUUCUAACAAAAAAACUCUUAUUACUUGAGCAAGUAAAAUACUAUUCCAGGUUUCUCCUAGUUCUAUAUGCGCUUAUAAUUGGUAUACUCUAUAAAUACCAUAAUCUGAAUUUCUCUGUUUUGAUUACUUUAAUUUAUUACUUAUGUUUUAAUUAUUGUUUACUUAGUGAAUUAUUAGUAUUUAAGAGAAGGCCUUCCAUCGAUUAGGCACCACGUGUCUAUAAUAAGUAAAGCCGUCCGGCUAUACUUAAAAAAAAAAAAAAUUGUAGUAUAGCCGACCGGUAUAGCCGCGCGGCUAUACUAUUUAAUACAUUAUAUUUAAACGGUAUAGCCGCGCGGCUAUACUAUUUAAUAAAAUAAAAAACAAAAGAAAAAGAAAAAUUACCCUCCUAUUUCAUUAGUUUGUACUUUAUAGAUACUAGCCCCUUGACACAUGCUCACGCAUGUGCCAAUUGGUUUUCUUUUUCUUUUUUAUUUUUAUUUUUAGAAUUAAGAAAAAAUAACAGGAUAGUUAUGUUCCAUAAAAGUAGGACCUAUUAUCUUAUUUUGUUUUUAAUUUUAAUUUUUUUAAUAUUAAAAAAAUAUGAAUUUACGAUAUUAUCCUCAUUUAAUUAAUAAUUUCAAUUCUUAAUGUUUGAAUUAACAAAGGGCAUUUUCUGGUAUUUUGAAUGUUUCACCAUUCUCUGCCUUUUGCUUUAUAUAUAUAGAUUAAUUUGCCAGUUUCAAGAUAUCCAAAGUACAUAUUAGACUUUCACUAUAUAAAUUUCAAUAUAUAUUUUUUAUAACAUGUGUUGUUCUUAUUCAAUAAUAUGUGAGAAUUAUUUGUAUAAUACGUGAAUUUUGUGUGUCUUACUGAAUUUUUUUAAAUACGUGUAUUAAACGUUACAAAUACGUACAUAUAUGUACAACACGACUAUUGUAAGUUUGCUAUAUAAAAAAAAGUGAGAUGUAUCUAGAACACGAAUGUAUUAUCGAAAAAUAUAUAUGUAUGUAUAUAUAUAUAUAUAUAUGUAAAAGCCUAUAGCCUCUCACCUAUACUAUUUAUUAAAGACAAUUUAAAAAUUACAACAACAAAAAAACCAGUACAGCCACAAAGCUAUACUAUUUUAAAAAAAAAAAAUAGAAAAAAUAUCAAGUACUACACAGGGCAAAGGCCCAGUGUAAAAUAGUAUAGCCGUACGGCUAUACGUUUUUAAGAAGAAUUUAAAAAACUAAGUAUAGCUCACCGACUAUACUAUUUUUUAAUAUAAAAAAACAACCCCAUCCAUUAGGCGCCACGUGUCAACAGAAGUUUAUUUUUAAAAAAAAAAAUUAAAAGACAAGGAGUAUAGCCGGGUGGUUGUACUAUUUUUUUAUUUUAAAAAGAAGACAGUCCAUCGAUUAGGCGCCACGUGUCCAUAAUAAGUACAGCCGCUCGGCUAUAUGUUGGAUAUUUUGAAACUAGCAAAUUAAUAUCAAUAGCCGGUCGUAACCUAUGCUGUCCACGUCACUCAUGUUUUACCAGAGUUAAAGCAUCCACAAUGAGCUCCCCAAACCAUCUCUUUAGACAAAUUUUAGGGAGAAAUUGGAAAAGUACAACUCCAACCAUGCUCCCUAUCCACCAACUAAAAUAGGGAGACCUCUAGGAGCUCCUAAAUCUGAGGAGAGGGAAAGGACUCUUAGUGACUCCCUAUAAUUUAAUGUUGCUUUGUUUUAUGCAUAUUUUAAACUUUUAAUUAAAUCAAAUUAUUAUUUUAUAUUAUUUUGUAUACAGAUGGACCAAUUAUAUUAAAUUAAAAAAUAAUUAAAGUAUUUGUGACUCUCUAAACUAAGGAGUAUGAUUAGAGUUCAAAUUUUAUAAAAAGCUCUUAAAAUAGCUUUUGUGUGUUUUUAGCUAAAUUUUAACUAAAAAAUUUGAAGAUUCUUUAUUUGGGUUUCUUUCAAGACGAAAACCAUAUCCACAACAGACAUCUUUGGCUGUUCAUCACAAUUGAGAGACAAUGAAGAAGACAUAAGGGAGAGGCUGCCAAAUACUUAUCACCUUAGCCACCACCAACACCACAAGACCAAUAUGUGUAGGCCAGGAGGCUUUCCAAUUUUAAUAUAUAUAUAUAUAUAUAUUAAAAAAUAAAAUAAAAAUCAAUCUAUUAUCAUAUAUAUUAUAAAAUAAAGAUUAUUGCUCCAUCCUCCAUGCACUUGCGUGCCCUCUUACAAAGUAUGAAGUAGAUUUUGUUAGCUGGAUUUAUAAGAUCUUUUGUUUUUUGGAAAUUUUCUGAAAUAAGGAAAAUCAAGUAAAAUUAAUAAAGCAUAAAUUGGAAAGGGAAAAUAUCUAGAGGAUGCAUUGUAGGAUUGCUCAAGCCAAUAAUUGUACCCUCUAAAUAUAUAGGGACAUAUUUUUUUUGUUUUCAUGACAUGUCGUCCUAAAAUUAUUGUUCUUAGCGGGCUCUCCACCCCCUCUCGAUUGAAAACCUAUUGUGUAAAUCUUCAAUCCUGAAUUAGAAAAGUACAACUCCAACCAUGCUCCCUAUCCAUCUCCUAAAAUAGGGAUACCUCUAGGAGCUCCUAAAUCUGAGGCGAGAGAAAGGACUCUUAGUGUCUCUUUAUAAUUUAAUGUUGCUUUGUUUUAUGCAUAUUUAAACUUUUAAUUAAAUCAAAUUAUUUUUUUAUAUUAUUUUGUAUACAAAUGGACCAAUUAUAUUGAAUUAAAAAUAAAUUAAAGUAUUUAUGACUCUCUAAACUAGGGAGUAUGAUUGGAGUUCAAAUUUUAUAAAGAGCUCCUAAAAUAGCUUGUGUGUGUAGGGGUCUUUUUCUUCUGGCAACUACAGAUGGGUUGGGCUACCGUAAGGAGCAAACUGAAGAAAAUAUCCCCUGUGUCUGAGUUCAAAGAUUCGGCCCCAAAAUAUUUCGAAAAGGCAGUAAAGCCUUAGGAAACACCUUAGUUACCUUCACCAACGAAAAUGACGGCUGCUUACAGGUAGAUUCUUAGUGCUUACAGAUGAAUUCUUAGCUUAGCAUGAGGAGAUCGUGGCAUGGAAGCAAAGUUAGCAUGAGUUUAGCACUAAAGAGAAAAUUAUGUGUUCUUGGGAGGAAGAAGGGGUGUCCAGGUAAAUGGGAAAAGGUUUUGCAAGUAGAUUUGGCUAAGAGAGAAGGGAGAGAGAGAAGAGGGUGGCUAGAGUGCUUCUUCCGGCAGCUUGACAGUGACUCUGUCAAAUGUUAGAGCAAUCUGCCAUAAGAGGGAAAAUGGGGAAGAAGGAUGAACAGUGCACAAAAUUGCUAGGUUUUUGCAAGUAAGAGAGGAAGCUUGCUCUCUGGAUGUGGAUGAUCCGUUGGGUAGAAGAGGCCCCAUUUUAUAGCCGCUGGAAACUAUCAUUUCUCAAGAAACCCUAAUAGUUUCUACCCAAUUUGGUCAAGCUUUUCCCUUCCUUUCUCAUCUCCUCCCUUGACUUUUCCUAUCUUGGUGAAAUUUCCUCUGUCUAUUUGCACAAAAUCAGGAGCUCAAGGCCUCCCUUUCCCGCAACUGUUCAAUGGGAGACUCCAUUCUUAGCUAUUUUUCUUCUUCUUUCCUUCCUCCUUCCCUGACCAAAUCUGAUGAAGGAAAGCAAAUAGGUGCACACAUUGGUUUGAAGGGUGCUUCUCCUUCUAGCAGCUUACAUGCCAAUAUCCCUUGGGUCCUUGCAUGUUUUUUGCUUUGAAACUUGUUUCUUCCUUCCCGUCAACUCACGUGGUCUUCCAUGCUUCUUCAUGGCUUUAUCUUUCAGCCAAAAGAUGGAGUUUUUACUGCUUGCUACUUUUAAUUGUAUGGGUCUUCUAGGAUAGGAAGUCAACCUACCAAACAAAUGGGCCACCUUUAUCAAAUAUUGGGCUGUUGGGGUUAGUUUUAGUGGGCCAUUUUGACUGGGCUUUUUGGUUGGGUUAUUUAAGUUAUUUUCCCUUUUGUGCUCACCCAUGUAUUUAGGCCUAAGAAAUGGGCUUGGGCUCCGAGUCUCCCAAGCAACCCGGAACCUCCAUUUCUUGGCCCAUUAAUGGGCCUCAUGACAACCUAUUACCAUCCAUACCACAACCCACUCAAGCAAGCCCCGGGCAUUUGAAUGGCUUUGGCCCACUUUAGGCUUGUAGUGUGAUUGGGUGUGGCAUAACGAUUUCUCGCUUGGCAUGGCAUGUUGCUUGGCAUGUUUUUUCAUUACGAUGCUUGAUGGAUUUGUAGAGCUACCUAUUUUUAUGAUCUUAAUCUUGAUUCCUAGCAUGACAAAUUUAUUUAUUUGGCAUGGCAUGCGGAGCGUGACUUGUGCGUGGCGAGUUUUGUAUGCUCCAACUUGGGCCUUUCCUAAAUAAUGUAUCAUUUUGGGUUAUGAAUUCUUUCGGGCCCAACCGUGAAUUUUUUGGGUUUCAACAGUGUGUUUUUAGCUAAAUUUUAACUAAAAAAUAGGGAGCAUGAUUGUAGAUCAUCUUAUAUACCUUAAUUUGAAGAUUCUUUAUUUGGGUUUCUUUCAAGAUGAAAACCAUAUCCACAACUGGCAGACAUCUUUGGCUGUUCAUCACAAUUGAGAGACAAUGAAGAAGACAUAAGGGAGAGGCCGCCAAAUACUUAUCACCUCAGCCACCACCAACACCACAAGACCAAUAUGUGUAGGCCAGGGGGCUUUCCAAUUUUAAUAUAUAUAUAUGGAGUGAAAAAAAUAAAAUAAAGAUUAUUGCUCAUCCUCCAUGCACUUGCAUGCCCUCUUACAAAGUGUGAAGAAGAUUUUGUGUGCUUCAAGUCAUUGACUAGAGCUGAAACAUGGUUAGCUGGAUUUAUAAGAUCUUUUGUUUUCUGGGAAUUUUCAGAACCAAGGAAAAUCAAGUAAAAUUAAUAAAGCAAAAUGGAAAGGGAAAAGAUCUAGAGGAUGCAUUGUAGGAUUGCUCAUGCCAAUAAUUGUACCCUCUAAAUAUAUAGGGACAUAUUUUUUUUGUUUUCAUGACAUGUUGUCCUAAAAUAUUUGUUCCUAGCGGGCUCUCCACCCCCUCUCGAUUGAAAACCUAUUGUGUAAAUCUUCAAUCCUGAACGAUGCUCCUAAAACUCAAGUGUCCCAGGCCAAUUAUUGCUCUCAUACCACUUGUUGCAAUACACAUCCACUCAUUCUCAGGGAAAGAAACCCAUCGAUAUUAUCUCAAAUUUAACCACUUUAGUCUAUUAUGAUUAACUAUGUAUUUUAUGGAUCAAUGCAGUUGUGAGGUUUUAUACCCAAUUAGAUCGACCAAUACAGAGAUCACAUGUGGACUGAAAAGCGCCAUCGGUAGGGGAGUGUUUGGCACCCUUUACUGCCGAGUGCAACACAAGACCCCUUACCAGGAACUUAUCUACUAGGACACGUGAAGCCACCACAAGUAAUAUCAACAGUCCCACAUCGAAGUUUAACAUAACAUGUACACUCCCCAGGACUGAUAAAAGUGGGCACAAGUCCCAAAAAUGGGGGAACUUGGACUUUCAGCAAUUCAUCCAUUAUUAUGUCCAAAUUACUAUACACUCCGUACUUAUUCUUACUUAAGCAUUGGAGAGCCUUCGGCCGGUACCACACCAGUGCCUAAGGGCUUACCGAGCGUUCUCUAUCUUGCAUAUUGAUCGCUCUACUGAAGCCCAUAAAGAGUUAAAGGUCAAGACAUCACUAAGUUGAGCCCAAAAGUGCUGAACCACAUCAAAAAUAUGUAUAGAUUGAAAAAAUAAAAUAAAAAUCAAUCUAUUAUCAUAUAUAUUAUAAAAUAAAUAUUGGAUAAAUUACUCAAAUGGUCCUCAAACUUAUACUCGAUUUACAUUUUGGUCUCUCAAUUAAAUUAUUUGUUCAAAUGGUCCAUCAACUCUAUAUUAUUUCUGCAAAAUCUACAAAGUGGUGGGAGGCAGACCAACAAAAAAAAUUAGCGAAGGCUUAUAACUCUGGUAAAACAAGAGUUACUUGGAUAGAAUAAUGUUACGUCGUACUGAAGAUUUUUGGGUUUCUUUAAUUGGUUAAGUGAAGAUUCUUUAUUUGGGUUUCUUUCAAGAUGAAAGCCAUAUCCACAACCACAACCACAACUGGCAGACAAUCUUUGGCUGUUCAUCACAAUUGGGCGACAAUGAAGAAGACAGAAAUUGGAGUACUGUAUGUUAUCACCCACACCACAAGACCAAUAUAAGGAGGAUGGGGAGGCUGCGGAAUACUUAUCACCUUAGCCACCACCUACACCACAAGACCAAUAUGUUGUAGGCCAGGAGGCUUUCCAAUUUUAAAUUAGAUAAAUCGGAAACUGUUUCGAUAUCCAAUUGUAUUCUAUAAAAUCAAUGAACACGGUGCUUCAAGAAAGUAAUAAAAUUUCAAUAAUUCAAUUGAGUGGUCAAAUUCAAGUGAUUUUUUGUAGUGAUGAUCUUUGAAUGAGUAUCUAUAAAAGAGACGGUUUGGAUUAGUGAAAUACAAUAUGGAGUGGGCCCUACCAGCAAUCCACGACAAAAUGUCUGCAAGCUUUCGUAAUAUAAGGAGGAUGGGGAGGCUGCGCAAUACUUAUCACCUUAGCCACCACCUACACCACAAGACCAAUAUGUUGUAGGCCAGGAGGCUUUCCAAUUUUAAUAUAUAUAUAUAUAUAUAUAUAUAUAUAUAUAUAGGGAUGUGAUUUCUCUACUCCCCUUUUCUCUACUUAUACUCCCUUUUGCUUUUAAAUACUUUUUAAUCAAUUUUUUUUCCGCUUUCCUAUUAAUAUUCUACCAUUUCCCUACAUUAAUUUCUUUUUACUUCACUUUUAUAUUAGUUCUUUUUCUUUAUACUUAAUUUUUCAACUUGCACUCCAUUUUCAUUAUUUUUUUCCUAAUCGAGUAAGAAAUUAAGUUUUUUUUCCCCAUUUAAUACUGAAAAUGGAGUGUAAGUUAGAAAAUUAGGUAUAAAGAAAAAGAAAUAAUAUAAAAGUAAAGUAAAAAAGAAAUUAAUGUAGGGUAAAGGUAGAAUAGAAAAGAGAAUGAACAAAAUUGAUAAAUAAAUAAAAAAGGUUUAAAAAGCAAAAAGGAGUGUAAAUGGAGAAAAGGGGAAUGAGGAAAUCAGCUCCAUAUAUAUAUAGAUUGAAAAAAUUAAAAUUAAAAUCAAUCUAUUAUCAUAUAUAUUAUAAAAUAAAGAUUAUUGCUCCAAGGAAAUGACAUCUUUUGUUUUCUGGGAAUUUUCUGAACCAAGGAAAAUCAAAUAAAAUUAAUAAAGCAUAAAUUGGAAAGGGAAAAGAUCUAAAGGAUGCAUUGUAGGAUUGCUGAUGCCAAUAAUUGUACCCUCAAAUUAUACAUGGACAUAGGGGUGGGCAUUCAAAUAGGCAAACUAGAAAUCCGAGCUGAACCGCACCUAGGAAAACCGGAAAAAAAACCGAGUUGACCAAAAAGUCAACAACUGGUCAAAAAUCGAACCGGACCGAUUUGGACUGGUUUUGGAUUCAGUUUAUAUGCAAUGCUACAUUUUUAGUCUCAUAACUAAUAUUUAUCCAAGUUCAAUUUCAAAACAUCUUUCUUUUUUAGCUUUAAUAUUUAUUUUUAUAUGAAAUUAAAUAAUUUAUUAAUUUUCAAGUAAAUAAAAUAAAAUUUCAGUUGAAAUUUAUAUUAAAAAAAUAAUUUUAAUAAUCCAGUUCAAAACCAAACCGGACCAUCCAGCUGUGAGGUACAUUUCUCCCACAUGCCACAAUUGUAUAUUCACAAUUACGUCUGAUACAUCACAUCAUGCCACUUGCCUCAAAUGAAUUUAAGUGAGUGUGGCAGUGGAAAGUAAUUAAGCUCUAUAUUGGUGGGUGGACUGUUACUUCUGGGUUCCCCUCAUCAUUCGUCUAUAAAAUGGUGAAGGCAGUUGCUAUUGUUACCAUAAGAGCCAGCUCCGACUUCCUUUAAUUUCUUGCUUCAUAUCCACUAGCUACAUCUGUUACCAAGUUAAUUUCAGUCCUAAUGGGGUUUCAUCUCCCACUCAUCUUUGCUCUUCUCAGUGUAAGCUCUGCAAUUUGAUUAACUUUUCCAUUCUCUCUCAUUGUACUCUAUAUAAACGAAAGUUUUGUGUUCCUAUAAUUCUCUCCGAUUUUAUUUAGUACGUACUUAAGUGUCGUCCACUAAUUAAUUACACUUUGUGAUUUGAUUUUAAUUUGAGUUCGAAUUAAUGUUGCAGCUAGCAGCAGUGGCACUGGCAAACCAUGCUGCUCAACCAGCACCUCAACUUUACUGGAACUCCGUCCUGCCAAACACACAGAUGCCAAGAUCUAUCAGUGAACUUCUGCAUCCUGGUUUGUGUUGAGCUCUUUAGAAUCUUAGAUAUCUCUUCUACCUGCCAUUUUACUAAAAUAUGUUCCACCACAUAUUUAUCAGUUAACCACUGUUAUUACAUGAGUGACACAUAUUCACAAAUCGGCUGAUCACUUAUUUUCCAUUAUGACGUUGAUAUAUAAUUUGCAGACUCCACAAAUGAAGAAAAGAGCACAAAUGACGUUGGCAAACCUGAAACUUUCCCAUUGGGCAAUAAACAUUACUCCAGUCAAAAACAUUAUGGAAGAGGCAAACCUGAAACUUUCCCAUUGGGCAAUAAACAUUACUCCAGUCAAAGACAUUAUGGAAGAGGCAAACCUGAAACUUUCCCAUUGGGCAAUAAACAUUACUCCAGUCAAAGACAUUAUGGAAGAGGCAAACCUGAAACUUUCCCAUUGGGCAAUAAACAUUACUCCAGUCAAAAACAUUAUGGAAGAGGCAAACCUGAAACUUUCCCAUUGGGCAAUCAGCAUUACUCCAGUCAAAAAAAGUAUGGAAGAGGUGCUUCUCCAUCCGACAAUCAACCACCAAUUCCAUAGAAAUUCAAACACGGCUACUUUCUUGCCACGAGAAAGCGCUCAAUCGAUCCCCUUCUCCUCUAACAAACUACCAGAAAUUUUCAACCAUUUUUCAGUGAAGCCAACAUCUGAGGAAGCCAAAACAAUUAAGCAAACAAUCGAAGAGUGUGAAGCUCCAGACCUUAAGGGAGAGGAAAUAUAUUGCGCCACAUCUUUAGAAUCAAUGGUUGAUUUUAGCACUUCGAAGCUUGGAACAAGAAACGUUGAAGCAAUCUCGACGGAGGUAUUGGAAAAAGGAGCCACCAUGUCCAUCCAAAACUAUACAACAAUGCCGGGACUGAAGAAGUUGGCAGGUGACAAAGUCGUUGUGUGUCAUAAGCAGAACUAUCCCUAUGCUGUGUUUUUCUGCCAUGCAAUAAAACAUACAGCAGCUUAUGCUCUCUCCCUGAAAGGCGAUGAUGGGGAGAAGGUUAAAGCAGUAACCAUCUGCCAUCUAGACACAUCAGAAUGGGACCCAGAGCAUAUGUCCUUCAAAAUCGUCAACGUUAAGCCCGGAACCAUUCCCAUCUGCCAUUUCAUUUCCACUGAUGCUAUUGCCUGGGUUCCGAACCACAAAUCUGCAUGAUCAUCACUUAGCACUAGUACUGUGCGUAUAAUAUGCCUGUAUAAUUAUCUCCCUACUUAUUUCUGCCUGUUCAUCAUGUGGUGUAAGAUAUAUGUUGAGAUGAAGUUUUUGGGAUUAGUGGUCGAAAUUAACCCGAUCAUGUUUUCUCUUGUAACUAUAUAGACUUCAACUUGUACUCAUAAUAAAGCAUGCUAUAUUUAUGAAGAGAUAUUAAUCUUCAGGCAAAUAGAUAUUAUGAAAACAUAUAUAGCAAUUUAUCCAGAAGAAAUAUUAUGAAAUGAAAAGAAUAAAAAGUAAAAAAACAGAAGGAAAGGAAUUCGCACCUGCUAUGUAUGAAAGGACCAAGAUUGUUUUCCCUUUGGUUAAUGACUAGAAAAGCUCACUUGCAGAUUGCUUUCUCUGACCGUAGAUGCAACAGAAAUUUUCUCUUAAUAAUAGCACAAUGAUCGGGUAAUUGUAAGAACAAGUUGAUUUAAAAUUCCUUGACCCAAAAAAAAAAAAAAAAUCAUUUCAAAUUCAGGUCAACCCAUAGAUUUCUUGCCUUUUUCUUCUUCAUCACGUUGGGCUUGUCUUCUUCUUGAGGAUUGUAUAGGCCCAGGAAAUGCUUUGAGGUAGUUUUUGGCCUUGGAAGUUGGGACCCAACCCAACUUCACAAAAAGAAAACAGAUUUGCCAAAAAUCAAAUUUCAAGUCUCUCCUCAGAUCACUAAUACAGAUCAAAUUUUGGAUUUGAUGAACUAAAGUGGUUUUACUUUCUCUGUCAGUGUUUGAUGACUUAAUUUGUUAUUUACUUCUUUUUUUUUUUUUACUUGAUCUUUGUAGGGGUUUUUUUCUUCCGGUAACUUAAACGGGCUGGGCUGCCGUAAAGGGUAGAUUGAUGAAAUUGUCUCCUUUGUCUGAGUUCGAAAAUCAAGCCCCAAAAGCGCUUCGAAAGGGCAGUAGAGCCUUAGGAAGCGUUCUAGUCAUCUUCACCAACUAAAACAACAGCAACUUACAGAUGAUUUCUUAAGGCUUACAGAUAAAUUUUCUAGCUUGGCAUGAGAGGCUUGUGACAUGGAAGCAAAAUCAGCAUGAGUUUAGCACCAAAGAGGAAAAUAUGGCUUCCUAGGGAGAAAUGGGAGUGUUUAAGGUGAGGAAGAAGAGGUUUGCAGGCUGAUUUGGCUGAGGAGAGAGAAAGAAAGAACAAUGUUCUUCCAGUAGCUUGACAAAGCUUCUGACAGAUGUGAAAGUCGUCUGCCAUAAGAGGAAAAUGAAGAAGAAUGGUGAAUAGUGCAUGAAAUUGCUGGGUUUUUGCAGGUAAGAGAGAAAGCUUGCUCUCUGAAUUUGAGUUGGUUUUUGGUUGGGUAGAAGAGGCCCCCUUUUAUAGCUGCGGGAAACCAUCUUUUUUCAAGAAACCCUAAUGGUUUCUAUCCAUUUUGGCCAAGCUUUUCCCUUCAUUUCUCUUCUCCUCCCUUGACUUUUCCUAUCUUGGUGAAAUUUCCUCUGCCUAUUUGCACAAAAUUAGAGAUUUUGAGGAGCUCAAGACCCCUUUCCCGCAGCUGCCUCAGUGGAGAAUCCCCAUUUUCAGUCAUCUUUCUUCCUUCUUUUCUCCCAUCUUCCAAGGUUAGGUCUGAUGAGGGAAAGAAAUGGGUAUGCACACUGGUUUGAAGGGUAUUUUUGCUUGAAACUUGUUCUCUCCCAUGUGCUGGAGCUUCCCAGCAACUUACACACAUGGAUAUUUUGGCUUUCAUCGUGGCUUUUGUUUUCAGCUAGGUGCUGGAGAUUUCGCAGAUAUUUUCAUGAGUUGCUUGGGCCUUCUAGGACAAUAGGUUGGUUUAUCAAGUGAAUGGGCUAACUUCAUCAAUUGUUGGGCUAUUUUGGUUGAGUUAAUGGACUAUUUUGGUUGAAGUAAUGGGCUAUUUUGGUUGAAUUAAUGGGCUAUUUUUCUCUCUUUGUGCUCACCCACAUAUUUGGGCCUAAGAAAUGGGCUUGAGUUCCGGGGCUCCCAAGCAACCCCGGGACUUCCAUUUCUCGGCCCAUCAAUGGGCCUCAUAUCAACUUAUUACCAUCCAUAUCACAACCCACUCAAGCAAGCCCUGGGCAUCUUGCGUGGCUUGGGCCCACUUAAGCUUGUAGCGUGACGUGUUGCUUAUUUGCUUGGCAUGGCAUGUGUGCAAGCGCAUAUGACGAACUUUAGCGUGCCCAAAUUGGGUUUAUUCUCGGUAAGGUAUCGCAUUGGGCCGAGAAUUUAAUUGGGCAGAACUGUGGAUUUUUGGGCCUCAACAAUCUUAUAUAUAUUGGUUUUCUUUUUUUCCUUAAUAUUCACCACCUUUCUGUUGCAUAAGUAUUUCAGUCUUAACGGGUUUCCAUCUACCACUCAUCUUUGCUCUUUUAAGUGUAAGCUUUUUUUUUUUUUUUUUAAGCACAAGAUUAGAGGGGAGGGGGAUUUCUCAAUGUAAGCUUUGCAGUUUCAUAAUUAAUAUUUCCAAUAUCUCACUGUUAGUAAAAUAUGGAACAGGAAAAGUAUGAAUAAAAUACACACAUGUUUUAUUUAGCAAAAUUUUGACAAGAUACAACUGAAAAGUUUGGCCACUAUAUAAUAUUUUGAUAUAAUUUCUACACUUCUUCUCAAAAGAUUAGAUCACUUCACAUCUUGUGUAUGUGAAAACUAAUGUAAAAAGUUGAAACUUUAUCGUAAAACCUCGACAAAAAUGAGCUCUACUAGAAAAUGUUCAAUUUGGAUUCGUUGAUUUAAAUGGCAAUUUGACACUUGAUAGAAAUUUUUACAUACAUGUGUUAGUGUUUGAUCACUUCACAUGUUACUUACUAUAUUUAUUCCACUCAAGUUAGGUAAAUAUUAUUAUCAAACAUUUCAAUUAAUUUGUGAUUUUUUUAUUAUUUAAUCAAUUAUGAAUUAAUGGAUUCUUCUUGUUGUUUUGAAGACCAAUAAAAAAAAAAGGGUAAGGAUGGCUUAUAACUCUGAUAAAACAACAGUGACGUGGACAGCAGAUGUUACACCGUACUGAAGAUUUUUGAAGAUUCUUUAUUUGGGUUUCUUUCAAGAUGAAAACCAUAUUAUCCACAACCACAAUGAAGAAGACAGAAAAUGGAGUAAUUCAGAUGUUACCAGCCAUCCACGACAAACUGAAGUCUGCAAAGCAUUCGUAAUCUAAAGGGAGACUUUGGAAAAGCCCAAAGGAGAGAGAAAAUUUUUAAAAGAAGCAAAAAUGGACAAAAUUGCCCUUAUUUAUUUUUUGAUUUCCUAAGAAAUCCUUUACAUUUGCAUGUCUUUGGUUUGAAAGUUGAGAGGUUAUUCUGUCUUUUUUCAAAAAGCUUUGGCUUUUUCCAAAAGUGAAAGUUUUUUUAUGGGUAAAACCUAAAUUUACUUAAUCCCUAAAAAGGAUGGGGAGGCUGCGCAAUACUUAGCCACGUGUAGGCCAGGAGGCUUUCCAAUUUUAAUAUAUAUAUAAAUUGAAAAAAUAAAAUAAAAAUCAAUCUAUUAUCCUAUAUAAAAUAAAGAUUAUUGCUUCCAUGGGCAGUGCUAUGCACAGGACAGUGCCUGCCCAGCACAAAUUUUUUUUAAAUAAAAAAAAAAAAUCUACAUAUGUUAUAAGCUCAUCCAAAAAAAUAAAAUAAAAUAAAAGUAAAUUCUACAUAUAUGUUGCCCAUCUAGGUGGUUCCAUAUCUUCUCUCUCCUUCUCUUUUGGCUAUUAGACUUCUUGUUUCUCUCUCUCUCUUUGCUACCUCACAUCAGCAAGUUUCUCCCUCUCUUUUUUUGGGGUCAAAUUCUUCCUCUAUUGACAAAAUCUUCUAUUAUCUUGGGUGGGCAACUUGGCAACAACAUCUUCUCUUCUCCUUUUGUCAACAACAAGUAUUAUUCUCAUUCUCUCAUUUGCUAUAUAUCUUUAAUUAUAGUUUUAAUUUAAAAUUGAGUAUUCUAGGGUUUAAUUAGGGAUGAAUUAUAAUUUUAGAAUUUUGUUGAAAUUAAUUAAGGCUUCGAUUAGGGGUGAAUUAUUCUACUGCUUUGGUUUGGAAUUUUGUUAAAAUUGAGUAUUAUAGGGUUUAAUUAUGGAUGAAUUAUAAUUUUUGAUUUUGGUAUUAUUGAGAUGUUAUUAUGAGAAUUUGUUUCAUUUUUUUAUUGGUAUAUUUGAUUAAAAUUCUUUCUACAUAUUAUUCAUAGGCUAUCUUUUAUUAUGUCGGAUCACAAUCGGAAUCCCAAGAGAACAAAGAAUUUGAAUAGUGUUGUUUUGUAUUGCAUUGCAUUUACUUUUGGUUUUAGUUUUGCUUUUAGUGUAAAUUACUCAAAUGGUCCUCAAAUUUGUACCCGAUUUACAUUUUGGUCCAUAAACUAAAUUAUUCAUUCAAAUGGUGCACCAACUCUUUAUUAAUCAGUGCUUUGGUCCUACCGUUAUGUUUUCUAUUAAAUUUAGUCAUGUGAGCAGCACAUGCUACAUUUGUAGGGGUAAAUAAGACUUUUGACCACUUUAUCACCUAUGUAUCACCACUUUAUAACCUAUUUGGAGAACAUAGGUCAGUUAUGGACGGUUUUACAAUUAUAUUUGACGGCAACAUUAACAUAAUGUAACAGUGGGAUCAAUGGAGCGAUUAAUAUAGAGUUGAUGGACCGUUUGAACGAAUAAUUUAAUUGAGGGACCAAAACGUAAAUUGAGUAUAAGUUUGAGGACCAUUUGAGUAAUGUACCCUUCGCUUUUAUAUUUGUUGAACUUUUAUUUAUGGAUAGAUAUGCAUUUGAGGGUAAGACCCAUUAUGUUCCCCCUGACUUGGUGUAUCUUUUUAUGUUUAUUAAUGAAAUUCACUCGAACUGUUGAGUUUAGUAUGUAAGUUUUGCCUAACCGGCUUUUGAAUCCUAGAACCGCCACUGUUGCUCCAUCCUCCAUGCACUUGCAUGUGCUCUUACAAAGUGUGAAGUAGAUUUUGUGUGCUCCAAGUCAUUGACUAGAGCUGAAACAUGGUUAGCUAGAUUUAUAAGGACCCAUCUCUCUAUUUCCUAGACAUAUACCCAUCUCUCUAUAAAUCUAUAUGUAAAACUCAAUUUCAAACUUAAAUGACCAGUAAGAUAUAAGAGGUCAUAGUAUUCCUAUGUUUUUACAUCGUUGCCACCAGACUUCUUAUUUUAUUUAUAAUUUAUUUCAAGCAUUUCAUUAACUGCCAUAAUUGUAAUUAAUACUCCAUAUUAAUAGCAUAUCAAUCACCCCAUUUCUUUUGAUUGCCAUUCCCUCUAACAUAUCGCCCCUUAAAAUUGAAAACCAAAAAAAAAAAAAAUGUAAAUUACAUAUCCAAUAAUGUACCUAUGAAAAAUAUAAAUAUAAAUAUAUACGUAUAAAAAUAUAGGUUUAUUAUUUACCAAAUAAAAAAUAUAAAAAAACUAGGUCAGUUGCUUUGUAAUUGAAAUUUCUAUACAUUUUCCACAAAUUAAAAAUAGGUACACAAUAAUUUAUAGAAAAUAUAGGUGCAUUAUUUAUCCAUAGGUAAAAAUACCUAUAAAUGCACAUAGGUAAAUUAUUUACCCAUAUAUUAUUUUUUUGCUAAGGAUUUACCUUAGUUUUUAGUAGAUUAAUUUACCUACCUAGAGGCAUAGGUAGCUUAAAAAAAUUGUAGCACCUUAGUUGGUUGCAUACUAAUUUACCUACCUAGAGGCAUAGGUUGCUAAGAAAAAAUGUAGGUAAAUUCAUGUACCUAAACACAUAGGGGUCAAAUAGAGAAUAACAUGUUAUUUCCCUUCGAACAAAUUAAUUUCAAACCAUAACAAUAAUUGAAUUCGGAAAUUGGUAUAAAUAAAAGGAAAUAAAUAAGCUAUCAAUUUGAAAAUUAAAAUAAGAAAUGAUCAAGUAGUCAUAUUUGAAAAAAAAGAAAAGAAUAUAUUCUUGGUUUUUAUAGGAACAACGUGUAUAUUCAAACCAAAUGGCAGUAACUACACCAAGCUUUAAUUACUUUUUUUUAAGGCCAAAAGUCACUUUUGGUCUCUGUAGUUUGACACUUCUAUUACUUUUGACGCUGUAGUUUCAAUUCCGUCAAUUUUGCCAUUGUAGUUUCAUAUUUGUAGCAAUUCAAGGACAUGUUAAUAUUAAUGUCAAUUUGUUUAAUGAUGCAAGGGGUAAUUUCGUCAUCCCAAAAUCCUUGAGCAUAAAAGCUUGUCUGAAAUUCUCCCCAUUUCAUAUUAGGGCUCGAAAUUCAACCACUAAUCCCAAUUUUUGAAGAACCCUAUACCCAAAUGACCAAUUUCAAGCCCUAAUAACAAAUUAGGGAAGUUUUAGAUGAGCUUUUAUGCUCAAGGAUUUUGAGUUGAAGAAAUUGCCCCUUGCACUGUCAAAGAAAUUGAUAGGAAUACUGACUUGUCCUUGAAUUGCUACAAAUACAAAAAUACAGGGUCAAAAUUAACAGAAUUUAAACUAUAUGGUCAAAAGUGGUUAAAGUGCCAAACUACAAGGACCAAAAGUGACUUUUAGCCUUUUUGUUUAAAUAAGGAAAAAACUUACCUAUUAAAUCCUUGGAAUCUAUACAAAAUUGAAACACAGUUAAUCAGCAUUGAAUUGCAGCUAAUUUCUUAAACAAGGGUAUUAUAGGAAUUUAAAAAGUAUAACAUUUAAUCCAUUGAGCUUGAUUAGGAAUCUUGAUGAGUUGGAUCCUAGUUAUAUAGUUUCUCUUAUAAAAAUCGGGUUUUAUUUAUAGACAAAUAAAACAAUGGGUUGUAGGUAAGAAAAUAUUAAUUUGAAGGGAAAGUGUCACAUCCUGGGAUCGGCUCCGCCGUAGCACGAUAUUGUCCGCUUUGGGCCCCCCUCUCUGCCCGCACGGUUUUGUUUCUGGGAGCUCACGAGCAACUUCCCAGUGGGUCACCCAUCCUGGGAUUGCUCUGGCCCCCAACUCGCUUAACUUCGGAAUUCCUAUGACUCCGAAGCCAGUGAGCUCCCAAAAGGCCUCGUGCUAGAUGGAUGCGGGUGUGUACAUAUAAGACACAUCACCCCCUCUCCGUUGGUUGAUGUGGGAUCUUACAGAAAGAGUCAAAUUUACUAAAUUAAUAAAGCAUAAAUUGGAAAGGGAAAAGAUCUAGAGGAUGCAUUGUAGGAUUGCUCAUGCCAAUAAUUGCACCCUCUCGAUAUUGAAAAACCUAUUGUGUAUUAUUAUCUUCAAUCAUGAAUGAUGCACCUAAAACCCAAGUGUCCCAAGCCAACCAUUGCGCUCAUACCACUUGUUGCAGUACACAUUCACCCGUUUUUAAAGAAAGAAAUUCUACCAAUCGAUAUUGUCUCAAAUUUAAUCACAUAGGUCUAUUAUGGUUAACCAUAUGUACUUUUAUCGGCCAUAUAGAGGUACCUUUUUCCAACGUGCAACAAUUGUAUUUGAUUCACAAUUAUGUCUGAUAUACAUCACAUCAUGCCACUUGCCUCAAAUGAAUUUAAUUGAGUGAGGCAAUGGGAAGUAAUUAAGCUCUAUAUUGGUGGGUGGAGUGUUACUUCUGGAACCCUCAUCAUUCGUCCAUACAAGGGAACAAUUCCCUUCCUUCUAUAAAAUGGUGAAGCCAGUUGCUAUUGUUUGUUAGAGUUUUAGGAUCUGAGUGUUAGAUUUUGUGAGAAGAGAGAAGAGAAUUUAGUGAAAACUUCCAAUACUGCUCUGCUAUACGUGUAGCAGAGAGAACAUUCUGUUUUGUUAUAUAUUUUCAGUACAACAACACACACUUGGUGUGAGAAGAAAAAUGACUGUUAUGCACAGUACCAGCUGGAUGCUUUCCAUCAAAGUAAUCUCAGCCAUUCACUAUCUAACCAAUCAAGCUAUGACACCUGGACUAAGUAUAAAGAAAUACAACUAAGCAGAAAACAAGACUCUUAAUCCUGAAAUCAACUUAAGCACUUAUAAUUCAACACUCCCCUUUAAGUCUUGAGGUGAUUUCACUCCAAGCAUGCCUCUGAGAUAAUUGAAUCUGUCUUUGGCCAGAGGUUUGGUAAAAAUGUCAGCCAAUUGUUCAUUUGUAGGACAAUAUUCCAGAUUGAUUACCCCUUCUUGCAAUGCAUCCUUGAUGAAGUGAUACCUCCUGUCAAUAUGCUUUGUCUUCUGGUGGAAUACAGGGUUUUUAGUGAUUGCAAUUGCUGAGAUAUUAUCACAAUGCAAUGGAGUAGCUUCAGUUUGAAGCUCUCUAAAGUCUUCUAGCACAAAACGGAGCCAAAUAGCUUGAGUAGUAGCCUCAGCUGCACUGAUGUACUCAGCUUCUGCAGUAGACAGUGCAACACAGUUCUGUUUCACUGAGGCCCAAGAAAAUACUCCACUUCCAAAACUAAACGCAUACCCUGAUGUGCUCUUGCAAUCACCAACUGAUCCUCCCCAAUCACUGUCACAGUAACCAACUAGAAUUGAUCUUUUGCCUUUCACAUAUUCAAGACCAUAGUCCAGAGUUCCUUUGAUGUAUCUCAAAACCCUUUUAGCUGUUCCAUAGUGUCUAUUUGUAGGACAGUGCAUGAAUCUAGCUAGCAAGCUUGAGGCAUACAUGAUGUCUGGUCUUGUAGCAGUUAAGUACAGCAAGCUACCAACAAUGCUUCUGUAUUGUUCUUCAUUUGCAGCUCAACUCCCAUCAUCCUUAGCUAGUUUCUCAGUGGCAACAAGGGGUGUUGUCACAGGUUUGCACUCAGUCAAACCAAACUUGCUCAACAAGGUGCUAGCAUAUUUCUUUUGAUGUAGAAAUAUACUAGACUCAGUCUGAAUAACUCCCAUGCCAAGAAAGUGAUGAAGUAAGCCCAAAUCAGUCAUCUCAUACUUAGCCAUCAUGUCUUCUUUGAAUUCAGCCAACAAUGCUUGACUGCUCCCUGUAUACACAAUAUCGUCUACAUAGAUAGACACAAUUAGAAUCUCCUUAUCUCCCCUUACUUUGGUAUAUAAGGUUGUUUCACUUAAGCUUUUCACAAAACCACAUUGAGUGAAGUAGCUGUCUAUCUCUCCAUACCAAGCCCUUGGGGCUUGCUUCAGACCAUAAAGGGCUUUAUGCAAACGAUAAACCUUGUCUUCUUUACCUUUAAUUACAAAACCUUCAGGCUGACUGACAUAAACUUCCUCUUGCAGCACACCAUUAAGGAAAGCAGACUUCACAUCAAGCUGGAACAAUUUCCAAUCCUUUUGAGCAGCUAGAGCAAUAAGUGUUCUAAUGGUGUCCAAUCUGGCUAUAGGUGCAUAAGUCUCAUUAUAAUCCAGUCCAGGCUUCUGAGCAUACCCCUUAGCCACUAAUCUUGCUUUAUUCUUUUGCACUGAGCCAUCCAAAUUCAGCUUUGUCUUGUACACCCACUUAACUCCAAUCACUGGUUUUUCAGUUAGUCUAUCUACCAAUUCCCAUGUUUCAUUCUUUUCAAUCAUCUGCAGUUCAUCUUCCAUAGCCUUAAGCCAAGAUUCAUCCUGAGCAACAUCAGCAUAUUUUUCUGGUUCCAUGAUACACAAGUUACACUGAGCUAGAACAUCAUCUAGCCUUCUCCAUUUUAGAGGGGUGUGAUCAUAAGCUUGAGUUCUCCUUUCUUCACUGCUUAUAUCACCUGGAGUUGAUGAAAUGCUCUCUUGCAUAUCCAAAGUUUGAGGUGUACCAGUAGAAUUCUCAUUAGAACUGUCAGAUUUCAAGUCCAAAUCAACUUGGUUUUCAAUUGAGUAUGUUGUCAUAACUGAACCAUUUUUGUUUGUCCAAUGCCAAGCAUUUUCUUCAUCAAAUGUCACAUCCCUUGAUAGUAAAAGCUUGUUAGAAACAGGAUCAAAAACUCUAUAUCCUUUUUCACAAGUUGCAUAUCCCACAAACACUCCCUUUGUACUCUUAGGAUCCCGCUUGUGUCUCAAUUCAGUUGGCACAUGAACAUAACACAGAGAACCAAACACUUUCAGAUGUGCAAUUCCAGGCUUCCUUCCACUAUAUGCUUCGAAUGGAGUAAUGUUGUUGAGAGCUUUGGUAGGACAUCUGUUCAGCAAAUAGAUAGCUGUAUGCACAGCUUCUGCCCAUAGGAAAUAAGGCAUUCCCUUCUCAUGUAACAUUGAUUUUGCCAUCUCAAUGACAGUUCUAUUCUUCCUCUCAACUACUCCAUUCUGCUGAGGAGUAUAGGCCAUUGUAAGCUGCCUUUGAAUGCCAUUAGCUUCACAAAACUCCAAAAAAUCAGUAGACAUAAACUCUCCACCCCUGUCACUUCUUAUGCACUGAACCUUGUGUCCAGUUUGUAAUUCAGUCAUGGACUUGAACUUCUUGAAACAAAAGAAGGCUUUUGACUUGUUUCUCAAGAAGUAUACCCAAAUCAUUCUUGUGAAAUCAUCUAUAAUCAGCAUGAAAUAUCUGUUCCUUGCAACAGACUCAUUUCUCAUGGGACCACAGAGAUCCACAUGUAUUAGCACUAGUACUUUGCUUGCUCUUUGAGCUUGAUCUUUUGGAAAAACAUUUCUGUGCUGUUUUCCAAAUUGGCACCCGUCACACACACCACUUUGUUCUUCCAAUUUUGGUAAACCAUGUACCAUUUCUUUAUCACUUAGCUGCUUCAAUCCUCCAAAAUGCAGAUGACCAAAUCUCUUGUGCCAAAUCCAUGUGGAUUGAAGAAAACUAGUCUUCAUUAGUAACUGUUUUUCAGCUAGAAAAGAGACAGGAUAGCAUCUGUUACUCUUCAUUUGCACCUUUAUGAUGAGAUAAUCCAUGGAUGGGCUAUCAAAUACCCUGCACAUCCCUUCUCCAAACACUAGACAGUACCCAUGUUCAUCCAUCUGCCCAACACUUAGCAGAUUUUCUUUCAAUCCUGGCAGAUACAUUACUUCUCUGAUGUAUUUCCUGCCCUUUGCUGUAUCAAUACUCAGUGAGCCAAUACCAGCUACACUCACUAAUGCACCAGUUGGCAUUUGUACUCUCCCAGCUACAUUAGUUCUCACAUCAACCAGCAAAUCUAAAUUUCCUGUCAUAUGAUUGCUGCAGCCACUGUCAAUGUACCAUUCAUUGGUUUUGAUCUCAGUGGUUGAGCAAUUGGCAUAAAACAGGUUUCCUGUAACCUCCAUUUGAUUUACACAAUUAGCCUUCUGCACAUUUUUGCUCACUGUACAGUCUCUAGCAAGAUGUCCAACUCUGUCACAGUUAUAGCAUUUUGGUUUUCCCUUAUACCUGCACUCACCAAAAUGAUGCUUUGAACACACCUUGCAUUGAGGCUUUGUGUUUUCCUGAUUUGAGAACUGUGUUGAAGUGUGGUUCUGUGCAGAAUAAUUAUUCUGCUGUGUCUUGUCUUUUGCCUCCCAUGACUUCCCUUUAGAGUUCCAGCUUCUCUGUGACUUAGAUGAACCAGACUGAGAAGCAUUUUUGUUCUGACCCUUUGAAUUCACAGUGAAUGAGGCAAAUGCCUUCUCAGCUGUAUCAACACUAUGCAUUUCAAGCCUUUGCUCCCGACUCUUCAAAAUGGCAGUUACUUCCUGCAAAUCCACAGUUUCUAGUGUCUUUGUGUUUUCAAUCACAAUGCAUAUAGGGUCAUACUUCUUACUUAGACUAAUUAACACCUUCUGAACCUACCUCUCAUUUGACAGAACUUCACCAAAUGUUUUCAUUUGGUUAAUCAAUUCAGUUAGUCUAGUAAGAUAUUCAGAUAAGGUUUCACUAUCACGCAUCCUACUGUAUUCAAACUCACGUCUAAGGUUUUGAAGCUUUACCGAUCUAACAUGCUCUCCACCAUGAUAUUCUGAGUACAGCAGAUUCCAAGCCAUCUUUGCAGAGUCAGCAUUGGCAAUUCUGGGAAAAAUCUGAUCAGAAACAGCAUUUUGAAUGAUACCCAAGGCCUUCGCAUCCUUCAUGAGAAUCGCAGCUGUUUUCUCAUCAACUUCUUCUUCUGAACCAUCCUCAGAUUCCUGCUUCGUCUUUGAAUCUGGGAUUAAAAACCCCUUCUCUACCAAACCCCAUAAACCAUAUGAUCUGAAUAUGGUUACCAUCUUAAUCCUCCAAAAUUCAUAGUUCUCACCUGAGAAAAUGGGGAUUCUAGCCUCUGAACUUCCAGAUCCAGCCAUUACGAAUUUCAGAUUCGCCUGGAAACAAGAUGUUUUCAGAUUUGACCCUUGAUCGAGCUCAAUCAGCUUCGUGAGCUUAGAAUGAGCUCACCUCGAUCGAUUUUCUUCACAGAACAACGCCCAGCUUCAGAUAAUCAAACUUGGCUCUGAGGCCAUGUUAGAGUUUUAGGAUCUGAGUGUUAGAUAUUGUGAGAAGAGAGAAGAGAAUUUAGUGAAAAUUUCCAAUACUGCUCUGCUAUACGUGUAGCAGAGAGAACAUUCUCUUUUGCUAUAUAUUUUCAGUACAACAACACACACUUGGUGUGAGAAGAAAAAUGACUGUUAUGCACAGUACCAGCUGGAUGCUUUCCAUCAAAGUAAUCUCAGCCAUUCACUAUCUAACCAAUCAAGCUAUGACACCUGGACUAAGUAUAAAGAAAUACAACUAAGCAGAAAACAAGACUCUUAAUCCUGAAAUCAACUUAAGCACUUAUAAUUCAACAUUGUUACCAUAAGAGCCAGCUCCGACUUUCUUUAAUUUCAGUCCUAACGGGGUUUCAUCUUCCACUCAUCUUUGCUCUUCUCAGUGUAAGCUCUGCAAUUUGAUUAACUUUCCCAUUAUCUCUCACUGUACUCUAUAUAAAGGAAUAAGUGUCGUCCACUAAUUAAUUACACUUUGUGAGAUUUGAUUUUAAUUAGAGUUCGAAUUGAUGUUGCAGCUAGCAGCGGUGGCACUGGCAAACCAUGCUGCUCAACCAGCACCUCAACUUUACUGGAACUCCGUCCUGCCAAACACACAAAUGCCAAGAGCUAUCAGUGAACUUCUGCAUCCUGGUUUGUGUUGAAUAAAUAUAGUAUGUUACUGGAGUACGUAUGGCAACAUAUUCACAAAUGUGUCACGUAUUUUCCAAUAUGACGUUGAUAUAUAAUUGCAGACUCCACAAACGAAGAAAAGAGCACAAAUGUCAUGAAUGCUGUUGGGAAUGGAAAGCCAAUUGACCACAAGGGCAACCUGAAAAUACUGUACUACCACAGCUUGCACGACGCCCAUUUUCUUACAAGAGUGAUGAUCGUCCCACUGACAAUCAACUCCAUUAUAAAAACGUAGCUAUUUUCUUCUUGGAGAAGGACAUGCGCCCUGGCACAACAAUGAGCUUCCAAUUCCCUAGAAAUUCAAACACGGCUACUUUCCUGCCACCAGAAAGAGCUCAAUCGAUCCCCUUCUCCUCUAACAAACUACCAGAAAUUUUCAACCAUUUUUCAGUGAAGCCAACAUCUGUGGAAGCCAAAACAAUUAAGCAAACAAUCGAAGAGUGUGAGGCUCCAGGCAUUAAGGGAGAGGAAAUAUAUUGCGCCACAUCUUUAGAAUCAAUGGUUGAUUUUAGCACUUCGAAUUUUCGAACAAGAAACGUUCAAGCAAUCUCGACAGAGGUAUUGGAAAAAGGUGCCACCAUGUCCAUGCACAAGCAUACAACAAUGCCGGGACUGAAGAAGUUGGCAGGUGACAAAGUCGUUGUGUGUCAUAAGCAGAACUAUCCCUAUGCUGUGUUUUACUGCCAUGUAAUAAAACCAACAGCAGCUUAUGUUCUCUCCCUGAAAGGCGAUGAUGGGGUGAAGAUUAAAGCAGUAGCCAUCUGCCAUCUAGACACAUCAGAAUGGAACCCAAAGCAUUUGGCCUUCCAAAUCCUCAAAGUUAAGCCCGGAACAAUUCCCAUCUGCCAUUUCCUUCCCACUGAUCAUAGUGUCUGGGUUCCGAACCACAAAUCUGCAUGAUCAUCACUUAGCACUGUACGUAUAAUAAGCUUGCACCCCUGUAUAAUUAUCUCCCUACUCUACUUAUUUCUGCCUCUUCAUGUGGUGUAAGAUAUAUGAUGAGAUGAAGUUUUUGGGAUUAGUGGUCGGGUUGCCUUAAAAACACAGAUUACAGAAACUGCUUGAACUUAACCCGAUCAUGUUUUCUCUUGUACUCGUAAAGCAUGCUGUUGUGGUUCUACUUAAUUUCGUUCUCCCCAAUGUUUGAGUGUUUAAUUGUUACGUUGGAUAAUGCUUGUAGUUAGAGAAGCCUUCAUUUAUAUCAAAGUCCUCAACUUGUAAAGAUAUCAAUGGUCCUAGUGCUGCCACGUGUAAGAAGAUUGAAGAAUAAAGCUGUUGAGAUAUUGUUAGACCUGUUAUGCAGUUUAGGAAAACUGUUAGUAUUGAUAAGAGAAGGUUAGAGAUGUUAGAGAGGUUAGAAAACACGUGAACAAGGCUUUAACUCAGCUGAUAUAAAGUCUGUAGUUGUGCUCAGUUGAACUUAAUGAGAAAUACAACAAGUCUCUUCUCUAUCUCUGAAAUUCUCUCUGCUCUCUCUGCUUUACUUCUUUUGUCUCUGCUCUACAUUUUUUUUCAAUCUUCCUAUCUUAACAAAACUAUCAAGAAUUAAUGCAUCCAGAAACAUAUAUACCAAGACGCAAAACAACAUAUUUUUCAUGCUCUGUCUGUAACACCAAAGCAAACUUCCUUUAUCACAAAAGGAUCAAAUUCCAGUACUAAUCUAAUCCAUCAUGUAAAGCAUACAAUCUACAAGUGCCUCCCUUAAUUUGUCCAUUGGAUAUAUAUGUCACUUUUUGGUAAUUUGGUAUAGCAGCACCACGUAGUCUUGAAAUAGUAGUGCGGCUAUACCAAAUAUACCAUUUGCCCCUGCAUUUAACAGAAAAGUAAACAAAAUUGACGGUAGAACUAUUUGUCCUAACGAAACUGCAGUUGAAAGACCAUGAGAACGAUUUUGAAAAUUGAGGGACUCAAAUGAAAAUUGGGUCUAAGUUCAAGAACCAAUAAAACGAUUAACCCAUAGAUUUUGGAUCCAGUACCACAUCCCAAAGAGAAAACCACAAGUUUGCAAGCAAGUUUGUCCAUAAUAACACUACGUACAGUAUGGGCAGUGCGCUAGACUCAUCUCACUUUCUCAACCUAUCCUAUAGUUGUCUAAAAGAGUUUCUAAUUUAAUGUACUGAGAUUUACGAAAGAAAUAUCAGAGAAACAAUUUUCAGGCAAUAAAAAAAUGUCUUGGCAAGAAAAUGUACAAUUUGUUACAUAACUUAUUAAAUAUGAACAGUUGAAAGAAAAAAGAAUCUGGAUGAGGGAUUUGCAAAUUCCUAUGGCCCAAUUACCUUUUUUUCUUUGUUGUUUUUUUUUUUUUUUUUUUGGUUCUUUUGAUCCAGUAGCAUAUUCCAAAGAAUGAAAACCACAGGCAUGCAAUGCAAGCUCUUUUCCCACGUUUUCCUCUGUUUUUCUCCUAUCAUGGAAGUGAUUAAAACACACCUCUAAGCUUGUUUUGCGUUUGGUAGCCGAGUGUAAAAGCUCAAUGCAAGAUAGUUUGAGGUAGAAUUUUCUCCUAUUUUAUUAGGACAAUGAUAAUUAAAAAAAAGUGUGAUUCAUUGAAUAUUUGCGGGGUUUUGUUCAGACCUGACAAAGUUCUAAGUCAACACAUCAAAUUCCUUUUUCCAACAUGCAACAAUUGUAUUUGAUUCCCAAUUUUUUCUGAUAUACAUCACAUCAUGCCACUUGCAUCAAAUGAAUUUAAUUGAGUGAGGCAAUGGGAAGUAAUUAAGCUCUGUAUUCGUGGGUGGAGUGUUACUUCUGGAACCCUAAUAAUUCGUCCCUACAGGACUCUAGAACUCUCAAACUUCUUACAAGGACUACUUAACUCUAUAGCUUAAUGCAUAUAGCAUAUAUAUGCAAACACAAUUAGAAAUUCUACAACAGAAGCAAGAUCAAUCUCACUAUGCCUUCUAAACAAACAAACAAAUAAAACAAGCAUAUUAAUUGCUUUAAUCACUCUACUAACAUCAACACAGCACACUUAGUUUACUAACAGAUGAUAUAGAAAGGAAAAAAAAGGACCAAUAGGGAGAAAAUGGUGAACUAAGGAGAGACUAAUACUUCUGGUCCUUAGAAGGCAUAACAGAAAUAAUAGAGCACACUGCUUGAAUGCAAGUCAGUAUUAGGAGCAAAACAGCUGCAAUGAAAGAAAUAGUUGCCCAAGGUGUAUUGAAAUAAUGUUGCCUCAAAUUUGCCUUCCAUUUGUUCCAAGGCUUUCUGCAGUAGCUAUUAAGGCGCUCAGAAAGAAUAGCAAAGUAGAAGCUUUCACGAUACACUGCAAUUCCUUUUCCGAGGUUGUUAAUCAGAGUGCACACCUCAUUGUAGUCACCAAGCAUAUUUUUGACAAUCCCAUCCUUCAGAAGGAACUCCACAUCCUUUUCGGUGUUCACAAACUCAUCCAUGAGUGAAACAUAAUCACUUAUGUAAUUCUUACGGCAAUGGCACUAUUCAAAGGCAAUGAGGUUACGGAGUGUGAGCUCUGUGUAAUCGUGUAUUUUUAGUUUUGGAAUUUCUAGAAUCCCAUCGUUGAAUUGUGUUAACGCAGCUUUCCUUUCCUAGCCUACACGGAAGUCAACUUCACAAUCUCCUCCUAGCAAUUAGUCUUUCCUGCUGUAAAUCAGAUUUCCUACUGUAAAUCGGAUUGUAUUCAUGUCUAUAUUAUUUCCUACUUUAAGUAGAUAUCUUGUACUAGUAUAAAUAGGGACUUUGUGUAAUCUGUUAAAUACAAGGAAAUAUAUACUCUGCAUGGUAUCAGCCUAACCUAGGGUUCUCUCUCUCUCCCUUAUUCGAUCCUCUUCUCCUUUAGGUCCACCUCAUGGCUUUGUCUGAAUCCACCAUCUCCCUCCCAAGCCCCAACUCUUCUAUUUUAUCAAGCUUAUUGACUCCAACUAUCUUCUUUGGCUCCGCCAACUCAAACCCUUUUUAGUCGGCCAUGACCUCUGGAAAUUUAUCGAUGGCAUUCAUAAACAACCUUCUGCCCACACCUCCACCUCUACCACCGCAACACCCACAACCACCACCACUCUUACCCAAAUCAAUCAUGCCCAUGCUCAGUGGUACCAACAAGACCAACUCAUUGUUAGCUACAUCACCAAUACACUCUCUGAGUCCAUUCUCUUUCUCACUGUUGGUUGCACCUCUGCCCGGGAUCUCUGGGAGUGUCUCCAACGCCACUUCUCUCAAUCCAGUAUGGCCAGUGAAUCUACUCUUCGUUUUAAACUCAUGGAUUUGCAAAAAGGCUCUGAACCCACUUAUGCUUACAUUCGUCAUGCUAAGUCCUUUGCCGAUUCACUGGCUGCCAUCAAUGAACCUGUCUCCCCAAAAGAACUUGUCACUACUGUGCUUUGGGGUUUAAGACCCUAUUGCAACAUCCUCGUCACAGCAAUUCUCAAUUUCCCUCUGCUUCCUAACUUUGCUAAUCUUCGUGCUCGUUUGUUAGCAUUUGACGCACAGACUCCUUGAAUCUCUCCUGAUCAAAACACAGCGCAAAUGGCCACCCAAUCCUCUCCUCACACCACCGGUCAUACUUCCUUCCCUUCUCACCGUGGUGGUGGCUCUUCCAACAACAGGCGUGGUGGCCUCGGUGGCUGGCGCAAUAGCGGCCGGGGUGGCUGGCGCAGCUUCUCAUCUUCCUGGAGCAACCCGUGGAAUGGCUUCCAGCAGCUCCAAUGACCUAAUCAACCAUGGCCUCCUUUUGCUCCAAGUUCUGGAUCUCAAAGCAACUGGCCUUCCUUUCAGCCUCCUUGGGCCUAAUCUGCCGCUUCUAUCAAACACUUUGCCCGGCCCAACUCAGCUCCUGGUGUCUUGGGACCCGCUUGGUGCACUACCUGCAAUACCAAUCACAUACUACUACAAUAUGUCCUCAUCGCUACAAUGGCCCAGAAUCCUUUCUUUGCUAGGGCUCAAUUCAUGUAGCCACCUGACUCUACUUGGUACCCUGACACAAGUACCACUCAUCAUAUGAUUGGUAGUCCUUCUAAUCUCCAAAAUCAAUCCUUCUAAUCUCCAAAAUCAACAGCCAUAUCAGGUUCAUAAUUCUGUAUUUCUUGGUAAUGGAGAUUCUCUCCCUAUCUCUCAUACUAGCUCUCUCUUUUGUCUUCCAUCUCUUCGUACUAAUCUUCUUUUUGUUGCCCAUUUUACUUGUGAUAAUUUAGUUUUCUUUGUCUUUACUCUUGACUUUUAUCAAAUCUAUGACUUAUGUACUGGUUCGUUACUCUUUCAGGGCCCUUCUAAAGAUGGUCUUUACCCACUUUCCAUCUCCUCUCACUCAUCCAUAGUCCCCCAUGCCCUUACCACCGUGCACUCUCCUGCUUGGCAUCAUUGCCUUGGCCAUCCAUUCCAUCGUGUGCUCUCUCAUUUAGCGCCAUCUCUAGGCUUUAAAGUUUCUCAUGCUUUCUGUAAGGAUUGUGCACUUAGCAAAUCCACCAAACUGUCAUUUCUUAGUAAUAAAACCUUUGCCCCAUCUCCCUUUUAUUUAAUUCACUCUGAUGUAUGGAUGUCCUCGGUCAUUUCUGUCACUGGUUAUCGCUAUUAUGUCUUGUUUACAGAUGACUUUUCUCGUUACUCCUGGAUCUAUCAUAUGCACCGUAAAAAUGAGGUCUUUUCUCACUUUCAAACCUUUCUUGCUAUGGUUAAAAAUCAAUUUCACACCACUGUACAAAUUCUUUAAAGUGACAAUGGCACUGAAUAUGUUAAUAAUGCUUUCUCUGAUCUUUGCAGUCAACUAGGCAUCCACCAACGUUUCACAUGUCCCCACACUCCCCAACAAAAUGGCCUAGCUGAACAUAAACACAGACACAUUGCCACCAUGAUCUGUCCCCGGUCAUUUAUUCAACCAUCUUGACCUUUUGCUUGAUCAUUUUCCACAAGCAACCGUCCACGUACCCCAAUAAUUUAAAAGGGCUGAUGAUCUUUAAUUUGGUGAAAGCUUCUAUCUACCUACCGUGCUAUAUAUGAGCUAUGCAAUCGUGACCGUGUUACAUGACGUCCCAAUGUCGUAGGGAUAAAAAAAUAAUAGUCAUGGUUUUCUUAUUAAUGUCAAUACAUUCAUAGCAAAGAGCUUGUAGCUCUAGUGGUUAAGAGCAAUUACCCAUGCACUUGAGAUAUUUUGUGUUUAAAUCCCCUCUUCCCCAAUAUUUCUUGUAUAAAAAUAAAAAUAACAAUAAUAAUGACAUUAAUGUUGUAUUCUAUAAAGUGUUGGACAUGUUUUAUACCCCUUUCUUGCAAAUUACAGUUUGCCACGUGUACAAAAAUAAUAGAUAAGUGUUGGACAUCAAGAGCACUUACAUAUAGGUUUAAUAGGUAAGUUUUGAAUAUUUCUGUAUUUAGCUUUAAAUAUUGAAAAUCAACCUAUUAGCAUAUUAAAGAUUUGUCCAUAUUCGACGUACAUUCUCUUAUUUUUCUCUCAUUGAAGUAAAUACAAAACUAAGCACAUAGUGGGAAAGUGCGUCACGAUUAGGGGUGGGUUUAGUCUAGGUUGGUUCAUUUUUGGGCUCAAUUUGAACACCGAACUGUAAGCUUCGGUUUGGCUAUUUUGGAAACCGAAACCAAACCAUAAUUGAUGAAAACCGACCACUUCGAUUACCUUCUGGUCUUCCAACCAGAAGAAAACUCAAAACUUUAACCAUACCAAGUGCAACAGAAUUACACCAGGCUGGAUUCAAGUUUAUGAUGGUUAAAGAUAAAAACUUAUUUGACAUACAAUUUGAGAAUGGAAUCCUCAAAAUUCCACACCUGCGAAUACGGGGUUUAACAGAAAUUUUCUUCCGCAAUCUUAUUGCCUAUGAGCAGUGUGAGCUUCAUGAUCAUUACAUCAACGACUAUGUCUUCAUCAUGGACCGCCUGGUCGACAGUGCCAGGGAUGUGGAAUUGCUUGUGAAGAGUGGAAUUCUUGAAUCUAUGCUACCGGACAGCGAGGCAGCAGGGGAAUUUAUUAAUUCUCUUGACUUGGGGCCUAUUUUAGGCAAGCUUGAAACAAGACUAUUUCAGUUCACCAUGGGCUGGCCUGUCUAUUAUUGUAGCCGCUAUACUAGUUGUGCUCACAUUUAUUCAAACAGUGUGCUCCGUAAUGGCGCUGUAGGUUCUUCAUUUCCUCAAUUUCAUGUUUAGUGGUUGCAGAUUUGUUGCUCAUGUACGUGUUUAUCUAAAGUUAAAUAAGAGUGAUUGACUGGAUUGACUGUUAGUCUGUUAGUUUGUUUUUCUGGGGUUUUUCCCCCCUGUUCGUCAAAAAAAAAAAUAAAAGAGUGAUGGCUUGUGCCUAUGAAAAUUACUUAGGAGUAUGCUCCACAGAGCCAAAAUAAAUAAACUAGGGAAGUGGAGGUUCUUCUGUUUGUAUAUAAAUGAGCAAUUCAAACUCUCAGUGCCAAGGGAGUUACCCUUGAUACAUUUGUUAAAAAUUAUAUAUUUGGUCUUACAUCAAACAAAUAAUUUGAAGGGCUUUUUUGACAACUGCUGACAGCGUUUGGCAGAAAAGUUUAGAAGCGCUUCUACGCUUCUAGAUCAUAAAAGUGCUUUACCAAAAAGCACUUAGAUUUCUUAUGAAAAUUUCAACAUUUUUAUAAUAAAAGCGCUUGCUAGAAGCACUUAUAAGCAGAAGUGCUUCAUAGAGAAGCAGUCCCAAACGAGCUUGAUUUUCAAAUGUGCUGCUUAAGAAGAAAUUUAAUACGUUUUGAAAACAAAAAAAAAUACGAAAUUUAAUACGUUUGUUUUACAAAUUGUAUUAAUUGUUAUCAAUAAUACUUGUGCACACCCACAACAUACUUCUUUCUUUCUUUAUUUUCCUUCAGUACAGUUCUGCCUUUCUUUAAUUAUUUUUAACGAAUGCAAAGAGUUUGUCACAAAAUCAAGGAUUGAAAAAAAAAGAGAGUAAAUUAUGUGCUAGAGAAACUUUCCUGCAGAAAUUGAAGAACAACUCUAGUUUCUCUCUUUCGCCUUGUACUCCCGCACUGAGGUUAGUAUUGUUAUAAUGUGCAGAUUAUACGGUCACUCUUGUAUAAUGGCGAGAAGGCUCUAAUUAUAUUUUUGAACCUCUUUGACAGGACCCGCCCCGAAUUUCCCGAAACCCAAGACGAAUUCUGUGGAAAUUCCCUACAUCACCCCGAUGUUGGGCCCACUUCUAAAACUAUAUCAUUUUUCCUAAAAAGGAAUAAGGGCACGAGACUUUCUACCGAAAUUUCGGCAGAGUCUCUCCUGUAAAUUGAACAUUUCCCAAAAUUUCAACCUGCAUAAAACACAUUUUAUAUUACCCAACUGGCAGCAUGCACAAAAUAAUAACAUGCAAUUCACAUAAACGGCCUCUGGCCCUCCGGUAAUUCAGAGCAAUGCAAACUAGCAACUCUAAACCUAAUAAAACAACAUAAGUAACAUUUAGCCAGCGGCUGCACCCAGGCACUACCCUAGGCUACCUACGUACCCUUACUAAGGGAUCAAGCCACACGUAGUUCUUUCAUACAAAAUUUCCAAAUCCAUCAACAUGCAAUCAAUUACAGAAUCCCAAACAAAAUCUUUCUCAAACAUCAUUAGUUCCCAACUCAGUAUAAUAAUCCUUAAUUCAUCUCUGUAAUAAUCACAAUAUCUCCCCAUACGCCGGAACUACCAACACCACGUAUGGAGCCUGCCUGUACGCCAGAUAACCAACGACACGUGGGACCUCAUCAUCAUAUCACAUAAUCUCCCCAUACGCCGAAACUACCAACACCACGUAUGGGGUCUGUCAACACGCCGGAUAACCUACGACGUGUGACCUCAACAUCAAAUCACAAUAUCUCCCCAUACACCGGAACUACCUACGCCACGUAUGGGGUCUGUCCACAUGCCGGAUAACCUACGACACGUGGGACCUCAUCAUCAUAUCACAUAAUAUAUUAACGAUCAAGAAAUAUCACUACGGUCAUUUAAUCCUCCUGGGAAGGUAAAACUAUCUCAGGAGACUCACGGUCAACCAAGGGUCAAACUACCUCAUACUUGGACAAACGAGCCCACGGAGCCCACAACCUCCGUUUUACUAUCCAAGAGUUCCUAUAGGUUCUACAAGGUUUAGGAUACACGGCUUGCAAGUUUGGUCAAGAUCAGACGGUCGGAUCGCUCACGAUAGGACGGUUACUGCAAACCUAGCCCUAGGGUUGGCAUUUUCGGAGUAUCCGAAACUCCGUUUUACGAUCUGUCGAAUCAUAGACGAUCCUAAGGAUUUGCAGACUAACUAUAAUAAAUUCAAGACCAUCCAACGGUCUAAACCUAUCGAACCCGGAUAACGCGCAAUAGGCAAUAUCCAAAUUGAAAUCCGAGCACACCUACGCACUCGUGAGGACUAGGAGAUUACAUCGGGACAUAGUGCCCUUUUUCUACAGUGCCCAUGAGCCGCCGCACGCACCAGCAACGCGUGGGUGCCCAAAGCGAUUAUGCAUCGCCAAAAAAUCUCAAAACCACGGCUCAAGACUCCUACCCUAGGUAUAACACCCUAUUUGGAACCACUUUUGUUCUUGGACCUACCCCAAAAACUGAUCAGAAGUGGCCGGAAUGGCUGAAAUGUAAUUCAAAAAUCAAGCUACCAACGCUCAAAAUCGAUGCAAUCCUACCCAACCAUCAACUAGAUUAUGAAGAAUGGAUAAAUUUCCAUACCUUGAUCGCCAACAAUGGCGGCCGGAGGAGAGAGAUCUGAUCCGGCGAAGUUCGAGUGAAAACGGCCAAAAAUCAUCUUUUUCAGGCGGCUGGAGGGCGACCGAUGUCAGGGAAGGGCAGGGUCGUGACGCUAAGGCUGAGCCUGUCCUUUUGGCACCGGUCCCUUCCGCAGCCGUGUCCGGUGGCUGGAGUUUCGAAGAGAGAGAGAGAGAGAGAGAGAGAGAGAGAGAGAGAAAUCUGAUUUUUAUCAAACCUUUUUGCCAAAAUUACGGUUAUGCCACUGAGGGUAUUUUGAUAGUAUCUCUCUCGUUACAACUUCGAUUCGAGCCCACCACGUGUGUACGGACUCAUCUAACUGUGUUGUACGCAACGGUAUAGUCGAAAUUCCCAAAUUAUUUCCUUGUCAAAAAGUCAACUUUAAACAUUAUAAAAUAUUUUAGGGAAAAAAUGGUAUUUUCUCUCAAUAAAUUAGUAACUAAUUUAUUUAGGACUGGGUCAUUAUACUCUUUUUCGCUUCAAUGGAUGGGAAAAAAUUUUAUGUAAUAUCCCACAUCGACCAACGAAGAGGGGGCGAUGUGUCUUAUAUGUACAUGCCCGCCUCCAUCUAGCAUAAGGCCUUUUGGAAGCUCACUGGCUUCAGAGUCAUGGGAACUCCGAAGUUAAGCGAGUUGGGGGCUAGAGCAAUCCCAGGAUGAGUAACCCACUGGGAAGUUGCUCGUGAGCUUCGAGAAACAAAACCGUGAGGGCAGAGAGAGGGGCCCAAAGCGGACAAUAAGGCCUCGUGCUAGAUGGAGGCGGGCAUGUACAUAUAAGGCACAUCACUCUCUCUCCGUUGGUCGAUGUGGAAUGUUAGAAUGGAAUUGUUACCUUUGGUGUGGAGGUGUUCUAUCAUUUGAGCAAGAAAUUCCCACAUAUUCUUCAACUAUUUUUCAAGCAUGCAUAUUCCUCCCUAUCAAUCUUUGGUUUCUUCCUUUACUGUGCAUAGUAAGGAUCCAGUCAGGGACGGACCGUCGCUAUGACUAUCCUGGGCUAUAGCCCAGGCAAAUUAUUUUUUUUUCUAGUCUAAAAUAGCAAUCCCACCGCUUGCUGUAGUACUUGUUCAGUUCGUCACAAACAUGAGCAUAAUAGAAGUUAUCAACAUCUAUAUAGGAACCCCAAUGAAAAGGCUGUUAACUAAUAAUGAAGUUAACCCGUCAAUUUUUCCGCAUAUCAGAUAUCUCUCAGAAUAUGCGAUUCCAUAUUCAAUAAGCCACUCCACAUGCCCUGAGGUUUUCAUCAAACCACCCAUUAAGGAAACAUACUGACUCAUGUAAUUAUCAUUACUCAUCGGGUAAUGCAAUUGUUCAAAGGCAAGGACAUUUCUCAUUAUUUAUGUAGCGAACCCCAAUGGAAAUGGUGGGAUCUUCAGAACCCCAUCGGUGCUACUGAAUUGUAUGUCAAAUAUGUUUUCACCUUGUCACGCCUCAAACUUGACUCCAGCGUGCUGUAAUUCUGUCAAGCUGGGUAUGGAUGAUGGGAGUUUGAUGCAGGAGCAUAGGGGUGGAUCAAGAUAGAUAUUUACUAUUUAAUUAGUUAUUUCAUGAUAUAUUGUUAUUUUCUUAUUUAGGUAGUUUUAUGAUAUCUUUUAUUAUUUAUGUGUGAUUUUAUAAUUAAUUAGUAUACUUUUGGACCAAGUAGCCUUGGUGCUCAAGUCUUGUAAAGCCUAUAAAUAAGGCUAAUGUAAUAGUUGUAGAAUAGAUGUCGAUGAUUAAUAAAAUCGUUUAUUUGUGGCAUGGAUUUGCUACGAUAUAUGUGAGUUUGCACUAGCCCUAGAUUUCAGUGCUCGUGUAUGUGGUUGGUGACCUGUGUCCGGAUCCCGAUCCCCAUCAAUUGGUAUCAGAGCUAUGGCUCAAGAUCUGCUAUAUCGGGGAGGUUUUUGGAUGGAGGGUCGUUUUAACAACUACAACGACAUGGAGGAAAUUAGGAGGAUGCUACGGCAACUUAUGGAACACAUUGCUCGCAUUGAAGCUCGAACCCAGAUAGGUAAGAGUUCUGACGGGGAGGGAUGUGUGAACCCUUAUCUGAACCGAGUAGCUCGCAUCGACACUCUAAGCCGUGAGAGUCUCGACGGGGAGUACGAGGGAGAUAGCCCUUUUCAUUAUUGUGCUCCGCUGUGUGAGUCAAGUGAAGAGGGGCACGGUUAUUCUCAUUGUGUCUUUGAAGGUAUAAAUGAAUUUAGUAAUUUUGGUGCAUCUUGUUAUUCAUCAAAGUUAUUAAAUUUGGAUUUACCUCCAUUAUUUGAUCCUUGCAAUUGUGAAAAUUGCAAUAAAAAUUGUUUGGGUGUUCAAAGCAAUUUUGAUAAGCAAUUUAUUGACCAGAACAGUGAAGAGAUGAGAAUUGAGAAAACUUUCGAAGAUAUUAUUGAUUUUAUGGGCAUUAAUAUUUUCACUUGGAAGGUUGCCAAAAAUCUGGUUGAUUUUGUCAAUCGGUUGAAGAUUCUAGAGAGAAACAUUUGCAUUGCUAGAGGGAGUAAGAAGUCAAGAAUAACGAAAUAUUCCAAAUAUCUUUUUAUUUGGAAAGGAAGGUUUCAAUUGGAUGCUAAAAGAUCCAAAAUUAAUAUGCAGCAAUUGAAGAUUCUACUCGGAUUUUCCUUAAUCAAAGGCUUGAAUUCGAGGACGAAUUCUUUCCAACUAUGGGAGUCUGAUGCAGGAGCAUAGGGGUGGAUCAAGAUAGAUAUUUACUAUUUAAUUUGUUAUUUCAUGAUAUAUUGUUAUUUUCUUAUUUAGGUAGUUUUAUGAUAUCUUUUAUUAUUUAUGUGUGAUUUUAUAAUUAAUUAGUUUACUUUUGGACCAAGUAGCCUUGGUGCUCAAGUCUUGUAAAGCCUAUAAAUAAGGCUAAUGUAAUAGUUGUAGAAUAGAUGUCGAUGAUUAAUAAAAUCGUUUAUUUGUGGCAUGGAUUUGCUACAAUAUAUGUGAGUUUGCACUAACCCUUGAUUUCGGUGCUCGUGUAUGUGGUUGGUGACCUGUGUCCGGAUCCCGAUCCCCAUCAGAGUUCCCCUCCAGCUUUUGAUUCCAACGGUUGAUAGAGUUUAAAUAUUUUCCUGAAAAGAUCAAUAAUAUGUGCCACUGAUCUAAAAGUCUCCAAAUUGUCUUCCAAUUUGUCAACAGGCAAUAGAUGUUCGAAGAAACUGAAAGAAAUACAAAUUAUUGAAAGCCCCUCAGUAAUGCUGUUAUUGUCAGCAUUAGCAGGGAGUGUAAUUUUCUGUGGGUCGAAAAGAUCCUCGAGAAUGAAGAAUGGCAACUGAUUUUCAAGCAACCACGUAUCUGUCCAUGCAUCUUGCAACAUACCUGGUUUGUCAAAUAUGCGGUCAUUUUCGUCCCAAAAUUUGAAGUAGUCCUUCAAUAAGGGCUCAAUAACGAAGGCGGCGCCCACUAGAAUGAUUGUUACAAAUUCAUCACUGCUAAACUUGAUGGGUUCUCCAUAACAACGUCUCAAUCUUGCUUCGUGGUCCUUUAUUUUCUUAAUAUAAUCCUCCAAACUCACAUUGGUCCGACCUAUAAAAUCUUGCAGGUAUCUCUGUUUGUUCUCUUCCAAUACGACAUUCAAGCCUUCCUUUCCAUGGUGAAGUGGACCUAUAGAGACCGACUGCCUGAGGUGUGCAGAGCUUUUCAUUCACACAUACGUAGAUAAAAUGUCUGGGGGCUCAGAGAGUGAUGAAUGUGCAACAGCUAAUGGGAGGGUUUAUAUUCCUGAAGUAAGAAAUGAGGAAACACCAGCAGUUGGGAUGAAGUUUGACUCGCUUGACCUCGUUUACAAUUUCUAUAAUAGAUAUGCAUUCUUGGCUGGCUUUGGUAUUCGACUUCAUUCUAGCUUUUGGGGGAAAAAUAAGAAAGAGAUUUUGAGGAAAGAAUUUGUAUGUUGCAAACAAGGUGCAUACAAGAAGGAUGAAACUCGGGAGAGAAAAAGACAACGGGGAAUAAGUAGAUGCAAUUGCAAAGCAAAGAUUGUGGUUGUGAAGACAAAUGGGAGCAAGAAGUAUACCAUUUCUCUUUUUGCAGAGGGACACAAUCAUAAGAUGACACCCUCAGAAAGAAUGCAUUUAUUGAGAUCACACCGUCAUAUUUCAGAUUCUACAAAAGUACUCACAAAACAGUUGGGUUCAGUUAAUAUUCCCAUUCAUCAGAAGGUAAGUAUAUUCGAGGUGCAAUCCGGAGGAAUGGAUAAAAUCGGUUUUAUCAAAAAAGAUAUCUACAAUCUUGAAUGUAGUGUGAAUGGGAAGCUGAGGAACCACGAUGUUGAACUAGUGACCGAGUAUUUUAUGGCUGAACAGAAAAAAAAUGAGGCUUUUUAUUUCAAGAUUGAGGGAGAUGGGCAUGACAGGUUUAGUCGAUGUUUUUGGGCAGAUGCAACUUCUAGACGGGCGUAUGGGUUUUAUGGAGAUGUUGUUGUAUUCGAUACCACAUUCAACACGAAUCGAUACGACUUGACAUUUGCACCAAUGUUGGGAGUUAAUAACCAUGGUCAGACAAUUGUCUUAGCAUGCGCAUUUUUGAGCAAGGAAACGACUGAGUCGUUUGUUUGGAUGUUUGAGGAGUUUAAGAAAGCCAUGCCAGGUGGGGAACCUAAAACGAUCAUUACAGAUCAAGAUGCGGCAAUGGCCAUAGCGAUUUCAAUAGCCUUCCCGAGUACAUUUCAUCGACUUUGCAUAUGGCACAUCACAUCAAAGUUCUCUGUUAAGUUACCACGUGACGCUUAUAAGGAGUAUUGGCCUGAAUUUCAGAAAGCCAUAUGGGAUACUGACAAUAAGGAUGAGUUUGAUGCAAAAUGGAAUAUUGUGGUUAUAAAGGCUGGUUUGACUGACCAUCCAUGGCUAAGUUCAAUGUUUGAUUUAAGGGAAUCUUGGGUUCCAGCCUACGCACGACAAUUUUUUGCCGCUGGAAUGUCAAGCAGCCAAAGAGCGGAAGGUUCUCAUGGUUUUUUCAAGCAAUACAUAUCAAGGAGAAAUUCGUUGAUGGAUUUCAUAAUACGAUUUGAGAGGGCAUUUUCUCAUCAACGUGAAAAAGAGUUAGUUGCUGAUCACGUAGAUGCAUUUGAAGUGGCUCAAUGUCUUCUACCGAUGCCAAUGAACAAACAAAUGGCUACCUUGUACACAAGGACAAUGUUUCAAAAGUUUGAGCAAGAACUAAUACAAAGUACAGCAUGUUUCCUAGAGCUCAAAACAGAGGAUGCAUGUAAAGUUGUGUUCAACGUGAGCGAAAGGAAAAAUUGGGAAACAAGAGUGGCAGAAGUCGUAUAUGUCAAAGAUUCUGACCACGCAUCGUGUAGCUGCAAAAGAUUUGAAUUUGUUGGAAUUAUUUGCAAGCACAUCCUAGCAUUGUUCAGAAGGGACCAGAUUGAAUAUAUGCCCGAUAAAUAUAUUUUGAAGAGGUGGAAGAAAACUGCGAAAUGUGGAUUGGUGUCAGAUGCAAAUGGCAACGAAAUUAAAGACUGUGCAGAUCCUGGCCUUCUAAUAAAGCGGAGUACAAUGUCUCGACUUGCUUCAAAUGUGGUUGAGGAUGCAUUAAUGAGUGAAGAAGGAUGUGAGCUACUGUCAGAGACUCUAAAAAGUUUGCAGGUGAAGUUGAAGUUGCUGAAGGAUGGACCAAGUAAUAACGAAGUUGGAGGGUCCAGCUCUCAAACACAAUAUAUGAAAGACCCUAAGAGAGUGAGGUGCAAAGGAAGGUCGAAAGGAAUAACGGGAGCAAAGGAAAAGGCAAUGAAGCGAGGGAUUAGACACUGUCGGGAGUGUGGACACAUUGGUCAUGAUAGAAGACAAUGCCCAGCCUUGAACACACCGUAAGAUGCUACCACUAUUUGUAAUAAUAUCUAAAAUAUGAAAAGGUAAAAUUUUUAUGUGCUUGUGUUUGAUGUUUAUGCAGGACAUCACCGUCGAACAAUGACAAAUCAACUCCAAUACAUCGUAGUGACCCAUUAUUCGACGAUUUUGACAAGAUGCACAGACCAACUGAAUGAUUGAUAUUUGUAUUAGACGAAAUGUGGUUGUUAUGAAGAUUAAUGAUCAAGUGAAGUUUUAUAGAUUCAGUUUUUGAAUGUUAUUGUGUUUUUGUUCAUGUCCACCGAUGAGCUCUUACUAUGUCCACUGGUAAUUGAAAUGAAAAUUUUCUUGGUUUCAUUCUUCCAAGACAUUUGGAGACAUGUUAAUUUUACGUCUUCUCCCUAUUUAUAAAUUUUCAUAGACAUUUGAUCAAGUUUGAAAUUUGUAGUUAUGUGAAGAAGCAAUGACUCUUACCAUGUAAAAUGGGCAGUUUAGGGUGAAAUUUGUUUUAACAGAGAUUCAUUUUUCAAUUCCUCAGGGUAAUGCAGCAAUUACAGCAGCCAGCUGUUGUUUCCAUUACCAGUAAUCAUUUCCAGCAGCAGCCACUUUUUCCGACUGGUUAUUAGGGGCACGAUUUUGUACACUUUUGUAAGUGAAGGAUACUCGAAGCACUUUGUUGGAACAGAGCAAAUAGAAACCAGCGGGUAAAAAAAAAACAUAACAUUGCAGCUAAUUACAUUUCGAUACAUAGGUGAAAAAUAUUAAAGGGUACACUAACUUACAUAAAUACUCAUAAUUCCACACACAAAAGAACAUUUGAUUGCAAAACAUAUUAUGUGCUUCCUCAUAGCAAUACCACGAUCUCCCCAACCAACUGAACAACGGUAGCCACAAUCACUGGGUCGUACUCGUCAGCUUCUUCUUAGCAGGUCUCACAUGCUUAUGGCCACUCAUAUCCCUAGUGAUAUACACGAAAUAAAUCUUCAGCAAUAUUUGGAAUUUUAUUAUAUAUAAAUAAACCAUAAACCAUUCAGUAAACAAUGUAUAGCACAUGUUAUGUAACUUAUGACUCACGUGUCAGUUUUUUUUUUAACACAUUAGUACUCCAGCUCUUUAAUGUAAAUGGACAUGAUAAGGAGCAUUUACUGAUUCCCGGCUUUCUAUGAUAUUGACUGCUUCUUGAAUAAUAUUUCCAUAUUUGCAAAAUAUAAUGUUAGACAUUAUAACACAUGAUGACUUGCAAUACAUAGUCCCAAUAAUUAUAUAUCAAGCAAAUGAAACUGAUAUUUGUGUUAUUUUAAGUUAGAUAAUGACAUUAAGGGAGUAUAUGUGCAAUACCACGGUCACCCUCAACCAACUGAACAGCGGUAGCCGCAAUCACUUAGUCGUAUCGGUCGGCUUCUUCCGAGCAGCUUUGACGUGCUUAUGCUCAUUCAUGUCACCCCCAUCGUCUAGUAUCUCUCUCACAGCAUCAGGGGACACAUAGUUCCAAUCAUAACUUGUAUGAGUAGUUGCCGCAAAUGCUCGGAAUUUGUCGAAUCCUUCGUUGAAUGCCAACUCCAGUUCAGUAUGGUGCUCUUCGCAUCGCAUAUGGUUCAUCAAACAACCUUUGAUUUCAUCAUUCAUUACUGUAUCCAACUCCUCAGCUUUCAGCUUCCUGCUAUGACUCAGCUUCAAGUACUUGUUCUUUUGGGAUAACGCUUUGUUCACCCUAAUGUUAAGAUCAGCCAAAAUUGCCUCGUCUUCAACACAUUUCUCGUGCCAUGAAUUGAUCAGUCUGGAAUUAUAAUCCAGCUUGCCACUGACUGCAUGUAUUGCCUGUAAUGGAUCAUCGGAGUCCCCCUCACUCCCAAAUGAUGUUGAAAAAGGAAGGGGUCGGCGAGUACAAUGUGGAAAUAGAACCUGCCACUCCAAUUUGUCAUCUUCGAUUGUGUUGUUGGCGCCUGAAGAGGUUGACAUGCUUGAAUAAUCCUCUUUGUUUUGGGAGGAUGAGGAUUGCAUAUGCAAUUUCGUUUGAGAAAGGGAACAUAGGUUUAUAGACCAACAUACCAAAGCUUGUGUGUAGUCAACAUAUGUACUUUUUGGCGGGAAUUUUUUAAAAAUAGGUGUUAGGUUUUGCUUUUCAAGCAUGUCAACCUCACACUCUCCUGACACCACUGCUAGUGGUUGAAACAAAGUCAAUGGAAGUGACAUCUACUUAGUUAACUCAACCAAACUAGUUAGGAUUAAACUUAGAUUGUAUCAGACCAAAAAAUAAUUUCUACUUUGUCAACCAAAUAUUUUUUGGCGGGAACCCUUUUCUUGGUAUUACUAUCACCCCUUUCAUAUAAAAUCUCCUUCCACACAAAACUCACUCCUCCACCGAAUCUGUCUCCAUCUACCGAUACUCUCUCAAGCAAACAAACUCAUUCCCCCCAAAGAAUGAGCAUAAGCACAACCAAGUUUGAUGUGAGCAUAAUAAACACCCCUCCAAACAAAGACCGGCUUCGACACGCAAGUGAGUCACCGGACAAGCAAUGUCACAUUGCUAGACAGAAUGACCAUUUUGUUGGAAGUUUUGAGUCUGAAAGAGUUGUUGCUUUUUGGAAGGAGAGGCAUCUUCAACUUGGUGAUGAAAUCCAAAGGGCAAGGGCACGUUUGGAAUUUGUGGAAGGCCAAAUUGAAGAUGACAAAAGGCAGGCCAAUCUGGAUAGGGCGAAGUUGUAGCGCAUGAAGCGUAGACACAAACGACUUCGGAGUGUAGCUGUUCAAAAAUACAAGAACUCAUCUAAUGUAGUGGAGUCAAAGAAGCGUGUGAUGCAAGCUGGAUUCGACUACUUCCGAUCCUAUGCAAAACUCGUCGUACCCGGGUUUGAUUGGUCAUCUAUUACCGUUUCCGACGUCACCAAAUAUACUCAGCAAGGGAAGUAACCAUUUUGGUUCUCGUGUUUUAGCAGAGGCAAAUAAGUGGAAUUGGAAUUUUGGUUACACUCUGCUUCAAAGCUAUUUUGAUGCUAACUACUAUGGAAGAUUUAAACCUUAAUAUUUUGAUGUCUUUAAUUACGAAAACAGAAGAUGCAAAGAGCUCAUCUACUUCAGCCAUAUGUUGCUGCCAUGUCCAUUUGUUUUUGAUCACUUAUCAGAUUUGGACAUGGUUGCAUCAUAUGCAAUGUUGCCUUUAUUUAUUAUAUGUUAGGACAAGGUUUAUGGAAAAGCUUUUGUGAGUGCGUUUGUGACAAGGUUAUGGAAUUAUUAUGUACACUUUAUAUAUUGUUUUUUGUACUGGUUCAUUUCCUACUAUUUCUUGCUUUCUUUAUAUUUUAUGUUUGUGGAAUCCCUCUCAAAGUUAACAUAUACUGUGAAAAAAAUAUUAUGCAACUGAUUAUAUAAUCACUCAUAUAGACUAGGACAAAUAUUCACUAAGGGUUUUAAACUUGCUUCACUUGUGUGAUGUUAUUGACAAAAAGUAUGGCAUUAUUUAUGUGAUUUGACAUGAUUGAAAAUAUAUUACUGAUUCCCAAUGCGGCGUCAUAUGGACAACGUAUUGAAUACCUGUGACGUGUUAAUAACUCAAGGUGCAGUUGCAUGUGGACAACUUCUUGAAUACCUCUGACGUGUUGAAAACUCUAGGUGCAGUUGCAUGUGGACAACUUAUUGAAUACGAACUGACGUCUUCAAAGCUCUAGGCGUAGUUGCAAUGAUGGCUUCAAAGCAUGUGCAAUUAUUUUUUAUGUACAUUAUUAUAACAAAACAUAUUAUUGUAUAUAGUGAAACUAAAUAUUGUAUUAUUAGAAAUUAUAUUUCGAAUAUUAUCCGAAAUAUACGUGUUAACGUGAAUUUGGGUUAAGAGGAAAGUGAGUUAUGUACAAAUAAUUUUCAUUUUCUCAUUUUCCGGGCAUUUUUUGGAUUUUCGUAGAAUUUAUUACCUAUGUCCACAGAUUGUUGCACUAAAAAAGCCAAAAUAAUAGCAAGAGGACACCUGGAGCGAUCUCAGCCCGUCACUGAUGACUACUUGCACAAGUGUACGUCAGUCAACAUGGCCACACCCUCCCAUUUUACCCUAAAUUAUUAUUUUAUUACUUUUCCUUACAAAAAUCAGAACUAAUUACACACAAAAUAAAAAAAUUAUCCGAAAAUUGCUACGAACUCAUUGACACUCCAUCUCCGUUGCUGAAUUCUCCGAUUCAUUGUUACGUAUUUGUAAAAUUAAUUCCCAACAUUAACGGGAGAUGCUUGUUGAAGUAGGUUAUUCAAGUUGAAGUUAACAAACAUCAAUACUUAGGGUUAAGAGGAAAGUGAGUUAUGUAACACAAUUUGGAUUAUUUCAUUGCGAGACGAAUGAUUUAUAGGUUCUCCUAGUUUUAUGACGUCACAAGUAGGCCGGAGUAAUUUUUGGGGCAUUUUUACGAUUUUCCUACUAUUUUUUACCUAGUUUCAAAGAUUUUUGAACAAAAGAAUCCAAAAUGUAAAAGAAGAUGACACCUGGCGCGAUCUCAGCCCGUCACUUUUCACUACUUGCACAAGUGUACGUCAGUCAACAUGGCCACAUCCUCUCAUUUUACCCUAAAUUAUUAUUUUAUUACGUUUUGUCUUGGAAAAUUCAUAACUAAAUACACAAAAAUUCAAAAUUAUUUCUGAAAAUUGCUACGAACUCAUUGACACUCCAUCUCCGUUGCUGAAUUCUCCGAUUCAUUGUUACGCAUUUUUAAAAUUAAUUCCCAACAUUAACGGGAGAUGCUUGUUGAAGUAGGUUAUUCAAGUUGAAGUUAACAAACAUCAAUACUUAGGGUUAAGAGGAAAGUGAGUUAUGUAACACAAUUUGGAUUAUUUCAUUGUGAGACGAAUGAUUUAUAGGUUCUCCUAGUUUUAUGACGUCACAAGUAGGCCGGAGUAAUUUUUGGGCCAUUUUUACGAUUUUCCUACUAUUUAUUACCUAGUUUCAAAGAUUUUUGAACAAAAGAAUCCAAAAUUAACAAGAAUAUGACACCUGGCGCGAUCUCAGCCAGUCACUUUUGACUACUUGCACAAGUGUACGUUACCGAACAUGGCCACAUCCUCCCAUUUUACCCUAAAUUAUUAUUUUAUUACCUUUUUUCUUGGAAAAUUCAUAACUAAAUACACAAAAAUUAGAAAAACGAUCCGAAAAUUUCUACGAACUUAUUGCGAUUUCAUCUUCCUACUGCAUUCCCUGUUUAAUGGUUAUGCUACAUUAGUAUUUUAUUAUUAUUUAUCCACAAUUAUUAUAAUUAUUAUGAUAUUACUUUUUAGGCUGUCCAUUUGUUAAUUAUACCACAUCCAACUUGUUGAAAACAAUUUUAUUUUCCGUGCGAAUAGGCCAUUUGUAGUGCUUAUCGGUUUCUCUGUUCUUCAAUUUGUUAAUUUUUUUAUUUUUUAGGUUGAAGGGAUGUUUUGAAACAUAAUAUGGAAAUAUACAAGUCAUCCAUUGUACUCCUUCCACACAAAAAAAUAGUCUACGUCAUUCACUGUUCAACACCCUAGGUUAAGACACGUGUAACCAAAUCCGUUCGGAUAUGCUAAGUGGGAAAAUGUCAUUCCCAAGCACUGGUGAAAAGACACUUAUUUACUCCAUGCAUGACUUUUGGUUUACCAAAUAUGAAGAUUGGGGUCGGUGAGCAAAAUAUCUGUGUCAGUAAAAUGUCAUUCCUAGCCAUCUAUGAUGUAAGUAAUAAUUCCGCUAUAUAAUAAAUAUUAUACAUUUAUAUAUAAAACGGUUUAUGACAAAAUACCAACAUUUGAACAACAUUUAAACUGAGAUAGGUAUAACGUAGCCAGCCAACCUAGAAGUGAAGAGAAGCAAGUCCACAAUGCAUCAAAACUGUAAAUUCGUACUAAAACUAAUGCAAAAAUACGUGAUUCCCUCGCACAACUUACUCACGCAGGAUUUUGCACCAAAAAAUACUCUCACGGUGCCAUUUGCAUCGGUUGCAGCAAGUCCAAAACGCAGGAUUUAUCUUGUCUUCACUAGGCCACCCUGGAAUAACAAAAUACCAUUCAUUGUUGUUACAAGCGCUGCACCGAUUGAACUUAAUCUUCCCAUAGUCAAACAUAUCUACGAUAUGUCUUGCAACAAAUGCUCCGCGACAUCUUCCUGUUAAAGCAUCCCUGGUUCCUUUCAUAUCAAUGUUGUUACGUUGAUUCAAAGAACACAAGAAUUGUAAUGCAUCCUCUUUUGACUGACCAAUUCCGGACAUACCAAGUAGUCCAACUACAUAUGCCGCUUCCAUAUGGCCUGCCGUGGCUGCAAUGCGCAUCCCAUACAACGCUUCCACCUUACCGUCUGUGAAAAAACCUUCGAAUGCUUCUCUAAAUAUGGACUCAGGGUUAUCGCAAGCCCUGCAUUGUUGCAAGAAAUGCUGGACUGCAGGUUUGGCACGGUAGCAGAUAGGAUGGUGUGGGUACUUUGCCAUUGAAAUGGUGUUCCACACUUGUGGACUGUUUGCCAAAAUGUUGAACAAUCGGCACACACAUGCCAUACGGAAGAGAUCUUCCGAUGAUUCGGUUGCCACGUAUAACAUCACUUGAAACCAAGCGGACUCCGGGAUAAAGGCUUCGGGCAUAUCGAAAUGGAGAUGCUUCCUUCUCUUUCCUCCGACUGUAGUGAAGUGUUUCGAAUUCAUUGAAAAGUUUUUGGAAUGGAACGAUUUGAGGAGUGGCAGAGGGGAUAAAUGAUAAUAUUUGGGGUACACGUUCUACUUCCGAGCCUCUGUUUAUAGUGUUUUGAAAAGGUGUUUCCAGUUGGGGUUUUUCCAAGUUGACCCUUUUGAAAGAAACUGAAUCCAAGUGAAUUAAAACUUAAGACAAAAGAAGGGAAAACGUCAUAACGGUGCAUACAGAGUCAGACAGUUAAAAAGUUAAUUAAAUGGCUAUUUGCAUAGCCAUUUUUGGGUUUAUCCCACUAUCAAAUUCAUUGAUACAAAUGUGAUGGAUUACUGACUAGUGACAGAAGGUCCCAUCAUAUACUUUUUCAUUUUCGCACACCCAACUAUCCCUAGUAAUGUUAUUAAAAUGGAACCAAUAAUGACGGAUUCUUAUCCAACUAGUUGCCUUAAUGAAAUAUAAAUAAAUUAAUAAAAUUGAAGCAGUGUCCCGUCAUUAGUCAGAAAAUAUAUUUGGUAGUGAAGUAGUUUCUAUUGCUUUUCGGGCUAAAAGAUGUCACAAUGCUGACGGUACAGGUGUCGACAUCGUGACCAACCCACCAAAUGAUCCCAAAAAAAAGUAAUAUAACUCGAUUUGGGCAGAGAUGAGAGAGAGCUGAGUGACAAGUUUAGGGUUAUGAGUGAAGGGGUAUGAAUGACAACUAUGAGUGAGAAGGUAUGAGUCCGAAGAGGUUUCAGUGAGAAGAUUUGAGUGAGAAGAGGUACAACUGAGAAGAUUCAACAUGUCUUCGUCUUCAUCUCCUGCUCAAACAAAGAGGUGUCAGUAUUGUGGAGCUACAAUGGUGCUUCGGGUUUCAAAAUCUGAAAAAAAAUCGAGGGAAGCCAUUCUGGAAGUGUCUAACCUCCUAUGUAAGUUUUAAUUUAAAGAAUAUGUAUGUGGGUGAAAAAAAACCUAUGUCUAACUCUGACAGAAUUAUAUUCCAUAUAUGAUGCCUGCAAUUAGGGAGCCACCAGUUGCAAUGGAUUCGAAUGGGUUGAUGUAACCUCCGCUGAAGCAGAACAUCAAGAUGACACGUAUGAUGUUAGAGUGCUGAACAUGCUGAAGUCCAUUAAGGACUUGGUAUUAGUUUUAUUAGUUGUAUUAAUUGUCAUUUUAUUUGUUCUUUUAAUGAUCAUUUAACUGCACGGUUUAAAAGAUUGUGAAAGUUCUCUCGCACAAGACAUAUUGCACGCACCACCAAUGAGACCCUAAACCCAUUUUGUAAUAUUUGGUAACUGCAUGUAUUUCGCAUGUUAUUGAAUGUUUAUUGAAGGUUUAUUGAUAGUUUGCUGCAUGUAUAUGGAAUAUCAUUGCCCCAAAAUUGGAUGUUUAUUGGGGCCACAAGUAUCACUCAAGUAAGAAUGAAGGGGAGAAACGGACCUUAUUCUUUCUUAUAGUAGGAAGAACAACUGUUAAGUUUAAUAUCCUAUUCAAUACGACUUCCCUAUGGUUGGUGUACUUGGGGACUGAAGUAUAUUGCAUCAUUAUUGUGGGCAAGGGCAUGUCUAUUGUGUGUGUUAAGGGAGUAUUGUGUGGGCAAGGGCAUGUCUACUGUGUGUAUAUUGCAUGUCUACUGUGUGUAUAUUGCAUAUCUAUUCUCUGUAUAUGGCAGGCCAAGUUUGUGUAUAUUGUUUGUCUGUUGUGUGUGUAUUGCUUGUCGGUGCGUUUGUGAAUUGUGGUUCAUUUUGUGUAUAUUGUCUUUGUUUCUACUUUUAUGCUACUGAGCUGCGGAAAACCUCGCAUGUUUAGACACCUAUUAUGAUGCAACACAUUGCGAUUAAUGGUGGCUUGCAUCAACAAUGACAUAUCACUUUGCAAUGAUGUAAUACACUUAAAAAGCCGUCUUCAAAUCCCAAUUCACAUAUGCAGUCUUAAAAUUCUAAUUCAAUGCAGUUUGGUUAACAAACAUGUAAAUGUCAUGAAGGAGUUAGCGGUAGAAUUCGAUAAGGACCCGUACGUCUCUAUUGUGUAUUUACAUUAGUUUGAGAAUGGACAUUCCCAAAACCUUCUCAUGUACCAUUUGUCAUCUUCAACCAAUAUCAUGGGAAGUAAGCAUCUCCCCUUGUUAUCUCCGCAGCCAAUUUCAACCGAAAAAAAGGCAUGUUGUGCGAGGUGCAAGUAGCUAACGGAAGCUUAGCGCUGAAAAGCUCAAUGUACUUUAACACAAACAUGCCACAAUCGCCUCUGAAGCAAAACAAGAACUCGAUCAAUUCAACUAAUGACAUUCUAAUGUAAUUGACAAUUGAAAGUAAUAAAAUUAAAUUGCAAGUUGUGCUUACUCAUUAGACUGUUGUGGAACAUCCACACGCUCUAUUGGCCACGGACACCACCAAUCUCGGCUGCAAUUGUUUGCAUAAACACCUUCUUCAUAAAAGUCGAUGGUGUUGAGAAGAUUUGGAAGCGUAAUUGAUAGCGGGCCGAGUUCUUCCUUUACGAUGUCAUCUGGAAUUAGUGAAACCUUUGAAUCGUACACUUUGAUUCACACAAUACCAGAUCAAACANNNNNNNNNNNNNNNNNNNNNNNNNNNNNNNNNNNNNNNNNNNNNNNNNNNNNNNNNNNNNNNNNNNNNNNNNNNNNNNNNNNNNNNNNNNNNNNNNNNNNNNNNNNNNNNNNNNNNNNNNNNNNNNNNNNNNNNNNNNNNNNNNNNNNNNNNNNNNNNNNNNNNNNNNNNNNNNNNNNNNNNNNNNNNNNNNNNNNNNNNNNNNNNNNNNNNNNNNNNNNNNNNNNNNNNNNNNNNNNNNNNNNNNNNNNNNNNNNNNNNNNNNNNNNNNNNNNNNNNNNNNNNNNNNNNNNNNNNNNNNNNNNNNNNNNNNNNNNNNNNNNNNNNNNNNNNNNNNNNNNNNNNNNNNNNNNNNNNNNNNNNNNNNNNNNNNNNNNNNNNNNNNNNNNNNNNNNNNNNNNNNNNNNNNNNNNNNNNNNNNNNNNNNNNNNNNNNNNNNNNNNNNNNNNNNNNNNNNNNNNNNNNNNNNNNNNNNNNNNNNNNNNNNNNNNNNNNNNNNNNNNNNNNNNNNNNNNNNNNNNNNNNNNNNNNNNNNNNNNNNNNNNNNNNNNNNNNNNNNNNNNNNNNNNNNNNNNNNNNNNNNNNNNNNNNNNNNNNNNNNNNNNNNNNNNNNNNNNNNNNNNNNNNNNNNNNNNNNNNNNNNNNNNNNNNNNNNNNNNNNNNNNNNNNNNNNNNNNNNNNNNNNNNNNNNNNNNNNNNNNNNNNNNNNNNNNNNNNNNNNNNNNNNNNNNNNNNNNNNNNNNNNNNNNNNNNNNNNNNNNNNNNNNNNNNNNNNNNNNNNNNNNNNNNNNNNNNNNNNNNNNNNNNNNNNNNNNNNNNNNNNNNNNNNNNNNNNNNNNNNNNNNNNNNNNNNNNNNNNNNNNNNNNNNNNNNNNNNNNNNNNNNNNNNNNNNNNNNNNNNNNNNNNNNNNNNNNNNNNNNNNNNNNNNNNNNNNNNNNNNNNNNNNNNNNNNNNNNNNNNNNNNNNNNNNNNNNNNNNNNNNNNNNNNNNNNNNNNNNNNNNNNNNNNNNNNNNNNNNNNNNNNNNNNNNNNNNNNNNNNNNNNNNNNNNNNNNNNNNNNNNNNNNNNNNNNNNNNNNNNNNNNNNNNNNNNNNNNNNNNNNNNNNNNNNNNNNNNNNNNNNNNNNNNNNNNNNNNNNNNNNNNNNNNNNNNNNNNNNNNNNNNNNNNNNNNNNNNNNNNNNNNNNNNNNNNNNNNUUUUCCUCUCCCUCAUCUCUAUUAUUUGGCCCUUCACCCCCUUCAAUCCCUUCAUCUUCUUUUUCCUCUCCCUCAUUUCUGUUACUUGGCCCUUCAUCCCAUUGAAUGUCAUCCAUUUCCCCAUAUCCCUUAAAUAGAUGUGAGACGACACAACGAUUCGUCCUCUGUUUCAGUAAAGCUAGGUCCCUCCUUACUUCCUGCUCAAACUGAGGACCUAAACAUUGGUCCAAUAGUUUUUCCAUCCGUAUGACCUUUAAGUGAAGGACGUCUUUUUCCCGCUUUUCUUGAAACAACUCGGACCUCAACAAGCUUACCACCUUGUUCAACUCAUCAAGAUCACCACAUGAAGAAGGAAUUGACUCUGCCGAGACAACAGCAGGGCGAUCCUGUGGCCAACUCCAAUAUGGCUGUCUCAUUUCCUCUUCACUUAGACAUAGCGCCCGCAACUGAACUGACUGUUUCAGAAUACAGACAAGAGUCAUAUUAAAUCAUUCUACUUCAUAAUUUCAUUCAAUCUUAUCAAUAGUUCUAAGGGCUGCAAACCAAACCUCUUUGCUCUGGAAAAAAUAAUUGUUCAACUUUCUCAUCUCUGGAACAGACGUAGUAGUUCUCCAUCGCAAAAUACGCGGGACAGCGGUCGGAUCAACAACCUUGCAGUAAUUCAGGUCCGCCAUUCUAGGAAUUAAUUCAUAUACCCAAAUCUACACAAUUCACAGGACAAAAGUCAUUAUUUAUGUUUUAAAGAAAAACAAAACAUAACUGACAUGAACAUUAUUACCAUGUACCUGGAAAGCAUACGUGAAACCUUUAAAACUCCAGCCACUCCUUUGCGCUUCACUAUGCUUAUCCUUCUUGCCCUUCUCAUUUCUCCGGCUUGUUCCCGUUACCUUACUUUUCCCCUUCCCUCUUCCCUCUUCAUUUUCCAAGCUUUUCACAUACUUUGUUGGUGCAGAAAAUAGACUGUCUUGGGUUUUGUCAAAGGACACCGAACCCCACGGAUACCUGUUGAACGCAUCCAAGUCCUCUACAAGGGUCAGGUAAUUUAGAUUGAUGUUCAAAUGUUUGUCCCUUCCCAAAACCACUAACUCAGCAAAGUAAACAAGAGGUAGCUUGAAGAUGUCAUCUUCCUCUGUGCACCUCACAAAUGCUUCUUCUAAAGCAUUGCAUGUAAUUCCUUCGUCUAUAAAAUAUCUUUUCUGAAGUCUGAUUUCAUUACUCUCUCCACUGGAAACUUCAGGCACUUCCCCAAAACGAAGCCCUGUGAUCAAACAGAAAUCCUGACGAGUGAACUGAGCAACGUCACACCCUAAUAAGAAACUCAGUCCAUCCAAGUCUUUCACACCCUGCCCCGCUACUCUACGCAACACAACCCCAUGCACAAUCUGUCCGCUAAACUGAAUCUUAUCUAUAUUCAGAAGAUGGCCAAAGCAUGAUGUCUUGAAUUGUUCUAAUUGUUCCGCACUCAACUUCGCUCGAAUUGCAGCUAGAGAUGAAUUUGCAUGUGAGCAGUUGUUCACCCGUGAUGAAUAUACCUCUGCCUCUGGCCAUACCAGCUCCACGUUGGAUCCCAUUUCCUCAAAUACAAUGUGAAAUAACGUGAACAUAUAUACUACCACGUAUUUGCACAAUCACAACUAGUCAACCAGGCACAUUACAACUUUUACAAAGUACAUGAGCAUAUGGAUUACUCAUCACAGGCUUUAACAUCAUCAAAGCAAUAUGACAAUUUUUGUGCAAAUACCUGUUAAUGCAAUGAUUAUGUGAAUUACAAACAAUUUCACGUGUUUUAUUUAUGGAUCCAUACUCGUGUGAGUGCAAUGUAGGCAAGUUCUGCACUUCACACACAUGACAAUUAUUGUCAUCUCAUACACAACCCAAAAUAAAUAAAUAAGAAAUAUAGUGGAAGGAAGCAAAGCAAAGCAUGUACUCUGCUAUCUGCUUGCUAAGCAAUUGCCACAUCCUUCUUUCUUUCUACCUUUUUCUUCAGUCACCCACAAUCGUCAUAGAUCAACCUUCAUUUCAAAUGCUUUGCACUUUUAUUCAUGAGUUUAUUAUUAUCUGUUCUCAUUUCUCAUAGGCAAAUUUAGUAACAAAUGAAAUAAUAUUUAUUUCACAAAAUAUAUAAAUUCUAGUGCCAGAGAGGUACUCUUCACUCUGCACUGCUUCAAAUGUGGAAGGUUUUGAGAUGUUAUUGACAUGUGAUUGACUUUAUUUUCAUUCGUUUUUUAACAUAUACCCAAGCAAAAAUUAACAUGCAAUUGAAGCACAAAUAAGAGAUGCCAAAUCCAACAACAUUGAUGGUACAAAUUGGGGAAAACCAUUACUCUAACCCUAAACUCAAAUUCCUUACAUUACUCAUCAAAUGCUUUGCAGUUCUAUUCAUGAGUUUAUUAUUAUCUGUUCAAAUGUUUCUCAGGCAAAUUUAGUAACAAAGGAAAUCAUAUUUACUUCAUAAAAUAUAUAUAUAUAUAUAUAUAUUCUAGCGCCUCUUCUUAAUCUGCACUAUGCACUGCUUCAAAUGUGGAAGGUUUUGAGGGCCUCCUCCAAUUCAACACCAUUAUCUUAUUCAUAUCAUUAUUGACAUGUUAUUCACUUGUUAUUGACUUCAUUUUCAUUCUUUUUUUAACAUAUACCUAAGCAAAAAUUAACAUGCAACUGAAGCACAACGAAGAGAUGCCAAAUCCAACAAAAUUUAUGGUACAAAUUGGGGAAAACCAUUACUCUAACCCUAAACUCAAAUUCCAUAAAUUACUCACCAAAUGCUGGUUAUUGCAAGGUGUCUGUGUGGGGUCUUUCUGUUUCUUUGCUCCACAAAUGGAACCUACCACUUCCAACGAAUACAGCUUUUCCCCUUCCCCUUCCACUGCUUCGCCUCUUCACUGAUUUGGAAUCCACACCUUUGCCCCUUCUACUCCAAAUAAAUACUUUCUCGGGGUCUGGAGAACGGAGUGGCGAAUCGUUGCCUUCAACUGUCGUUAGCCGUUGCCUUCAUUGGGUAUCUCAGACCUCUGUGUUUUAGAGAGAUGAGUUCUUUCUGUUCAAACUUCGAACUUGCCUCUUCUUCUUCUUUUUCGGACGUGUUUCCCUCUUCUUCUUCUUUUUGGACGUGCUGGAUAUUCAAUUCGGGUUUGGGUUCCUUACCUACCCAAUUGUGAAACUUUAACUCAAUUCUCCCCAGCCCUUGGAUUAAUCUGAUGGCUAUAAAGUGAACCCCUUAUAACUUACCCCUUAUAACUUUCCACUCAUUAUAGUCUUGGCCAGGUAUGGCGGCCAUGCUAGUAAGUGUUGGGUCUUUGACCCAACUUAAGCUAAAUGGGUCAUAAGAUGACCGAUCAUCUUAUCUCAUAAGGAUAUAUAAGUCAUGUUAUGAUUUAGGAUUUUAUAGGGUUUCCUUUGUAAGAGGUAAGAGAGAAACAAGCUCUCUCUCUCUCUACACAAGGAGGUCAGCCAUAGCAAGGGAAAGGCUCCUAGCACUCUCCUCUCUCUUAUUAUAUCAUCCUUCCAAGGACAGCUUUGGUAUGGUAAAGUUGGAGGUUGCACACUUUGUGCACUUUGGUAAGAACUCAUCCAAGGGAGCCAAGAUUAAAUUGGUUAGCUGUUGGAUUAAAUUGGUUAGCACGAUUCAACGGUUAAUAGAUAAAACUUCACAUAAAAGUCAUAUAUAAGGCCCUCACUAUAGAAUGACUCGUUAGUUUAGUCUCUUGUUACAUAUCAAAUGUUAGAGAUAUUUUUUAAUAAGGAUCUGCCAUACCACAUAGUUGGAUAAGACAUUAUACACGGCUUUUGUAAGAGCAUCUCCAGCGCUCCAAACUAGCCCAAGCAGCAGGGGGGCCUAAGUCUAGGAAGCAGCUCCAGCUCGCAAGAUUCAACCCAGGCAAGGUGUGGAACCCACGAGGAGAUCUAGCCCGUCACCUUGCCUUUGGGUUUCAGUCAAGCUGAUGUCAACGAAAGAAUUUCAAAUUUUUUUUACCGUUACAAUGUACGCGCCAACGAUAAAUUUUCUUUGGAUUUCUUGCAUUGAUCCACAGCUACCAAAAACCAACAGCUACAAGCCACGUGGCUUCUCCAGGAGCCUCCGAUCCAAAAAUCAUGUCAAAUCUAACGGCAGUCCAUUUUUUGGCUAAAAAUAUCAAAAAAUUAUGGAAACAUGUUCUAUAAAUUCCUACAAAUAUUAUUCACUUCCCACACCAAAUCUUCAUACAAAUUCAUAUCCUUUCAAUAUUUUUCACUUUCCAUACAAGAUUUUCUACUACUAAGUUUCGUUUGUGUAAAAAUACAAAUGACCUCUUCUAUCGAAGCCGGAGGCGCGUGUACAACCGUGGAAGAUAUUUUGUUGCGUGAGUGUUGGGUCAAAGUUGGUCAUUCCCUGAUCACGGGCAAUGAGAUGAAGUCCUCUCGUAGGAGUUUCUGACAUCGCAACGAAAGUAAGAUGUGAUAUGAAAAUGUAAGGAAUUUGAUGAGAGGAAUGGGAUUUGAGGAGUUUGAUGUAGGAAUUGAUGUAGGAAUUGAAUUUGGGAGGUAUGUAUAUAAGAUUUGAGGGUAUGUGUUUAGGGAUUUUGAUAAGAGGAUUUGAGGAAUUUAGAUUUGAAGGAUUUGGAUUUGGGGAAUUUAAAUAUGAGGAAUUUGAUUAGGGUUUGGGUUUGAAUAUGUGAAAUUUGAUAUGAGAGUUUAGAGACAACAGAUGAUCGAUUGCUCUGAUACCAUGCUAAAAUAUGAUAUGGUUUGAAUACUUUAGGUUGAGUUUUAUUCUUUUCCAUAAAAAGGUAUAUAUAGGAGUUUACAUGAGUGCUUUACAAAGAAAUAGAUACAAUAAUCAAUUAGGAUAAUAUCUCCUAAUUAUACAAUAAUUUGUCAACUAUAUAGAAUAGGAAAGUAAAUUCCUUAAUUAAUCAAGAAAAUAAAUCUCAUUGAUUAAUUAGGAGACUAACGUCAACAUUUAUAAGCCAUAAAAGAGCAGAAAAAGAGGUACUUAGGAGAUUUUAUACGUCGGACUAAGGUAAGCUUAAAGGACUAUAUCAAAAAAAUAAGGGACCAAGAAGCAAGACAGAGAAGUUGUUAUGCAAACCCAUUAAGUUUAGCAGUGAUGAAUUUGUAAAAAUCAUUCUAGUGGAUUCUGCCUUCACUAUUGAGUUCUUAUUGAGGUUCUAUCUGAAAGGAUCUGGACAUGAAGGAGACCGCUUAUUAAACAAACCGUGGAUGUUUACAGCCUGACAUGUGGUUGCUUGAAAAUCAGCUCCCAUUCUUUAUUCUUGAGGAUCUUUAUCACACAUACAUAAUAACCGACUCUUUUAGGAAUUAUUACAGUACUCAUGAUCAUGAGAGGCUUUCAAUAAUUAAUAUUUCUAAGAAUUUCUUCACAGCCGGAAUAUUGAAUUUGGAGGGGAAGGGAGACAAAUGGAACAGAAUAUCAUCUUCUUCUAGUGUUGGAAAUUUUAUAUUAUUUAAUAAUAUUUAAUUUCUAUUGUGAAUGAAAAAUAAGUUUCUUUAAGAAACGUGUGUCUUAGGCCAGUUUUUCUAACUGGUCGGCUUCCUUAGAUUUGUGCCUAUUGCUUUUCAAAGUAUAAUGAUGCAAUGGUUGUAUCUCGUUCAGGCAAAUGGAAGGUAUAUAGCAAUUUAUAGAACAAUACAGUAAUCCAGAAGAAAUAUUAUGAAAUGAAAAGAAUAAAAAGUAAAAAAAGAGAAAGAAAGGAAUUCCCACCUGCAAUGUAUAUGUAUGAAAGGAAGGACCAAGUUUGUUUUAAAAUGGUAAGAACAAGUUGAUUUUAAAUUGGGUUCAGAUCAACUCAUAGAUUUCUUGCCUUUUCUGUUCUCCUUCCUUGGACAUGAACUGUUUAAUCUUGGACUCUUCCCCAUCAUGUUGGGCCUGUCUUCUUCUUGAGGAUUGUAUAGGCCUAGGAAAUGCUUCGGGGUAGUUUUUGUGUUUUGGGCAUUGGGACCCAACUUCACAAAAAGAAAACAAAUUUGACCAAAACACAAAUUUGAAGGACAUUGAAAUUGUACCCGUAGGAUAGAUUAAAACACUAUAAGGGAGGUAAAUAGUACGUUUACAGAGUUUAAGUGUAAUAAAGGAAUAAAAACAUGCCCAGAGAAUUGAUAAGUGAUAUCAAUUCUUGAAUAUACGUGAAAAUUAUUUUAUGUGGUUAAACCCCACCUCUGGGGAAAAUCCACGGAACUUCUUAGUCCAACUUCUAUCACUUAUCCUAGACACAUUCUAGAUAAUGUUUGCCAACCUCUUCGUAACUCAACUUCUGUCACGAGAUGAUCUUUCAACACUUUAUGUCGAACGCAAUACUGGUCACGAUUUCUUCAAGCUCGCCGGAGUUCUUCCAAUUCUCCUUAUAUUGAAUCUGAUACUAGUCACGAUCGAUUCAAGCUCAUCGGAGAAAAAUCGCCACAACAAUCUUGGUGCCCUCAACCGUAUGAGUCACUGAACAUGCAAAUGAAUACAAUAUGAAUGAUAAAAGUGUUUGAUAAAUCACCAAGUUAUGGAACACUUGAUGAUUUAUCUCAAAUAAAAAUUCAGCUUUCCAAAGUUUAUGAAUUGAAAAUAUGACCGUUAAAGCUCUCUAAACAAAGAAGACGAAGGUCUUAUUUUAUAGACUUUUACUUUACAAGAAAGAAAACACGUUGAAAACCAAAUCUCCAAUUUCCAAGGCUUGACAGAAAAUCACAAAAUUAUCUUUCCUAUUCUAGAGAUUGGUCACAUGAAGUCCAACCAAUAGGAAAUGAGAUAUUUAAGAAAGGAAGAUUUUGAUCAAUAUCAAUAUCAAAUGAAUUCUUAUACGCCUAGUCAAUUGUUAUGGGUAUCUUGACUCCUUGAUAUUGUGAUAUGAUUGAAACAUGAUUUCCACGUUAGAAAAUUAAGGGGAUGUUAAAACAUGAAGGUAAUAGGAGAAUCAAAUUGAUUUGGGCCAAAAUUGCCUAAAAAGAAAACACUCCUUAAUAAACUUCAAUUUACUUUUAAAAAUAGUAAAACGUGAUUGAAUCGUUCUUUAAAACAAUUCCCUAAUAUACAUGCAUGAUAGUGAUAUCACUUACCUUUGAAUCAGAUGGCUUUCACGGGUCAAGCCACAAGUUUUUGUCUUGGGGAUUGCUGAGCUUCAUCAAUCCUGCCAAUGUCAAUUUUGCCCCUAAGCUCUCUCAAAGCACGUUUACAACCUAUGCUAACAUAUAUUAGAGUUUAUGUUAGUAUCAAGAAAAUGCCAACACUAAUUUCGUAACACGUAGAAAUUGUUAGAGAUUGAAGUUUUUAUCAUUUUUUCUUCCAGACUCUCCACCACUCACUAAUAUAGUUUACUCAUGUGAUGAGUUUACAAAACCUAUUUCUCUACUCUCACAAAGACUAUACUUAGGGGGGUGUAUUCAAUUAGGAUUCUAAAGCGUUUAAAAAGAUUUUGUUUAAGUGCCAGCUUUCAUAGAACUUGAUGGAACUUUAUAAUUCGUAUAGAACUUGAUAGACUUUCAGAAGACUUCUGUAUAAUUUUUUAAUAAAACUUUCUUAAGCUUUCAUAGAACUUGAUAGGCUUUCAUUCCAAACUUAUGUAGAUGGUAUAUUUCAUUUUAUCCCCAUCCUUGACAUUUAAAGAAAGAAACUUGAAUUUUUUCAAUCAAAUUUGUUUUUGUUACCAAAGCAGCAAAAACAAAAAGUACUUGUUUGCGAUGGAAGAACAUAUGCACAGUUCAAAAUGAAAAGAAUAAGAAGCAAAGUACCUAUUUGACCAAUGAAUGCUGUGUCAACUAGAGAAGCAAUUGGAUCGGCUGUCAAAGCCAAUGCUGCAGGCAAUGCAUCGAUGGUCCAAAUUGCAAUAAAAAAAUAUUUUGAAUAAUGGCUCUUGCAGACAAAGACCACAUAAAUUCUGAACUGGUCUAGCUUGAAUAAUAAGGUUAGAUUAGCCAAUUGAUGAGAUUAAAAGCAAAGCAAGUUGAUGAAUUUAUCAUCAACUAUUUAAUAACCACAGUCCUGAUCUCUUGGACCCCUGUAGUCCAAGAGAUUUAUGGUCACCCACCGUUGGAUGUAAAUUCAACGGUUGACUUGAAUCGGGUAAUAAUCAUUUAUGUCAUAUUGCAUUUAUAUAUAUCAUUUUGAACCAUUGGAUUAAUAUCCAACGGUGGGUGACCACAAUCUCUUGGACUCCUGUGGUCCAAGAGAUCGGGACUGUUAAUAACCAAUAGAGUAUUUAAACAUAAACAACAAUGUUUGAUCAACAAAACAAAUAGUCCAAAUAUCAUCCAAAAAACAAUAACAAAAAAUCAAUCAUUCCAAACAAACUAGUCAUUCUCAAAAACUCUCAAAAAACCCACUCAUUCCAAAUUGUAGGAUAUCCAAUUUGAGCACUCCUCAGGAGACAUUUUCAAAAAUGCAUCCUUUUUUGUGUUACUAUGCAACAAAGAGAGUGCUUUAUAACGAGCAUGUUCAUCCAAAUUUGGGGUCUCCUUAAUGGCAUCCCAUAUAUAACUCCGCUGCUCUCUCUCUUUUUCCCUUUUUGCCAAUAGGUUAUGGACCUCCCGGAAGUCGAUGACAAUUGAAUCAAUGCUAAGGCUAAUUCUUCCCAUAGCUUGCUGGGUGGUCACAUUUGAGAUAGCAUUCCCUUCCAAAUAUGUUCUAGUUCGUUUCCUCUAGUAACAAGCAUAAAUCCUAGUAACAAGCAUAAACCCUAACCCCAACCUAUAACCUAAUAACAAGAAGAAAACCCAACGAGGUAUUGAUCAAAGAAAAAUUAGGGAGCAUACCUUCACAGAUGGAGGAAGGAAGCUGUUCGUCUUCGCAGAGAGAAAAUCUAGGGAAAGAGAAAAACGUCUUAUGAAAUACUUGGGGGGGAGGUUGGAUUUAUUUUGGUCUUUUUUAUUUAUAACUCUCCCCUUAAAACCUACGUAAAUUUAUCACUUAAUGAAAUCCUUCCAAAUAUAUGACCUUUCGAAUACACCUAGAUUUGAUUCAACUUUUUUAUAAUCAUAAUUGAAUACACCCAUAUUUGAAUGGACUUUUUAAAAGUUCAUAUAGGUCCGAAAUGAAUAUACUCAAACUUGUAAAACCUCUUUUAAAGUUUGUAUAAAUCCAAAUUGAAUACACCUGGAUUUUUAAAAUCUUUUUAAACACUUUAUAAUCCUAAUUGAAUACACCCCCCUUAUUCUCAAAAGACUAUAUUACUUUACCUCUAUCUCUGUGAAAUGUAAAAAGUUGAAACUUUAAUGUCAAACCUCAACAAAAGAUGAACUUUCAUCAGUUACGUUGAAUUUGGAUUUGUUGAACUUAAGUGGUUUUAUUUUCUUUGUCAGUGUUUGAUGACUUAAUUUGGUAUUUAUUUCUUCUUUUUUUUCCUUGGAAAUGUGUUCCACCAACGUGAGGAAGAAAAAUAUGCACAAAUUAAUAUAUUUAAUAGAAGCCCAAGAUUUCGGAUGCAUAUAAUUUCUACAAAAAUCUACAAAGUUUUUUACUUUACAAACUUCUUAUGUCUACCAAUUUCUACUAAAAUUAAUUUCUCUGUGGUGCUCAAAUUCAUCAUAUGUGUGUCGUUAAUUUUAUUGAAAAUUGGAAGUUCCCAUCAUUUUUGUUUUUUGGGAAUUUUCUGAACCAAGGAAAAUCAAGUAAAAUUAAUAAAGCCUAAAUUGGAAAGGGAAAAUAUCUAGAGGAUGCAUUGUAGGAUUGCUCAUGCCAAUAAUUGUACCCUCUAAAUAUAUAGAGACAUAUUUUUUUUGUUUUCAUGACAUGUGGUCCUAAAAUUAUUGUGUAAAUCUUCAAUCCUGAACGAUGCACCUAAAACUCAUCCACCCAUUCUCAGGCCAAUUAUUGCACCUAGUGGGCUCUCGACCCCCUCUCAAAUUUAACCACAUAUUUUAUGGACCAUCCAGCUGUGAGGUACAUUCCCCCCACAUGCCACAAUUGUAUAUUCACAAUUACGUCUGAUACAUCACAUCAUGCCACUUGCCUCAAAUGAAUUUAAGUGAGUGAGGCAGUUGGAAGUAAUUAAGCUCUAUAUUGGUGGGUGGAGUGUUACUUCUCGGUUCCCCUCAUCAUUCGUCUAUAAAAUGGUGAAGGCAGUUGCUAUUGUUACCAUAAGAGCCAGCUCCGACUUCCUUUAAUUUCUUGCUUCAUAUCCACUAGCUACAUCUGUUACCAAGUUAAUUUCAGUUCUAAUGGGGUUUCAUCUCCCACUCAUCUUUGCUCUUCUCAGUGUAAGCUCUGCAAUUUGAUUAACUUUUCCAUUCUCUCUCAUUGUACUCUAUAUAAACGAAAGUUUUGUGUUCCUAUUGUUCUCUCCGAUUUUAUUUAGUACGUACUUAAGUGUCGUCCACUAAUUAAUUAUACUUUGUGAUUUGAUUUUAAUUUGAGUUUGAAUUAAUGUUGCAGCUAGCAGCAGUGGCACUGGCAAACCAUGCUGCUCAACCAGCACCUCAACUUUACUGGAGCUCCGUCCUGCCAAACACACAGAUGCCAAGAUCUAUCAGUGAACUUCUGCAUCCUGGUUUGUGUUGAGCUCUUUAGAAUCUUAGAUAUCUCUUCUACCUGCCAUUUUACUAAAAUAUGUUCCACCACAUAUUUAUCAGUUAACCAUUGUCAUUACAUGAGUGACACAUAUUCACAAAUCGGCUGAUCACUUAUUUUCCAUUAUGACUUGAUAUAUAAUUUGCAGACUCCACAAAUGAAGAAAAGAGCACAAAUGACGUUGGCAAACCUGAAACUUUCCCAUUGGGCAAUCAACAUUACUCCAGUCAAAAACAUUAUGGAGGCAUACCUGAAACUUCCCCAUUGGGCAAUAAACAUUACUCCAGUCAAAAACAUUAUGGAAGAGGCAAACCUGAAACUUUCCCAUUGGGCAAUCAGCAUUACUCCAGUCAAAGACAUUAUGGAAGAGGCAAACCUGAAACUUUCCCAUUGGGCAAUAAACAUUACUCCAGUCAAAAACAUUAUGGAAGAGGCAAACCUGAAACUUUCCCAUUGGGCAAUCAGCAUUACUCCAGUCAAAAAAAGUAUGGAAGAGGUGCUUCUCCAUCCGACAAUCAACAACUCCAUUAUAAAGACUUAGCUAUUUUCUUCUUGGAGAAGGACAUGCGCCCUGGCACAACAAUGAAGUUCCAAUUCCCUAUAAAUUCAAACACGGCUACUUUCUUGCCACGAGAAAGCGCUCAAUCGAUCCCCUUCUCCUCUAACAAACUGCCAGAAAUUUUCAACCAUUUUUCAGUGAAGCCAACAUCUGAGGAAGCCAAAACAAUUAAGCAAACAAUCGAAGAGUGUGAAGCUCCAGACCUUAAGGGAGAGGAAAUAUAUUGCGCCACAUCUUUAGAAUCAAUGGUUGAUUUUAGCACUUCGAAGCUUGGAACAAGAAACGUUGAAGCAAUCUCGACGGAGGUAUUGGAAAAAGGAGCCACCAUGUCCAUCCAAAACUAUACAACAAUGCCGGGACUGAAGAAGUUGGCAGGUGACAAAGUCGUUGUGUGUCAUAAGCAGAACUAUCCCUAUGCUGUGUUUUUCUGCCAUGCAAUAAAACAUACAGCAGCUUAUGCUCUCUCCCUGAAAGGCGAUGAUGGGGAGAAGGUUAAAGCAGUAACCAUCUGCCAUCUAGACACAUCAGAAUGGGACCCAGAGCAUAUGUCCUUCCAAAUCGUCAACGUUAAGCCCGGAACCAUUCCCAUCUGCCAUUUCAUUUCCACUGAUGCUAUUGCCUGGGUUCCGAACCACAAAUCUGCAUGAUCAUCACUUAGCACUAGUACUGUGCGUAUAAUAUGCCUGUAUAAUUAUCUCCCUACUUAUUUCUGCCUCUUCAUCAUGUGGUGUAAGAUAUAUGUUGAGAUGAAGUUUUUGGGAUUUGUGGUCGAAAUUAACCCGAUCAUGUUUUCUCUUGCAACCAUAUAGACUUCAACUUGUACUCAUAAUAAAGCAUGCUAUAUUUAUGAAGAGAUAUUAAUCUUCAGGCAAAUAGAUAUUAUGAAAACAUAUAUAGCAAUUUAUCCAGAAGAAACAUUAUGAAAUGAAAAGAAUAAAAAGUAGAAAAACAGAAGGAAAGGAAUUCGCACGUGCUAUGCUAUGUAUGAAAGGACCAAGAUUGUUUUCCCUUUGGUUAAUGACUAGAAAAGCUCACUUGCAGAGUGCUUUCUCCGACCAUAGAUGGAAGAGAAAUUUUCUCUUAAUAAUAGCACAAUGAUCGGGUAAUUGUAAGAACAAGUUGAUUUAAAAUUCCUUGACCCAAAAAAAAAAAAAAAGUUCUUUUCAAAUUCAGGUCAACCCAUAGAUUUCUUGCCUUCGUCUUCUUCAUCACGUUGGGCUUGUCUUCUUUUUGCGUUUUGGGCCUUGGAAGUUGGGACCCAACCCAACUUCACAAAAAGAAAACAGAUUUGCCAAAAAUCAAAUUUCAAGUCUCUCCUCCGAUCACUAAUACAGAUCAAAUUUUGGAUUUGAUGAACUAAAGUGGUUUUACUUUCUCUGUCAGUGUUUGAUGACUUAAUUUGUUAUUUACUUUUUUUUUUUUACUUGAUCUUUGUAGGGGCUUUUUUUUUUCCGGCAGCUUAAACGGGCUGGGCUGCCGUAAAGGGUAGAUUGAUGAAAUUGUCCCCUUUGUCUGAAUUCGAAAAUCAAGCCCCAAAAGCGCUUCGAAAGGGCAGUAGAGCCUUAGGAAGCGUUCUGGUUACCUUCACUAAUUAAAACAACAGCAACUUACAGAUGAUUUCUUGAGGCUUACAGAUAAAUUUUCUAGCUUGGCAUGACAUGGAAGCAAAAUCAGCAUGAGUUUAGCACCAAAGAGGAAAAUAUGGCUUCCUAGGGAGAAAUGAGAGUGUUUAAGGUGAGGAAGAAGAGGUUUGCAGGCUGAUUUGGCUGAGAAAAGAGAAAGAAAGAACAAUGUUCUUCCGGCAGCUUGACAAAGCUUCUGACAGAUGUGAAAGUCGUCCGCCAGAAGAGGAAAAUGGAGAAGAAGGAUGAAUAGUGCACGAAAUUGGUGGGUUCUUGCAGGUAAGAGAGAAAGCUUGCUCUCUGAAUCUGAGUUGGUUUUGGUUGGGUAGAAGAAGCCCCCUUUUAUAGCUGCGGGAAACCAUCUUUUUCCAAGAAACCCUAAUGGUUUCUAUCCUUUUUGGCCAAGCUUUUCCCUUCCUUUCUCUUCUCCUCCCUUGACUUUUCCUAUCUUGGUGAAAUUUCCUCUGCCUAUUUGCACAAAAUUAGAGAUUUUGAGGAGCUCAAGGCCCCUUUCCCGCAGCUGCCUUAGUGGAGAAUCCCCAUUUUCAGUCAUCUUUCUUCCUUCUUUUCUCCCAUCUUCCAAGGCUAGGUUUGAUGAGAGAAAGAAAUGGAUAUGCACACUGGUUUGAAGGGUGUUUUUCCUUGAAACUUGUUCUCUCCCAUGUGCUGGAGCUUCCCAGCAGCUUACACACAUAGAUAUUUUGGCUUUCAUCGUGGCUUUUGUUUUCAGCUAGGUGCUGGAGAUUUUGCAUAUAUUUUCUUGAGUUGCUUGGGCCUUCUAGGACAAUACGUUGGUUUAUCAAGUGAAUGGGCUAACUUCAUCAAUUGUUGGGCAAUUUUGGUUGAGUUAAUGGACUAUUUUGGUUCAAGUAAUGGACUAUUUUGGUUGAAAUAAUAGGCUAUUUUUCUCUCUUUGUGCUCACCCACAUAUUUGGGCCUAAAAAAUGGGCUUGAGUUUCGGGGCUCCCAAGCAACCCCGGGACUUCCAUUUCUCGGCCCAUCAAUGAGCCUCAUGUCAACUUAUUACCAUCCAUACCACAACCCACUCAAGCAAGCCUCAGGCAUCUUGCGUGGCUUGGGCCCACGUAAGCUCGUAGUGGCAAUGUUGCUUAUUUGCUUGACGUGGCAUGUGUGCAAGUGCAUAUGACGAACUUUCGCGUGCCCAAAUUGAGUUUCUUCUCGGUAGGGUAUCGCAUUGGGCCGAGAAUUUAAUUGGGUAGAACCGUGGAUUUUUUGGGCCUCAACAAUCUUAUAUAUAUUAGUUUUCUUUUUUUCCUUAAUAUUCACCACCUUUCUGUUGCAUAAGUAUUCCAGUCUUAGCGGGUUUCCAUCUACCACUCAUCUUUGCUCUUUUAAGUGCAAGCUUUUUUAUUUUUAUUUUUUUAUGCACAAGAUUAGAGGGGAGGGAGAUUUCUCAAUGUAAGCUUUGCAGUUUCAUAAUUAAUAUUUCCAAUAUCUCACUGUUAGUAAAAUAUGGAACGGGAAAAGUACGAAUAAAAUACACACAUGUUUUAUUUAGCAAAAUUUUGACAAGAUACAACUGAAAAGUUUGGCCACUAUAUAAUAUUUUGAUUUAAUUUUUUUUAUUUUUUUAAUAUAUAUUAUUUUUAUUCAAUAAUAUGUGAAAAAUAGGUGUACAAUAUAUGAAAUUUGUAUGUAUUAUUGAAAAAUUCGUAAAAAAAAAACAUGUUAUUAAAUGUGAAAAAUAUGUACGUAUAUGUAUAAAACAUGUAUUGUACAUUACUUUUUAACAAACUUGUAUUUUACCUAGUCUUUAAACCGUAUAUGGAAAACGGAAGUAUUAUUGAAAAAUACAUAUGUACGUAUAUGUAUAAAACAUGUAUUGUACAUUACUUUUUAACAAACUUGUAUUUUACCUAGUCUUUAAACCGUAUAUGGAAAACGGAAGUAUUAUUAAAAAAUACAUAUGUACGUGUAUAAUAUGAGUAUUAAACAAAAAAAUGUGCUAAGUACUUAUCUUUUAAUUUAAUAAUUCAUUUCAUUUUGUGAUCUCAUACGUAGUAAUGAGAGUUCAAAUUAAUGUUGCAGCUGACAAUGGUGGCUCUGGCAAGCCAUGCUUGAUGCAGGAGUAUAGGGGUGGAUCAAGAUAGAUAUUUACCAUGUAAUUAGUUAUUUCAUGAUAUAUUGUUAUUUUCUUAUUUAGGUAGUUUUAUGAUAUCUUUUAUUAUUUAUGUGGGAUUUUAUAAUUAAUUAGUUUACUUUUGGACCAAGUAGCCUUGGUGCUCAAGUCUUGUAAAGCUUAUAAAUAAGGCUAAUGUAAUAGUUGUAGGAAAAGAGAUGUCGAUGAUUAAUAAAAUCGUUUAUUUGUGGCAUGGAUUUGCUACGAUAUAUGUGAGUUUGCACUAGCCCUAGAUUUCGGUGCUCGUGUAUGUGGUUGGUGACCUGUGUCCGGAUCCCGAUCCCCAUCAAUGCUGUUCUCCCAGUACCUCAACUUUACUGGAACUCUUUCCUGCCAAACACAAAUGCCAAGAGCUAUCAGUCAACUUCUGCAUCCUGGUUUCUAUUAAGGGACUUUUCGUGAGCUUAUCAUCUACCCAAAUUUUACUCAUCCGACGUAAUUUUAAAAGUGAUUUGAUCCUUUGGCAAAGUAAUCUUGAACUACAAAAAAGGAGGGCACUCGAAUAGGCAUGCCAUUUGGUAUUACCCACCUCUAAUUUCUUUUAAAAUUUUAGUAAUUGAUUUUUAAGAUUAGAAAAUGGGAAAGUUCAAAACCGAAAAAGUUGUUUCAGUUUUGGCAAGUAUCGGAAAAGACUAAAAUUUUCCGACUUUAUUAUUACUAGAAACAAAGUCGAAGUAUUCACCAAUCAUGUGGCCUUCCAAGUGCUCAAGGUUAAGCCAGGAACCGUUCCUAUCAGCCAUUUCCUUCCCAAGUAUGAUCAUGUUGUCUGGGUUCCAACCCACAAAUCUACAUCAGUACCUGAACUAAUCAGUUCUACAUGAAUAUUCAUUCAUGGCAACCUUGGGCUAAGUAUUUGAAUUUAUGCUCAUAAAGCUUUAAUGCUUUUGAGGGCCAAUCGUUGUCUACAUAUGGUAUUGUAGCAUCUUUAGAUGGAAGAGGUCAGGGGUUCAAUUCUUGUUUUCCACUUCUUUAUUUGUUGGUUUAUCGAGUGUAGAGUGGAGUUGCACCUAUAUGUUCGUCUCUCACCCCAUCAUUUACCAUUGAUAUAUAUUUAAUAGAAGCCUAAGAUUUCGGAAGCACAUAAUUUCUACUUUACAAACUUCCUGUGUCUACCAAUUUCUACUAAAAUUAAUUUAUCUGCGGUGCUGAGAUUCAUCAUAAUUUUAAUAGAAAUUGGAAGUUUUCAUCAUUUUUGCUUUAAGUCUCUACUCCACUCACUAAUAAAGAUUACUCAUGUGAGUUUACAAAACAUUUUUUUUUUCUACUCUCUCCUGAAGACUACACUUCUUCUCAAAAAAUUAGAUCACUUCACAUCUUGUGUAUGUGAAAACUAAUGUAAAAAGUUGAAACUUUAUCGUAAAACCUCGACAAAAAUGAGCUCUACUACAAAAUGUUAAAUUUGGAUUCGUUGAUUUAAAUGGCAAUUUGACACUUGAUAGAAAUUUUUACAUACAUGUGUUAGUGUUUGAUCACUUCACAUGUCACUUACUAUAUUUAUUCCACUCAAGUUAGGUAAAUAUUAUUAUCAAACAUUUCAAUUAAUUUGUGAUUUUUUUAUUAUUUAAUCAAUUAUGAAUUAAUGGAUUCUUCUUGUUGUUUUGAAGACCAACAAAAAAAAAAAAAAGGGUAGUGAUGGCUUAUAAUUCUGGUAAAACAACAGUGACGUGGACAACAGAUGUUACGCUGUACUAAAGAUUUUUGAAGAUUCUUUAUUUGAGUUUCUUUCAAGAUAAAAACCAUAUUAUCCACAACCACAAGCACAUCCGGCAGACAAUCUUUGGCUAUUCAUCACAAUUGGGAGACAAUGAAGAAGACAGAAAAUGGAGUAAUUCAGAUGUUACCAGCCAUCCACGACAAACUGAAGUCUGCAAAGCAUUCGUAAUCUAAAAAGGAUGGGGAGGCUGCGCAAUACUUAGCCACGUGUAGGCCAGGAGGCUUUCCAAUUUUAAUAUAUAUAUAGAUUGAAAAAAUAAAAUAAAAAUCAAUCUAUUAUCAUAUAUAUUAUAAAAUAAAGAUUAUUGCUCCCAUGGGCGGUGCUAUGCACAGGACAGUGCCUGCCUAGUCCAAAUUUUUUUUAAAUAAAAAUAAAAAUCUACAUAUGUUAUAAGCUCAUCCAAAAAAAAAAAAAAAAAUAAAAGUGUUGUAAAUUAUAAGGUGGAGCCCACAUGUUGGAAGGCUUUGCCUACAAAAGGGUUCACACCCUCCCUUUGUAAUUAGACAUUGAGAAUACUAAGGAAGACAGAAAUGAAUAGAGAGAAAACAUUCCCUUCUCUCCAUCUCAAUUCCCUCUCCAAUUCCUCUAGAUUUAUAACACGUUAUCAGCAGCACGAAUCGCUUUCAAACAAUACCAGCUGAAUUUUAUGAUGAAACCCAGAUCUCUCAUCCAUCUCUGCUGCUCCACUACUUCAAAAUAAAUCCCACAGAAAAAGAAAAAGCCUCAAUGCUCUCUCUCUCUCUCUGUCUCGCUUGGGAGACUUGGACAAUUCCUCAUCCCCGUUACUGACAAUUUCAACAGCUUCAGGGGAAGCUAGUUUAUCUUCCUCUGCUCACGAAACCAUGACUCUUUCAGAGCCAAACAACAACACAAUAGACAACGCAUGGAGACCAGACUGGAGCUCGUCGGCUAAGGCACCGACGAUCCGACCCUACCCGUAUGGACCUUCCGGAUGUGGUUCCUGGGUCUUGUCUCAUGUGCCCUCCUCUCAUUUCUCAACCAAUUCUACAAGCAGCAGAGCUUCAAAUCAAACAGAUCAUGGCAUCGCUUUCACACCUCCCCAUCUUCCUCUUCCUCCUGUUCACCGCUUUCUAUUCUACAGCUUCGCAGUCCUUCAUCGGCGCAUCCAAAGGCGACAUACCGGCGCUCGCCUCAGAUCCGAACGCGGCGGCUCAGUGGGUGAACUCGAAUGUCCUCGCCUUCUACUCGGCCAGCAACAUCGACCUCAUCAACGUCGGCAACGAGGUCCUUUUUCUCCAACGACCAGGGCCUCAUCUCGCAGCUCCUCCCCGCCAUGCGAAAUGUCCAAUCUGCCCUCUCCGCCGCGUCCCUCGGCGGCAAGGUCCGUGUCUCCACGGUCCACUGCCUCGCCGGAUCGGGAUCCUUCCUUCAAGUGUUUCUCUGUCUUCGACUUGAAAAAGAAGGUCAUGGCAGGCCUAUGUAAAAAUUGCGAAAAGGAAGGCAAUCUUCAACCUUUUCUCCUGUCUCUCUCUUGAUCAAUUCAUGGAAGGCACAUUUGGGUCUUCCGGGGGCUCAUCAAAUGAGUCAGCAAUGUCAAAGGUGGAGGUGGUGGAGCAAGACUACGUGGGGAUGUCAUAUGAGGCAACCUCAUACCCAGCUGAGGCAGAGCUUGUGCUGGGCCUGGGCCUUGGCCUGAGCCUUCGUGGUGGUGGUGCAGGGAAGCAGCCAAAGCCAUGUGCAUGGGGUGAGCGUGGUAGAAUCUUGACUGCUAAAGUUAGGUGCUGAGUUACACUGUGUUCUCUGCUACUGACCCUAAGAGGAGUGCUAGAAACUUCCAUGUUCCGCCAUCAUUUCGCUUUCACUGUUACAAGGCACUGGAGUAUGUUUAAUUGAAAAGUGAGAUACACAGCAAGUUGAUCAGCCUAGUGGAAAGCAAAGGAUUAUUGCCAGGGAUAUGAACACCCACCGAAAUAAAGGGAUAAGUACUCUUUUUCCCUUCGACCAGUUUUUUUUUGUCCCACUGGGUUUUUACUGGCAAGGUUUUUCACGAAACAUAUUCCGUAUCAUUUGUGGUCUCUAAGAGGGAGUGUUGUAAAUUAUAAGGUGGAGCCCACAUGUUGGAAGGCUUUGCCUACAAAAGGGUUCACACCCUCCCUUUGUAAUUAGACAUUGAGAAUACUAAGGAAGACAGAAAUGAAUAGAGAGAAAACAUUCCCUUCUCUCCAUCUCAAUUCCCUCUCCAAUUCCUCUAGAUUUAUAACAAAAAGUAAAUUCUACACAUAUGUUGCCCAUCCAGGUGGUCCCAUAUCUUCUCUUUCCUUUUCUUUUGGCUAUUAGACUUCUUGUUUCUCUCUCUCUCUUUGCUACCCCACAUCAGCAAGUUUCUCCCUCUCUUUUUUUGGGAUCAAAUUCUUCUUCUAUUGACAAAAUCUUCUAUUAUAUUGGGUGGGCAACUUGGCAACAACAUCUUCUCCUCUCCUUUUGUCAACAGCAAGUAUUAUUCUCAUUCUCUCAUUUGCUAUAUAUCUUUAAUUAUAGUUUUAAUUUAAAAUUGAGUAUUCUAGGGUUUAAUUAGGGAUGAAUUAUAAUUUUGGGAUUUUGUUGAAAUUAAUUAGGGCUUCGAUUAGGGGUGAAUUAUUCUACUGCUUUGAUUUGGAAUUUUGUUAAAAUUGAGUAUUAUAGGUUUAAUUAUGGAUGAAUUACAAUUUUUGGUUUUGGUAUUGUUGAGAUGUUAUUAUGAGAAUUUGUUUGAUUUUUUGUUGGUAUAUUUGAUUAAAAUUCUUUCUACAUAUUAUUCAUAGGCUAUCUUUUAUUAUGUCGGAUCACAAUCGGAAUCCCAAGAAAACAAAAAAUUUGAAUAGUGUUGUUUUGUAUUGCAUUGCAUUUACUUUUGGUUUUAGUUUUGCUUUUAGUGUAAAUUACUCAAAUGGUCCUCAAAUUUGUACCCAAUUUACAUUUUGGUCCAUAAACUAAAUUAUUCAUUCAAAUGGUCCACCAACUCUUUAUUAAUCGGUGCUUUGGUCCUAUCGUUAUGUUUUCUAUUAAAUUUAGUCAUGUGAGCAGCACAUGCUACAUUUGUAUGGGUAAAUAAGACUUUUGACCAGUGGCGGAUCCACGUUGGGACAAGAGGGGUCGGACGACCCCUUGGAAGGCUGGAAAUUUGGCAAGGGAGUCCAUGAAAGCCCCCUUGGACAGCUGCUGGAAGCCCCCUUGUAUGCACACAAUGUGCUCGACGAAAUGCCCCAACGAAAUGUCCUGCGCAGCUGUGCUGCGCCUUGCGCGUAAUUUUUUUUUAAAACCAGCCUUGCCAAACGACGUCGUUUGGUCAAGGCUCAGUCAAAUUUUUUUUUAAUUAACCUGGCCUCAAAACGACGUCGUUUUGGGCCAGGUUUAAAAAAAAAAAAACAGAACAGUACACACGCACAGCAGCUCUGCACAGAUUCAUUUUCUCCAAACCUUUCAUUCCCAAUUCCACAGCCCCUCUUCCCAUCCUCUCAAACCCUAACCUCCCAACCUCCCAACCUUGGACAACCUCCAUCAACUCUUCACCGGUGGCCCAAUGCCGAUCACCACCACCUUCUACCGCCGUCCGCCGCCCAUUUUUUAAACUACAAGUAAGUAAGCAUGGAAAAUCUGAUAUUAAUAAUUAUAGUGAUAAUAUAUAUUGUUGAUAUUGAUAUUUUUUUUUUAUGUAAUGAAAUUUAUGGAUAUGAAUCAUAUUGAUUGAUUGAGUUUAUGCUUGAAAUUUAUGGAUAUGAAUCAUAUUGAUAUUUUUUUUUAUGUAAUUAAAUUUAUGGAUAUGAAUCAUAGUGAUAAUCAUAUUAAUGUAGAUUGAUUGAGUUUAUGCUUGAUUGAUAAUAUGAAUUGAUUGGGUAUAUUAAAUAUUGAUUGCUAUUUGAUAUGAUAAUUUGGUAUAUUGAAUAUUGAUUGAUAUGGGUUUAGGGAGUAUAUUGAAUAUUGAGAGUGGGUUAUUGAAAUUUUCAUAUUCAUAUGAUAAUUAGGAUAAAAAUUAAUGAUUGAUUGAAUUAAUUGAUUUGUAGAUUUAUGGAACGAUUCUUUAAAAGAAAAUUAUCUACGGAUAGUUCUUCUCUGUCUAAUCCGGGUAGUUCAAAUGCAAGACCAAUUGAAGUAGAUGAGAUCUUAGCUAAUCUUCAAGCAGACCCUGGACUAAGAACUCGAAUGGCGGAUUAUAGUCCUAAUAUUAGGGAUGAGAUCCGAAGAGCAUAUCUACAAAAGGGACCUUGUCAACCUAGAAGUUAUAAAUUCCCACAAACUAAUCAAUCAGGAAUUAAUAGACGCUUCAUUGCUCAUUGGUUUGAUGAUCAUGAUUGGUUGGAAUAUAGUAUUGCUAAAGAUGCUACGUUUUGUCUUCAUUGUUAUCUCUUCAAAUCUAAUUUUGAUCAAGUGGGUGGUGAUGCAUUCACUGGGGUAGGCUUCAAUAAUUGGAAGAAGGCGAAAGAAAGAUUUAACCUUCAUAUUGGACCGGUUGGUAGUGUUCACAACCAAGCUAGAGAAGUUGCUUACAAUUUGAUGCAUCAAACUACACACAUUGAAACAAUUGUGCUCAAGCAAACAAGCCAAGCUCGCACGGCUUAUCGCACUUGCUUGAAUGCAUCACUUAAGUGCACUAGGUAUUUGUUGCGGCAAGGGCUUUCUUUUCGUGGUCAUGAUGAAAGUGCACAAUCAAGUAAUAAAGGGAAUUAUUUAGAGCUCUUGCAAUUUCUUGCGGAUCAUGAUGAAAAAGUUAAGGCCGUUGUAUUGGAAAAUGCUCCGGGAAAUUUAAAGUUAAUAGCUCCUUCAAUUCAAAAAGAUCUUGUCAAUUCUUGUGCCAAAGAAACCAUUGAUCUUAUCUUGAGUGAUGUAAAAGAUAGAUAUUUUUCAAUAAUGGUGGAUGAAGCACGUGAUGUUUCAAUAAAGGAGCAAAUGGCAAUGGUGUUGCGUUAUGUGAAUGACAAAGGACAAAUAAUUGAAAGGUUUGUGGGGGUUCAACAUGUAACCGACACUACUUCAAGUGCACUAAAGGAAACAAUUGAUGAAUUCUUUUCUUCCGCGAAUUUGAGCUUUUCCAAGCUACGAGGACAAGGUUAUGAUGGAGCUAGCAAUAUGAGAGGUGAGUUCAAUGGCCUUAAGAGAAAGAUUUUGAGAGAACAACCUUGUGCAUUUUAUGUUCAUUGCUUUGCUCAUCAACUUCAACUAGCUCUUGUUGCGGUAGCAAAGAAAAACAUUGAUGUCAACUCUUUUUUCACAACGGCUAAUAGUUUGGUUAAUGUGGUUGGAGCAUCUUGUAAGCGUCGCGAUGCACUUAGAGCACAAUACCAAGAAGAGCUUGUGAGAGCUUUUGAAGAUGAUUGUCUUAUAACGGGGCGGGGCUUAAAUCAAGAAAGGACUCUCAAACGUGCCGGCAAUACACGAUGGAACUCACAUUAUGGUACGUUGAUUAGUAUCAUUUCUAUGUUCCCAUCUGUGGUGAAUGUGCUUCAAAUGAUUGUUGAUGAUAAUCUUAAUGAUAGUUCGGGUGAAGCCUAUAAGUUAAGGAGAGAAAUACAAUCUUUUGAGUUUGUGUUUCACUUAUUUGUAAUGAAAGCUAUAUUGGGAAUAACAAACACUUUGUCUCUAGCAUUGCAAAAGAAAGAUCAAGACAUUGUGAGUACAAUGAAUUUAGUGAAAACAUGCAAGGAAAACCUGCAGUUGAUGAGGGAUAAUGAGUUUGAAGAAUUGGUUGGGCAAGCAUCCUCGUUUUGUUACAAAUAUGAUAUUAUAGUUCCUACCAUGGAUGAGGAAUAUGUAAUUCCAGGGAGAUCAUGGCGUAAUGCUCCAAUGAAGACAAAUUAUCAUCGUUAUCGUGUGGAGAUCUUUAUUCAUGUAAUUGAUGGGCAACUUGCGGAAUUAAAUGAUCGCUUCAACGAGGUAAGUACUGAGUUACUUACUUGUUUGGCAUGCUUGAGUCCAAAAAAUAACUUUGUGACUUUUGACAAACGAAAGCUAGUUCGUCUUGCUCAAUUUUAUCCUUAUGAUUUUUCGGAUAGAGACUUAUUGAUGCUUGAAGAUCAACUUGGUGUUUAUGUUCAUCAUAUGCGUUCGAGUAGUGAUUUUUCUCAAUUGGAAGGGAUUAGUAGUCUUGCGGAAAAAAUGGUGGAGAAAGGAAUGCAUGAAAUAUUUCCUUUUGUAUUUGCUUCUUACAUUGGCUUUGGUUUUACCGGUUGCAACUGCAUCAGUGGAGAGGGCAUUUUCCGCUAUGAAUAUUAUUAAAAAUCCACUUCGCAACAGAAUGGGAGAUCAAUGGUUGAAUGAUAGCUUGCUUGUUUACAUUGAGAGAGAUGUUUUUGCUUGUAUUGAUAACGAAAUUAUAAUGCAAUGUUUUCAGAAUAUGAAAACUCGUCGUGGACAAUUGUAACUUGUAUUAUUGGUUUUGUUAUGAAUUAUGAAUGAAAGUACUAUCUUUCUAUCUUUUUAGCAUUAUUUUCUUUGUAGAAAAAUUUCAGAACUUUUACACUAAGCCCCCUUGGCUACAUAAUCCUGGAUCCGCCACUGCUUUUGACCACUUUAUCACCUAUGUAUCACCACUUUAUAACCUAUUUGGGGAACAUAGGUCAGUUAUGGACGGUUUUACCCUUACAUUUGACGGCAACAUUAACAUAAUGUAACAGUGGGAUCAAUGGAGUGAUUAAUAUAAAGUUGAUGGACCAUUUGAAUGAAUAAUUUAAUUGAGAGACCAAAAUGUAAAUCAAGUAUAAGUUUGAGGACCAUUUGAGUAAUUUACCCUUCGCUUUUAUAUUUGUUGAACUUUUAUUUAUGAUAGAUAUGCAUUUAAGGGUAAGACCCAUUAUGUUCCCCUGGCUAGGUGUAUCUUUUUAUGUUUAUUAAUGAAAUUCACUCGAACUGUUGAGUUUAGUAUGUAAGUUUUGCCUAACUGGCUUUUGAAUCCUAGAACCGCCACUGUUGCUCCAUCCUCCAUGCACUUGCAUGUGCUCUUACAAAGUGUGAAGUAGAUUUUGUGUGCUCCAAGUCAUUGACUAGAGCUGAAACAUGGUUAGCUAGAUUUAUAAGGACCCAUCUCUUUAUUUCCUAGACAUAUACCCAUCUCUCUAUAAAUCUAUAUGUAAAACCUAAUUUCAAACUUAAAUGACCAGUAGGAUAUAAAAGGUCAUAGUAUUCCUAUGUUUUUAUAUCGUUGCCACCAGACUUCUUAUUUUAUUUAUAAUUUAUUUCAAGCAUUUCAUUAACUGCCAUAAUUGUAAUUAAUACUCCAUAUUAAUAGCAUAUCAAUCACCCCAUUUCUUUUGGUUGCCAUUCCCUCUAACAUAUCGCCCCUUAAAUUUGAAAACCAAAAAAAAAAAAUGUAAAUUACAUAUCCAAUAAUGUACCUAUGAAAAAUAUAAAUAUAAAUAUAUACAUAUAAAAAUAUAGGUAUAUUAUUUACCAAAUAGAAAAUAUAAAAACCUAGGUCAGUUGCUUUGUAAUUGAAAUUUCUGUACAUUUUCCACAAAUUAAAAAUAGGUACAUAAUAAUUUAUAGAAAAUAUAUGUACAUUAUUUAUCCAUAGGUAAAAAUACCGAUAAAUGCACAUAGGUGAAUUAUUUACCAAUAUAUUAUUUUUUUGCUAAGGAUUUACCUUAGUUUUUAGUAGAUUAAUUUACCUACCUAGAGGCAUAGGUAGCUUAAAAAAAAUGUACCACCUUAGUUGGUUGCAUACUAAUUUACCUACCUAGAGGCAUAGGUUGCUAAGAAAAAAUGUAGGUAAAUUCAUGUACCUAAACACAUAGGGGUCAAAUAGAGAAUAACAUGUUAUUUCCCUUUGAACAAAUUAAUUUCAAACCAUAACAAUUAUUGAAUUUGGAAAUUGGUAUAAAUAAAAGGAAAUAAAUAAACUAUCAAUUUGAAAAUUAAAAUAAGAAAUGAUCAAGUAGUCAUAUUUGAAAAAAAAGGAAAGAAUAUAUUCUUGGUUUUUAUAGGAACAACGAGUAUAUUCAAACCAAACGGCGAUAACUACACCAAGCUUUAAUUACUUUUUUUUAAGGCCAAAAGUCACUUUUGGUCCCUGUAGUUCGGCAUUUCUACCACUUUUGAUGUUGUAGUUUCAAUUCCGUCAAUUUUGCCAUUGUAGUUUCGUAUUUGUAGCAAUUCAAGGACCUGUUAAUAUUAAUGUCAAUUUGUUUAAUGAUGCAAGAGGUAAUUUCGUCAUCCCAAAAUCCUUGAGCAUAAAAGAUUGUCUGAAAUUCUCCCCAUUUCAUAUUAGGGCUCGAAAUUCAACCACUAAUCCUAAUUUUUGAAGAACCCUAGACCCAAAUGACCAAUUUCAAGCCCUAAUAUGAAAUUACGGAAGUUUUAGAUGAGCUUUUAUGCUCAAGGAUUUUGAGUUGAAGAAACUGCCCCUUGCACUGUCAAAUAAAUUGACAGGAAUACUGACUUGUCCUUGAAUUGCUACAAAUACAAAACUACAGUGUCAAAAUUAACAGAAUUUAAACUAUAGGGUCAAAAGUAGUUGAAGUGUCAAACUAUAAGGACCAAAAGUGACUUUUAGCCUUUUUGUUUCAAUAAGGAAAAAACUGACCUAUUAAAUCCUUGGAAUCUAUACAAAAUUGAAACACAAUUAAUCAACAUUGAAUUGCAGCUAAUUUCUUAAACAAGGGUAUUAUAGGAAUUUAAAAAGUAUAACAUUUAAUCCAUUGAAUUUGAUUAGGAAACUUGAUGAAUUGAAUCCUAGUUAUAUAGUUUUUCUUAUAAAAAUCAGGUUUUAUUUAUAGACAAAUAAAACAAUGGGUUGUAGGUAAGAAAAUAUUAAUUUGAAGGGAAAGAGUCAAAUUUACUAAAUUAAUAAAGCAUAAAUUGGAAAGGGAAAAGAUCUAGAGGAUGCAUUGUAGGAUUGCUCAUGCCAAUAAUUGCACCCUCUCGAUAUUGAAAAACCUAUUGUUUAUUAUUAUCUUCAAUCCUGAAUGAUGCACCUAAAACCCAAGUGUCUCAGGCCAACCAUUGCGCUCAUACCACUUGUUGCAGUACACAUUCACCUGUUUUUAAAGAAAGAAAUUCUACCAAUCGAUAUUUUCUCAAAUUUAAUCACAUAGAUCUAUUAUGGUUAACCAUAUGUACUUUUAUCUGCCAUCCAGAGGUACCUUUUUCCAACGUGCAACAAUUGUAUUUGAUUCACAAUUAUGUCUGAUAUACAUCACAUCAUGCCACUUGCCUCAAAUGAAUUUAAUUGAGUGAGGCAAUGGGAAGUAAUUAAGCUCUAUAUUGGUGGGUGGAGUGUUACUUCUGGAACCCUCAUCAUUCGUCCAUACAGGGGAACAAUUCCCUUCCUUCUAUAAAAUGGGAGCAAUUCUCUCACUGUACUCUAUAUAAAGGAAUAAGUGUCGUCCACUAAUUAAUUACACUUUGUGAGAUUUGAUUUUAAUUAGAGUUCGAAUUAAUGUUGCAGCUAGCAGCGGUGGCACUGGCAAACCAUGCUGCUCAACCAGCACCUCCACUUUACUGGAAUUCCAUCCUGCCAAACACACAAAUGCCAAGAGCUAUCAGUGAACUUCUGCAUCCUGAUUUGUGUUGAAUAGAUAUAGUAUGUUACUGGAGUACGUAUGGCAACAUAUUCACAAAUGUGUCACGUAUUUUCCAUUAUGACGUUGAUAUAUAAUUGCAGACUCCACAAACGAAGAAAAGAGCACAAAUGUCAUGAAUGCUGUUGGGAAUGGAAAGCCAAUUGACCACAAGGGCAAACCUGAAAAUACUGUACUACCACAGCUUGCACGACGCCCAUUUUCUUACAAGAGUGAUGAUCGUCCCACUGACAAUCAACUCCAUUAUAAAAACGUAGCUAUUUUCUUCUUGGAGAAGGACAUGCGCCCUGGCACAACAAUGAGCUUCCAAUUCCCUAGAAAUUCAAACACGGCUACUUUCCUGCCACGAGAAAGAGCUCAAUCGAUCCCCUUCUCCUCUAACAAACUACCAGAAAUUUUCAACCAUUUUUCAGUGAAGCCAACAUCUGUGGAAGCCAAAACAAUUAAGCAAACAAUCGAAGAGUGUGAGGCUCCAGGCAUUAAGGGAGAGGAAAUAUAUUGCGCCACAUCUUUAGAAUCAAUGGUUGAUUUUAGCACUUCGAAGCUUCGAACAAGAAACGUUCAAGCAAUCUCGACGGAGGUAUUGGAAAAAGGUGCCACCAUGUCCAUGCACAAGCACACAACAAUGCCGGGACUGAAGAAGUUGGCAGGUGUCAAAGUCGUUUUGUGUCAUAAGCAGAACUAUCCCUAUGCUGUGUUUUACUGCCAUGUAAUAAAACCAACAGCAGCUUAUGUUCUCUCCCUGAAAGGCGAUGAUGGGGUGAAAGUUAAAGCAGUAGCCAUCUGCCAUCUAGACACAUCAGAAUGGAACCCAAAGCAUUUGGCCUUCCAAAUCCUCAAAGUUAAGCCCGGAACAAUUCCCAUCUGCCAUUUCCUUCCCACUGAUCAUAUUGUCUGGGUUCCGAACCACAAAUCUGCAUGAUCAUCACUUAGCACUGUACGUAUAAUAACCUUUACCCCUGUAUAAUUAUCUCCCUACUCUACUUAUUUCUGCCUCUUCAUGUGGUGUAAGAUAUAUGAUGAGAUGAAGUUUUUGGGAUUAGUGGUCGGGUUGCCUUAAAAACACAGAUUACAGAAACUGCUUGAACUUAACCCGAUCAUGUUUUCUCUUGUACUCGUAAAGCAUGCUGUUGUGGUUCUACUUAAUUUCGUCCUCCCCAAUGUUUGAGUGUUUAAUUGUUACGUUGGAAUAGGCUGCUAAUGCAUGUAGUUAGAGAAGCUUUCAUUUAUAUCAAAGUCCUCAAACUAUCAAGAAUUAAUGCAUCCAGAAACAUAUAUACCAAGACGCAAAACAACAUAUUUUCCAUGCUGUGUCGGUAACACCAAAGCAAACUUCCUUUAUCACAAAAGGACCAAAUUCCAAUACUAAUCUAAUCCAUCAUGUAAAGCAUACAAUCUACAACUGCCUCCCUAAAUUUGUCCAUUGGAUAUAUAUGUCACUUUUUGGUAAUUUGGUAUAGCAGCACCACGUAGUAUGCAUUUAACAGAAAAGUAAACAAAAUUGACAGUAGAACUAUUUGUCCUAACGAAACUGAAGUUGAAAGACCAUGAGAACGAUUUUGAAAAUUAAGGGACUCAAAUGAAAAUUGGGUCUAAGUUCAGGGACCAAUAAAACGAUUAACCCAUAGAUUUUGGAUCCAGUACCACAUCCCAAAGAGAAAACCACAAGUUUGCAAGCAAGUUUGUCCAUACUAACACUACGUACAGUAUGGGCAAUGUGCUAGACUCAUCUCACUUUCUCAACCUAUCCUAUACUUGUCUAAAAGAGUUUCUAAUUUAAUGUACUGAGAUUUACGAAAGAAAUAUCAGAGAAACAAUUUUCAGGCAAUAAAAAAAUGUCUUGGCAAGAAAAUGCACAAUUUGUUACAUAACUUAUUAAAUAUGAACAGUUGAAAGAAAAAAGAAUUUGGAUGAGGGAUUUGCAAAUUCCUAUGGCCCAAUUACCUUUUUUUCUUUGUUUUUUUUUGGUUCUUUUGAUCCAGUAGCAUAUUCCAAAGAAUGAAAACCACAGGCAUGCAAUGCAAGCUCUUUUCCCAUGUUUUCCUCUGUUUUUCUCCUAUCAUGGAAGUGAUUAAAACACACCUCUAAGCUUGUUUUGCGUUUGGUAGCCGAGUGUAAAAGCUCAAUGCAAGAUAGUUUGAGGUAGAAUUUUCUCCUGUUUUAUUAGGACAAUGAUGAGCUAUAUGUGACAACAAAUUGCUUUAAUAAUGAAAAUUAAAAAAGUGUGAUUCAUUGAAUAUUUGCGGGGUUUUGUUCAGAGCUGACAAAGUUCUAAGUCAACACAUCAAAUUCCUUUUUCCAACAAUCGUAUUUGAUUCACAAUUUUGUCUGAUAUACAUCACAUCAUGACACUUGCAUCAAAUGAAUUUAAUUGAGUGAGGCAAUGGGAAGUAAUUAAGCUCUAUAUUGGUGGGUGGAGUGUUACUUCUGGAAUCCUAAUCAUUCGUCCCUACAGGACUCUAGAACUCUCACACUUCUUACAAGGACUACUUAACUCUAUAGCUUAUUGCAUAUAGCAUAUAUAUGCAAACCCAAUUAGAAAUUCUACAACAGAAGCAAGAUCAAUCUCACUAUGCCUUCUAAACAAACAAACAAAUAAAACAAGCAUAUUAAUUGCUUUAAUCACUCUACUAACAUCAACACAGCACACUUAGUUUACUAACAGAUGAUAUAGAAAGGAAAAAAAAGGACCAAUAGGGAGAAAAUGGUGAACUAAGGAGAGACUAAUACUUCUGGUCCUUAGAAGGCAUAACAGAAAUAAUAGAGCACACUGCUUGAAUGCAAGUCAGUAUUAGGAGCAAAACAGCUGCAAUGAAAGAAAUAGUUGCCCAAGGUGUAUUGAAAUAAUGUUGCCUCAAAUUUGCCUUCCAUUUGUUCCAAGGCUUUCUGCAGUAGCUAUUAAGGCGCUCAGAAAGAGUAGCAAAGUAGAAGCUUUCACGAUACACUGCAAUUCCUUUUCCGAGGUUGUUAAUCAGAGUGCACACCUCAUUGUAGUCACCAAGCAUAUUUUUGACAAUCCCAUACUUCAGAAGGAACUCCACAUCCUUUUCGGUGUUCACAAACUCAUCCAUGAGUGAAACAUAAUCACUUAUGUAAUUCUUACGGCAAUGGCACUAUUCAAAGGCAAUGAGGUUAUGGAGUGUGAGCUCUGUGUAAUCGUUUAUUUUUAGUUUUGGAAUUUCUAGAAUCCCAUCGUUGAAUCGUGUUAACGCAGCUUUCCUUUCCUAGCCUACGCGGAAGUCAACUUCACAAUCUCCUCCUAGCAAUUAGCCUUUCCUACUGUAAAUCGGAUUGUAUUCAUGUCUAUAUUAUUUCCUACCUUAAAUAGAUAUCCUGUACUAGUAUACAUAGGGACUUUGUGUAAUCUGUUAAAUACAAGGAAAUAUAUACUCUACAUGGUAUCAACCUAACCUAGGGUUCUCUCUCUCCCCCUUAUUCGAUCCUCUUCUCCUUUAGGUCCACCUCAUGGCUUCGUUUGAAUCCACCAUCUCCCUCCCAAGCCCUAACUCUUCUCAUUUUAUCAAGCUUACUAACUCCAACUAUCUUCUUUGGCUCCGCCAACUCAAACCCUUUUAGUUGGCCAUGACCUCUGGAAAUUUAUCGAUGGCAUUCAUAAACAACCUUCUGCCCACACCUCCACCUCUACCACCACAACACCCACAACCACCACCACUCUUACCGAAAUCAAUCCUACCUAUGCUCAGUGGUACCAACAAGACCAACUCAUUGUUAGCUACAUCACCAGUACACUCUCUGAGUCCAUUUUCUCUCUCACUGUCGGUUGCAUCUCUGCCCGGGAUCUCUGGGAGUGUCUCCAAUGCCACUUCUCUUAAUCCAAUAUGGCCAGUGAAUCUGCUCUUCGUUUUCAACUCAUGGAUUUGCAAAAAGGCUCUCAACCCAUUGAUGCUUACCUUCGUCAUGCUAAGUCUCUUGCCGAUUCACUAGCUGCCAUCAAUUAACCUGUCUCCCCAAAAGAACUUGUCACUGCUGUGCUUCGGGGUUUAGGACCCGAUCACAAAAUGCUCAUCACAGCAAUUCUCAAUUUCUCUCCGCUUCCAGACUUUGCUGAUCUUCGUGCUCGUUUGUUAGCUUUUGAUGCACAGACUCCUCGAAUCUUUCCUGAUCAAAACACAACGCUAAUGGCCACCCAAUCUUCUCCUUACACCACCGGUCAUACUUCCUUCCCUUCUCACCGUGGUUGUGGCUCUUCCAGCAAUAGGCGCGGUGGCUGGUGCAGUAUUGGCCGUGGUGGCUGGCACAACUUCUCAUCUUCCUAGAGCAACCCGUGGAAUGGCUUCCAGCAGCCCUAAUGACCUAAUCAACUGUGGCCUCCUUUUGCUCUAAGUUUUGGAUCUCAAAGCAACUGGCCUUCCUUUCAACCUCUUUGGGCCCAAUCUGCCGCUUCUAGCAAACACUCUGCCCGACCCAACUCAGCUCCUGGUGUCUUGGGACCCGCUUGGUGCACCACAUGCAAUACCAAUCGACAUACUACUACAACAUGUCCUUAUUGCUACAAUGGCCCAGAAUUCUUCCUUUGCUGGGGCUCAAUUCAUGCAGCCACCUAACUCUACAUGGUACCCUGACACAAGUGCCACUCAUCAUAUGACUGGUAGUUCUUCUAAUCUCCAAAGGAAAUUAAAUGAAGGAGUCCUACGAAGGCUCAAGGCUCGAAAGCACACGAUCCGGCUCUGCUGCGGAGCUCACUCAACUACUGGCUGAGGGGGCGCAAAACAGAAAAUUGUGAGUGGACAAAAAUAAAAAUUCAGUUCAGUGUAAACCAACGUAAUAUAACCCCACCGUUUAGAAAACCAUGCAAGAAAUCCAAAUGCAUCUCAAAACCAUCAUAAUCAUCAAAUCAAAAUCAAAUACUGGAUGCCAAGUCCGAAAUCCAUAAAGAAAGCUUUACAAACCCACCAUCCAAAUCUUACAAUCCCACAACUAAACUCUCGAAAGCGUACCCAUUGGCAGUACCAGCAAGGAAGUAUCCUCACCGAGAAACAAGAACAAAAGAAUAGCUAUAUAUAUAAUUAUAUAAUAUAACCACACCUAGUUGUACCGGGAAAACAAUCCAACCGGGGGAUUGUUUGACUAGUCACCAUGGCAGAGUCAAAGUAAACAAAUUCCUCAAUUCACCAUGUGACUAGGGAACGAGCUGUCCAACUGGGGGACCAACUCUCAGCCAGCAUGUACCGUCGAUAGCCUCAAAACCCGUACGUCUGUGACCAGUCCUACGCGUGCAGACUACCCAAUCAAGGGUUUACAGCAACAUCCCAUCAAGGAUGCCCUAGGUUCCCACAAUUCCAAGUAUCUCAAGUUUGCGUAUCCAAGUUCCAAAUCCGGGGAGGUACAUAGGGUAGUGCUUAUAGCACUCCAAAUUGACAUUCUAUACUCAUCACUUUCCACAAUCUCAUCUCAACAACCUAAGUACCCCACACAUAGCCAAACAUAUAUAGAAAUUCUCAAAAUCCAUAUAUACAUACUCAAGAUACUCAAAUAUGUCAAAAUCCAAAAUAUAUUUCCAAUGCAUCAUAAAAAUAUCACUUUUAACAAUUGAAUAAAUAAUAUAUAUCCAAUAUACCAAUUAAAACAUCAUGCAUAAUAUUUCCCAUCAUAAAAUCAUGCAUAAGAUUUGAAAACAAAGUCCACUCACAAGUAGUCCCACACUGCUUGACCUUGAGAGGGUCCCGCCUACUGCGUAUGCGUGGUUGGAGUACCUAUUUCAGAAUACGUAUACGAGAUUAAUAAGAAGCGUUUCGAACGAGAACUUUGAAUUAAAUAUCCUAAUUUCCCAGGUUUCUAGUAAGUGUACUAGGAACGAGACGUUCUAAGGUUCCACUACCCAAUUCGAACCAUGGAAGAGCUUCGGGAGACACUCGGUCAACCGGCGGUCAAAUUCCCAAAUCGGGUCAACUGGCCCACGGGACCCACGACCUCCGUUUUUAAAAUCCGUAAGUUCCUAAAGGUUUCACAAUGUCUAAGAUACUACUAUCACAAGUUUGGUCCGAAACGGACUGUUAGAUCGCUUACGAUCGCACGAUCAGACGGUUAUUGUAAAACGUAAACUUUAAGUUAUUGAAUCAGAACAUCCGGGGCUCCGAUUCACGAUCCGCGAAUUCCUACACGAUCCUAGGAAGGUCUAGAGUAACAUAUAUUGGAAUGGAGUCGAUCCAAAGGUCCGAACAUAUCGAACCUAGACCGGAUAACUCCUAAUAUGUGAGAUUCGUUCGGGGUUCGAACAUCAACCAAAUUGGAAUCCUAAGGUACCUACGUGCUCGUGACAUUAAGGGGAUCAAUUGGGACAAAAAUGCCCCUCUGCUACAGUGCCCACGUGCCACCACACGCGGCGGUAGAGAGUGGGUGUCCAAAGCGAUUUCUCUUCGCCGGAAAAUCUCCAAAUUACAAGCCACUCUCCUGGCUACAGGUUCUACUCAACGAGUGGAACACUUUAUUCAACUACAGCCAAGUCCAAUUCGGACGGCAAGUGGCCGGAAACUCACGGUUUAACCCGGAACUUCAUGGCUUGGAUUGGGCGACCAUCGUCACCAUUGUCGUGGCACAACCUAGGAAAUAGCUAAAAGGAGAGGAGGGCUACCUAUUCCAAGCGAUGGCGCAGCUCGCGGUAGCCGAAAAUGUAGCCGAUGACGUUGGCAGUUUUGGCCGGUUUUUCACGUCGUUGCCAUCGCCGUUUGUCGAGUUUUCGAUUGGAGAAAAGGGGUGGGGUGAGUAGAGGAGGAAGAGAGGAAGCUUUUGCAAGAAAUGACACUUGUCAGGGAGGGGGGGGUUGGGGGAAGAGAGAGAGAGAGAGAGAGAGAGAGAGAGAAAAAAAAAAAAUUUCAGAUUUUCAUCCAAACCCUUUUCGAAAUAUUUACAAGUUUGCCACUAAACUACUUUUGGUUGCCAAAUCUUCGUUAUAACUCCGAUUCAAGCCUACCACGUGUCUACGGAUUCGUCUCAAUACAACCUACCCAAAAAUACCAGUCACUGCCCCAAACUCUUUUUGGGUAAGAAAAUGACCAAAAUACCCCUACCCCAAGGGUAAAUUCAUAAUUUCACUUCAAUAAUUUAAUAAAGAAUUAAAUUUGGAGUCGGGGUGUUACAUUAACUACCUGUUUAGUAGGUGUGGGGUUUUAUACAAAAAGCAUCGAUGUUAUUGGGAGUGGAACCACUUAUUAUAAGUUGUGAUUUAUUUAGUCAAGUUUCCUAUGUGGGAUUUUCUAUUCUUCAACAAGCCCCCUCAUGUGGGACCACCACAUAGUGGGCCACAUGUAAAGCUAAGUCCACAUCGGAGUCAAUCAUUCAAGCCCAAUACCUAAACACCACGUAUUGUGUGAGGGGUAGGGGUAAACAUUCAAGCCCAACAUGUGAACCACCAAAUAUUAAGUAAGGGUAAAGGCUCAAUUCAGGCCCAAUCAAUGAACCCAUUAUGAUAUCAUGUUAAAUUUCAGAUAGACGGGACUGUGGCCCACCACUAGCAACAUUGAUAUUGUCCCCAACUUAACUACAUGUUUAGUAGGUGUGGAGUUCUAUACAUAAGGUCUCGAUGUUUUUAGGAGUGGAACCACUUAUUAUAAGUUAUAAUUUAUUUAGUCAAGUUUCCAGUCAACCUGACUUUGAUACCAUGUUAAGAUUUUAAAGGGACGAACUCUUGGCACUAUUAGUAACAUCGACAUUGUCCCCAACUUAACCACCUGUUUAGCAAGUGUGGGGUUUUAUCCUAAAGGCCUCGAUCUUAUUAAGAGUUGAGUCAUUUAUUAUAUGGAACUUUCUAUUUUGUUAACUCUGUGUAUUCUUCAUCAAUGUGAACACCCCUAAACCAAUCAUACCUGAUACGAAUUGAAACACAAGUUUGUUUUUUGCCUUUGGUAGAUGAGUAGCUAGAAAAGCUCAAUGCACUUGCUCUUCUGCUACAUUUCAAUAUAAGAACAAGGUUUGGAAGUCAGGUCAACUCCUCAUAGCUUCCUUGCCUUUGCUUUGACAUGUCUAUGCACUUCUUGGGGAAGUUUGAAUAAUCCAUUGCAGGCCCCAUGACAACUAAGGAACCAACAUUUUGUAGAAGGUUUUGUCUAUACCUUUUGACUAUAAGUAAAAUCUUUUGUAUCUGCUCUUAUGUUUCGGUGAAGUUUCUAUGUGUCCUUUGUGCCGAGUUUCUAUGCGUCCUUUGUUGAACCAAAAAAUGAGGUUGUUUCUUACUAGAUUCAAAUACUUAAAAGAAAAAAAGAAAUUGUUGUUUCUUAAUGGAUUUUAUGAUGAACAAUAUCAAACUCUCCUCUUAUACGUCUGUUGGUAAAUUUUAACAACAAUAUUAAAACCUUGCAAGUGCACAAAUCAAAUGAUAGUAUAGUAAGCAAGCAAGGGUCGAUCCCACGGAGAUUGUGAUCUAAAGAGAUGUUUAUCAAUGUCACGCAAUGAAAAUCAAAACAAAGGACUUCCAAACACACGCCAACACCAAGGGGGGUUUUGAUUUGUUUUUGUGAAUCAAACAAAAUAAGGAAAAGGAAACAAAAGAGAAUUUAAAUUAGAGUUUAAGAGAAAUUGGUUUAAAAUCAAUCAAGAUCAAUAGCUAGGACUUACUAUCCACCUCCAAACAAUCAAUCAAUCCAUAAACAACAAUAGAUAAUCAAUUUCUAGUAAGCACACUACUACAAAAAAGCAAAAAGACGACGGUAAAUCACCGUCGUGUAUUCGGUUUUUCAAUGGUCGUGGAAUCCACCGUCAUCUUUUCCCUCAUAAACCACGACGCUAAAUCACCGUCGUUGUUACAAUAUACAACGUCAUCAACAAAUACAAAACGACGUCUUUGUACUGCAAAAAGAUCUAAAAAAGCAAUCGAUGAUGAGAAAAGACGACCAACUCUCUAAACAAACCGUCGUUAAAAAGAAAAAAUAUGACACAUAUUAACAGAACAUGGCCGCAAGAUAGACAUACAACGACGAAAAUUAAAAUAAGACGCCGUUAAAUAUCAUUUUCACGACAAUAAAAAAUAUGUCGUCUUUAAAUACAUUAGAAGACGACGUUAUUGAUACCUACUACGUCGCCUAUAUAAAAAUAACCGUCGUAAAAUAAAUUUUCCACUUCGAUUUUUCUAUAAAAGAUGACGUGGAAAUAGUUGUCAGUGUCAUUAUUUACGACGUAUGUAUUUAUAGAGUAGACGUUGAACAACGAAACAACGUCGGUUACAAAUAUAUGAGAGUCGUAUUACAAAAUUUAUACGUCCUAUUUUCAGAAACAAACAACGACGAUAAAUAUUAGACGUUGUUAAAUAAAACAACGUCGAAAACAAAUAAAAACAGACGUGUUUAGUCUGCUAAAGUUCUAAAAAAUAGUCGAGGAUGAGAAUAGACGACCAACUCAAACAAAUCACCGUCGUUAAAAAGGAAAAAUAUGACACAUAUUAAAAGAACAAGGCCGCAAGAUAGACAUACAACGACGACAACUAAAACACUACGCCGUCAAAUAUAAUUUUCACGACAAGAAAAAAUAUGACGUCUUUAAAUACAUGAGAAGACGACGUUAUUGAAAUAUACUACGUUUCUUAUUUACAAACAACCGUCGUGAAAUAAAUUUUCCACUUCGAUUUUUCUAAAAAAGAUGAUGUGGAAAUAGUUGUCAGUGUCAUUAUUUACGACGUAUGUAUUUAUAUAGUUGACGUUGAAAUGCGAAACAACGUCGGUGGCAUUUAUAUAGUCGACGUUGUAUUUAUAUGUAUUCAUUACUCACGACGCACUUAUUAAUAUAGACGACGUUGAACUUCUAAACAACGUCGGUUCCAAAUAAAUGAGAGCCGUAUUACAGAAAAUAUAGAUGGCGUUGAUUAUGAUGAGAGCCGUAUUACAAAUAACGUCGUUUAAUUGAUAUUAGACGGCGGUUAUAAUGAAUUACCGUCGGAAUUCAUUUCGUUCCUCUUCGUUUAUAAAAGAACUUGCGACGUGGAAAAUGUAUGAUGACGUCGUAUUUUUUAACGUUCAGAUUAUAUAUCUCGUUUUUUAGACGUCGGUAUUAUGGGAUUGGAGUCGUGUUAUUUUGAAUUACAUGGCGGUUCUUAAUCCUUCCCCGACGUGAUAUCCUGAAUAAUUGCUUCAUAAUAGCGUCGUGGUUCUUCAUUGUUACGUUGCUUUAAGACGUCGGUAAAUAUGCUGAAUAACUGGUUCACAAUAACGUCGUGUUUUAUUUGAACGUAGAAAGUGAAGAAAUCACAUUACAAUAUAUUACAAAAUUAAUGUCAUACACUGCCAAUUACAUAAGCAUCAUUCAAUCCAUAUAUCUUCACACCCAUCUCGAAUAUUUUGACCGCCUAACUCACCCACCAGUUCAUCAAAUGUGUCAACAUUUGGCAUCCCUCUAGUAAAUGGCUCACACUCAAUUAUCACAUCACCUAAGACUUCAUCACCAAUAACAUUAUUAUAUUCUCUAUUAGGCAUUGAUAACACUACCGACCAACCACGAUGCAUCGGGUCGUCAACAAAAAAUAUUUGUUUGACUUGAGAAGCCAAAACAAAUUGGUCAUUCCUAUGUCCAAUUUUACUCAAAUCUACAAGGGUAAAUCCAAGUUCGUCGACUACAAGACCAGAACUAUCUAUCCAAUCACACCUAAAGACUGGGAUUGUAAACUUUUGGUAGUCAAGGUCCCAAAUUUCUUGAAUGACACCAUAGAAACCCAUAUUUGAGAGAAUUGAGUUUUUAUCCUUGGCACUAGCAACUUGCAUGGUAUGUGCAAGUAAAUAAACUCCACUAUUUUGAGUUGUCCGCACAUCAUCUUGUGCCUUGAUAUUGAAUUUAAUACCUUUAAUAAGAUAGCUCCUAUAUAAUGGCACAGCCAUGUUUGGACCAGCUGCUAGCCACCUUAAAUUUUCUGAUACGCCAUGAUUGUCUUCCUCAAGUUCACUUUGAACCUGCAAAUUAAUCAUAUAUCUUAAUGCAAUCUAACAUAGAAAUAAGAAGAAAAUUAAAAGAGAAAUAUGUUAUUCAACAACAUAUACCUUGAAGCGUAGCCAUUGAAUGAAAGUGUUAUUGUGCUUAUCCUGCAGCCACUUUGUGAUUUAAGGUAUGACAAUCAUGUGAUUUAAGGCCAAGAAGUCUUGAAUCUUGUAAAGAUACAAGAUUUUUAAUAUUUGAAGAAUAACCUUCAGGGACCUUCAUACCAUAGAAAGAAUUGCAAACCUCUCUCUUCUCUGCUCUUGACAAAUUCCAAGGCCCAGGAGGCAAACGAGUACGUCUUUCUCCAUACUCGGGUUGCAAAUCAGUUUUGACCCCCAUGUUCAAUAAAUCUAAUCGAGCAGCAAUCCCAUCUUUAUUUUUUCCAGGGAUCUCCAGCAAUGUACCAAUGAUACUAUCGCAAACAUUCUUCUCAAUGUGCAUAACAUCUAGGGCAUGCCUCACAGGAAGGUAUUUCCAAUACUCGAGAUCAAAGAAUAUUGAUUUCUUCUUCCAACAAACUCUGUCACCAUUUUCAACCAUGUGCAGCACUUCUUCUCCGGUUAAUGGCUCGGGAGGUAUGCCAUAUUCAGGUUUCCCAUUAAAAGCUGCACGUUGCCUCCUAUAUGGAUGAUUGAUUGGUAACCAUUUUCUAUGCCCAAUGUAACAAAUUUUGUGGCCAUUUUCAACCUGUGACUAGGUGUAUCAUCGCCGCAUAUUGGACAAGCUUUAUAUCCUUUAACAACACAACCAGAUAAGUUUCCAUAGGCGGGGAAAUCAUUAAUUGUCCACAUUAAUGCAGCUCUGAGUGUAAAGUAUUCUCCAUUAUGUGCAUCAUACACUCCUCUAAUCCCAUCCCACAAAGAUUUUAAAUCAUCAAUCAAAGGCUCCAAGUAGACGUCUAUAUCAUUUUCGGGUUGUUUAGGACCGGAAAUCAAUAAGGUUAACAUCAUGAACUUUCGUUUCAUGCACAGCCAUGGAGGGAGAUUAUAUGUAACUAAGAUAACCGGCCAACAACUAUAUCUGCUACUUAGAGAACUGUGGGGAUUGAAUCCAUCAGAUGAAAGAGCCAAUCUCAAGUUUCUCGGCUCAUUACCAAACUCAGGCCAUUUAUCAUCAAGAAGUUUCCAAGACGGGGAAUCCGCCGGAUGAGACAUCUGACCGUCAAUUGAUUUUCUAGCAGCAUGCCAAGUCAAACUCUUAGCUGUCUCAUGUGAUUGAAACAUCCUUUUAAACCUUGGAAUUGGAGGAAAAUACCACACCACCUUCGCUGGCACAUCCUCUUUCAAGAUUGAAUCUUUGCCUUCCUUCCACCUUGAGAUACCACAAGUAGGACAAUUAGUUGAAUCCUCAUACUCCUUCCUAUACAAGAUGCAAUCAUUGGGGCAUGCGUGCAUUUUCUCAUAACUCAGCCCCAAUGCACACAAAGUCUUUUUUGCCUCAUACAUAGAGGUUGGUAUUGUAUUUCCUUCUGGAAGCAAAUCGCCUUGAAGUAUCAAUAAUUCUGUAAAACAGACAUCACUCAUCCCAUGUUUUGCCUUCAAAUUAUACAACUUCACUAAUGCCGAUAACUUCGUGUACUUUCUACAACCAGGGUACACUGGUUGAUCUCCAUCCCCAAUCACAUUGGCAAACUCAUACGGAUCGGAACCAAAAUCACCAAAAUCAUUAUCAUCCAUAUCAAUUUCUUCAGACACAAAACUGUACCUACUAUGGCCAUCAUCUUCUUCAACAUUUCUACUAGCAUUAGUAGUUGCUUCCCAAGGUUCUCCGUGAAAUGUCCAAUUCUUAUAGCUUUGGUCAAUUCCAUUAAAGUAUAAGUGAUCCCUUAUAAUUCCAACCCCAAACAACUUCAAAUUAACACAUUUAACACAUGGACAACGGAUAUGUGUUGUAGUUAGAAGAUUUUCUACAGCAAAGUUCAAAAAUGCUUCCACCCCAAACUCAUAUGCCUUCGAUCUUCUAUCCGAGUGCAUCCAUGACUUAUUCAUCUCCGACACUAUAACCUAUUAUCUAUAAUAAAGUGAAAAUACAGGCAAUGACCAUCACUAUAGCAGAUUAUACAAAGAUCUAAUAGCAAGUAAUACAUAACAGAGACGACGGGUUUUAAACAAAAACAGACGUAUUUGGCAUAUAUAGACGACGGAUUUUCAACAGACGUCGUCUAAUAUAAGUAAUACAAACGACGGUUUAUGAAAAAACCGUCGUGUAUAAGUAAUACAACGACGGUUUUUUCAUAAACCGUCGUGUAAUCGUCGUCGUAUGCCUAAAAAGGCGUCGUGUCUCAGUUUAUUUUCAAGAACCCAAAACCCAUUAAGAACACAACAUAUAUAUGAAACCAAGCAAGAAACCAACAUAUACAUGAAGCCAAGCAUGAAAACAAUAAAUCCAUUCCCAAUUCAACAUAACAUAGGGUGAUUAAAAGAUCCGACAAAAUUAAAACCAUUCCCAAUUCAACAUAACAGAUAAUGUAAUCCAUGAACCCAUUAAACAGAAAAUCCAUGAACCUAUACCUAUAAGCACAUUAUUAACAGAUCGCAAAGCAUAUACCUAAAACCCUUUAACAAAACAACCUAAUAUCAUUCAAUGAAUUUACAAAGGGAAGAUAGGGUUUGUACUUACAGGUUGGACGAGCUCACAGAUUCGACGAAGCCUGGAGAGUGCAACUUUUAAUUAGAGCAGAAGUGAGAGAGCGAAUGUUAUGUUGCGCGAAAUCUGAAAAUUUUAGGGUUCAGGGUUAGAAGUAUAAGAAUAAGAGCCAAAUAUAAAAAAAUUUAGGGCGCGCGAAAAUUUUUAGAGCGCGCGCUCUUUAAAACGUCGAAAGAAAAACCAUGGCGAAAGUUCUACAAGAACCGACGUAAAUGUAAUAUUCCACGACGAAAACACUUAACGUAACGCCGUUUAUUUUGACGUUCAUUUUUCGGAUUAAUUUUAAAUUUAUUUUGAAUAUUUUGAUAUAAAGACGACUGAAAAACCACGUCGAAGUUAAGAAAUUGAAAACGUUGUAAAUUAUAAUAGACGACUUACAUAUUAAAAUGACGUCGUUUAAAGUGGAAACCAUGUCGGAUAUUUUACUGCACGACGUAACAUAUGUAUUCCACGACUCAACCACCGUCGUUAACAAUUAAUACCCUAAACCCUUAAAACUAAAUUAUAUAAUUUUAAAAAUUAAGUUUAUAAAAGGGUUUAUGGUUUUACAGCCUAAUAUAUACCCUAUACUACCCAAAAAUUAUACUUUAAAAAUAAACCCCAAUAAAUAACAACCCUAAUCUCUAAACCCUAGACUCUAAACCCUAAACCAUAAAACUAGAAGUGAUUUUAUGACUCAUCAAAACAAUUUUGUUUUGGAUGGUCAUUUUAAAUUUUUUUUAUUCAAAAUGAAUUUUUUCAAGGUUUAGGGGGAAGAAAAUAUAUCAAUGACUUCAUAGGAGUUGACUUUUCAUUUUUCUGAUUUAUUUUAAAUUUAUUUUGAAUAUUUUGAUAUAAAAAUAAUAAAAUAUUCUUAUCACAAUAACAAACCACGUCGGUGUUAAUAAAUUUUAGACGUUGUAAAUUGUAAUAGACGACUAAGUUGUUAAAAUGACGUCGUUUAAAUGAGAAACCAUGGCGGAUAUUUAACUAUCCGACAUAAAAUAUAUAUUCCACGACUUAACCGCUGUCGUUACAAAGUACUACCCUGAACCCUUAAGAAAUUGAAGACGUUGUAAACCAUAAACGACUCAAUUGUUCAAAGAACGUCGUCUAAAUAUCCUUUUACGUCGGAUUUGGUUAAAACGAAACAACAAAAAACGACGGCUUUUGACUUUAUUACGUCGUUGGAAAAGUAUUACACGUCGGUUACGCAAUUUGUAUGUUUGUUUUUUUUUUUAAUUUAAGAAAACCUCAACAAAUUUUUACAUUAUAUAUUAUAGACAAAAUUUGUACAUUAUACAUAAAUAUCAAGUGUUCAAUAAUUCCCCUAUUCCAGGUGAAGGCAAACAAACUCUGACCAUUCAUUCCGGACUUCAUCAAUUGCUUCUUGGGGGUAUGGCGCUUCCUGUUUUCCCUUGGCAUACUGCAUAAACAAUGACUAUUAGGGUUUAUAAAUAAAAAGAAAUUCAAUCACAGACGACGAUAUUUUUCAUAACCGACGUACUAUAUCUAUUCAACGACGGUAAUUUUACAUGACCGUCGUUGAUAAUACAAAAAACGACGUAAAAUGUAUGAAGGUAAUUUCUUCUUACCUUCUUCUCAAACCCCAAGGAAGGAUCCAUGAUGAUGUCCCUCAUGAAGCGCAUCACAUAAUACCCGCAUUCGACAUUGCUGGGUUGCUUUGGUGUCCCUGACAGAGUUUUCCAAAUGGCUGCCUUACGGCCUGGUCUGGCUAUGUGAGAAUUAUAAAUUUUUAUAGCACUGUUCACAAUGUUUUUGGCCUCUUCAUCGACCACACGAUUUCCUGGCAGAGGAUCCAGAAAAUAGACGGUUUCUCUCUUUGCUCUUACAAUCAGCAAGAUCCAAUGACGGCUGCACAAAAUUAAUAUAAAAACGACGGUUAUUUACAAUAACGACGUAUUAUAAUGUUUCACACGACGAAAUAAAGUAGCAAUCGACGACAUUUUACAUUUAUCACGACGAUAAAUAACUACCGACGUGGUUAGUAGUUUCAAACGACUCAAUAAAAUAAAACACCGACGUGGUUAGUUUAUACGCUGUAAUUUAUUGAAAAUCAUAAAAACAAAAUCCUGUUAAGGAGACUAACCCUGGAUUGUAAGGCAUCAGGAAAAUCUGUUCACCGUCAGUCUUUUGAAGUCGAGCUGCUAGUAAGCGUGAUCUGUCAGCUAUUGUGCCAGAGUUGGCACUAACUGUAGCAAGGUCGAUAAAGCCAACCAUAUUGCACAUAUUUGCUCGUUUCAAAACAUCGUGCAAGUGCCUAAAUAUAUAAAAUAAUAUAAACAAGUCAGCACAAAAAAACACACGACGGUUAUGUAUAACAAAACGACGUAUUAUAAAAUUUCACACGACGUACUGAAAUAGACAACGACGUUAUAAUAUAUUUAUCACGACGGUAAAUACUAACGACGUGGUUAGUUAGUUAAGACGACGUAAUAAAUAAACCAACGACGUAUUAUUUUAGAAUGACAAACCUCAUAUAUACAAAAAAACACGACGGUUAUGUAUAACAAAACGACGUAUUAUAAAAUUUCACACGACAUACUGAAAUAGACAACGACGUUAUGAUAUACUAACGACGUGGUUAGUUGGUUAAGACGACGCAAUAAAUACACCAACGACGUAUUAUUUUAGAAUGACAAACCUCAUAUAUACAGCAAUGACAGUGGCUCCUAUUUCUUCCAUGCCUGCAAAUUGUGUAAUAUCUUCAGGCAGGAGGAAGGUAUCGCGCUCUAGACCAAACACCUCCUUAUCAAUUGUAAAGUGCAGGGUCUUAUCCUGAGGCACGAGUGUCGUUUCCACAUAACGACAAAGGGAGUUUAAAGAAGAUGGCGCCUCCAUAUUUGAAUAAUCAACAACUUUAAUAACCUGUUUAAAGAAAUAUAAAAAAUGACGUGGUAAUUCAAUAAAAACGACGGUUUAAGGAAUAAAACGUCGUCUGAAAAGAAUUUAAACGUCGUCUGAAGAAACCGUCGUGGUGAAUAAUUUAUUACGUCUUAAAAAAAAUUCCGCCGUCUAAGUUGUAAACAAACGACGGUUUAAAGAAAAAUAUCGACGUCUGGAAUUUUGAAAAACAAAUAAAAAAGGCAAAGUUAUGUGAACAUACCUGGUCGUCAUCUUCUUUCUCCUUUUCAUCAUGUUUUUCUUCUGUCUUCCCUUCAUCUAUUACGUCGAGAAUGACUAACUCCGUCGUCUAAAAACCACAAAGUUUUAAAAUAACGACGUUUAAUGGCGUGUAAAACAAGUAAACUAAAUACGACGUGGUAUUGAAAUACAAACGACGGUUUAUGUUUAAAAUCGUGGUGGUAUGUAUUUCAAACGACGGUUUUAUUAAUAAUAACGACAUCUAAUGGUUUUUAAAAAAACAGAGAAUUCAAAGUUCAGAUAUGUUACCUUUUCUUCCUGAUGUUUCCCAUUUUUGGCAGUAUCAUCCUCAAAAUGCUGGGAUCUCACAUCACCUCCAGAGCAGCUUGCUUUGUCAGACAUUGGAUUUUUGGGACUUUGGCUAAUUCUGGGUUUAAGCAUGCUUGGAUCAAAAUUGGGAAUUAAUUGGGAAAGCUGACUCAGGAAAUGCUCCCUCUCAGCCUCUACCAAUUGUUUCGUUCUAGCCUCCAUCCUUAAAGCCUCUUCCCUUGCCUUAGCUUCCAUCUUUUUAGUCUCUUCUUGAAGGAGAACUCUUAAACUGUCCUUCAAACGGUCGUCAAAGCUCACUCUCUGUGGUUUGGGUAAAUUGAAAUAUUGCCUUGGUGAGAUCCCAGCACCUACUCCUCUCACUCUGCCUGGAUGCUCGGGGCCCAAAGCCAUGGUCAGCACAUCAUUGCUGCCAGAAACAGUGACUUUGCCUUCCGAGACUUGUUUUUGCAAUUCAUCCUAAAACAAAGAUAUAUAAAAAAGUAAGAACAAAAACACACGACGGUUAUUUAUAUACAAACGACGUAUUAUAUAAUUUCACACGACGCAAUAACAUAUAAAUCGACGUUAUUAUAAUUUAUCACGACGGUAGUUUUUAAACCGACGUGGUUAGUUUUUAAAACGACGAAAUGAAUAAACCACCGACGUCUUAUGCUUUAUUUACAGAUAACAGAGGGAUGAUUCAAUAUUCACACCUUUAACGACCUUGUUUAAAAUAUUUCGACGUAGUAAUUCAAUACAAACGACGCGAAAAUGAACCACCGACAUCUUAUGCUAUAAUUACAGAAAACAGAGUAGUGAUUCCUGAUUUAGACCUUUAACGAUGUGGUAAUAUCAUUCACACGACGCAAAAUAUAACAUAAGACGUAAUAAGAAUUAUUCACAGUUUAAUAAAAAUUUAAAACAGAGUGAGUAGGCUUACAAUUAAUUUUGCUUUCUCUGCCACCUUUGGAUCCGGGAUGUUACCAUGUUUGUCCUGUCUAGCUCUCUUCCAUAAGGUAGAUCGAUCAAUUUCUACCCCAGGCAUGGUUUCCUCCAAUUGAUCCUCCAAACCAGCAUAUCCUUUUCGAGACAAUCGAUGAUUGUACUCAAGUUUCUCCCUAAUCUGUGCAUGUUGAGAAUGCACAGACUCAAAAUCUUUGGAUAACCUUGAAGCUACAAAGGCAUCCCAUUGUGCUUUCUCUAUGAAUUUAUAUAUUUCAGGGGGUUGGCUUAAUCUCUCCCUGUCAUUAGUGUAUGGAAGGAUAUAUUGCCUCGUUAGUGUAGACUUGAAAUCCUUCCAUUUCUUGGCAGCAGAAGCUAACACAGAGCUCUUGCCCCCUUGACCUACCACAAAAGCAAUGUCAACUGCUUCCCAAAUCUGCUCCUUUAUAUCCUUGGAGAUUUGAGCCUAUUUCAUGUCCACAAGUGGAACUCUGGAGCGUGCCAACACACCAAUGUAGGACUGCAUCUCACUAUGUGCUUGGCCAAUUCCUUUCCCCCUUUUAUUGUACUCAACAAUUGGCCUCAGUUUCUGAAGUUUUCUCUUCACAACAUGAGGCAUUGUGCUCAUACCUCGACCAGACUUUGAAUCAUCAGAGAUUGUUGUCGUGCUGGUUCGUUCUGUCUCAGCAGAUGAUGAAGCAAACUUCAUCUUCUUCGAAGGCUUCACUUGAGGAGGUACCAUUCCAAGGUCCUUACCUCCAUUUUUCUUGGAGCCAGAAUCCUUACUUUGGUCUUAGUGAGAAACCAUUUUUACAGACAAAACUGCAAGUGAAAAUAUUUCAGGAAAAGAUUAAGAACACAAACGACAGUUAUUAAUAAAAUACGACGUAUGAUAUGAUUUUAAACGACGCAAUGAAAUAAUCUCAGACGUAAUAAAUGUUUAAAACCAAGGUAAUUAAACAACGACGAAAUAAUUAACUAUAAACGACGUGAUAAUUAACUAUAAACGACGAAAUAUUUAUAUAACGUCGUGGUAUUGAUGUUCACACGACGUCAGUCGUAAUAUACCGUCGUCUAUAUAAGGAUCCAAAACCCUUCUUUCUUUCUCUGUGAAUGUUUGAUUGCAGAUUUGAUUUUUCUGAACCAUGGUUUUUGUUUUCUAAUUUGAUAAAAUACAAGGCCAAGAAAGAAAGUUUUGGAAUCUUAUAUAGACGACGGUAUUUUAAUAUGACGUCGUGGUAUUAACAUUCACACGACGUAAAACAAUAAGAUACUGUCGUCUAUAUUAGAUACCAACCCUACUUUCUUUUUCUUUAUAUUUUAUCAAAUUAGGGAAAAACAAAAACCAUUGUUCAGAGAAAUCAAACCUGCAAUUAAACAAGCAAAUAAAAAAAAGACUAUAAUUUUAAAAACAACUUUGUCAAUUUUCAGACGACGCUAGAACGACUGACGAACCGUCGUGGUCUACAUAUUUAACCACGUACAUAAGAAGCUACCGUCGUCUUAUUUAGUUGAGGUAGUUGUCUUCAAAGUUGGAAACUUUCCCUCUUUGUCUGUAUAUUUUAUUGAACUUGGAAAGAAGUAAAAUGAUUUUGGCCAGAAAAAAGGUAAAAAGAUUUUUCAAACAAAAAACGUAUGAGCAUGCAAAACAACAACCAAAAUAGUGAAAAUGAAAGCUUACCUUUUGCGUGCAAUGAAAGCAAGAGGAAGAUUAUGUUUAAGUUCAGAGACGACGAAGAAGAAGAGAGGAAGACGAUGAGAUACUCUGACAGUGCUCUGACAAGGAAAAAAGUCUAAAAGUUUUCUCUGGGAGAUUGAACUUUUUAAUCGGGUUUGAAAACGGCGCAUGUGUAUGUCAGGUAGACGAAAAGUUGCUUACAUAUAAAACCAUUUCAAAAAAAUAAUACGGCGGUUACAUAUAACUACGACGUAUAAAUUACAAAAUACGACGGUACAUUUAACUUCGGACGUGGUAAAUAAAUACGACAGUAGUGUUGUAGGUACCGUCGUAGUAAACUCAAAAAUUAAAGUACAUAAGUAAUAACUCGCGUCAUGGUAGAUUAUUUAACACGUCGUUUUUAUUAAUUUACCGACGUGGAUUUCUGUAAUAUACGUCGAUAAUACCGACGUUGAUUUUACAAUUUAAACGGCGGUUUUUUUGUAAGGACCGCCGUUGGUUUUAAAAAUUUAUUCUAUAAAUUUGUCGCUUUCAUUCAUUUUCGGUUUACAUUUAAGGUUCCAAGUUCUUCCUCUCUCAGUCUCUCACGUCUCAAAGACAAUAAUUUGGAUGUCUUUCUCAAAGAGAAAUUGAGCUUACUCGCAUCAAAUAUAUGUCCACAAGAAGAAGCUUGUCAACUAGCCUUCUCACUUCCUUGAUCAAGCCUGAUAGGACACUUAGUGCUUCUGAAUACUCCUUGCUUUCCAUCAAAAGAGAUGCAAGCCUGGCCUCCACUCGCUGUCGAAGGAAAGUUCGCUUCUCAGGGAAAUCUUCUUGAUUUUCUUGGCUAAGAAGAUCCGUCAGAUUUGUGAUAGCCUCUUCCUUUAUCCGUAGAGCUUCAGAAGAAGAAGAUGGGUUUCAAGAAUGCGAUAAAGAAUAGAAAUGGCUUCAGAUGGCCUCUAAAGCAUGAGCAAUCGAAUCAGUAGUUGUUGGGAGAUAUGAUGAAGACAUUGUCAAUGCUUUGAACUAUACAAGUCCUGCAGAAAGAUAAAGGACCAAACUGUUAAAGAAACUGAAACAAUGGCGGUUUUCUGUUCUACCGUCGUCUUUUCUCGUCGUCUAUAUUAAGGUAAGAUGGCGGUAGAUUUAUAAUUACCGACGUAGAUUAUUUUGUUAAACGUCGUUAAGUGUACUACAACCGACGUGGAUUUUAUUUUUAAAUUAUAAAUAGAGUUUUUUUUCCCCUAUUCUUUCAGUUUUAGUUUUCAAUUACAAAGCGUGAUAAAUAGAUUUUUCUUUCCCGAGGAAAUUUAAAAUGAGGGAAAUUAAUGUUCUAGAAUUUGUAAACUAACACGACGCAAUAUUUGCAAAUCUGUGUCAUCUGUUAAGAUUAUGAUGUGGAACAGAGUUCCAUCUGGUAAGAUUUCGUAACCCUUGGGAUCUCAGACAAAUCUGAUUAUGUCGGCGGUUUUCUAUAUAAAUCGUCGUGGUUAUUUCAAUUCUUGUCAUUAAGUAGAUCUACCGACGUAGGAUAAGAAAAUCAAAGAAAAAAAUUGUUAACAAAAAUUCUUAUUAAGACGACGGUUAAAAUUAAAGGUACGACGUAUAAAAUGAAUAAAUACGACGUUAAAUUUUAUUGUACGAUUUAAAGAUAACGUCGUAGAACUAUAAGAGAAUGACGUCGAUAUAUUUAUAUUUUCCGUCGUUGUACAUUAAUUUAAUACGGCGAUAUUUUGUAUUUUAAAGCCGUGGAUUUGUUUGUAAUUAUACGGCGUCUUAUACGAAAACCUCGUCGUGUUAUUUUAUGAGUAAAAACGGCAGUUUUUAUUGAAAUCGUCGUCUUUACUUUCUACGUCGGUCGAUUCAUAACUUCUGCCGUUCUUUGUUGGCAUUGAUUUUACACUGCGAAAAUCUGUUUCAAAUAGACGUCGGUUGUUUAAUUAUGUACGUUGUUGUUUUUGAACAGCCAUUUGAAUCUCCAUUUUUUAGUUGUCUAAGGUUGUAUUACACGACGGUGUUUUUAGAACCGUCGUCUUUUUAAAAACCACGACGGUUUUCACUUAGACCGUCGUUGUUUUCUGGUCGUCUUUUUCACUUUUUGUAGUAGUGGCAUAUGAUGACGACACUCACAACAAGAUCAUGGCAUUUGACUCGAGUUGUAUGAUUCUCUCUUAAGUGUAUGUAAAGUGUAUGACAUUUACAUCAAUACGUGUAUUCUUAAUUGAAAUCUACUAUGGCAUUUACUCAAAUUAACAAUCAAGAAUCCAUUAAGAUCAAAGAGAAUAUGAGUGUCACAAAAACCCUAAAACAUGGCAUUUGUUAUUAGGAAUUCAAGAAUCGAUUUCUCAUAACUAGUUCUUAACCCAAUUAUUCGUUGCAAAUAAGAACACAUUCAAUAUGGCAAUUGACCUAUGUUCUACAACAAUUUAAUUCCAAUACAUGCUUCUAAGUUAGCUACUCAAAGAAACAAAAUAUCAGAAUUCACAUAACAUAUAGAAACCGAAAACAUCACGCUUGUAGAAACUAAAAAUCCAUUAACCUUGUUUAUAAAAUUGAAAUCAUGUUUAGGGCUUCAAGAUUAAGCCCUAACUAACAAGAAAUUAGUUACUCAUGGUCUUGGAUGAACUCAAAAAUAAAUACAUAAGAACUGAAAAUUAAAGAAGGAAGGAAAAGAAAGAACUCGUUCGCAGCUUUCUCCUCUUGCGCUGUUGAUCUCUUUAGGACGUGAAUCCUUUUUAUCAGCCUUGCCUCGUCUUUUAUAUCACUUAUAUCAGAGUUCUAAACCCUAAAAUUGACUGAAAAGUCGUCCAAGAAGUCUUGGUAAACAAGGAAUCCAAAUAGGAAAGUAAAAAUCACAAUUCCUAACUCCACUGGGAAAUACAGCUCAGCCCAAUGUUCACACGAUUUUGGGAUCUUCGACCUUGUAGAAAAAUCAUUAAAAAUAUAUUUUAGAAAGAUAAAUGUCUUAUCUUUCCAACCAUAUAUAGCACGUAACUUGAAAAAUUCGGAAAGGCUUCCGUUUCUUCACAUUCACGUAGCAUGUACGAAACUGUCCUGUCUGCACGUGGGCUAACUUUACUUGUAAUACUGUACCAAUUGGCUCGGUAGAAAAUUCUAGAAAAAUCAUAGAUUGAACUUCAAGAUGUUAGCUUUCAUCUCCAAUCAGGGGCGGCCUUGGGGAGGUGCAAGUGGCGCCACCGCACAGGGCCCCCGAAAAAAAAAAUAUUUAUAUUAUAUAUAUAUAUUAAUAUUAUAUGAAUCGUAUAUAUAAUAUAGCGUCUGGAUAUUUGCACAACAGCGUGUUCAGGGGAGUUGGAUGGAGCACAUCUCUCUUUGGCAAAAGGGCCCGAGUUCGAUGCUCCUUGAUGUCGUUCUACUGGCUAGCCUUUUGUGAUAUUAUUUUUGCAUUCAAACUUUACAUAAUUAUUGAACCAUUGGAUUAAUAUGCAACGAUGGGUGACCACAAUCUCUUGGACUCCUGUGGUCCAUGAGAUCGGGACUGAUAUUACAUGACUUAUUUUAUUAAAUUAUUAUCAUGUUGAUGAUUGGUUGUAUGAGAAUAUAGUUUGUAGAAAUAUUUAUCUAUUUCUUGUUGGGGUUUUCUUCCAGGUUAUAGGGUUUUGGAAUUUUUCUUUGUAAUCUAAACAUGCCACCUACUAGAAAAUACGUUUAUGGAUAUACAAAACGGCUUAGAAAAAGAAAAUUCGAGGAAUUGACUCAAUCUCAAAGAGGAGCUCUUGAUAGAUUCAUUGUUAGAGAAUCACAUGCUACAAUUGAUGAAAAUAUUUAAAUUUUUAUGAAUUUAAUUUCUGAUUUUCAUUGCAUAUUUAUUGAUGGUGAAUUUUAGUUAUAAAAAAAAAUUGUUUAUGACAUUAAGUUAUGGCAAAUUUUUAUAGUAUUUUCGUAUUAGAUUAUGCAAGGCCCCAAUUUAAGUUUCGCACAGGGCCCUCAAAAUCUCAGGGACGGCCCUGUCUCCAAUUGGUCUUGUGCUAAAAUUCCUCCGAAAAGUUGAUUUUCCCUUAAAAACCUUCUAAGAGUGCAGAAAAGCUGAAAAUCAGAAAAAUAAAGUAAUAAGCCAUUUUUAAAUCUAAUUCUCUUACAAAACCAAAGUAAAAAGAGUACAUAAAUGAGUAUAUUUAUGGACUUAUCAACGUCUUCUUCGUUGGACUUGGGGUUGUUUUCCUUAUAUGUCCCCUAUAUAUAUAUAUGGCCUUUAGUUGAGCCCACAAAUACCUUCAGUUAGUUUUUGGGUUUAGGGGCCUACAGAACCUGCACUAAACAAUAAAAGAAAAUACCUAAUUAGUUUAGUACGAAUUUAUAAUGAAGGCUUUAUUAGGUGAAGUUUUAUUUCUUAAUCGUUAGAUCAAAUUGGUUAGCAUCUGAAGUCGCCCAAAGAUUUGAGAGGGAUUCCACAAACAUAUAAUAUAAAGAAAGAAAGCAAUAGUAGGAGAUGAACCAGUACAAAAAACAAUAUAUAAAUAGUACAUAAUAAUUCCAUAACCUUGUCACAAACGCACUCACAAAUGCUUUCCAUAAACCUUGCCCUAACAUAUAACAAAUAAAGGCAACAUUGCAUAUGAUGCAACCAUGUCCAAAUCUGAUACGUGAUAAAAAAAAAAGGACAUGGCAGCAACAUAUGACUGAAGUAGAUGGGCUCUUUGCAUCUCGUGUUAUCGUAAUUAAAGACAUCAAAAUAUUAAGGUUGAAAUCUUCUAUAGUAGCAAGCAUUAAAAUAGGUUUGAAGCAGAGUUUAAAGAAAAUUCCAAUUCCACUGAUUUGCCUCUGCUCAAAGACGAGAACCAAAAUGGUUACUUCCCUUGCUGAGUAUAUUUGUUAACGUCGGAAACGGUAAUAGAUGACCAAUCAAACCCAAGUACGACGAGUUUUGCAUAGGAUCAGAAGUAGUUGAAUCCAGCUUGCAUCACACGCUUCUUUGACUCCAUUGCAUUAGAUGAGUUUUUGUAUUUUUGAACAGCUACACUCCGAAGUCGUUUGUGUCUACGCUUCAUGCGCUGCAACUUCGCCCUAUCCAGAUUGGCCUGCCUUUUGUCAUCUUCAAUUUGGCCUUCAACAAAUUCCAAACGUGCCCUUGCCCUUUGGAUUUCAUCACCAAGUUGAAGAUGCCUCUCCUUCCAAAAAGCAAGAACUCUUUCAGACUCAAAACUUCCAACAAAAUGGUCAUUCUAUCUAGGAAUGUGACAUUGCUUGUCUGGUGACUCACCUGCGUUUCAAAGGCGGUCUUUGUUUGGAGGGGUGUUUAUUAUGCUCACAUCAAACUUGGUUAGUAAAUCCAUUCUAUGGGGGGAGUGAGUUUCUGUGGAGGAGAGAGUUUCAGUAGAUGGAGACAGAUUCGGUGGAGGAGUGAGAUUUUUGUGGAGGGAGAAUUUCUAUGAAAUGGGUGAUAGUAAUACCAAUAAAAGGGUUCCCGCCAAAAAGUAUUUGGUUGACAAUGUAUAAAUUAAUUUUUGGUCUGAUACAAUCUAAGUUUAAUCCUAACUAGUUUGGUUAGUUUGGUUGAAUUCACUAACUAGAUGUCACUUCCAUUGAGUUUCUUUCAACCACUAUCAGUGGUGUAAGGAGAGUGUGAGGUUGACAUGCUUGAAAAGCAAAACCUAACACCUCUUUUUUUUAAAAUUGAAAGAAAGUACAUAUGUUGACUACACACAAGCUUUGGUAUGUUGGUCUAUAAAGCUAUGUUCCCUUUCUCAAACGAAAUUGCAUAUGCAAUCCUCGUCCUCCCAAAACAAAUAGAAUUAUUCAAGCAUGUCAACCUCUUCAGGCGCCAACAACACAAUCAAAGAUGACAAAUUGGAGUCGCAGGUUCUAUUUCCACAUUGUACUCGCCGACCCCUUCCAUUUUCAACAUCAUUUGGGAGUGAGGGGGACUCCGAUGAUCCAUUAGAGCUAAUACAUGCAGUCAAUAGCAAGCUGGAUUAUAAUUCCAGACUGAUCAAUUCAUGGCGCGAGAAAUAUGUUGAAGACGAAGCCAUUUUGGCUGAUCUUAACAUUAGAGUGAACAAAGCGUUCUCCCAAAAGAACAAGUACUUGAAGCUGAGUCAUAAAAGGAAGCUGAAAGCUGAGGAGUUAGAUACAGUAAUGAAUGAUGAAAUUAAAGGUUGUUUGAUGAAUCAUAUGCGAUGCGAAGAGCACCACAGUGAACUGGAGUUGGCAUUCAACGAAGGAUUCGAAAAAUUACGAGCAUUUGCAGCAACUACUCAUACAAGUUAUAAUUGGGACUAUGUGUCCCCUGAUGUUGUGAGAGAGAUACUAGACGAUGGUGGUGACAUGAAUGAGCAUAAGCACGUCAAAGCUGCUUGGAAGAAGCCGACCGAUACGACUAAGUGAUUGCGGCUACAGUUGUUCAGUUGGUUGAGAGUGAUCGUGGUAUUGCACAAAUUAGAAGUAUAUUCCCAUAAUGUCAUUAUCUAAUUUAAAAUAACACAAAUAUCAGUUUCAUUUGCUUCAUAUUGUAACACCCCGACCCCAAAUUUCCCCAAAAUUUACCCUCAUUUAAUUAAUUAAUUAUUUAAGGGUAUUUUAGUCAUAUUUUUAACCGGAGAGAGUUUGGGACCAUGACUUGUAUUUUUGGAUAGGUCGUACUGAGACGAGUUCAUAGACACGUAGUGGGCUCGAAUCAGAGUUGUAACGAGAGAGAUAUGGUCAAAAGAAACCCAGUGGCACAAUCGUAAAUAUUUCAAAAUGGGAUUUUUAUAAAAAUCUGGUUUUUCUCUCUCUCUCUCUCUCUCUCUCUCUCUCUCCCGCGACUUCUCUCUCUCUCCCGUCGGCUCUCUCUCUUUCUCUCCUUGUAUCUCCGGCCACCGACCACGGCUGUGGGCGGGGCCGGUACCAAACUGACCGGGACGACGUCCCCUUCCUUCCCCGACCAUUCCCCGCCGGCAACGCGGCCGUUGCUGGCCGGAAAAUGCAGAAAACCGCCGGGAGGUCGUCGAAACUUCAACGCCGUCGAUCUCCCUCCUCCGGCCACCAUUUUCGUCGACCCAGGUAUGGAUCUUGAACCUCUCGAGCUGUUCUAGCUGUUUGUUGGUUGGGUUUUGAUCGAUUCGAUCUCUAGAUCACUCGAUUUUCGAAUUGAAAAUUGGCCGAAACUUCGGCCGCCGUGAUCGGCCAUUUUCGGCCACUUUUUGUGGUAGGUCCAAGAACAAAAGUGGCUCCAAAUAGGGUGUUAUACCUAGGGUAGAAGUUUGGAGCCGAGAUGUUGAGAUUUUCCGGCGAAGCGUUAUCGCUUUGGGCACCCACGCGUGCGGCGGCGCGUGGGCACUGUAGAAAAAGUAGAUGUGUUCCGAUGAGAUCCUUAGGUUGUCACGAGUGCGUAGGAUUUGGCGGAUCUCAAUUCGGACGUCGUUUGACUAUCGAACGGAUAAUCGCAUAUUAUGCGUUAUCCGGGUUCGAUAGGUUGAGACCGUCGGAUGGUCCCAAAUUUAAUAUAUGUUGAUCUAGGUAUUUCUAGGAUCGUGUAGGAUUUCACGGAUCGUGAAUCGGAGCCCCGGAUGUUCCGAAUAAUAAUUUAAAGUUUAUAUUUUAUAUUAACCAUCAGAUUAUGCGAUCGUGAGAAAUCCGACCGUCUGAUCUGAACCAAACUGGCAGGAAAAGUGUCCUGUACCUGGUAGAACCCAUAGGGACCUUCGGAUCGGAAAUUGGAGGUCGUGGGUUCCGCAAGUCUGUUUGACCAGGGUUAGAGUAGUUUGACCCUUGGUUGACCGUGAGUCUCCCGGAGUAAUCUCACCCUUCCAGGGGGAAUUAUCGGGAGCUAGACUAUUGUGGAGGGUUACACAAUAUUAGAAUUAUUUAUAUAAUUAUAUAUGGUUGUACAAGGGUACAACAAAGUCUAGAAUGUCAGUUUGGAGUGCUAUACGCACUACUUUAGGUACCUCCUCGGAUUUUGGAUUCGCUACAAGCACCACCAAGUGAAAGUUAGGUCCCGCGUGGCGUAGGUUAUCCGGCGUUGGGACAGACCCCAUACGUGGCGUUGGUUGUACCGGCGUAUGGGGAGAUUUGCAAUAUGAUGUUCAGGUCUCACGUGGCGUAGGUUAUCCGGCGUUGAGACAGGCCCCGUACGUGGCGUUGGUUGUACCAGCGUACGGGGAGAUUAUGUGAUAUGAUGUUGAGGUCCCGCGUGGCGUAGGUUAUCCGGCGUUGGGACAGGCCCCAUACGUGGCGUUGGUUGUACCGGCGUAUGGGGAGUUAUAUGAUAUGAUAGUAUGGCAUGGUCGCACAUGGCGUAGGUUAUCCGGCGUGUUGACAGGCCCCAUACGUGGCGUUGGUUGUAUCGGCGUAUGGGGAGAAUAUGUGAAAUGCAGAGAAAGGAAAUAAGGUAUCACCGAUGUGUGGAAUUGGGUUUUAGGGAAGAACUACGUGUGGCUUGAUCCCUCAAGGAGGGUACGUAGGCAGCCUAAGGUUAUUGGGUGCAGCCGCAGACUAAAUAUUAGUCAUAUUUGGUAUUUGAAUUGUAUGGUAGUUGUUUGAGAAUUAUUGGAAGGCCAAAGGCCAUUUAUGAGAAUUUGCAUGAAAUUAUAUUGUGCAUGCUGCUAGUUGUGGAUAUUAAAUGUGUUUUUAUGCAGGUUGAAAUUUUGGGAAAUGUCCAAUUUAUAGGGGAGACUCUGCUGAAAUUUCGGCAGGAAGUCUCGGUUUUUAGUAAGUGGGCCUGGCAUCGGGGUGAUGUCAGGAAUUCCAAAGGGUUCGUCUCGGGUUUUGAGAAAAUUCGGGGCGGGUCCUUAAACAUAUAUAAUUAUUGGGACUAUGUAUUGCAAGUCAUCAUGUGUUCCUUCUGUCUAACAUUAUAUUUUGCAAAUAUCAAAAUAUUAUUCAAUAAGCAGUCAAUAUCACAGCAAGUUGGGAAUUAGUAAAGCCCCAUUAUCAUGUCCGUUCACAUUAAAGAGCUGGCGUACUUUUUCUCAAAAAACUGACACGUGAGUCAUAAGUAACAUAACAUGUGCUAUACAUUGUUUAGUGAAUGGUUUAUGGUUUAUUUAUAUAUAAUAAAAUUCCAAAUAUUGCUGAAUAUUUGUUUUUUCUAUAUCCCUGGGAACAUGAGUGACCAUAAGCAUGUAAGACCUGUUAAGAAGAAGCUGACUAAUACGACCGAGUGAUUGUGGCUACCGUUGUUUAGUUGGUUGGGGAGAUCGUGGUAUUGCUAAGAGGGAGCACAUAAUGUGCUUUGCAAUCAAAUUUUCUUUUGUGUGUGGAAUUAUGAGUAGUUCAAAUGUUAGUGUACCCUUUAAUAUUCUUCAACCGUUUGAAAUGUGAUUAGCUGCAAUGUACUUUUUUACACGCUGCUUUCUAAUCACUCUGUUCCAACAAAGUGCUUUAAGUAUCCUUCAGUUACAAAUGUUUACAAAAUCGUGCAUCUAAUAACCAGUCGAGCUCAGAUCUUAAUAACAAGUAAAACACUAGAACAUAACAUUCGGAAAAAGUGGGUGCUGCUGGAAAUCAUUACUGGUAAUGGAAGCAAGAGCUGGCUGCUGGAAAUGCUGCAUUAGCCUGUGAUAUAAUCAAUGAAUCUCUGUUAAAACAUAAUUCACCAUAAACUACCCAUUUUACAUGGUAAAAGUCAUUGCUUCUUCACAUAACUCAAAAUUUGAUACUUUAUCAAAUGUCUAUGAAAAUUUCUAAAUAGGGGAAAGACGUAAAAUUAACAUGUGUCCAAAUUUCAUGCAAGAAUGAAACCAAGCAAAUUUUUAUUUCAAUUAUCAGUGGACAUAGUAAGAACUCAUCGGUGGACAUGAACAAAAAAAUAAUAAUAUUAAAAACUGAAUCUAGAAAACUUCACCUGAUCAUUAGUCUUCAUAACAACCGAAUUUCGUCUAAUAGAAACAUAAAUCAUUCAGUUGGUCCGUGCAUCGUGUCAAAUUCAUAGAAUAAUGGGUCACUACGAUCUAUUGGAGUUGAUUCGUCAUUGUUCGACGGUGAUGUCCUGCAUAGACAUCAAACACAAGCACAGAAAAAAUUUACCUAUUCAAAUUUUAGGUGUUAUUAUAAAUAGUGUUAGCAUCUUACGGUGUGUUCAAAUUUCUUGCGCAUUGUCUUCUAUCAUGACCAAUGUGUCCACACUCCAGACAGUGUCUAAUCCCUCGCUUCAUUGCCUUUUCUUUUGCUCCCGUUACUCGUUUCGACCUUCUUUUGCACCUCACUCUCUUAGGGUCUUUCAUAUAUUGUGUUUGAGAGCUGGACCCUCCAACUUCGUUAUUACUUGGUCCAUCCUUCAACAACUUCAACUUCACCUGCAAACUUUUUAGAGUCUCUGACAGUAGCUCACAUCCUUCUUCACUCAUUAAUGCACCCUCAACCACAUCUUAAGCAAGUCGAGACAUUGUACUCCGCCUUAUUAAAAGACCAGGAUCUGCAGAGUCUUUAAUUUCGUUGCCAUUUGCAUCUGACACCAAUUCAGAUUUUGCAGUUUUCUUCCACCUCUUUAAAAUAUAUUUAUCGGGCAUAUAUUCAAUCUGGUCCCUUCUGAACAAUGCUAGGAUGUGCUUGCAAAUAAUUCCAACAAAUUCAAAUCUUUUGCACCCACACGAUGCGUGGUCAGAAUCUUUAACAUAUACGACGUCUGCCACUCUUGUUUCCCAAUUUUUCCUUUUGCUCACGCGAAAGACAACUUUAGAAGCACCCUCUGUUUUGAGCUCUAGGAAACAUGUUGUACUUUGUAUUAGUUCUUGGUCAAACUUUUGAAACAUUGUCCUUGUGUACAAGGUAGCCAUUUGUUUGUUCAUUGGCAUCGGUAGAAUACAUUGAGCCACUUCAAAUGCAUCUACGUGAUCAGCAACUAACUCUUUUUGACGUUGAUGAGAAAGUGCCCUCUCAAAUCGUAUUAUGAAAUCCAUCAACGAAUUUCUCCUUGAUAUGUAUUGCUUGAAAAAACCAUGAGAACCUUCCACUCUUUGGCUGCUUGACAUUCCAGCGGCAAAAAAUUGUUGUGCGUAGGCUGGAACCCAAGAUUCUCUUAAAUCAAACAUUGAACUUAGCCAUGGAUGGUCAGUCAAACCAGCCUUUGUAACCACAAUAUUCCAUUUUGUAACAAACUUAUCCUUAUUGUCAGUAUCCCAUACGGCUUUCUGAAAUUCACGCCAAUACUCCUUAUAAGCAGAAUGUGGUAACUUAACAGAGAACUUUGAUGUGAUGUGCAAUAUGCAAAGUCGAUGAAAUGUAGUCGGGAAGGGUAUUGAAAUCGCUCUGGUCAUUGCCGCAUCUUGAUCUGUAAUGAUCGUUUUAGGUCCGCCACUUGGCAUGGCUUUCUUAAACUCCUCAAACAUCCAAAUAAACGACUCAGUCGUUUCCUUGCUCAAAAAUGCGCAUGCUUAGACAAUUGUCUGACCAUGGUUAUUAACUCCCAACAUUGGUGCAAAUGUCAAGUCGUAUCGAUUCGUGUUGAAUGUGGUAUCGAAUACAACAACAUCUCCAUAAAACCCGUACGCCCAUCUAGAAGUUGCAUCUGCCCAAAAACAUUGACUAAACCUGUCAUGGCCAUCUCUCUCAAUCUUGAAAUAAAAAGCCUCAUUUUUUUUUUCUGUUCAGCCAUAAAAUACUCGGUCACUAGUUCAACAUCGUGGUUCCUCAACUUCCCAUUCACACUACAUUCAAAAUUGUAGAUAUCUUUUUUGAUAAAACCGAUUUUAUCCAUUCCUCCGGAUUGCACCUCGAAAAUACUUACCUUCUGAUGAAUGAGAAUAUUAACCGAACCCAACUGUUUUGUGAGUACUUUUGUAGAAUCUGAACUAUGACGGUGUGAUCUCAAUAAAUGCAUUCUUUCUGAGGGUGUCAUCUUAUGAUUGUGUCCCUCUGCAAAAAGAGAGAUGGUAUACUUCUUGCUCCCAUUUGUCUUCACAACCACAAUCUUAGCUUUGCAAUUGCAUCUACUUAUUCCCCGCUGUCUUUUUCUCUCCCGAGUUUCAUCUCUCCUGUAUUCACCUUGUUUGCAACAUACAAAUUCUUUCCUCAAAAUCUCUUUCUUAUUUCCCCCCCAAAAGCUGGAAUGAAGUCGAAUACCAAAGCCAGCCAAGAAUGCAUAUCUAUUAUAGAAAUUGUAAACGAGGUCAAGCAAGUCGAACUUCAUCCCAACUGCUGGUGUUUCCUCAUUUCUUACUUCAAGAAUGUAAACCCUCCCAUUAGCUGUUACACAGUCAUCACUCUCUGAGCCCCCAGACAUUUUAUCCACGUAUAUUAUUGAUCCACUUCUAUAUUAUUGCAUAGCAAAUAUUAAUUCAUUAAUAAAUCAUUACUGCAUCACAACAUAUCAAUGCAUUCCACUUACACAAAACAUUGCCCAAAUUGACACAAAACACGCAUAGCCUAACUUGUUGGAUUCCGAUUACACAAAACGCAAGCAAAAUUUAAUAAUAGUUACGUCAUCUCUUGUGAAAUAAUCUAGAAAAAAUAACAUUAGAACCAACAUGUUCAACUAAGAACACAAAUGCAAUUCAAACCAGCAAUCACAUAACUUCACCCAAUAUCCUCUCCAAAUGCUUACUCCUAAUGUCAUUAAGCCUAAGUUUAGGAUCUUUUACCUACAUUUCAUAAUUUUUCACCCCCACCAAAAAUAAUCAACUAAGUAUACUGAAUAUUCAUAAGGAAAUGACGCAUUAUUGAUGCCACAAAUGACGAAUUUCCUACCCUCACAAAAAACAAAUCAAACCCAAUUAAAUCAAUCCAGCAAGAGUGAACUUACCUCUCAAAAUCAAUCGGGAGCUCCGAAGUCAGUAAGCUUGAGAGAAUGUGGUGGACAUUAGAGAAGACUCUUUGGUAUUGGAGACUCCAUCUCUACCAAAAUCGAGGAACGAACUGCUGCUACGGCGUCUAGCUACAGAAAAAGAUAUGCUACUUUACUUUCAUCUGGAAUCUUGUUUGCUGAACGAAAAAGAGAAAGGGUUUUCACUUGAGCCAUAGAAUCAAAACAAGGCAACAUCUAGGUAAGAGCCAUUAAUCGUCAUAUCGAGGAUACCAUAGAUCGCAGGCCUCCCAAGGAGCUGAUGACAAUGGAGCGACUAUAGGGUUUGGGAGCUUUGGAUCCUUCUAAUUGUGGGUUUGCGUUACAUUCAAAAAAAGAGGAGUGUGUUGUUGAGUUUUUCACAUAGAGGGAAAGAGGGAAAGAUCUUCAACUGAAGUUGGGUUUCCAACGGGUCAAAUUUCAACCCGGUUCUACAUGCACCCUCUUUUAAAAACUCACCGUUGGAUUUCAUCCAACGGCUCGUACAUACCCCUCAAAAACACCCCUUAUAACUUUCCACUCACUAUAGAAGCUCUCCCCAGGAAAUGCUUCGAGGUAGAUUUUAUGUUUUGGGCCUUGGGACCCAACUUCACAAAAAGAAAACAAAUUUGACCAAAAAACAAAGUUGAAGGACAUUGAUAUUGUACCUGUAGGAUAGGUUAAAACACUAAAAGGAAGGUAAAUAGUACGUUUACAGAGUUUAAGUGUAAUAAAGGAAUAAAAACAUGCCCAGAGAAUUGAUAAGUGAUAUCAAUUCUUGAAUAUAUAGAACGUAAAAUAAAGGAAUACGUAGAAAAUUAUUUUAUGUGGUAAAACUCAAUCUAUGGGGCCACGGGACUUCUUAGUCCAAAAAAAAUCCAUUGAACGAUGAUUACAAGAAGUACUCACACACUUAUCCUAGACACAUUCUAGAUAAUUUUUACUAACAUCUUUGUAACUCAACUUCUGUCAUAGGAUGAUUUUUUGACACUCCUUAUGUUGAACGCAAUACUGGUCACGAUUUCUUCAAGCUCGCAGGAACUCUCCUUAUAUUGAAUAUGAUACUAGUCACGAUAGAUUCAAGCUCAUCGGAGAAAAACAGCCACAACGGUCUUGGUGCCCUCAAUGGUAUGAGUCACUGAACAUGCAAAUAAAUACAAUAUGAAUGAUAAAAGUGUUUGAUAAAUCACCAAGUUAUGGAACACUUGAUGAUUUAUCUCAAAUAAAAACUCAGCUUUCCAAAGUUUAUGAAUUGAAAAUAUGAUCGUUAAAGCUCUCUAAACAAAGAAGACGAAGAUCUUAUUUUAUAGAAUUUUUCUUUAUAAGAAAGAAAACACAUUGAAAACCAAAUCUCCAAGGCUUGACAGAAAAUCACAAAAGUAUCUUUCCUAUUCUAGAGAUUGGUCACAUGUAGUCCAACCAAUAGGACAUGAGAUAUUUAAGAAAUGAAGAUUUUGAUCAAUAUCAAUAUCAAAUGAAUUCUUAUACGCCUAGUCAACUAUUAAGGGUAUCUUGACUCCUUGAUAUUGUGAUAUGAUUGAAACAUGAUUUCCACGUUAGAAAAUUAAGGGGAUGUUAAAACAUGAAAGUAAUAGGAGAAUCAAAUUGAUUUCGGCCAAAAUUGCCUAAAAAGAAAACACUCCUAAAUAAACUCAAUUCACUUUUAAAAACAGUAAAACGUGAUUGAAUUGUUCUUUAAAACAAUUCCCUAAUAUACAUGCAUGAUAAUGACAUCACUUACCUCUGAAUCAAAUGCCUUUCAUAGGUCAAGCCACAAGUCUGUGUUUUGGGGAUUGCUGAGCUGCAUCAAUCCUGCCAAUGUCAAUGCUGCCCCUAUGCUCUCUCAAAGCACGUUUACAACCUAUGCUAACAUAUACCCUAAACCCUAGUAUCAAGAAAAUGCCAACACUAAUUUCGUAACACGUAGAAAUUGUUAGAGAUUGGAAGUUUUUUUUCUUCAAGUCUCUCCACCACUCACUAAUACAGAUUGCUCAUGUGAUGAGUUUACAAAACCUAUUUCUCUACUCUCACAAAGACUAUACUUCUUCUCAAAAGACUAUAUCACUUUACCUCUAUCUCUGUGAAAUGUAAAAAGUUGAAACUUUAAUGUCAAACCUCGACAAAAGAUGAACUUCCAUAAGUUACGUUGAAUUUGGAUUUGUUGAACUUAAGUGGUUUUACUUUUCUGUCAGUGUUUGAUGACUUAAUUUGGUAUUUACUUCUUCUUUUUUUCCUUGGAAAUGUGUUCCACCAACGUGAGGAAGAAAAAUAUGCACAAAUUAAUAUAUUUAAUAGAAGCCCAAGAUUUCGGAAGCACAUAAUUUCUACAAAAUUCUACAAAGUGUUCUACUUUACAAACUUCAUAUGUCUACCAAUUUUUACUAAAAUUAAUUUAUCUGCAGUGCUCAAAUUCAUCAUAUGUGUGUCCUUAAUUUUAGUGAAAAUUGGAAGUUUCCAUUAUUUUUGUUUUACGGGAAUUUUUUGAACCAAGGAAAAUCAAGUAAAAUUAAUAAAGCAUAAAUUGGAAAGGGAAAAUAUCUAGAGGAUGCAUUGUAGGAUUGCUCAUGCCAAUAAUUGUACCCUCUAAAUAUAUAGGGACAUAUUUUUUUUGCUCAUACCACUUGUUGCAGUACACAUUCACCCGUUUUCAAAGAAAGAAAUUCUACCAAUCGAUAAUGUCUCAAAUUUAAUCACAUAUUUUAUGGACCAUCCAGCUAUGAGGUUUUAUCUCAAAAACCUUCGGUACAUUUCUCCCACAUGCCACAAUUGUAUAUUCACAAUUACGUCUGAUACAUCACAUCAUGCCACUUGCCUCAAAUGAAUUUAAGUGAGUGAGGCAGUUGGAAGUAAUUAAGCUCUAUAUUGGUGGGUGGAGUGUUAGUUCUGGGUACCCCUCAUCAUUCGUCUAUAAAAUGGUGAAGCCAGUUGCUACUGUUACCAUAAGAGCCAGCUCCGACUUUCUUUAAUUUCUUGCUUCAUAUCCACUAGCUACAUCUGUUGCUCUUCUCAGUGUAAGCUCUGCAAUUUGAUUAACUUUCCCAUUAUCUCUCACUGUACUCUAUAUAAAGGAAUAAGUGUCGUCCAUUAAUUCUCUCCGAAAGUGUCGUCCUGAUUUUAAUUAGAGUUCGAAUUAAUGUUGCAGCUAGCAGCGGUUGCACUGGCAAACCAUGCUGCUCAACCGGUACCUCAACUUUACUGGAACUCCGUCCUGCCAAACACACAGAUGCCAAGAUCUAUCAGUGAACUUCUGCAUCCUGGUUUGUGUUUGAGCACUUUAGAAUCUUAGAUAUCUCUUCUACCUGCCAUUUUACUAAAAUAUGUUCAACCACAUAUUUAUCAGUUAACUACUGUCAUUACAUGAGUGACACAUAUUCACAAAUCGGCUGAUCACUUAUUUUCCAUUAUGACGUUGAUAUAUAAUGUUGGGAAUGGAAAGCCAAUUGACCACAAGGGAAAACCUGAAAAUACUGUACUACCACAGCUAGCACGAAGCCCAUUUUCUUACAAGAGUGAUGUGGGGACCAAAUCUCAUGUAUCAUAGCUUAACCCAUAUGCCACAACUAAAAGACGUGGGAUGAUCGAACAGCAUACCCACAUGGUCAUGGAUCUCUUCAGAUAAUCAAUAUUAAACAACCCAUAAACUUCUCCCUUUGAAGAACAAAUUAAAACCAAUUUCUAGAGGAAGGUUACAAAACAUUUUAGCCCGUGAAGAACAAAUCAAGACAAUAUAACCCAUUUGAUAACAAAAUCAAAAUGAGAUUUACCAAUACUAGAUGACCACGGCGCCAGUAUAAUGGUACGACGGCGGCGUUAUUGUAACGGUGGAGAAGUGGAUGGUAUGACGACGGUGUUAGUGUGACGGUGGAGGAAACGAUAUUAUGAAGGAGGCGUUGCUAUGUUCGGUGGAGGAGUCGUGUGUUUCACAGUUCAAUAUAUCCUUUUUAGUCAUUUUAUAUUAGGGUAAAUCAGUAAUUCAAUAAAUAAUUUGAUAGUAUGGUGUACUCAGUUAAUAUUAGGGUUCAUUUAACAGCACUCAAAUUAACUAGUGUAGAGUCUAUCUAUAUUAUUAAUACUAAAAAUAAAUAUAUGACUAAAUAACUCAAAAAAAAAAUAAAUCUACAAUCUUUUUUUUAAAAAAUUUUUUUUAUAGAAUUUUAUUAGAUUAAUAGGCACUACUAAAAAAUCUCCUUAUAAACUACAAAUACACGCAUAACUUAUACUAAUGUGAGCUACUGACACCACCUGCCACAUGACAGUUGUCCAAGCAUAGUGUUGUCAUUCAUUAUUCCCCACAGCAACUAACAUCCAAUAAAGGGUUGGGGCCCACCCAUACUCCACCUCUCUGUAUGUAGCUCUUUGAGAAUACAGAAGAAAUAUUUUUUAGGGAAAUAGCUUAAAAUGAUACCCAUUUCAUAAUUUUAAUUAAAAAUACCACCCCUUUCCAAUUUUUGUACAACUAUCACCUAUAAAUAUAAAAUUAUUGUCCACUUAUUGCUGAUUUUUCACAAGUUCAGAAAUUUUGGAAAGAAGAAGCUCACACAGCUCUCUCUCUCUCUCUCUCUCUCUCUCUCUCUCUCUAGCACAACUCUCUUUCUUUGGUAUCUGUCUAUCACAGCUCUCUGUGUCUCUCUUGGCUCUCUCUAUCUUGGCUCUCUCUCUCUCUAGCACAACUCUCUGUCUCUCUCUUUGCUCUCUUUCUCAUAGCGCAGCUGUUUCUCUCUCUAGCUUCGUUAUGUCUCUUUCUCCCCUAUUCGAUCUCUUGCUUUCUGUUUGGAAUCGCGAACCCCUCCCUUUAGCUAUGUCUUCUGAAUAGCUGCUUGCAACCUUGAAGCUCUAGUGGAUUGCCGACCUCGAAAAGGUAGUGUUGAUGGUUAUUUUCUUAAUAUCAGUGGGAUUAUGUGAAAUGGGUUAUAGUUUGAUUGUUUGGGUUUGUGUUAAAUUCGUUUUGGCUUUAAUUUCUUUGGGUUAGGUUUUGUUGAAUAUUCAUACUCAUUCAUCUGGGUUUGUACCAAUUGCAUUUAGAUUGGUCUGGAUAUGUGAAUCUUGAAACUUGGGAUUUUCUAUUUGAUGUAGUAGAUCUGUAUAGUGUGAUUCUGUUGUGUUCCUCUUAUUUUACAGUCGUAUUGCUGUUAUAUUGUCAUUAUAUUGCUUAUAUAUUGCUGUUAUAUUGUGGUUAUAUUGCUAUUGUAUUGUUUGGUUAUUGUGGUUAUAUUGUGUUAAUGAAAUGUUGUUUUGUCAUGGUCAGAAAUGGAGACAAUUGUUAUUCUCGUGUGCUACAAUGGAAAAUGGGUCACCUCGAAGAAGAUGUGCAAAUACGAAGGGGGUGACUCAAAAGGCUUAAUAGUUCCACGGACCAUCAAAUUUGUUGAACUGUUGGACCGUGUGCAUUAGAUUGGUAAUACAAACAGCAGGGAAGACAAGGUUUGCUUAAAAUUCUCAGUUUUGGUGGCCUCGAAUGAGUGGAAGCACAUAAAUAUUGAGGACGAUGAUGAUAUCAAUUUUUUUAUGAAGUACAAUUCCGAGGUAACACCUUCAAAACUAGCUCCCUUACUCGUGAGUAUAGAAGAUAAAGGAUUGACAAAUGAUGUAGUUCAUAGUAUGCAUAUCACGACAGAUAGUAGUCGGAUGGGUCAUUCUUCAGUUGCCAUUGUUGAAAGCAAUGAAGUAACUUGGAAUAAUACGAAUGUCACUGAUGUGGGAGGUGAAGUAGGGACAGAUUUUGUGGAUAUGAUUGAUUUUAGCGAGGUGUAGGAGAUGCAUGGUGGUGAUAAUAGUACUGAAAGAAAUGAAGUGUCAGUGUACUCUGCCCCUCCUAAUUUGGGCUGCUUCAACAUAGCUGCCCAGUUGCCAAUAAUGCGUUUAGGAGGAGAAUCUGAACCCACUCGUCAACAUUAUUGGAGUCAAAUAGGUGAACAAAAUCGGUACAAUGCAGCCGGUGUAAAUGAUGAAGAAGCAUAUUUGGACAGCGGGUUUUCACGAAGUGAUUGGAAUCCGAAAAUUACAGUUGGGCAAAUUUUCUCUAGUAAGAAAGCAUUGUUGACGGAGUUACGGUUGACGGCAUUAAGAGGCCACUUUGAAUUUAAGGUGCAAUUCUCUUGCACUAAAAGGUUGCUUGUGGUUUGUUGUCAACGUCCAUGCCCAUGGCGGGUCCGAGCAUCGAGAAUUGGAGAAUACAGCUUCAUGAUUGUGAGGUGUACAACUGUCCAUGAAUGUGAUUUGAGGUUCGUAAGUGACAAGCAUCGUCAAGCAACCGCAGCACUUGUAGCCACUUCACUUAAAAGGAAGUGACAUUAUGAGAGAUGUGAAACACAACUUUGGUUGCACCAUCCAUUAUUCGAAAGCUUGGAAAGCAAAGGAGUUAGCUCUAUUGUCCAUUAGAGGAUCAGCGGAGGAGGCAUAUUAUAUCCUUCCAGCUUAUUGCUAUGAAUUGGAGCGUAUGAAUCCCGGCACAAAAACACACAUCCAAACUGAUGAGAACAAUCACUUUGUGUAUUUAUUUAUGGCGGUUGGCGCAUGUAUUAGAGGGUUCCGUUCUUCCAUGCGCCCAGUGAUAGCCGUGGAUGCCACUCAUUUAAAAUCCAAGUACAAGGGUGUUAUGUUUGUAGCAAAUGCAUUCGAUGGUAAUUGAAAUAUAUAUCCUCUUGCUUUUGGGAUCGGGGAUUUGGAGACGGAUGCAUCAUGGCAUUGGUUUUUCACUAAACUUCAUGAAGCCAUUGGUGAGUGUCCCAAUCUUGUUAUUAUUUCUGAUCGCAAUGUUAGCAUAGAGAAUGUGUGGAACAAAAUUUUUCCAACUGCACAACGUGGCAUAUGCUUUUAUCAUAUGAAGGGGAACAUGAAACGCACUUGCUAGUUGAAAAAGCGUGAUCACAUACUUAUGCACUUUGAGCAGGCUGCGAAAUCUUAUUCCAUUGCUGAAUUUGAUUGUCAUUUUUGCAAGAUCAAGCGAAAGGAACAUGUUGCUCAAUAUCUUGAAGAGACAGGGUUACAUAAGUGGUCUAGAGCUCACAUGGAUGGACGCCGCUACAAUGUAAUGACAACAAAUAUUGCAGAGUCAAUCAACUCAGUCCUUAGGUUUGCAAGGAUGCUGCCAGUGGUUCAUUUGAUAGGGGAAAUUGUUAAUCUCCUUGUGAAAUGGUUCACCGAACGUUGUGAGUUGGUUUUGAAUUGCACAACAACAUUGUGCCCCAAUUUUGGAGAGAAGAAGUUGAGGAACAGGUUGGAGGAUGCUGCAAGGAUGAAUGUGGUUAAAGUAAAUAAUGCACAGUUUAAUGUUUUGGACGGUGAUAUGGACGGCCUCGUAGAUUUGGCGAACAGCAGUUGUAGUUGUAGAAAGUUUCAGCUUGAGCAGCUACCUUGCAAGCAUGUAGUUGCAGUUUGCCGCUUCUUGAAAGUAAAUGUAUACGCAAAGGCUUCUCGGUAUUACACUCAGAAAACCUGGAUGAUGCUUAUUCGGAUAGCAUCUACCCGGCACAACCUCACGGAAUGUGGGAUAUUCCUGAAGAUGUUCGAAGUCGAGUUGUGCUGCCUCCCAUGGCAAGGGUCAUGCCAGGCAGACGAAAGAAGAUCAGAAUUCCCUCGCAAGGAGAGGGCACCAUUAGAAGAAAGUGCUCAAGGUGCGGUUCCGCAGGCCACAAUAAAAGCACAUGUAAAAACAAUAUUCCAUUGCGCAAUGUAUCUUAGACAAUAUGAUUUGUGUUGCUUUGGUAGGUCAUGUAAACUCUACUUUUAUUUGUGGUGGGUUUCGUGUUAUGUUGAAUGGGAAUUCUUUUAAAUUUGCAUAAUUUGGGUUGCAUUGCUACAGCAUGCUGUAUUGCUGACAGAUUGCUAUUAUAUUGGACUUUUAUUGUACUGGUAUUGCUUCCAGAUUGCUAUUAUAAUUUGAGUGCGAAAUUAAAGGGACUGGAAUGUAAUUCCAAAUGGAUCCAAAUCAUUAAAGUUCUUAGAAUUCCUAUAUUACACAGUUACUGUGAUACUCCGACUAUACCUUCUUUUAUGAUUACAAAUUCGGCCAAUGCAUAGGCCAGAUGUGGGGCAAAUACAAGGUGAAAUGUCCUAUGUGUUUGACUACAUAUACUUGUUGAAGGAGCAUUACGAAUGCUAACCUCAAUAGAUUGCUCAUGUCUUGCCAAGAACACUCUUGAAUUUAUGCAAUGUGCCCAAGCCAGUCCCAAAGCUGGACUCACCCGUCUGCCUGAUGUGUCCAGGGACUCCAAGUUUCCCAACCUCACCUCAUUCACUUUAUCAUGUGGCCCAAUAAAAUCCACCACUUGGUUGGUGACAACCACCGCCAACCCAAACUUAUUUGCUAAACCCUUCAAUGUCCCAGAUAUGUUGAAAAAUAUUUCAAACCGCCAUUUCAAAUCUGCUGGUGUUGUCUGAUACUGUGAUCGGAACAAUGCAGCAAUGGAAUCAAUGACAAUGAGUUUCACAGGUAGGUGGGUGUGAUCAAUGGCAAUAAAUGCUUCUAUGUCUCCAAGGACAUGGAUGAGUUGUUGAGCAUCAUGAACACCAUGAACAUAUAUGUCUUCCAAUGGCUCCAACCUUAUUAAGUUGGGGUAUGAUGCAUGAUAAAGGUUGCCUAGUUGUUGCAAUCGACGAAAUGGGAAGCUGAAUUCUGUGAAUAUGUAGACGGUGGAGCCCUCUAGUCCGCCAUGUGAGGGUGGGAGCUGAGCUGGUACCGUAAGUUGGAGACAAAGUUGCGUCUUCCCAGAACCACUCUCCCCUACCAAUUCUGUUAUAGAGUUGCAGGGUAUCCCACCCCCCAAGCAGUCAUCUAGUAUUGGGCAUCCAAUGGAUAAUUGAGGGGUUGAAAGAGGAAGGAGCAUGAGGUUUUAGGGUGUCAUAUUUGUGUAAUUUAGGGGGGGAUGUGAUGGUGCUACAAGGCAUGCAUUAUAUAUAUAUAUAUAUGUAGAGUUCAUUUUGAAGGUCUGUAUUGUAGGCCAUAUGUCUUUUAAGGGAUGUAUAAUCCAUCCUUUUUUCAGGUUGUAAUUAAUUUUUUGUUUAUUUAUUAGUAUUUUUUUGGACCAAAUAAUUUAAAAAACAUUAUGAUGCAGUACGUACUGUAAUAGGAUCAUAUUGUAACUCUAUCAUCACUCUAUUGUACUCUUAUUGACAUAAUAUUGCCGUUAUAUGCAUGUUUAUUAUAUAGUUAUUACUGCUAUAUCGCCACUGAACUGGACACCGAUAAACUGUAUACGCACAAAUACAAAAAGAGGCUUCAUCAUUCCAUAAAAUCCUAUUUCCAAACUUACAUAAUACAACAACAGGCCACCCCAUCGUUACAUAAUACAAAAAUACGCCACCUCAUAGUUCCAUUUCCCUACUGUUGACAAAUUCGAAGUUGCAUACUCUUCAAGUGCGGUGACCGCGACGCAUGAAAUUCAUGACCCCGGCCACAGUGAUGUUGGCCUAGUUUCCUGCCGGAUCCACUAUUUUUGCAAACUUACGAAAUAGUUCGAAUCCGCUUUCCACUUCUUCUUGCUUCAACUUGGCCGUUGCUUCUGAUUCCUUGAAUACCAUAAUUGCAGUGGUAGGGGCAAUUUCAAUUUUUGCUUUCAUUGUCUUUAUAUGUAGGAGAUGCAUGCGCGCAUGAUAACGAGAGCGAAUUGUGCGGUUUUUUAUGACACCCCAUCUAGUUUGGCCCUCCACAAUUUUGAAACUAUGUCUGCAUGAAGAUUUUUCCAAAACAUGGUAUUGCCUCGACAUUGCUGCAUGCCAUGGACCAAGUCUGCAGGGAGUGAAUUGGGUGACUUGGCUUGUGUUUCAGUCUUCUCUCCUUCAGUAAUUGAAAGUGUUGGGUGUGGUGUGAGGUUAUGGUCCAUGGUCUUCGAUAUUUAUUGUAGCCUAGUGUACAACUUAAUUGGAAAAAAAGGGGACUAAAUGCGAUGGGAGUGAAAUCAGUGGGGAAGGUAGUGGCUGUAAGCAGGAGUUAAUGUGAUGGAAGUUUUCAUUUCAAACAACUGGGUUGAUUAAUAUAGGCAAGUUUUAAUGACCUGGAGUAACUCAGAGAGUUAUUGGUGGGAGGGAUUAGAGGGAGUAAUUGGCGGGAGGGAUUGGCGGGAGUCUUAGGCGGGAUAGUAUUGGGCGGGAGUUAUUACCCAGUUGACUGUAUGCCUUUUUGUAAUAUAUUUGUAUGUUGGACGUUCCAAACUUGGUAAUUUUCCCAUUAUGUAAUUCAAAUAAGGGAUUUGCCUAUUUGCCUAAUUGACCAACUCAUUCAAAUUGACCAAUAUGGUUAUUGUCUUAUUUCUCAUUUCAGCAAUCUCAAUUCGUUUCCAUUUUUCCAUUCUUCAUAUUUUCCUAUUUUCCAUGUGUCAUCCAAUUUUCCAAUUUUCCAAUUUUUCAUUAUUUUUGCCUAUUUUUUCCUAUUCCCUAUUUUCCUAUUGUGCAAUUUCCCAAGUUUCCUUUUGUUGUAUUUCUAGUUUUCCAAUUUUUCAAUGUUCCCAUUUUCCCAUUAUGUAAUUUAAAAAAAGUUGCCUGCUUUGCCUAAUUCAGAAAGUAAUUAAAAUGGUCCAAUAUGGUAAUUGUCUUAUUUUCCAUUUCCACAAUUUCAAUUCGUUUCCAAUUUUCUUAUUUUCCAUGUGUCCCUAUUUCCUAUUUCCAUUUUUCAAAUUUUAAGUUUUUGUCCAAUUAUCCAAUUAUCUUUUUUCCAAUUGGACUAUUUUCUAAGUUUCCUUUUUUUCCUAUUUCCAAUUUUCCAAUUUUUCAAUUUGCUAACUUUCCUUUUGUUCUAUUUCCAAUUUUGCUAUUUUCCAAGUUGCCUUAUUUCCUAUUUUUCAAUUAUCCAGUUAUCCAAUAUUCCAAUUUUCCAAUUAUCCAAUUUUCAAUUUUCCAAUUUGCGAAUUUGCCUAUUUUCCAAGUGUCCUUUUUUCCUAUUUCCUAUUUCAAAUUUUCCAAUUUUCAUGUUUUCAGAGUUUCCUUUUUUUUUCCUAUUUUCCAAGUUUCCUUUUGUCCAAUUUCAAAUUUUCCAAUUUUCCAAGUUGCUUUAUUUUCCAAUUACCCAAAUUUCCUAUUUUCCAAGUGUCCUUUUUUCCUUUUUCCAAUUUUCCAAUUUUCCAAGUGUCAUGUAAUCCUAUUGCCUAGUUUCCUCUUUCCAAUUUUUCCUUUUUUCCUAUUUCCAAUUUUCAAUUUUCCAAAUUUCCCAAAUUUCCAACUUUCCAUUUUUUCGUAUUUCCGAUUUGCCAAUUUUCCUUUUGUUCUAUUUCCAAUUUUCCAAGUUUCCUUAUUUCCCAUUCUCCAAGUUUUCACUUUUCCUAUUUUUCAAUUUCGCUAUUUUCCAAUUUUCUGUUCUGAAAUUCGCAAUAAAUGCUUAGUUACACAGUCCUAUUUUGGGUUGAAAUCCACAAUUUUCAAUUUCCCAUUAAGGUUUGCUUUUUUGUCGUUUGGAAGCCAAUUUUAUUGUUGUUAAUGUAAUGUUGUACUGUUGUAAAUUACAGCCAAUGAGUUAAUGAUGUAGUUUGCAAUCCCAUCAAUUGAAUGCACCAACUAAAUACCCAAUAUACUUCAUAUAAGUUCGUACAUAUAACUCAACCUUCCUAUACAGAACUGCAACAGAGGCACCUUCUUAACGGGAAAGGUAAUUAGUCUUACUAAAACGCAAAUAUUCUCCACUACAGCUAACCAAUUGUCGUUUACAACUGGAGACUGAAUCUACCUUUAUUUGUUUUGUUGCAGGCAACAGCUGUGAAUUGUCCCCGGCAAUACUUAAAGAUGUCGGAUGUACGCCCUCCAAAUGAGCAUGUCACAGUUACCCGGGGGACCAGCCGUGGCAUGUGCCAUUCCCAUCUCCACCUCGGACUCCCAAUCAUGAUCCCACUUCAUCUGGAAGUGAGGCUGAGAGCAAUGAUCCGCUUGACAAAAUCUCUGCCGUCAAGCACCACCUCCAAUAUAUGUCAAAGGCAACGGAUUGGUGGGAGAGUAAGUGCGAUAUUCAUGGCCAAGUUAUGGGAAACUUGGCCAACAAGUUGAACAAAGCAUACGCUGGAGAGGUGAAGCAAACUCUAAAAGCAAAAAGUCGGAGCAAAGAGUUAGAGUCCUUGAAGUUGAAAUUGGAAGAGAGAAAGAAAAAUGCUGUCGAAAAAUUCACACAAUCUGAAGAAUAUAACCAUGAAAUGGUUGAAUGUUUCAACAACGGCUUUGAAAUGUUCCGAGAUUAUGCUUCGGUCAUCUCACCAGACUACAAUUGGAGUGAAAUUGAUGUAGCUGGUGUUUGGCAGGUGCUGAAUAUGGGUGCUGAGGGAAUGGCUCAUCAUAGCCUCGUGCAUGCAGCAAGGAGAAAGGACAAAGACUUGGAUCUUUUGAUGGACCUGUAGUAACAGUGAGUGCUGCUUCAGUUCAACUCACCUGAGUACAUGGAUCUUUUGUUGCCUUCAUUUUCCCUUCGCAGGCUAGUAUUGUUAAGGUUCGGUGGCGAUUUCUUUUGCAUGUGUAAAAUGUUGUCUGUAAUGUGUAUGUAUUGUAUGUAGAUUGACUUAAUAUUGUAGUUCUAUUGUAUGUAUAUUGCCUUAAUAUUGCCUUUGUAUAGCAUAGAUAGUGUAUGCAUAUUGCCACCGUAUUGGAUGUAUAUUGUAAAACUAUUGGUAUCGUAUUGCCCUUAUAUUGCUCUAAUAUUGCCUCUAUAGUGCACCUAUAUUGACCUAAUAUUGCUCUUAUAUCGUAUGUCAAUGGCAUGUGCUCUAAUAAGUCUCCAGUUCGUUGAAAGUAAUCCUGAAUUCAAAUAUGAUGGACAAGACAAUUGUUAUCCAUCCUUAUAUUACCAUGAAUUGAUUUGGACCUUUCAAAUGAUAGUUGGAGUUGCACAUGGAUUCAUAUUCAAAAGGAAAGUAAUUCUCUCCCUCAAUGAAUUGUCGUUCAAAAGAAGGCAGCUAUCAAAUUUUGGGUACAAAAAGGCAACAUCCACGGUAAAUUAAUUGGGCACAAACCACAUAUUACAAAACCAGGAUGAUUUUUGGCAUGCUUCAAAAGAGAAGGGCCAAAUACAACAGAAAAGAAAAUCCAUUCAAGCUUGUACAAUAGAAUGCACAAUAACCCUUUUACAUGUCCUUCCAACACCAGUGUUUUGCCUACUUUAGAGUCGCAGGAGGAGAGCUUAUUGCCAUUGUGCAAUUCGAGGGGGCAGUCAAUUUGGAAUGGUGGCAUAAACAUGUUUACUCCACGGAUCACCUAUAUGGGACAGAGCUUCCUUCUUCCCUUGUCGUCUGUAGGUUUCAACUUCACACUUUUUAUAUACAUGUAUGAGAACUUGUGGCUAUUUAUUUAUGGCCUUCUAACACUUGUUCUGCCAUUCCAAAGUGGGUUGGAGACUUUUUGAGUUGAAUGACUGGAAAGACUUCAGAUGACAGAAACUAGAGAGUUUGAAGAAAAAGGGUUACCAAGAACAGCAGUCAUGCCCACGACAUAAACUAAACAUGCUAUAAGCUCCACAGUAAUAUUUACUUCAUCUCCAUAAUCAGAAUAUUGGGAAAAAAAUACCACGGAGAAAUACGUGAAAUGAAAAACAACUCGGCAGUUACUGUGAGAUUGUGUACAUAAAACUUGGAACAACCAAACCAAUUAAAGCUAAGCCAUCUCAUACGUAUACCUACAUCAAAUAACAGUGUAUGGUCAUCUUGUUUAGAAUAUUGCAAUCAACACUUGGUUGAGACCGACCUGCAAAAACAACUGGGUUAAGUACAGAUGAAGCCAUUUAUGAAGGGCAGUUCCAGAAUUAAGACCUACGUUAAUUUGUAACUGCCACCGAAUCAGUUCAUAGUGCCAAAUGCAUCUACCAAGCACACAGAUAUGACCAGCCAAAAGAAAAAAAAGCAAAGUAAAAAAGAUAAAAGAGGCAUGCCAUAAAUGGGAACCUCAGCAGAAAUCAUCAGAUAUGCAUACAAGCAGAUUGAGUAACAUCUCACUAAGUAGAGGUCAUGUUGGUAAUCGCAUGUUGUGUUUGCACACAGACAUUUGGUUUUUGCAAACACAACAUGCAAUUGCAUUCCAUGAUGUGUGUGUUGUGUUUGCACACAGACAUUUGGUUUUUGCAAACACAACAUGCAAUUGCAUGAUGUGUGUGUUGUGUUUGCACACAGACAUAUGGUUUUUGCAAACACAACAUGCAAUUGCAUAUUGUGUGUGUUGUGUUUGCACACAGACAUAUGGUUUUUGCAAACACAACAUGCAAUUGCAUAUUGUGUGUGUUGUGUUUGCACACAGACAUUUGGUUUUUACACACACGAUAUGUAACAUUUAGUUUUACCCUUUUAUUCUUAUUUUCUUCGUUCAAACAUGGUGGUGAGAAAAGCACCAAACCAUCCCAUCAUAUAAAGCAAAACUCAUACAAUAUUUUAGAUGCAAAAGUUAUAUAUUUUAUAUAAAUGCAUCAUCCGCAUGGCUUGAAAUUACAAAUUCACGUUCACAUAUUACUUUUCACAAGCGCACAGACUAACAAUAAUAAUAAUCAACCAAGUAGUUGCGACAUUCAUCCUAUUACGUCCAUAUUGAUAAUGUCAGAAGUUUCAUCGAUAAGCCUCAUCAAACUACAAGUUUUUUAAUUUGAAUUAUGAAUUCAGAACUAAAAGCUCAUGAUAUGCAGAAAAUGACAUACAUUGUCCACAAUCGACUUUUCGAUAUAUUUCUGCUCUAGCAAUUUAUCGUCCAAAUUCUGGACUCUCUGUGUCAGGUGCUUCUUUGUGUUCUAUCCAGCAUAAGAAUAUUUAAUAGUGUGAUUUCAAUUGUUUAUACAAAUUCUAUAAGUAAUAUUGAUGAGUGCUGUAAAUCUAUUUGAUAUUGGGAACAAACAUGGUCCCACUAACAGAAACUCAAACAAAACAGGAAUUUUUUUUUAUUUUUUUUGGCAUAGACAGCCGAAAAGAAACUUACAGCAAUAGCCUCUGUCACGCUCUCCAGACGUUUAUGCAAUUUUGAAACAGCAGCAUUCAUACUACGCUUUGUCACAUACAGAAGAUCUGAGAAUUUUAGACCCUAACCAUUUGUGAAGAGCAAAUAUUAGAUUUGCUUAAAGAAGACAACAACUCACAGAACCAAUGGAUGAAAUAAUAUGAACAUAAAUAUAUCAUUUGGAUACCUUCCACCACAUGUAACCAUAACCCAAUGCCCCCAAGGUAGCUGUUGGCAUUAUUAGUGAUGUCAAACCUAUUAAAAAAAUCAAAAAAAAAAAUAUAACCAAGUAUAAAAUGUUUCUAUUGCAUUAUGAAAUACAUACGUGUAAGGAAUUAAUCGUUUUACAACUUAACCAAAAAGUCAAGGCAGGAGCAUGCAUUCAUUGAGUGGUUAUAAGCAAGAGGAAAAAGCACAAAGCAUGCUAAGAAUUCAUUUGAACACAGAAGAGAAAGUAAGCUACCUUGGAAUUUGGCUGUCAUUCCCCUUCAGGACGGCUCUCUGUAGUGACGAGUCUAGUUGUCGGACCUCAGCUGCCAGUCGGCGCACCUAAAACAAAGUAACACAGGAAAAUUGAUAUCCAUUACAAAAAACAAAAAUUGAACACGAGAAAGCAUCCUUCGACACUAAAUUUAUAGCAGUUUUUCCAAUACCUGUGAUGCGAUCGCAUAAAAGUCACCUUCUGAUUGUUCUCCGGUUCCAUUGAACAAAGGCUGCAAACAAAACAGAAAUAGACACAAAUCCAUCAAUUUUUUGAGCAACAAGACACAAGCUCCGAAAUAAAUAAACUAUCUAACUGAUCAAAACCCUAGUUUACCAAAUGCAUUACAAAAUUAAAAACUCAUACAAAAAUAACACCAAAUACAAAUGUUCUGCGAGUUCCACUAGCAAAGCAGAGUACAAAUCAUGAAAAUGGUACCUGAAGUUCACCGAUCAAUUCAGAUAAUUGACCAUUCUUACGCAGGAUGGUGCUCGUAUACCCUGUAGAAAGAGAACAAUCACUCAGAUCAAAUGUAGCUAAAUACACAAGGAAACUAAUCCAGUAUGCAAGAUGAAAGAGGAGUGAUUGGUACCUACUCCAGCGAAGAUCAGCAAACACAGUAUGAGGUUCCAAAUUCAAAUAACAACAUAAUGCUAAGCAGAGAAGUAGAAUUGCUGCCGAAAUUAUUUAAAACGAACUAAGUCAAAACUAAAUGGAGAAAUGUUAACAAAGUUGUAUGCUUCAGUAAGUCCAGUAACAGAUUCCCAAAACCACAGAGACAAAAUGUGAACAAUGGCUACAAAAGCAUCCAUAAAGAGCAACUAUGUUUAUAUAUGGAGGUGUACAAAAUAGUUAACCUUCAAAAUCGAAACAGUGUGUGUGCCAUGUAAGGCAAUUAGCCACUGCUUCUAGACUAUACAAUAUUACACCUCACAAUAAUAACUAAACCAACUAGCUCUAGCAAAAAGGCAGGAUGACCAUAUAAAGUACCCCCAGCAAAGCAUCUACGUCUGCAUCUUCAUAUCAAGGAGUUCCUGACAUAAGUAAUGAGCAAAGUGAAUUCCCAAGUCAUAAGUCCAGAAUGAGGUGAAUUCACGGACAUUAAAACAUUUACCUCAUAAAUAUGCCUCCCCCCUUAAACCCUCAAUUGCAAGCCUCAGCCGGUAAUAUUUGAUCUUCAAAGGGUCAACUUUAUCUACCGAAAUCCCAGCACUGAGAUGCUCGAUGAAUUUGACGGUCAUGAUUCCGCAAGACGUACUGUGAGACCAAUAAGUUGGGAAAUUAGAACUGCAGUUAUGUAAGAUUUGGAUAAACUGCACUAAAUUCACAAAGCUUACCCAUCUCGUUGUUGUGGCACAUCUGCAAUGCUGCAAACUGAGAAUGGCGUAAACGUCAACAUCUUCAGCCCCUUUUGCUUAACCUUUUCAACCUCAGAAUCUUCAUAAAAGUGCAUAUCGUACAGCACUCGUGCCAGCGUAUCGCUAAUAGGGUGCAGAAGUGUAACCAGCUUCGAACAUUUGGUAAAAGCAACAUAUGAGUCAUACACAGUUGCAGUAUGUCAGACGAAAUCAAUUUCGAUUGCAACCCAGUAAGACCCUUUAAGAUUAUAUGGAAUAUAGACCUUCCGGACUUUUGUCCAAGCUUGGCCAUACCCGUGUUGCCACGUACCGCGUACAAAGUAAUGUAUAUUCUGCAGCUUGCUGGGUGGAAGGUCAACGGUGUUUGAAGCAACUGCCUUCUUCGAUCCACGUUUCUUGGCAGUCGGUUUGAACGGAUCUAGAAAUUGCUGCAUAAAUUGAAAUGAAGGCAUAUUAGAAAAUCACAACCGAAAGCAAAUGAAGCAGCGAAUGUAACAUGGUAACAUGUUUACCUGCAAGCAACAAUCUGCUGUUGUCCAGUCAGUUCCAAAUACCAACGGAUGAGAGAGUUGCCUUUUCCAGAUAAGAAAGGUUGCCAUGUCCAGGUGCUGAAAGUUGACACACAUAAUAUCAGCACAAUUUCAUACAACUGUACACUUAAAAAAGGUGAGAAAACAAUUUAAUUAUCGCAAUAAAGUAGAGCUUUGUGUAUUCUUACCCUUGAGCUAAUCCAUUCCGUUUCAUCGAUAAGUCUGUAGAAAAAAUCAGCGCCCACUGAAAAUAAUUCCAGCUGCACCUCCGCACUACAAAAGGCAAACUUGCAAUGGUUACUUUUAUAGUCAUCUCAUAAUUCUGACUUUGUUGAUGACAAAAAUACACAUGUAUAUUAAAGCAAACUCUACGUUUUCUCAUUAGUCUAUGACUACAUACUAGAAUAGGAUGAAGAUUGGAAUUCAAAGGUAAAGAAUCCUAACCUGAUAUCGUUUUUCCAGGCAGUACAAAACUCUAUUACUGCCUUCACAUCUUCAAUGGGCACGGAUUUUGAUGGAUCAAAACAUGGCGGGGUUGCAGUCGCAGCCAACACACUCAUCGUCCUCUUCUUCCUCAAAGGAUCAGUAAAUGGGCUCAACAAUGUCUGCGCCGGGCGCUUCUGUCUGCACCCUUUACCUUCCACUUCUUUUUUUUCCACACUCGAACUACCUUCUUCAUCACCAGCCAUACUAACUGUGGGUAGACUUGGAGGAUUCAUCGGACCUCCCGAUGGCAUACUCUUAGUCACUUUCCAAUCUUCUAACAGAGACAACACUUUUUGGCAGAUUUCGUCACACCCGGCCACAUCUUCCGGGGUAGGCAGCUUCUCGGAUUGUGCCUGCUCAGCUGCUUCAUGCACUUGUAAGUGAGGAACUGAAGCGGCCAUUUCUGCCUCUUCGACUACCAUGGCUGCGGAAGGUUCGGCUCCAUCACCGGGAACUUGUGUUUCCAUUACCGCCGGUUCUGUAGGCGGACUAACAUGGUCAUGUAAUGGCGACAAGUGAUUGUCGCCUCCUUCAUUCAUAUGAGGACUACUGAGGUCCUCAUGUCCUUUCCCACCUUCAUUCACCCCACCAUUUCGUUUUUUCAGCUGCUCUAUCUCCACAUUAAAAUAAUGCUCCAUUAAAGCCAGGGUGUUGCGGAAAUCCUCCACACACUUUUUAUUUUUUUCGAACUCUCUUUCAACUUUCAAUGACUCCUUCCGUACCAUGUCUUCCAACUGAUGCACUCUGUUGCGAAGCGCUCGAUUUGAUAUGGCAACUUUGGCCAAUUCAUCCUUUGUCCUUUGAAAGUCACGCUUCAAAGUGCGUAACUCUCUGGACGCGACUGUACCCUGCAUUCAGUUAUAAUGCAAGUGUUACAAUAUUUUCAAAAUAUAUUGCAACAAUACAGCAGUUAUUUUCCUAUUGUAUUAUGACGUAUAUCUUGGAAAAAAAUGUAAUGCUUGCCUUAGAAGACGACGGAAGGCUAGCAGUUUCGUCAAUGUCCUUAUCUUUUUCUUCUACAGAGGCAGAAGUGCUGGUUUUUUGUUCAGCGUCAUCGCCAAACAACUGAACAAGUUCUUCAGUGUCGUCAACACUGUCACCCCAAGUCCAAUACGGCUGCUGCUUGUCGAUUACAGAUGGCCGGAGAAGUUGCACAUCAACCUGCAAUUUACACAUACAAUAUACAUAUCAGUAAACUUAUUAUAUUAUAUUUUCAUAUGCCUAACAUUAUCAUUAAAAACUUAACUAACCUCACGGUUCUCGAAUACUUGGCUCAUUAGCUCAUAAAAACACGGCGAACUAUUGCUCCUCCAAUGUAGUAAACGAGGGAUGUAGGCAUUAUCUUCGUGCACCACCAAAUGUAGUGCAGCCAACGCUGGAAAAACCUCAUAAGCCCAAAUCUGGUUUGAGGAAUAAAACGUGAGUCACUGUAAACAAAUGAAAUUUAACUUCAACAUGAAUGGAAAUUUGCUCACCUGAAGUGCAUAGGCAAAACCUUUGAGGUGGUACUCUCUUGGUCUACCAGUUGCCGUUGUUUUUGCUUUCUUUUCAGAUUUUUUUGUUUUUGCAGCUUUUUUGGGCACUUUCACUCGCUGGUAAUCUGUACAAAGUGCCCUCAGAAGUGACACAAUUGUCUUGGCAUAACACACAGCACCCCAUGGAUACUUCCCAAACUCUUCAAGGUCUUCCACCAACUUCAAAUAUCGCAUGUCAAUCUGGACAUGUUUUUCACUGCCCAACAGCACAAACACAGCAAAGUAUACAAAUCUGAGCUUCAAUACAUCGUCCGCAUCAACGCAUUUGAGGAAGGCCUUUUCUAAUUCCAAAACAUUGACAGUUUUAUAGUUGCCAAAGUACUUCCUUUUCAAUGAGCAGUUCUCAUUAGUGGGAAUCGGAAUAAAGGGAAGGUUUCCAAACCUUAGCCCUGUCACGAUGCAAAAUUGCUGCGCCGUGAAUUGGAUCACCUUAUUGCCAACGAUGAAUUUGAUCCCGUUGAGUUGGGAAACUGUCUUUGGAUCAGCUUUCCUCAGCAGCAAGCCGUGGACAAUUGGCGAAGUCCACUUGAGGUCCUCAAUCAGUAGGAGAUGCCCAAAACAACUCUCUUCAAACCUUUGUAGCUGUUGUUCACUGAAUUUCUCCUUUAUCGUGCUGAUUGCAGUCUUCGUAUGGGAUAGGGACAAUGCUUUUCCUUGGAACUUUUCUUCCUCUGCAAUCAUCAACUUCAUUUGAGCAACCAUCUUUCCCUGCAUGCCAAUAUUAUAAAAAAAAAUUCAGUCCGUUGCAAUCUAGACAAUAACAAGCAAUAAACAAUCAGCACUUAUCUACAGCCUAUUAUAGGAUAUUAAGUGAAAACAAAAAAACAAAAAAUACAGGGCAUAAACAAAACCCCAGCUAUUUACAACUGACCUACUAAUUCAAUAGCUCAAAGCCACAUCCCAAGACACCCAGUACUCUACCACUCUUGCAUAAUAUAAUAUCUAAAGACACAUCUCAACACACCAGAUAAUCAUGACACAGCUUCAGCUAGAAUGGGAAUGUGCGGUAGCACAAGCCUAAUUGAGAACAAUUCAAGACUAACGAUAGAAAUCUAUCUGACUAGAAAGAGUUUUAAAAAAACAAGAAGACAUCGGGAAAGAAUUGAUUGACUUCAAGGUAUAAUGUAAUGGAACAUCCUAUGAAUUAGUGGCAACCAUAAUAAUGACUCCACUAUGGCCCUCCUUUCAAAUGUAAGAAAAUGAAUGAAAUUGGCACCAUCCCUUCAGUUUUUUCUUAACAAAAUAAGAGAUUUGUAUGUAUUCUCUGCUUUAUCGAUAUCAAAGAUAAAUUAAUAAAUAAACCAUCAAAACUGUAUAAAAUGUUUGUUAGACAUGUACAAUUACAAAAUUAUAAGUUCUCCUCAGAAACAAAGUUCUCUAAGUACGCAAACAAGAAAAGCAAAAGCUUAAAGAGUUAGCUUAUAGCAAAAUCAAUGUCCCCAUUUCUCUAAACCACACCUGCUGGUGGUAGGUUCCCAUCUUCACUCAUUUCCCGCUUUCUUUUAAACAGACAAUGAUCAAGCACAAAAGAGCAAACUUUUAAAUAACUCAUAUUACACCACAAAUAGUUCUAAAGAAAACUUAUUCAUAUCCAAUAUGCAACCCCUAAAGUUAGUAAACAGAGUUAUAAAAAAAUAUGUCAAAUUAACAAGCAUUAUUCUCAAACAAAAAGUAUGAUAUGGUUGGGAGUUUACAAGUUCAAAAUGAUAUACACAGGUUAAUUGUCUUAGACUUUAGAUAUCAUCUUCAACAAAGAAAAUAGAUACCGAUUAGACUUGUAAGAAGGUUAAAUGCAAUGGUCAUAAAGACCCAUAGUAAGCCACCAAAUACCAAUCAAUAACUGCUAUAAAAACCAUAAUAAAACCAUAAUAAACUAAAAAUACAACAGCACUAAAAUGCCAACACAACAUCACUACAUUAGCAAUAUAGUAGCAACAAAACCACAAUACGACAUCAAUAGCAACAGCAAAACAACAGCAGUGCAAGCAUCAGUCCACAAAGAACAAACCCAUUCACUGUUUCAAACAAGGAAUCAUCAUACUAAGAUCAUUUCAGAGAAACCCCAAAACCAAUUUCAGUGAAACCCCUAAACCAAUUUCAGAGAAACCCCUAAACCAAUUUCAGAGAAACCCCUAAACCUUCAACCAAUUUCGAACAAAUCCCUGAACCAAUUUCAUAGAAAUGCAUAAACCCUAAACCAACUUCAAAGAAACCCUAAACUGUAAGAAAAUGACGAUGAACAGUACCUGUUCAAGGUGAACGAUGGAGUUGAGCUUCGAUGAACAAAUUUCGCUCGGAGAGGAAGAGAGAAGAGAGAGUCAGAGCUGAGCGACGAGAGAUUAAGGGCUGAGCGACGAGAGAGUGAGAGCUGAUCGACGAGAGAUGAGAGAGUGAGAGCAAAGUGACGACAGAGUGAAGAGAAAUUGAGAGAAGGAGCCAAGAGAGAGAGCUGAGAGAGAACUUCAGCAAAACUGAUAGAGAACUUCAGCAAAAGUGAUAUGUGUACAAUAAGGGGACAAUAAAUAUAUAUUUAUAGGUUAUAGUUCCAAAUUUUUUUAAAAAGAGUGGUAUUUUCAGUUACAAUUAUAAAAAUGGUGGCAUUUUGAGCUAUUUCCUUAUUUUUUAUUCAACAUGGACGCAGAAACUGUUGCUAAACUGCAAACUUCUUAAAAUAUUUGUCUCACUUUCUCAACCCUAUAUUUGUCUAACUUUCUAGAUCCAUGUACUGAGAUUUAUUAGGGAAAUAUUGUAGAAACUGAUUAUUUUGAAAUAUUAAAUGUGAAAAACUGAACAAAAAUUUGAUGGGUUACAUAUUUCAACUCAUUUCAGCAGCUUAGAUUUUGAAGACCUCGGAAGAGGCCAUGCAGUGAGCCUAGCUAGUGCACUGUUGAUCACUUCAGUGUCUACCGAUCUGUAAUUUUUCCAGAUUGGUUAUAUUUUCCUUUACAUAUUCUUAUAUUAUUCCCAGCUGUAAGUGUUUUACACACUUGUCUAUUAGAAAAGGGGAGACUUAUAAAUAAAUCCAAAAUGGGUACAGUAUUUAUAAAGAAUGACAAAAUUAAAGUGUUUGGGCAAUAAUGCCCUUAUUCAUUUUGAGAUUGCCUAAGGAAUAUUUUUUCUGAUUUUCAGAAGAUGCCAAAGGACCGUUGUUUGAUGAUUGCCGUAAGGAGCUAAGAAAACUUGCUUUGAUAGUUUUGGACAGAUGCAUGCUACUGUUGCUGGGAUGAUCUCUUCACGUGAAAUGAGGAUGAUGAUGCUUCUACACUACACAAUCCAACGAAUUCACAUGUCUAUUUCAGAUACAAGUAUAAACUAACAAGGCUUUAAAAUAUGGGCUGAUGCACUGUUGUUGAUGUUGCUGACACUGUUACUGUGUUGUUGAUACUGUCACUGCGUUGCUGUUGGAAAAAGCACAAGGACUUCACAUGUUGCUUUCGUCUUUUGUGGAGGAGAGAGACCUAGGACUUGCAUGUCUUAGAUAUUUAAGAUAAGGGGCUUUCGUUCCAUUUUGAAAAUACUUUGGGUGUUUUUGAAAGGUGAUUGUUUCUUUUGGGUUUCUCACUAAAUUUCGCUUUAGAAGGGAAAAUAAUAAUAAUAAUGUCAAACAAAGUAGGGUAAAUAUUCAGAUAUGCUCAUAUUAUUAUUCUUCUCCAAUAUUGAGGUAUUUAUACAAGUACAAAGAUGUGUUAACCCUAAAUAAAAUAGGAAAUAUAUCUAAAUUAUAAUAGGCAGUAAAUCUCUAUUACAAUAGGACUAAAUAAUAAUUGGUAAGUAACCAAAAUUCUAAUGAAAUAAGGAAUCAAAAUCCUAACUAAGUAAGGACUCGCCAACACUCCCCCUCAAGUUAGGGCAAACAUAUUUCGCAUGCCUAACUUGACAAGCGAGUCAUAGAACACCAUACUUGAGAAGCACCAAUUGUAGAGAAGGUCUUUUCGUCAACCACGAGUGAAACAAGUGACAAACUAAAGCAAAGUUCGCAGCGGAAACACAAGAGCGAAUCCUAAAAAAUAGGGCACAUAGCAGAACACAAAAAUCCUGGAGCACGACAGUAGAUAAGGCAGAACACAGAAACCCUGUUAGCACGGCAAUAGGUAAGGCAGAAAAAGUCAAGAGCAAAGGCAAGGUCAACAGGCGUGACCACAACGAAAACACACCAGCAAAGACAUGAGCAACAAUAUUAGCACCAUAAUAGACAUGAGCAACAAUACUGGUACCAACAACAGCAAUACAAGGCACUGGCACCAGCAAGAGCAACAAGGCAUGGACAUAACAUGCAUAAUCAAUAGUAAUCAACAUUGUCCCCAACAAGAGUCAUAAUAGGCAUGAGCAAUAACAUUGUCCCCACUAAGAGACUUAACAGGUAUGAGUAACAGUACUGGCACCAGCAAAGGGCAUAGUAGUCAGCAGCAAUAACAAUGACAAAUACUUCUAUUAUUGCAGAGACAACUUCUCUUCACUCCCCAUCUCCCCUUGAAGAGAAGGGGUCAUCGGAACCAUAAGAAAAGUGGCACUUAAGAAACAGAAGUUGACUGACGCUCAAAUGUAGAAGAAUCAGCCAUGGCAAAUAGGUAGCUGAAUUGCAGCGGAAUAGAUGAGCAGCGGUGUCACUCCCCCUCAUAUCUGAUAAUGUAUGAGAGUCGAGAUUUGGAGAAAGCAAUAUCGAAAAAUAAAGUUGCAGAACCCAAAUAAAGUUGCAUCUAUCUCCCCAUCAAAUCCGACACUGGUAAAGGGUCGAGAUUUGAAAGAGGAGAAAUUGAAAUAAUAGUAAAGAGACUCAAACAUGCAGUCUCAUGGCAGAAACAAAUGCAAGAGGGGAAGAUGGUAGCAUACGGUUGUCCCAUGAAGAAAAAACUUCAGAAAAGGAGAAUAGUAAGGGAGGAAACCUAGCAAAUCAUGAACAGAGACAAAGACAAAGAUGCUCAAACUGAGAAGCGGAAAGGCAACUCAAGAGAGCAACCGAAGAAGACAGAGGCCCGCAGAACAGUCAAAGUUAAGGCUCGGCGAGUGGUGACGAUGCUCGCGGAGGAAAGCAACGGCUCGGUGAGCGGUGAUGAGGCUCACGGAGUAAAGAGACUUGUUAUGAAGUUUCAAAGAUAGAGAAGCUGAGACAUCAAGAAAGACCAUCUGGCAUACAAAGAUGAAAAAUAAAAAUUUUGGAACAGUAGCAAAGAAGCAUGUGAAGGCUGGUGCGGUGAAAACACAUAUGAAAGGAUGAACAAAAGAAGAUGACUAUACAAGAUGAAGACCCAUGAUGGGUUAGGAAUGAGGAGUGCCAACGACUCUCAAUUUGGCAGAGGUUAUCGCAGGUUAGGAACCUGGCUCUGAUACCAUGUCAAACAAAGUAGGGUAAAUAUUCAGUUAUGCUCAGAUAUGCUCAUAUUAUUAUUUUUCUCCAAUAUGGAGAUAAUUAUACAAGUACAAAGAUGUGUUAACCCUAAAUAAAAUAGAAAAUAUAUCUAAAUUACAAUUGGAAGUAAAUCUAUAUUACAAUAGGACUAAAUAAUAAUUGGUAAGUAACUAAAAUUCUAAUGAAAUAAGGAACCAAAAUCCUAACUAAGUUAGGACUCGCCAACAAAUAAUAGUACAACUCUUAUUAGCAACAGGUUACAAACUUCUUCUACAACACACCAACAUGAAUCUAGCCCUGAUCCACUCUUUUACAUACUUGAAAACAAAACAAAACACGAAAAACAAAAAACAAGAAACAAGAUAGGGAGAAAAUGGCUACGGAGAGACUUCCUGCUAAUCAGGGGCGGCCCUGGGGUGGUGCAAGUGGCGUCACCGCACAGGGCCCCCGAUUCUUAAGGGCCCCCAAAAAAUAAUUCUUUAUAUUAUAUAUAUAUAUAUUAAUAUUAUAUGAAUCGUAUAUAAAGUAUAGCGUCUGGAUGAUAAAGAGACUCAUUAUCAUUAUCUUAGUCAUAAGAUUCAAAAUGAAUUGAUACUUUUGUUAGCUUCUGAGCUCAAAAGUGCAAUCAUUAAAAAGAUUGAAGAAGCUAAAUAUUUUUCUGUGAUUCUUGAUUGUACUCCAGAUGCUAGAAACCAAGAACAAAUGAGUUUGAUAGUAAGAUGUGUGGAUGUCUCUACUAAUUCAAUAAAGGUUGAAGAAUUCUUUUUGGAAUUUUUGAUUGUGAAUGAUACAACAGGACAAGGACUUUUUGAAGAGUUGCAAACGGUGUUGCAAAAACUUAAGCUUGAUAUUGAUAAUGUGAGAGGACAAGGCUAUGACAAUGGAUCAAAUAUGAGUGGGAAAUAUCAAGGUGUCCAAAGAAAAUUUUUGGAUGUAAAUCCUAGAGCAUUGUACACACCUUGUGGUUGUCAUAGUCUUAAUUUAACACUUUGCGAUAUUGCAAACUCUUGUGGAAAAGCAAAAGAUUUUUUUGGAAUCAUACAACGUAUUUAUACAUUGUUUGCUAAUUCUACAAAGCGGUGGAAGAUAUUGAAAGAUAAUGUUAAACACUUAACUCUGAAAUCAUUGUCAGUUACACGUUGGGAAAGUCGUAUUGAAAGUGUGAGAGCAAUAAGAUUCCAAGCUGCAGAUUUAAGAGAAGCUUUACUUCAGUUAGCAGAAAGUGACGGUGACUCCAAAAUAACAAGUGAAGCUAAUUCUUUGGCAACAUAUGAACUUGGAAAUUUUGAGUUCUUAUUGGGCAUGGUUAUUUGGUAUGAUAUAUUAGGUGGUGUCAAUGUAGUGAGCAAAAACUUACAAUCUGAAGACAUGCUUAUUGAUGUUGCUAUUGAUAAAGUGAAAGGGUUGAUUACUUUUUUUUUGAAAAGUAUAGAGAAAAUGGGUUUACAGAAGCUAUGUGUACUGCUAAAAAAAUUGCUACUGACAUGGGAAUUGACCCGGUGUUUCCUGAGAAGCGAAAAAUUCGUAGAAAAAAACAUUUUGAUGAGAAUACUUGUGAGCUAUCCCAAUCAGUUCCUGAAUCAACUGAAGAAAAGUUUAGAAUUGAUUAUUUCUUGUAUUUAGUGGACCAAGCUAUUGGUUCUUUACGAAGAAGGUUUCGACAAUAUCAAGAGUAUGAGAAUUUUUGGGUUUUUGUUUACUUCAGAGAAGUUAAAUUCAUUGGAUGAUUGCGAUUUGAAGAAUAGUUGCAGUCAUCUGGAAAGCAUUUUGAAAAAUGACAAGUUUUCUGAUGUCGAUGGGGAGGAUUUAUUUGUUGAGUUGAAAGUUUUACAAGAGCUUUUACCAAAAGUAAAUACCACAGCUACUGCAAUAUUAAAUUUCUUGAAAAGAUUAAAUUGUUUUCCAAAUGCAUUCAUUGCAUAUAGAAUCCUAUUGACUAUUCCUGUUACUGUUGCAUCUGCGGAAAGAAGUUUUUCAAAAUUAAAAUUGUUAAAAUCAUACUUGAGAUCAACUAUGUCGCAAGAAAGAUUAAAUGGACUAGCUUUGAUUUCAAUUGAAAGUGAACUUCUUGAAAAACUUGAUUAUGAACAUUUGAUUGAUGAUUUCUCUUCUAAAAAUUCAAGAAGAUCAAUUUUCAGACAUUAGUAUUGUACUAGCUGUGUUUUUUUUUUUCUUCUAGGGUAAAAGCUCUCAUAAUAAUUUUAAUUCUUCAAAUAAGACAGCAAAUACAAUGUGAUGAAUUUUGGAUAAUCAGGUAUGUUUUUGUUGUUGCUUUUGUGUUUAAUGCAAUAUAAUCUAAUUUUUUUAAUGACAUUUGUGUGCAACUACUCUUUGAUUUGUGAUUGCCAAUUUUUUUUUCUUUCUAUUAAACACAGAUUGCUUAUUGGAGGCAGCAAGAGACCUUAUAGGGGCACAAGGAGCUUAUUUUUGUACAAAACAUUUAACUUUAUCAAAUGGAAACAUUUAAAUUUUUAUGAAUUUGAUUUCUGAUUGUCAUUGCAUAUUUAUUGAUGGUGAAUUUUAGUUAUAAAAAAAAAAUUGUUUAUGACAUUAAGUUAUGGCAAAUUUUUAUAGUAUUUUCGUAUUAGAUUAUGCGAGGUCCCAAUUUAAGUUUCGCACAGGGCCCUCAAAAUCUCAGGAACGGCCCUGCUGCUAAUACUUGAUCAAUAACAGAGAUAAUAGAGCACACUGUUUGUAUGACAAUGAGUAUCAGAAGAAUAAUAGCUGCAAAGAGAGAAAUAGCUGCCCAAGGUGUGUUGAAAUACUUUUGUCUCAAAUUUGCCUUCCGUCUGUUCGUGGUCUUCUUGCAGUACUCGUUUAGUUUGCCAGCAAGAUCACCAAAAUAGUAGUUUCCGUGGUUCGGAGCAACUUUACUGCAAAGCUUGUUAAUCAUAAUGGAAACCUUAUUGUUGUCACCUAGCGUGUUUACAACAAUUCCAUUGUCAACAAGCAACUCUACAUCCUUUGGGGUGUUUACAAAUUUAUCCAGGAUGAAAACAUAAUCGCUUAUGUAUUUAUCCACGCAAUGGCCUUGUUCAAAGGCAAUGAGAUUUCUAUGUGUAAGCUGUGUAAUCAUGUAUUUCAAUUUUUGGAAUUUCCAAGGUGUUUUUCUUGAACUGUAUAUCGAAUAAGUUCUUGCUUGAUCCCACGUUAAACUUAACUCCGGCCUGGUGUAGUUUUGUCAUGCUGGGUGUACUUUGGAGCCCUCCAUUUUUUUUUCUUUUGGCAGAUGUAAAGUUCUAAUAAAAUCAACAAAAUGUAAAGGUUUUUUAGGAUCAGGAGGCAUAAAAGACUUACGGAAGGCUGGUGAGUUCUCCAAGUUUUCUAAACGCAGUGCCUGUUGGAAGAACUUGUAAGAGAGUUCAAUUAUUGAAGGCUCCCCAGUCUGAGCACCUGUGAGAUUGUAAAGAUCCUCGAGAAUGAAAAAUGGCAGCUGAUUUACGAGCAUAAGCAUGUCAGGCAAUAUAUUUUGUAGCACCCAUGGUUUUUUAAAUAUCCAAGCAUCAUCAUCCUGCAAUUUUUCUUCCUGAAAUUUUUCUUCGGAUUUAUUCCUCAACAAUAGCUCAAUGACAAAGGCGGCAUCAACUAGAAUGAUAUUCACAAAAGUAGCAAUGUUAAACUUCUUAGGGCUAGUUUGGCGGCGUUGUGCUUUUAAAAAAAUAUGCUUCUGCUGUGCUGUGAAAAUAAUUAGCUGUGAAAAAAAGCUACUAGGCGUUUGGUAAACUGUUUUUGAAAAACUGCUGUGAGUAGUCAAAGUGUUUGGUAAAUUUUUAUCAGAAGUACUUUUAGUGUGUAUAAUGACCAAAAAGGACAUGAUGAUGAAAUUGUUUGUUAUUUUCUUCAUUCUUUUUCUACUUUAAAAAAAAAAAAAACCCAAUUUCACUACAUAAAUUUUUAUUCUUUUUUAAUUCACACCUUUUUAUCAAAAAAUUUAAUCUACAAUUAACAUACAUAUUUUACCAUAAAUUAUAAAUUACUAUUAUAACAAAAGUAAUUCUAAAUAUUGUUAUAUUAAUAUGGGCUUCGGACAUGACAAAAAUACAAAAAUUGUUCAAUUUUAAAAUGCCCCAAUAGAUCACUACAAUAUAAAAGAAGCUAAUUAGAUGCAUUCAUUAAACUUGUAGCGAUGCUAUUUCUUAAUGCAUUCAUUAGCUUCUUUUUUUGGUUUCCAAUGGUUCUCUAACAAUUUUAACUAAAAAAACAACCAUAAUGCUUUGUGAACAAUAAAUUCAAGUCCAAAUCUGCUAUUGCCCACACCAUACAUAUAUACAUAAUUGUUCCUUUCAUAAAACUUGAAGAUUCAAUAGUAAUUACACAGUUUACCAAUCUUGAUUCCAACUAUAUCCAUAAAAUUAAACUAUAAUUAGAAAUAGAGGAGCUACAUGUGAUUACUCAUAAAUGCUUCCCACUCUCAUCAUCAUCAUCAUCAUCAUCUUCCUCCUCUGUACUUUGCCUUUCACAAAUGGACAAGACCAGAUGGUAACGUACACGACAUGGUCCACAUAUAGAUAAAUUUUGGGUUCACUGGAGAACAUAAAAGAGUUUUUACACGAAUACAAAGUUAGUUAAGUAGUGAAUAAAGUAAAACUAUUCUGUACAAUUCUAGCUGAUGCAGUCCAAAAAGAAUAUAUGUCUAAUAACUUAAAUAACAAUAAAGAGAAACAAAAGCCUCAUGAAAAAUGCUAGAGUAAAAGUUACAUAACUGAAUCGAUGGACAGAGAACUCCACAGGCAGAGAAACAGCAACAAAAAUUGUCAAAACAGUAGCAAGACCAUGUUGGAGUCAAGGCCAAAGAUCAUAUUUCCUGUGUAUCUUCUUCCAUUCUGAAUUAUUCUCGUAUUCAAAUACUGUAACUCUAUUUCAAGUGCACCCCAAAAUACUUAUCUAAGGCCAGUACAUAGGACUUCAUAAAGGGUGCGAUAAAAAAUAUUGCCCCUUAAUUGAUAAACAGAACCAAGAUCCCAACAGCACACCAAAACUAUACCAACCACACCUACAUAAUAUGGACAGAAAAUCCUGUUGUUCCGAUCUCUAACCACACCAAUGACAUUCAUUAGGAAAAUACAAAAGAUGGGUACCCUGCAUUUCUAACAUUUAAGAUAAAAUUCACUGCCAGCUAAUCACAAAUUUGAAAAGAUGGCAAGAAAAUUGGCUAAGCUUUAACAAAAACCAGAGCAGUCCUUGCAUAGACCUGACUUUUUGCUCCAAGCUUUAGCAGAUCACUUACUGGUAGAGAGCAGAGAACAUGUAUGUGAAUAUCUGAAGUUGGAAGGGUAAGCCAUCACAAACACCAAGAGAUCUGAUUCUCAUCUCUUGUUACAACAACAAAUCACAAACACCAAUACAUCUGAUUCAGAAUCUCAUAAACAAUGGAGGAACAAACACAUAUUCACACACAUAUAAAUCCCUAAACAGAAAAAAUAAAAAAUAAAAAAAAAACCAUGAAAGUCAUAGGAGAAUCAAAUUGAUUUGGGCCAAAAUUGCCUAAAAAGAAAACACUCCUAAAUAAACUUCAAUUCACUUUUAAAAACAGUAAAACAUGAUUGAAUCAUUCUUUAAAACAAUUCCCUAAUAUACAUGCAUGAUAAUGACAUCAUUUACCCCUGAAUCAAAUGCCUUUCACUGGUCAAGCCACAAGUCUGUGUUUUGGGAAUUGCUGAGCUGCAUCAAUCCUGCCAAUGUAAAUUCUGCCCCUAGGCUCUCUCAAAGUGCGUUUACAACCUAUGCUAACAUAUACUAGAGUUUGUUUUAGUAUCUAGAAAAUGCCAACACUAAUUUCGUAACACGUAGAAAUUGUUACAUAUUGGAAGUUUUUAUCAUUUUUUCUUCCAGUCUCUCCACCACUCACUAAUACAGAUUACUCAUGUGAUGAGUUUACAAAACAUAUUUCUCUACUCCCACAAAGACCAUACUUUUUCUCAAAAGACUAUAUCACUUUAUCUCUAUCUUUGUGAAAUGUAAAAAGUUGAAACUUUAAUGUCAAACCUCGACAAAAGAUGAACAUCCAUCAUCAAUUACAUUGAAUUUGAAUUUGUUGAACUUAAGUAGUUUUACUUCUCUGUCAGCGUUUGAUGACUUGAUUUGUUAUUUACUUCUUCUUUUUUCCUUGGAAAUGUGUUCCAUCAACGUGAGGAAGAAAAAUAUGCACAAAUUAAUAUAUUUAAUAGAAGCAAAAAUUAAUAUUUACAAAAAUAUGCACAAAUCAAGUAAAAUUAAUAAAGCAUAAAUUGGAAAGGGAAAAUAUGUAGAGGAUGCAUUGUAGGAUUGCUCAUGCCAAUAAUUGUACCCUCUAAAUAUAUAGGGACAUAUUUUUUUUUGUUUUCAUGACAUGUGGUCCUAAAAUUAUUGUUCUUAGCGGGCUCUCCACCCCUCUCGACUGAAAACCUAUUGUGUAAAUCUUCAAUCCUGAAUGAUGCACCUAAAACUCAUGUUGCAAUACACAUCCACCCAUUCUCAGGCCAAUUAUUACUCCUAGUGGGCUCUCCACCCCCUCUCAAAUUUAAGUGGUCCAUUAUUAUUAACCGUAUAUUUUAUGGACCAGCCAGCUGUGAGGUUUUAUCUCAAAAACCUUUCUCCCACAUGCCACAAUUUAUGUCUGAUACAUCACAUCAUGCCAGUUGUCUCAAAUGAAUUUAAGUGAGUGAGGCAGUGUUACUUCUGGGUACCCCUCAUUAUUCGUCUAUAAAUUGGUGAAGCCAGUUGCUACUGUUACCAUAAGAGCCAGCUCCGACUUUCAAAAUAAAAAUUCCAACAACGGUCUUAGUGCCUUCAAUUGUAUGAGUCAUUGAACAUGCAAAUGAAUAAAAUAUGAAUGAUAAAAGUGUUUGAUAAAUCACCAAGUUAUAGAACACUUGAUGAUUUAUCUCAAAUAAAAAUUCAGCUUUCUAAAGUUUGUGAAUUGAAAAUAUAAUCGUUAAAGCUCUCUAAACAAAGAAGACGAAAGUCUUAUUUUAUAGAAUUUUUCUUUACAAGAAAGAAAACAUGUUGAAAACCAAAUCUCCAAUUUCCAAGGCUUGACAGAAAAUCAAAAAAAUAUCUUUCCUAUUCUAGAGAUUGGUCACAUGUAGUUCAACCAAUAGGAAAUGAGAUAUUUAAGAAAGCAAGAUUUUGAUCAAUACCAAUAUCAAAUGAAUUCUUAUACGCCUAGUCAACUAUUAAGGGUAUCUUGACUCCUUGAUAUUGUGAUAUGAUUGAAACAUGAUUUCCAUGUUAGAAAAUUAAGGGGAUGUUAAAACAUGAAAGUAAUAGGAGAAUCAAAUUGAUUUGGACUAAAAUUGCCUAAAAAGAAAACACUCUUAAAUAAACUUCAAUUCACUUUUAAAAACAGUAAAACAUGAUUGAAUCAUUUUUUAAAACAAUUCCCUAAUAUACAUGCAUGAUAAUGACAUCACUUACCCCUAAAUCAAAUUGUCACGCCCCGGACCUGGGGGUCAGUGGAAACCCCACGUUCGGUGCGUGAGAAAAUAAAAAGUAAAAUAAAAUAAAAAGAAUGCCGAAACAAGGGUUUAAAAUAAACUUCUCUUAUAAAAAUAACUCCAAAAUCUUACAACUUUACAAGAAAUAAAUAAAGCCCUAUCAUUCUUAUCUAAUUCAGCCUCAACUGGUUUAGUCCUUGUCUUGCCCACUAAUUCAUCUAAAAAAUGAAGAGUGUUGCUAAACGAACCCUAAAAUUAAUUGAGUACACCCUACUACCAAACGAUUUAUUGAAUUUGUCACAUCUCGGGAUCAACUCCGCCGUAGCACGAUAUUGUUCGCUUUGGGCCCUCCCUCUCUGGCUCGCAUGGUUUUGUUUCUGGGAACUCACGAGUAACUUCCCAGUGGGUCACCAAUCCUGGGAUUGCUCUAGCCCACAACUCGCUUAACUUCGGAGUUCCUACGACUCCGAAGCCUGUGAGCUCCCAAAAGGUCUCGUGCUAGAUGGAUGCGGGUGUGCACAUAUAAGGCACAUCACCCCCUCUCCGUUGGUUGAUGUGGGAUCUUAUAGAAUUACUAAUUUAUCCUAAUAUAAAAUGACCAAAGAAGAUAAAAUAAUAUUGGUAUCUAUUGCUUUGAAUCCAUGCCUUCAAACAAAUUGACUUAAUUUUUAACAAACAACACGGAGUCCAGGAGAAGUGUAUUGAUCCAAGUUGAUUUUUGUAUGCGUAAAACUUAAACAAUCAAUAACACAAAGCAGUUCAUGCUGAAAUAUUGGAAACCCACACCCAAAGAGUUCUCCGCUGCGAGGUUGAAGGCAGGAGAGAUGGGUGACAGAUUUUACUUCCACUGCGAAGUUGGAGGCUAGGAGAGUCUGUGACUGCCAUGGUUGAGGGAGAAGAUGCGUUCAAAAUGCCUAUUGAUAUUUUACAUUAUUGGCUUUUUUCAAAAGUGAAAGUUUUUUUAUGGGUAAAACCUAAAUUUACUUUUUCUAUACAAGUUAACAGUGUUUGUGUAUUGUGAAAAGGUGGAGAGACGUGUCAAAAUUUUAGACAAAGGACAGGAGGAGAUAGGGAAUUUGGGGACAGCAGAUCUCAACUCCCUUGAGACCCUAUUCUCUACGCCACCCCUCCCCCUCAACAACCCUAGUCACCAUUUCUCCUUCAACUCCAACGGCAACUCAUUAAAACCCAAUUCUCAAAUGCAACAAUCUAAUCCCAAUCCCAAUUCAGAUGUUUCUAAAAAACCCAUUGUCGUGGUGGAGAACUGCAAUUCCAGGUGGUGGUGGUGGUACCACAUGGGAGAGAGAAAAAAGAAGAAGAAGAAGCAGGAGAGAGAGAGUUUUUUAUUUUAUUAUUAUUUUACUGUAAUUUUUUAAUUUAAAUAAUUAAAAAAAUUAAAAGUUAAAGAGGAUGUACCAUGGGUAUUUUUGGUAGUUAAAUAAGGUGUACUUAGGGUCAGUUUGGCAUUGCUGUGCUGUGAAAAUAAUAGCUGUCAGAUUUGCUGUGAGAGAAAUCAGCUGUGAGAGAAAUCAGUUUGGCGUUUGAUAAAAUUUUUGUUAAAAGUGUGUUGAUAUUGAUUUUAUGCUUAAUCCGAAAAUGAUUGCUGCAUAAUCAUUAAACCCAGCGCCUCUUCGAAACUGAUUCCUAUAUAAUCAGAAAAUGAAAGCACCUCAUUAGCUGCUUUCCUUUAUAGCUUUCUCUCACAGCAAUUUUUAACAAUAAGUGAUUUUCUCACAGUUUACCAAACGGGUUGGGCUUCUCAAAAUUUUUUAAAAAUCACUUAUUACCCCAAAUAAGCAAUACCAAACGGGCACUUAGUUAAUUUUACAUUUUAAUUUAAACAUUAGGGUGUACUCAGUUAAUUUUAGGGUUCGUUCAGCAGCACUCAAAAUUAAACAAGGUGAGGGAUGAGCAAGUAGGGACAUGAGACAUUGCCACAGUAGAUUGAUAUAACUAAAUAUUAUUAUAAACAUAGAAAUAUAUAAGUAUUAUUAUAAUAGGAUUCAUAAUAAUUAAUAUAAAAGUAUAACAACAAUAUUUACAUUUAUGUACCAAGAUAAUUACACAUAUAAAUAUAACCAAUAUAUAUUUUUAUAUAUUUUAAAAUAUAAGUCUUUACGUAAAUGCCUUUCACGGGUCAAGCCACAAGUCUGUGUUUUGGGGAUUGCUGAGCUGCAUCAAUCCUGCCAAUGUCAAUUCUGCCCCUGAGCUCUCUCAAAGCACGUUUAAAACCUAUGCUAACAUAUACUAGAGUUUAUGCUGUAUCUAGAAAAUGCCAACACUAAUUUCGUAACACGUAGAAAUUGUUAGAGAUUGGAAGUUUUUAUCAUUUUUUCUUCCAGUCUCUCCACUACUUAUUAAUACAGAUUACUCAUGUGAUGAGUUUACAAAACCUAUUUCUCUACUCUCGCAAAGACUAAACUUCUUCUCAAAAGACUAGAUCACUUUACCUCUAUCUCUGUGAAAUGUAAAAAGUUGAAACUUUAAUGUCAAACCUCGACAAAGUGUUCUACUUUACAAACUUCUUGUGUCUACCAAUUUGUACUAAAAUUAAUUUCUCUACAGUGCUCAGAUUCAUCAUAUGUGUGUCCUUAAUUUUAGUGGAAAUUGGAAGUUUCCAUAAUUUUUGCUUUAAGUCACUCUUCUGAAGGAAGUUGAGGUUCCACUUCAUAAUCCAAAAUGUCAGGUUGACUUAUGGCAAACAAUGUAAAUAUGUAGGAGUACUAUGACCUUUUAUAGCAUUUUUAGUUUGAAUUUGGGUUUUAUACAUAGAUUUCAAAAUUAAUAGGUUGAUGCCUAGGAAAUAGAAAUUGUAAGGGCCUAUAUUAGAGUAGCCCUCUUAAAAAUAAUAUUAAUUAAUGAAUAUUUGUUCUUCUUGUUGUUUUGAAGUAGUGGUGGGAGGCAGACCAACAAAAAAAAAAUAUAGUGAAGGCUUAUAAGAGCAUUUACAAUCAUGCUCCCUAUUUUUUAGUUAAAAUUUAGCUAAAAAUAGAAAAAAAGUUAUUAUAGGAGCUCUUUAUAAAGCUCCUUUAUAAAAUUUGAACUCCAAUCAUACUCCCUAGUUUAGGGAGUCAAAAAUACUAUAGUUAUUUUUUAAUUCAAUUUGAUUUUGGUUAAUCUCUAUAAAUAUGAAAAAAUAGUUAGCAUUAAUUAAAAGUUUAAACUAUGCAUAAAACAAAGAAACAUUAAAUUAUAGGGAGCCACUAUGAGUCAUUACUCUCUCCUCAGAUUUAGGAGCUCCUAAAGGUCUCCCUAUUUUAUGAGGUGGAUAAGGAGCAUGGUUGGAGUUGUAUUUCUUCAAUUUCCUCCCUAAAAUUUGUCUAAGGAUGUGGUUUAGGGAGCCCAUUGUGAAUGCUCUAACUCUGGUAAAACACGAGUGACAUGGACAACAUAUGUUACGUCGUACUGAAGAUUUUUGGGUUUCUUUAAUUGGUUAAGUAGCAUCCACACAGCUUCCUAAAUCAUCUCCUUAGACAAAUUUUAGGGAGGAAUUGGAAAAGUACAACUCCAACUAUGCUCCCUAUCCACCAACUAAAAUAGGGAGACUUCUAGGAGCUCCUAAAUCUGAUGAGAGAGAAAGGACUCUUAAUGACUCCCUAUAAUUUAAUGUUGCUUUAUAUUAUUUUGUAUACAGACGGGUCAAUUAUAUUAAAUUAAAAAAUAAUUAAAGUAUUUAUGACUCUCUAAACUAGUGAGCAUAAUUGUAGAUCAUCUUAUAUACCUUAAUUUGAAGAUUCUUUAUUUGGGUUUCUUUCAAGACUUAUCACCUUAGCCACGCCACCUACACGUCUGCAAGCUUUCCUAACAAGGAAGGGGAGGCUGCGCAAUACUUAUCACCUUAGCCACACUACACCAAAUUGACGUCUGCAAGCUUUCGUAAUCUAACAAGGAAGGGGAGGCUGCGCAAUACUUAUCACCUUAGCCACACCAACACCACAAGACCAAUAUGUGUAGUCCAGGAGGCUUUCCCAUUUUAAUAUAUAUUAUCAAAUAAAAUAAAAAUCAAUCUAUUAUCAUAUAUAUUAUAAAAUAAAGAUUAUUGCUCCAUCCUCCAUGCACUUGCAUGCCUCUUACAAAGUGUGAAGUAGAUUUUGUGUGCUCCAAGUCAUUGACGAGAGCUGUAACAUGGUUAGCUGGAUUUAUAAGAUCUUUUCUUUUCUGGGAAUUUUCUGAAUCAAGAAAAAUUAAGUAAAAUUAAUAAAGCAUAAAUUAGAAAGGAAAAAUAUCUAGAGGAUGCAUUGUAGGAUUGCACAUGCCAAUAAUUGUAUCCUCUAAAUAUAUAGGGACAUAUUUUUUUGUUUUCAUGACAUGUGGCCCUAAAAUUAUUGUUCCUAGCGGGCUCUCCACCCCCUCUCGAUUGAAAACUAAUUGUGUAAAUCUUCAAUCUUGAAUGAUGCACCUAAAACUCAAGUGUCCCAGGCCAAUUAUUGCUCUCAUACCACUUGUUGUAAUAAACAUCCAUCCAUUCUAAAGGAAAGAUAACCAUCGAUAUUAUCUCAAAUUUAACCACUUAAGUUCAUUAUGAUUAACUAUGUAUCUUAUGGACCAAUCCAAUCAUGAGGUUUUAUACCCAAUUAGAUCGACUAAUACAAAGUUCACACGUGGAUUGAAAAGCGCUAUCAGUAGGGGAGUGUUCGGCACCCUUUACUGCCGAACGCAACACAAGACCCCUUGCAUGCCUUCACUAAGUUGAGCCUAUCUAUUUUUUAGCAUUAACAAUAUAUAUAGAUUGAAAAAAUAAAAUAAAAAUCAAUCUAUUAUCAUAUAAAAUAAAUAUUAUUGCUCCAUCCUCCAUACACUUGCAUGCCCUCUUACAAAGUGUGAAGUAGAUUUUUUGUGCUCCAACUCAUUGACUAGGGCUGAAACAUGGUUAGUUGGAUUUAUAAGAUCUUUUCUUUUCUGGGAAUUUUCUGAAGCACGGAAAAUCAAAUAAAAUUAAUAAAGCAGAAACUGUACCCUUUAAUUAUAUAUGGACGUAUGUUUUUUUGUUUUCAAGUCUUAGAUGACAUGGGGACCUAAAAUUAUUGCUCCUAGUGGACUCUCGACCCCUCUCAAAUUUAAGUGGUCCAUUAUUAUUAACCACAUAUUUUAUGGACCAUGCAGCUGUGAGGUUUUAUCUCAAAAACCUUCGGUACAUUUCUCCCACAUGCCACAAUUGUAUAUUCACAAUUACGGCUGUUACGUCACAUCAUGCCACUUGCCUCACAUGCAACAAGUCUGUGUUUUGGGGAUUGCCGAGCUGCAUCAAUUCUGCCAAUGUCAAUUCUGCCCCUGGACUCUCUCAAAGCACAUUUAAAACCUAUGCGAACAUAUAUUAGAGUUUAUGAUGUAUGUAUCUAGAAAAUGCCAACACUAAUUUCGUAACAUGUAAAAAUUAUUAGAGAUUGGAAGUUUUUAUCAUUUUUUCUUCCAGUCUCUCCACCACUUAUUAAUACAGAUUACUCAUGUGAUGAGUUUACAAAACCUAUUUCUCUACUCUCGCAAAGACUAAACUUCUUCUCAAAAGACUAGAUCACUUUACCUCUAUCUCUGUGAAAUGUAAAAAGUUGAAACUUUAAUGUCAAACCUCGACAAAGUGUUCUACUUUACAAACUUCUUGUGUCUACCAAUUUGUACUAAAAUUAAUUUAUCUACGGUGCUCAGCUUCAUCGUAUGUGUGUCCUUAAUUUUAGUGGAAAUUGGAAGUUUCCAUAAUUUUUGCUUUAAGUCACUCUUCUGAAGGAAGUUGAGGUUCCACUCCAUAAUCCCAAAUGUCAGGUUGACUUAUGGCAAACAAUGUAAAUAUGUAGGAGUACUAUGACCUUUUAUAGCAUUUUUAGUUUGAAUUUGGGUUUUAUACAUAGAUUUCAAAAUUAAUAGGUUGAUGCCUAGGAAAUAGAAAUUGUAAGGGCCUAUAUUAGAGUAGCCCUCUUAAAAAUAAUAUUAAUUAAUGAAUAUUUGUUCUUCUUGUUGUUUUGAAGUAGUGGUGGGAGGCAGACCAACAAAAAAAAUAUAGUGAAGGCUUAUAAGAGCAUUUACAAUCAUGCUCCCUAUUUUUUAGUUAAAAUUUAGCUAAAAAUAGAAAAAAGUUAUUAUAGGAGCUCUUUAUAAAAUUUGAAUUCCAAUCGUACUCCCUAAUUUAGGGAGUCAUAAAUAUUAUAGUUAUUUUUUAAUUCAAUUUGAUUUUGGUUAAUCUCUAUAAAUAAAUAAAAAUAUGAAAAAAUAGUUAGCAUUAAUUAAAAGUUUAAACUAUGCAUAAAACAAAGAAACAUUAAAUUAUAGGGAGCCACUAUGCCAAUAAUUGUAUCCUCUAAAUAUAUAGGGACAUAUUUUUUUUGUUUUCAUGACAUGUGGCCCUAAAAUUAUUGUUCCUAGCGGGCUCUCCAACCCCUCUCGAUUGAAAACCAAUUGUGUAAAUCUUCAAUCUUGAAUGAUGCACCUAAAACUCAAGUGUCCCAGGCCAAUUAUUGCUCUCAUACCACGUGUUGUAAUAAACAUCCAUCCAUUCUAAAGGAAAGAUAACCAUCGAUAUUAUCUCAAAUUUAACCACUUAAGUUCAUUAUGAUUAACUAUGUAUCUUAUGAACCAAUCCAAUCGUGAGGUUUUAUACCCAAUUAGAUCGACCAAUACAAAGUUCACACGUGGAUUGAAAAGCACUAUCAAUAGGGGAGUGUUCGGCACCCUUUACUGCCGAGCGCAACACAAGAUCCCUUGCAUGCCCUCACUAAGUUGAGCCCAACUAUUUUUUAGCAUUAACAAUAUAUAUAGAUUGAAAAAAUAAAAUAAAAAUCAAUCUAUUAUCAUAUAUUUUAUAAAAUACAUAUUAUUGCUCCAUCCUCCAUACACUUGCAUGCCCUCUUACAAAGUGUGAAGUAGAUUUUUUGUGCUCCAACUCAUUGACUAGGGCUGAAACAUGGUUAGUUAGAUUUAUAAGAUCUUUUGUUUUUUGGGAAUUUUCUGAAGCAAGGAAAAUCAAAUAAAAUUAAUAAAGCAGAAACUGUACCCUUUAAUUAUAUAUGGACAUAUGUUUUUUUGUUUUUUUGCUCUCGACCCCUCUCAAAUUUAAGUGGUCCAUUAUUGUUAACCACAUAUUUUAUGGACCAUCCAGCUUCGGUACAUUUCAAAAAGCUUCGGUACAUUUCUCCCACAUGACACAAUUGUAUAUUCACAAUUACUUCUGGGUACCCCUCAUCAGUCGUCUAUAAAAUGGUGAAGCCAGUUGCUACUGUUACCAUAAGAGCCAGCUCCGACUUUCUUUAAUUUCUUGCUACAUCUGUUGCUAAGUUAAUUUCAGUCCUAAUGGGGUUUCAUCUCCCACUCAUCUUUGCUAUUCUCAGUGUAAGCUCUGCAAUUUGAUUAACUUUUCCAUUCUCUCUCAUUGUACUCUAUAUAUAUAAAUGAAAGUUUUGUGUUCCUAUAAUUCUCUCCGAUUUUAUUUAGUACGUACUUAAGUGUCGUCCACUAAUUAAUUACACUUUGUGAGAUUUGAUUUUAAUUAGAGUUCGAAUUAAUGUUGCAGCUAGCAGCGGUUGCACUGGCAAACAAUGCUGCUCAACCAGCACCUCAACUUUACUGGAACUCCGUCCUGCCAAACACACAGAUGCCAAGAUCUAUCAGUGAACUUCUGCAUCCUGGUUUGUGUUCAGCUCUUUAUAAUCUUAGAUAUCUCUUCUACCUGCCAUUUUACUAAAAUAUGUUCGACCACAUAUUUAUCAGCUAACUACUGUGAUUACAAGAAUGACACUUAUUUUCCAAUAUAAUUUGCAGACUCCACAAAUGAAGAAAAGAGCAAACCUGAAAUUUUCCCAUUGCAGGGCAAUAGAGUUUACACUCAAAGCCAUUAUAAAAAACGUCCUCCUCCUCCAUCUGACGAGGGCAAACCUGAAACUUUCCCAUUGGGCAAUAGCCAUUACACUCAAACCCGUUAUAAAAAACGUCCUCCUCCUCCAUCUGACGAGGGCAAACCUGAAAAUUUCCCAUUGGGCAAUAGCCAUUACACUCAAACCCGUUAUAAAAAACGUCCUCCUCCUCCAUCCGACGAGGGCAAACCUGAAAAUUUCCCAUUGGCCAAUAGCUUUUACACUCAAACCCGUUAUAAAAAACGUCCUCCUCCUCCAUCUGACGAGGGCAAACCUGAAAAUUUCCCAUUGGCCAAUAGCUUUUACACUCAAAGCCAUUAUAAAAAACGUCCUCCUCCUCCAUCUGACGAGGGCAAACCUGAAAAUUUCCCAUUGGCACGUUCUCCUCCAUCUGACAGUCAACUAAAGCAUUACAAAGACUUAGCUAUUUUCUUCUUCGAGAAGGACAUGCGCCCGGGCACAACUAUGAAGUUCCAAUUCCCUAGAAAUUCAAACACGGCUACUUUCCUGCCACGCGAAAGUGCUCAAUCGAUCCCCUUCUCCUCUAAGAAACUACCAGAAAUUUUCAACCAUUUUUCAGUGAAGCCAACAUCUGAGGAAGCCAAAACAAUUAAGCAAACAAUCGAAGAGUGUGAAGCUCCAGGCCUUAAGGGAGAGGAAAAAUAUUGCGCCACAUCUUUAGAAUCAAUGGUUGAUUUUAGCACUUCGAAGCUUGGAACAAGAAACGUUGAAGCAAUCUCAACGGAGGUAUUGGAAGAAGGAGCCACCAAGUACAUGCACAACUAUACAACAAUGCCGGGACUGAAGAAGUUGGAAGGUGACAAAGUCGUUGUGUGUCAUAAGGAGAACUAUCCCUAUGCUGUGUUUCUCUGCCAUGCAAUAAAACAAACAGAAGCUUAUGUUCUCUCCCUGAAAGCCGAUGAUGGGAUGAAGGUGAAAGCAGUAACCAUCUGCCAUCUAGACACAUCAGAAUGGGACCCAGAGCAUUUGUCCUUCCAAAUCCUCAACGUUAAGCCCGGAACCACUCCCAUCUGCCAUUUCCUUACCACUGAUGCUAUUGCCUGGGUUCCAAAACACAAAUCUGCAUGAUCAUCACUUAGCACUGUACGUGUAAUAAGCUUGGUCGGGUUGCACCCUAGGCCUGCAUAAUUAUCUCCCUACUUAUUUCUGCCUCUUCAUCAUGCGGUGUAAGAUAUAUGAUGAGAUGAAGUUUUCUCUUGUAACUAUGUAGACUACUUCAACUUGUACUCAUAAUAAAGCACGCUGUUGGGGGGUUCUACUUAAUUUCGUUCUCUCCAAUGUUUGAGUGUUGAAUUGUUACGUUGGAAUAGGCUGCUAAUGCAUGUAGUUAGAGAAGCCUUCAUUUAUAUCAAAGUCCUCAAACUAUCAAGAAUUAAUGUAUCCAGAAACAUAUACCAAGACGCAAAACAACAUAUUUUCCAUUCUCUGUCUGUAACACCAAAGCAAACUUCCUUUAUCACAUCAUUUAAAGGAUCAAAUUCCAGUACUAAUCUAAUCCAUCAUGUAAAGCAUACAAGUGCCUACCUAAAUUUGUCCAUUGGAUAUAUAUGUCACUUUUUAUUUUUUGAUAGAGAUAUAAAUGUUGAAAAAAUUAGAGUACACAACUCUUAUAGACACUACUACGAUUUACUAUUUGCGCGACGGAAGUUUGCGCGACGAACAUUGUUUCGUCGCGCAAAAAGCACUAUUGCGACGAAAAAAAAAUACCGUAGCGCAAACAACAUAACACAAGCGCGACAAACAGUUUCGUCGCGCAAACAAUCUAUGCGCGACCAAUAUUAAUUUCGUCGCGCAAAGGUAGGGGAAAAAAACCCGGUUUUUUUUUUUUGGCGCCAUAAUCUUGCGCGACAACAACAAUCGUCGCGCAUGACAAUAUUGCGCGACAAUUCAAAGAAUUCGUCAGGUAAAGAUGGACAGAAAAUUGUCUCAUUUUUUUGGCGGUAAAAAACUUUGCGCGACGAAAUUUUUCGUCUCAAAAGACAACUUAGCGCGACGGAAAUAUGUACCGUCGCGUAAAAAAACGAGGGAUACUUAUUUUUGGCGCCAAAAUGCAGGGUGGAUAAAAAAAAUUUUGCGCGACGGAAUUACCUUCGUCGCGUAAAGUGUAAUGCCGGUGCUUUCUUGCGCGACGAAAUAAAUAAUUUGCGCGACGUAAUUUAAACCUUGCGCGACGAAAAGUAUUAUUUGCGCGACGAAAUUUUGUGCGACGAAUAAUAUGUUUCGUCGCACAAAAAAGCAGAUGUCGACAGGUAAUUGCGCGACGGAAAUGUUGUUUUGUGCGAUGGAAAAGUGGGUUUUCGCGACGGCAUUUUGCGCGACGGAUAUUGGUGUUCGUCGCGCAAAGUCCUUCUUCUUCAUAUUAGUAUCUGCCAUUGCAGAGGCAGAAUGCAGAAAUUGCAUUCUGCCUCUCUCUCACUCUCCCUGCCGCUGCUCUGCUGUGAAUUCAAUACGUUCAUUGGGUAUGUAUUUUUUGUCGUUAGUUUAAAUGUAUUAAUGUAAAUUCGUAGUAACGCUAUUAAUUUUGUUAUCGUUAGGGAUAUUUGUGAUUAGUGAUUGGUGGAGAACGAUUGAGAAGGUAUGUUAUUGUAAAAGUUUGUUUGUUAUGUUUGUAAUUUUUUUGUGAAGUUAUAUGUAUAUAAUGUUGUGAAAUUGUGCGUGACAUAGCACAAUGUGUUGUGAUGUACGAAGUUAAUUGAAAUUAACUUCGUACUUUUAUUUUUAUGUUUAGUAACACGUAGUUUCCCGUUCGAGAUUAGUUGGAUUUCGUGCAUGGAUGAGUAAUGCAUGACUGCGGUCCAAUUAAUUCUUGAAUUGUCCCAUUAUUUGGACAGUUUGGUAAUGCAUAGUGUUGUCACAUAAUCUUCGGCUACAGGAUUAGGUUUCGAUUGUGGAGAUUUCGGUGUCAUCUCGGUACGUUCUUCGAGUGGUACGUAGGUAUUUAUACCUAUGCCCACUUCAAGAACUGUGUCGAGAUGCUGCCGAAAUUAAUCCACGUCGAAAUCUAAUCUCAUGUAGCCGUAGGUUACGUGACAGGACUAUGCAUUCCCGAAUGGGAUAGGGCCCUUACCGGAGGCAUAAGGUGACAUUAUAACUUCGUAUGAAGUUGUUGUGAUUGUUGUGUCGUGAUUGUGGUUUCAUGAAUUAUGAGCAGAAGGUGGAUACAUAACCCGAAUAGAUGCGCAGACGAAUACUUGGAUGGAAUCGAGGAUUUUAUUGAGUUUGCACAUAGACACAACCCGGGUGCAAGUAGAAUCCGUUGUCCUUGUAGGAGGUGUAACAACACGUUGUGGGAGACAAUUGAAAAUGUUGGAUUUCAUUUAGUAAGGAAUGGAAUGAUUGAAACAUAUAGCAUUUGGAACCUUCACGGCGAACAUGUAGGCCAUGCUUCGUCUUCAAAUGCCCCAAGAGUGGACAAUGUUGAACCUAUUGUGGAUCCUAAUGAUCAAGUCAUGGGUAUUAUACAGGAUGCUUUUCCAUUCGCAUCGACCAACAUCAAUCAGGAAGGGGAAGAUAACGUGCCUACACCAAUAGACAGUGCGGAGUUUGAACAGUAUGAAAAACUGUUAAAAAAUGCCAACCAAGAGUUAUACCCGGGGUACGAGAGCUUUUCCGUUCUCACUUCUAUUGUGGAGCUAAUGCACGGAAAAAUAAAGUAUCGUAUGUCGAACUUGUGUUUCGAUUACUUUUUGGGGGUUUUCAAGAGAAUGCUUCCGACGGAUAAUUAUUUGCCGAAAGACCAGAAACAUGCACAGAAGGUGUUGCAUGGUCUUGGAUUGGGUUAUGAAAAAAUCCACGCUUGCAAAAACAAUUGCAUGUUAUUCUACAAAGAGCAUGAAACGUUGGAUACAUGCCCUAUAUGCAAUGAGUCGAGGUUCAAAAUGACAUCCCAGAAUAGAACGACUAAGAUACCACAAAAAGUCAUGCGUUAUCUGCCCCUUAAACCUGGGUUGCAGCGAUUGUAUAUGUCGACGCAUACUGCCACAGACAUGAGAUGGCAUAAGGAAAAACGGGUAGACGAUGAUGUGAUGCGGCAUCCUGCAGAUGGGGAGGCAUGGAAAGAGUUCGAUCGAACGUUCCCCGAGUUUGCUGCUGAUCCCCGAAAUGUAAGAUUGGGACUUGCCACUGACGGAUUCAAUCCGUAUGGGGUUCUAAACCAACACCACAGCACUUGGCCGAUUUUCGCAUUCCCAUAUAAUUUGCCGCCUUGGAAAUGCAUGAAAAAAGAAUACAUGAUGAUGACUGUUUUGAUAACUGAGGAUCCUGGCAGGUCAAUUGAUGUGUACUUAAGGCCUCUGGUUGAUGAGCUGAAAGAUUUAUGGACAAACGGUGUUCGCACGUACGAUAAAUCAACUGGGAGGAUGUUCACUUUGCGAGCAGCAAUUAUGUGGACUGUGAAUGAUUUUCCAGCAUAUGCAAUGGUUUCUGGGUGGAGCACAAAAGGUUAUAUGGCAUGUCAUGUAUGCAAGGAAGAUGUAACUUCUGGUUGGCACGCGGGAAAAGUUUGUUACCUUGGUCAUCGGAGAUGGUUGCCAUGGGACCACGAGUGGCGAGAAAAAGAUAAAGAGUUCAACGGGAACACAGAGCGUCGCCUCAGACCUGGAGAAUGGUCCGGUGAUGAGAUCUUGGAACAGCUGAACCGUUUGGAUUUUGGUCCGUUCGGAAAAACAAUUAGUCGGACCAGACCUUCUACACAUUUGAACUGGACGCACAAGCCUAUGUUUUUUGAGCUCCCAUAUUGGUCGAAACUGAAAUUGAGGCACAAUCUAGAUGUGAUGCAUGUUGAGAAAAAUGUAUUCGACACAUUGGUGGGCACGAUUCUAGAUAUCGAGGGGAAGACGAAGGACACGAUCAAAGCUCGUCUUGAUUUGGAAAGAAUGGGCAUACGAAGGGGUUUAUGGAUGAAUAGGGACAGUGAUAAAGCUAGAAGGGAUCUUGCAUUCUUUUCUAUGAAACCGAAUGACAAAAAGGAGUUUCUAAAGUUUGUAUCGUCUGUCAAAUUUCCCGAUGGGUAUGCUUCUAAUAUCGCACGUUGCGUGAAUGUCGAUGGGGGUAAAUUUACUGGACUUAAGAGCCAUGACUGCCAUGUUCCUGUGGGUAUUCGACACCUACUGCCGGAAGAUGUGGUGAAGCCAAUCAUGUUGUUAUCCAGAUUUUUUUCCCAACUGACGGCAAAAACAUUGCGAAGGACAGACAUGUUUCAGUUGCGCCAUGACAUUGUCCAAGUCCUAUGCAAGUUUGAGAUGAUAUUUCCUCCGGCUUUCUUUACAAGUAUGAUGCACGUAAUGGUUCACUUGCCAGAAGAGGCAUUGCUUGCUGGUCCUGUCAACUAUCGCUGGAUGUAUCCAAUAGAAAGGUAUAUAAUCUUUAUCAUUUGUGUAUGCAUCAUUAUCGACACUUUGCUAAUUUGUAUCAUAUCGUUUUAUUUUGGCAGGCUUCUCGGAGAGCUGAAAAAAAGUGUACGCAACAGGGCAAAGCCCGAAGGAUUAAUUAUAGAGGCUUGGGUUCAAUAUGAGUCGCUUACUUUCUGUGGAAUGUAUUUAAAAGAUGUGGAGACGGUUUUCAAUCGUCCUCAACGCAAUAAUGACGGAGGUAUGAGAAAUGAAAAACUUUUUGUUUUUGCCCAAAGCGCAUGACCAUUUGGAGAUCCUGGACGAGGAGAGUCGUUUUCUAGAAAUGACAUGGAGGUAGCGCAUUGGUUCGUACUGAACAAUUGUGAUGAGAUAAUGGCCUACUUAGAUGAGCAUGAACAGAUGAUGAAGCGAGAACAUCCAUCACAUUUGGUUGCCCGGAAACAUCGUGAAUUAUUUCCACAAUGGUUUUUGGAUUCUGUAAGUUAUAACUGUUUUGUAAUUGACAAAUAUAAAUUGUAGUAUUUAAUUUUGUCAGACUAACAUGUAAAUGAUUUUGUAUACUAUUAGGUGAAUAAAUUGAAAUCAUCGAAUUCCCCCACUUACAGUGAUGAGUUAUAUAACUUGGCGUUCGGCCCAAUUCGUGCUGAGUUGUUCUCGGGUUGUAAUGUUAACGGCGUCAAAUUUUUGGGGGCCGCACGAGAUGACAAGUUGUGUAUGCAAAACAGCGGUGUCCAUGUCCCAGGUGGAGGCGAAAGUACGGACAUUGAUUUCUAUGGCAAACUGACAACUGUCGUGCAAUUGCUUUAGAAAGAUCGAUACCAAGUCAUCAUGUUUAAGUGUCGAUGGUUCGAUACCAACCCAAAUAGGGCGGGAAGUGUUAAAAUCGACCAUGGAGUACUGUUUGUGAACAUGGCGUCCCAAAUUGUGUAUCUAGAUGACCCUAAAGCCGGGAGCGGGUGAAAAGUUGUGCAGAAGAUGGAUCAUAGGAACGUGUAUGAUAUACCAGAACUAGACCCAAGUGACAACGACGUCGACAAUGUGGCUGACCAACGUUUAGAAUCUUCAAUGGAAAAUGAUGCGGAAACACUUCGAGAUACAAAUGUUAUACAAGAACCGUUUCAAAUAGAAGGAGUGUCUUCAGUAGAAAUACCGAUUCAGUCAAUUACAAUUGACCUCGGUGAUCUUCCCCGAUACGAUGUUGCAGUGGGUCCUAGCAACGCCGAUGAUGCAGUUAUAGAGGAGGAGGAGGAAGAAGAUUGGGAGACCGAGAGUGAUGAUAGCGAUGAUAACGAAAGUUAUUAUAGUUCAGAUGAUGAAUAAUGAAUUUAUUUGUAAAGUUAUUAUGUUAGUGUAUUCAUUUUGUGUAAUACAAAUCUUUGAAUAUAUGUAGUUGUCCAUAUGUAGUUGUGUAUUCAUUCUCCAUAUUUCAUCACAAACUUCAUUGGAAUGUCAAUACUUUAGUCAAUACUUAUUACGACCCCAUGCUUGUCGAUUGGUUUUUAUUUAUUUAUUUAUUAAUGUCUUUAACUCUUCAAUUAUUAUUUUUUUCUUUUGAGAUAUAGUUAUUUCUUCAUGUUUAAACAAAAAAUAUAAGUUAUUUCUCCAAUAUUAUCUGUGUGCCACUUAUUUUUCUUCACUUUGGUUCAUGAUUAGUGGCAUCAAUCUAGUCAAACCGAUAAAAUCGGUCGAUUCAAAUCUUAAUUAUCAAUUUAGUUUGGUUUUGAUGAAGAAAUACAAAGCCUUUCCAAAAAAUACAGAGCAUAAAAAAUGAUGAAUACAAAACCUUUCCAAAAAAUACAAAGCAUACACAAUUUGAAUUAAAUGAGGAUUUAUGGCGCCAAAUCCUUGCGCAACGAUAAGGAGCCCUUCGUCGCGCAAAUAUAUAUUAGGUAACGUUAUAGUAUAAUAUAUACCCACAUAUAUAUUUAAAAUUGGCGAUCGAAGUAGUUCAUUGUAUUCAUAUGAAGUGUAGGACUGUAGCUGCAAAAAAUCAUCAACAUCGGAGUUAAAAUAACCGUUCAAUCAUCACUUUUUAUUUAGAACCGUCGAAAAGUUUUACCCCGUUACUUAAUCUCUGAAUGUUUUUUUUGUCUGAUUUUUGCUGUCUAUGAUCUCGAAGUAUAACAAAACAAGUUUGACGGCUGGAUGACUGAAGCUAGUUUCGUAGACUGCGUGUGCUAUCAAAAUCAUAUAUUCACCAAAAACUCAAAAAUUUGUUCAUACAUUUGUGAAAAUGUAACUUAAUGUUUAUGUGGUAUCCCCUAGUGUAAAAAUAUGAAAUUGAAGAUCAAAUUCAGUCAUUGUAUUCAUAUAGGGUCAACAAAUGUUGCUGUAAAAAAUGAUCAAAAUCGGAGUUAAAAUAACCGUUAAAUCAUGACUUUUCAUUUAUAACCGUCAAAAUAUUUUGUCCUGUUCCCUGAUAUCUGAAUGUUUGGUCGUUUUGAUUUUUGGCGUAUACGAUCUCCAAGUAUAAACAAAUAAGUUUGCCGGUUGGAUCAUUGAAACUAUUUUAGGGUUUAGGGUUUAGGGCUUAGGGCUUAGGGUUUAGGGUUUACAUUUUAGGGUUUAGGUUUUGCGCGACGAAUAAACAUUCCUUUCGUCGCACAAAGUGAAAGUGACAAAGAUUGCGCGACGGAUAAGUCUUCCAUUCGUCGCGUAAUCUGGGACACACAUUUCACCCCUCCAUACCCUUUGAACACUUAGUGAAAAUUUCAACCGAAUGAAAUUCUUGAACCCGCGCGACGAACAAAGCAAAUACGUCGCGUAAAGUGGACGUGAACAAGAUUGCGCGACGGAUAAAUCUGGUAUUCGUCGCGCAAUCUGGGCCACACUUUCACCCUUCCAUCCCCUUUGAACACUUAGUGAAAAUUUCAACCGAAUGAAAUUUUUGAACUCGCGCGACGAACAAAACAAAUACGUUGCGCAAAGUGGACGUGAACAAGAUUGUGCGACGGAUAAAUCUAAUUUUCGUCGCGCAAUCUGGGCCACGCUUUCACCCUUCCAUCCCCUUUGAACACUUAGUGAAAAUUUCAAGCGAAGCAAAAUCUUCAACUCGCGCGACGAAUAAAAGUAUUCGUCGCGCAAAAGGCACAGGCCUCUGAUUUUUGUUAGCAAACAUUGCGCGACGUUUACUGUCUUCGUCGCGCAAAAGGCACAGACCCUUCAGUUUCAGCCUCCCGCUAAACCCAAAAUUUUCCCAAAAUUUUGGCGGAACGACAGCGUUUUGCGCGACGAACAUAUGACUUUCCGUCGCACAAGGUUAACCUUGCUCGACGUUUACUAUCUUCGUCGCGCAAAAGCACAAACCCUUCAGUUUCAGCCUCCCGCUAAACCCUAAGUCCCAAAAUUUGGGCGGAACGACAUCGUUUUGCGCGACGAAUAUAUGAUUUUCCGUCGCGCAAGGAGAACCUUGCGCAACGUUUACUAUCUUCGUCGCGCAAAAUCACAGUUUCAGCCUCCCGCUAAACCCUAAAUCCCAAAAUUUUGGUGGAACAACAGCGUUUUGCGCGACGAACCAUGUAUUUUUCGUCGCGCAAAAGGCACAGACCCUAAUCCCCAUUCAAAAUUUGGCGUUCUGGGAGACCUUGCGCGACGGAUAUUUCAUCGCGCAAGAUUCAUUAAUACCAUUUUGCACGACGCAUUCUGUUCUUCGUCGCGCAAAGUCGAAUAAAUUUGCAGAAACGGCCCGAUGCCUCCUUCUUCCCCAUUUUCUGGUUUCUCUCCGUUUCUUCCUCUCUCUCCGCCGUCACCUUAGCCCUCUCUCUCUGCCAUCACCUCAGCCACCUCCGCUCGUUCCGUAGCCUCCCUGCCGUCACCGUCGAGCCUGCCGUCGCAAUUUCGUCAGUUUUUCCCGAUUCUUCGCCGGCCGAUUUCUCUCUCCUCCGGCCACCAUUUUCGACGCCUAAGGUAUGAUUUCUCGACUAUUUUUUGUGCUCUAGCUGAUGGUUGGUUAGGAUUUCUUGAAUUUUCGCUAUAGGAAAUAGGAAUUAAAACCCUAGGUUUUGGCCGCUUUGGGAAUUUCAAAUCCGGCCACUUCCGGCCAUUUUUCGGGGUAGGUCCGAGAACAAAAGUGGCUCCAAUUAAUGUUUUCAACCUAGGGUAGGAACCUUGGCCCUUAGUUUUUAGAAUUUUCCGACGAAUGUUAUCGCUUUGGACACCCACGCGCUGCCGGCGCGUGUGGUGGCGCGUGGGAUGUUGUGGCAGUGGGGCAUUGGGUCCCAGAGCAAUCCCCUGUUUGUCACGAGCGCGUAGGUUUGCUCGGAUUUGAAUUUGGUUAUCGUUUGAGUCUUGAUCGGAUUUCGGCUAUUGUGCGAUUUCCAGGUUUGAUAUGUUCGGACCGUUGGAUCGAACUCAAACUCACGUAGUUGUACCUUUGUGUUUCUACGAUCGUUUAGGAUUCGACCGAUCGUUGAUCGGUGUCCCGGAUACUUCGAAAUUCCAAACCCUAGGUGAAGCUAUGCUUUUAAUUAAUUAGUUUAAAUUCUUAAUGAAAUUAUAUGUGCAGAUGUCAGAUUUGAUUAGACGUGGUAGGUCGAUGAUGACUGCACCGAGUUCGGAUCCCCCUGCUCAGUCGGCAUAUGCUGCCACUGCUCCAGCUUUGAUGGAGCACGUGCUGGUUGGUCCCGGGGCGUCCCAGGCGCCUGCGUCAUCUGCGUCAUCCGUCGCGCAGCCAGCUAGUGCUAGGCGGCGGCACCGGCCCGCCGACACGACAUCGACCGACGGUACUGGUGCCUCGGGAUCACAGCCAGAUAUAACUACCAUUUUGUAUUGUUAAUUUUAUAUUGAAAUUUGACAAUGUUGUUUAUUUAACAUUAAUAUCUUUUUUCUUUGCAGCGAAGAAGAACACCUGAGGGCCGUGUCGUCAGCUGAAGACGGCGAAGGUCACCCGGGUGACCAACAGUCGUAUCAGCAUCGGAUACGACGAGCGCCAUCGGGCUGCACCGACGGCGGAGUUGCAUAGCUCCUUGGCCCACGACAUUGGCCACGUCGUGCGGACCCAUUGCCUGAUGCAAUGGAAGUCUUGGAGGGUCAUGCCUGACGAGAUCAAGGUGGAGGUUCGCGGCCAGUUGUCGGUAUGUACCUUACAUUUUCAUUAAUUUUCUUUAAAAUUGUGUAUAUUUCUAUUACUUAACGUAUCUAAUUAAUUGAUUGCAGACGAACUAUAACUUGGAGGAUCUCGACGAAGAGUCGUUGGCGUACGUCAACAGACUCUUCGCUGAGAGGUACAAGCAGUGGAAGAGCGACUUGCACCAUCAUUUUCAGGCCUUUGAUGAUCCGCAAGUCGCUCUUCAGGAGGGUUGCCCGAAGGAGCUUGAGGGGCGGGAGGAUAGUUGGGAGUGGCUCUGCGCUCAUUUUCAAGCGUCCGAAUAUGUGGUAUUUUUUUAAUAAUAUUUGUUUAAUUAUUACUUAUUUCUUAUUAAUGUUUAUUUCAUUUUUUUUAUUUCAUUAUUAUUUAAUUUGUUAUGUUUUAACUAAUACGUUUCAUUUUUUGUAUAACAGAAUAAGGCCCAAGUGAAUAAGGGUAAUAGGAAGAAGAAGACCCUUCUCCACCAUUCCGGCUCCAGGCCCUUUUCGUAUAGGAUGGAUGCCCGGCGACGGGUAAUAAUCACAUAAUUUAUAUUUCAUUUUUAAUGUCAUUUUUAUUAAUUUAUUUUUUUCAUACUAAUAUUUUUCUUCUCUUGUUCAAUUUAGGAGGGGUCCAAGUUCCCAGAGAUCGACGUCUUUGGUGACGUUUAUGUUCGACCCGGGAAUGAGUUGGCCGAGUCCCUUCAUGUAAGUAUUAUUUAAUUUUAAUUCUUAUGUUACGCAUUCAAUUUAUAUGCAUGUUUAAAUUUAUAUUUUAUGUUAUGUUCAACAGACGACGAUGGUGGAGAGGAGCCAGUUGGUUCUUCAGGAGUCCGCCUCCCAGCUUCCUCCCGAGACUCCGAUCGAGUCUGUGGCUCCUCCACAGGAUGCUGGAUUUCAGAUCUUGACGGAGACGUUGGAUCAGACUCUCGGGAGGAGGCCGGGGACAUAUUGUCGAGGGAUGGGGAAUGCCCGGCGGAGGGAACCUAGACCUCGUUCAUCGGCCCAGUCAAACAGUCAGGUGACUGCUUUGACAGCACAGGUGGCCGAGCUUCAGGGUCAGAUGUCGGUGAUUCUACAGUCCCUCGCACAGAGCGGCUUUCCAAUCCCGCAGUUUCGUGCGUCAACCUCCCAGCCCGUCCACCCCGAGUAUGCCCACCAGACCACUGCCCCGGUGGACGCCCAGACCUCCGAGCCGCAUACUGGCGACGACCCGAUUGAUUUUGCUUCAUUAUUUGAUUAGUGUAUUUAUUUUCAUCAUAAACAUUUAUUUUAUUUGUAAUACAUUUAUUUUAUUUUAUAACAAAAUUUUGUUCUAAUUUAUUUUUAUUGCAAUUUCAUUGUUUAAUCAAUAAAAAAACCAAUUUUAUUUAAAAAAAAUAAAAAUAAAUAAAAAACAAAAACAAAAAAAACAAAAAAAAAUUGUAAUAUUAUUUUUGCGCGACGGAAGACAUUUCGUCGCGCAAAACCACAUGUAACAAAAAAAAUUAAAAAAAUCAAUUUUUUAUUACUUUAAUUCUUGCGCGACGAAUACAUACGUCUCGCAAACAUUUUUUGCGCGACGAAAUGUUUCGUCGCGCAACAGCUUUUGCGCGACGACUGAAAUUUUCGUCGCCAAAUAGAUGAGCGACGAAAACUUUCUCAUCGCGCGAAUAGUUCUGCGACGAAUAUAUACGUCUCCCGGACUAGUUUUGCGCGACGAAUUAUUUUCGUCGCGCUAUUCGUUUCGUCGCGCAAAUAUACGUGCGCCGAAUACUUUAUCGUCGCGCAAAUAUUUAUGCGACGAACAGUUGUUUCGUCUCCACACCGUUGGUGCAACGAUGGUUUACCCGUCGCACAAUUAUGCGCGACGAAGUGUUGUACCUCGUCGCGCAAAGGCUUUCUUCACGAUCUUCGCGCGACGGAAGGUGCGCGACGAAUUUUUUGUCGCGCUGAAAUUAGGGCGACUAAAUAAGACUUUGCGCGACGUUUUGUUAUUCGUCGCGCAAAGAGUAAAAUGUAGUAGUGAGACUUGUUGGAGACAAAACAGGUAAACAAAUUACUUGUAUUAGACUCACAAAAUAUUACAACAAGACAACUCUCAAAGAAAAGACAAACUCUCACACUUCUCACAAGGACUACUUAACUUUAUAGCUUAUUGCAUAUAGCAUAUGCAAACACAAUUAGAACAUACCUACGUACACUAUGGGAACACUCGUGUAUAUUUCAACACAAGAAAACAUGUGCACCGUGCACGGUUCACAUGAAGUAAGAAAUGAAGAGGAAAUAAAGAAGAAGAAUACAAAAGAAAAUGGAGAUGAGAAAAAAAAAAAAACCGAAUAAUGAAAAAUGAAUUGACAAUUAUAUAUGGUUGACAUUAGAUCUAAUAUUAUAUGUAACAACUAUUGAUCUAAAAUAAACAUUAAAUCAAACAAUAAUUAAAAGAUUUGACAAUAUAAAAAUUUAUUGAGGACAAAAAAAGGCAAAAACUUAUGAAAAAUGGAAACAAUAAAUAUGAACUGAGUCAUCAACUCACCAUGGUAAGUUUGCUGACGUAUAAAAAUAGUCAAUGGACAUCGAAAAGUAAUUGGCUUACAUCAAAAAUUAAAAUCACGUGGGUUAUUCCUAAGAAACCUUAAUAUUUGCCUUCCAUUUGUUCCAGCAAAAUAAAAGUCAUUGCUACUUAUUGUAACCCCUUUUCCAAGCUUAUUAAUCAAAGUAGACACCUCACUGCUGUCACCUAGCCAAUUUUCAACAAUGUCAUACUUAACAAGCAACUCCACAUCCUUUGAGGUGUUCACAAAACGAUCCAUGAGACUAACAUAAUCACUUAUGUACGUCUCCUCGUAGUGGCAUUGUUCAAAUGCGAUGAGAUUUCUAAUUAAUACCUCUGUAUGAUCGCUUAUUUUCAAUCUUGGAAUUUCAAGAGUCCGGCCAGCAAAUCUAAUAAGGUAUUCAUUGAUCCCUCAUUCAACUUGAACCCUGCCCUGUGUAGCUCUGUGAUGCUGGGUGUGUUUAUAGUUAUGAGUUUCCCGUCAUUAGUUUUUAGGGUUAUUCGUUAUAUGAGUCCCUGAACUUAGACCCGAUUUGCAUUUUAGUCCCUCAAUUUCCAAAAUCGUUCCAGUGGUCCUUCAACUUUAGUUUCGUUAGGACAAAUGGUCCUGCCGUCAAAUGAUUAUAAAGUGGAAAAAACAAGAACAAAAAAGGAAGUGAGUUAAAUUUGCACCUGCUAUGUUCAAACGACAAAGUUCGUUUCCGUUUGGUCGAUUACAAGAGAAGCUCAAUGCAGCUUACUUGGUUCCUCUUGGUAGAUGGAAAUAUAAUUUUUCUCCUAAUAACAAAGGUUUAGUGCAAUCAAUGAUGGGCUGUAUAGAACAACUUUUUUGUUUUAUAUGUUUAUGUGAGACAAGUUUUGCCAGAUUGAAUUAAUGUCUUCUAGCUAUGUACCUUAUCUUUUUGCCGGGCCAUGAGUUGAAUGUAGAGGCAGAGCAUGGCCUUGGGUUUGUAAAAGACAAAAGACUGAACCAGACGUAAUUAUUUAGAUUUUGGAUCCAGUUCCACAUCCCAAAGAGAAAACCACAAGUUUGCAAGCAAGUUUGUCCAUAUUAACACUACGUAGAGUAUAGGCAGUGUGCUACUCAUCUCACUUUCUCAACCUACCCUAUAUUUGUCUAAAAGAGUUUCUAAUUUCGUGUACUGAUUCACUACUACAUUUUACACUUUGUGCGACGAAGAGAAUUUCGUCACGCAAAAUACAUUGGUCGCGCAAAGUUUAAAAAAAAUUUUAAAAAAAUAAAAAAUUCCCGCGUCCAAUUUUUGGUACUUGUCCAAAUUUUUUGAGUUUUGCGCGACGAAUACUAACAUCGCGCAAAUAUUUGCGCGACGAAAUAUUUUUUGUUUUAAAUUUUUUUAAUUUAAAAUAAACUAAUUUAAUAGUUUGCGCUACGAAAUAUUUUGUCGCGCAAGGUUUUUGACUUUUUGUUUUAUUAUUUCUUUAAUAUGAAUUUAUUUAUAUGAAUUUUUUGAAAUUUUUACUUUUUAAAUUUAAUUUAAUUGUAUGAUUUCUUUUUAAAAUUACUUUAAUUUAAAUUGAUAUUAAUUUUUACUUUUUAAAUUUAAUUUAAUUGUAUGAUUUUUUUUAAUUACUUUAAUUUAAAUUGACAUAUUCAAAAUAAAAUUACAUAUGAAAAAUAGUGAUUAAAUUAUCCAAUAAAUAUAUAUAUAUAUAUAAUAUUCAAAAUGUACACAUAAAUUAACAAAGCACAAUAAUAAAAUCCUAAUACAAGCGUAUUGUGGUGGUAGUGUCGGAGGAUAUGUUUUGAUAGCUUCCUAAUCCUCAACUUUAGCCGUCAAAGUCUCGAUGAUUCCCUACAAAAAAAAUAAAUAUGGUCAAAUAACCACAAACAAAAAAAAAAAAAAAAAAAAAGGCAUAAUCUCCCCUAAAAUUGUUAUACCACAAAUCCAACCCAAACUCCAAUCCCUCCCCUUUACUCAACCCCAAAACCCACACAAACUCAAAAUUAACUCCAAAAACACAUAUUAAUGAAAAAAAUUUAAAAUUUGGAGAGAAUAUACCUUUUGGCAAGAUUGAGAGUGAAUGAGAGGGAGAAGUGAGUGUGAGAGAAUUAGAGAAGAUAGUGAUAGAGAGAUGAGAGAGAUGAGAGAGUGAGUGAGAGAGAGUGAGAGAUAGUGAAGAGAGAGAUGAGAGAUUAAGUGAGAGGAGUGAGUGAGAGAAAUGGUGGGAUUUGGGGAGAGGGAAAGAGAAAGGAGAGGUAAGAGUAGAGAAAGGCAUUGAGAAAAUGGUGGAUGAGUUAUUUCGGUUUUAAAAACCGUAUCACUUUGCGUGACGAAAAAUAUUGUUGGUCGCGCAAAGGUUUGCGCGACGAAAAAUAUUGGAAUAUUGAUCGCGCAAACUUUUGAGCGACGAAACAUAUUGGUCGCGCAAAGUCUAAAAAAAUUAUUUAAAAAAAAUAAAAAUCCCCGCGUCCCAUUUUUGGUACCCGCCAAAAUUUUUAAAUUUUUGCGCGACGAAUAUAGGAAUAUUGAUCGCGCAAAGUCUAAAAAAAUUAUUUAAAAAAAUAAAAAUCCCCGCGUCCCAUUUUUGGUACCCGCCAAAAUUUUUAAAUUUUUGCGCGACGAAUAUAGGAAUAUUGGUCGCGCAAAGUCUAAAAAAAUUAUUUAAAAAAAUAAAAAUCCCCGCGUCCCAUUUUUGGUACCCGCCAAAAUUUUUCAAUUUUUGCGCGACGAAAAAUACAUAUUGGUCGCGCAAAGUCUAAAAAAAUUAUUUAAAAAAAUAAAAAUCCCCGCGUCCCAUUUUUGGUACCCGCCAAAAUUUUUAAAUUUUUGCGCGACGAAAAAUACAUACUGGUCGCGCAAAGUCUAAAAAAAUUCCCGCGUCCGAUUUUUGGUACCCGCCCAAAUUUUUGCGAGACGAAAAAUAUAUAUUGGUCGCGCAAAGUUUUGAGCGACAAAAAAUAUUGGUCGCGCAAAGUCUAAAAUUUUUUUAUUUUUUUUUUAAAAUCCAGCGUCCCAUUUUUGGUACCCGUCCAAAUUUUUAGAGUUUUGCGCGACAAACUGUUGGUUGCGCAAACUUUUGAGAGACGAAAAAUUGGUUCGUAACACAAUAUUUAUAAAAAUAAUUGUUAUGAAUAAUAAAAAUAAAAUUAUUUUAUUUUACAAUUUAAAAUAUAAAUAAGGUUAAAGCUGCUUAAGAAAUAUAUAUACUAUUCAAUUUCUUAAGUGUUAUACGUACAAAAUAAAUAAAUUUAAAGGUACUUAAUAAAUAAAUAUAUAUACACACACCAUUCAACGAUCCAACCGUCAGACUUAUUUGUAUAUACUUCAAGAUCGUAUACCCCAAAAAUCACAAAAAACAAACAUUUAGAGAUCUAGUAACGAGACAAAACUUUUCGAUGGUUAUAAAUGAAAAAUUACGAUUUAACGGUUAUUUUAACUCCGAUUUUGAUGAUUUUUUUUUACAGCUACACUCCUUGACCAUAUAUGAAUACAAUGACUGAAUUUGAUCUUCAAUUUAAAAUAUUUACACUAGUGGAUACCACAAAAUCUUAUGUUAUAUCUAACGAACGUAUAAAUAACCUCUUAAUUGUUAGUGAAUAUAUUGUUUUGAUGGCAUAUGCAUUCACCAAAACUAGUUUCAACGAUCCAACCAUCAAACUUGUUUGUUUAUACUUCGAGAUCAUAUACGCCAAAAAUCAGAAAAAAUAAACAUUCAGAGAUCAAGUAAUGGGACAAAAAUUUUCGACGGUUAUAAUGAAAAAUCACGAUUUAACGGUUAUUUUAACUCCGAUUUUGAUGAUUUUUUACAGCUACACUCCUUGACCCUAUAUGAAUACAAUGACUGAAUUUGAUCUUCAAUUUAAAAUAUUUACACUAGUGUAUACCACAAAAUCUUAUGUUAUAUUUAACGAACGUAUAAAUAAACUCUUAAUUGUUAGUGAAUAUAUUGUUUUGAUGGCAUAUGCAUUCACCAAAACUAGUUUCAACGAUCCAACCGUCAAACUUGUUUGUUUAUACUUCGAGAUCAUAUACGCCAAAAAUCGGAAAAAAUAAACAUUCAGAGAUCAAGUAAUGGGACAAAACUUUUCGACGGUUAUAAUGAAAAAUCACGAUUUAACGGUUAUUUUAACUCCGAUUUUGAUGAUUUUUUACAGCUACACUCCUUGAACCUAUAUGAAUACAAUGACUGAAUUUGAUCUUCAAUUUAAAAUAUUUACACUAGUGGAUACCACAAAAUCUUAUGUUAUAUUUAACGAACGUAUAAAUAAACUCUUAAUUGUUAGUGAAUAUAUUGUUUUGAUGGCAUAUGCAUUUACCAAAACUAGUUUCAACGAUCCAACCGUCAACCUUGUUUGUUUAUACUUCGAGAUCAUAUACGCCAAAAAUCGGAAAAAAUAAACAUUCAGAGAUCAAGUAAUGAGACAAAACUUUUCGACGGUUAUAAUGAAAAAUCACGAUUUAACGGUUAUUUUAACUCCGAUUUUGAUGAUUUUUUACAGCUACACUCCUUGACCCUAUAUGAAUACAAUGAACUAAUUCGAUCGUCAAUUUAAAAUAUAUAUUUUCUAACAAAAACCCAAUCUGAACAACAAUAAUAUAUUUUUCUAACAAAAAUCCGAUCCGAUCUAAAAUAAUAAAUUUAAAGCUACUUAAUAAAUAUAUAUACUGUUUAAUUUCUUAAGUGUUAUGCAUACAAAAUAAAAAACAAAAAUAAAUUAGUAUAGGCGACAAAAUGUUUGGAUUACGUCAUGCAAAGAUUUUAAAAUAUAUAUAUAUAUUAUUUUUAUAAGGACUUUGCGCGACGAAGUUCAUUGUUUCGUCGCGCAAAGUCACUUUGAGCGACGAUGUAUUGUUGUCGCGCAAAAGUUUGUCGCGCAAAGUUACUUUGCGCGACGAAUUUUUUUUCAUCGCUCAAAAUUUGGUCGCGCAAGACUUUGAGUGACGAUGUAUUGUCGUCGCGCAAAAGUUUGUCGCGCGAAGUGACUUUGCGCUACGAAUUGUUUUUCGUCACGCAAAAUUUGGUCGCGCAAGACUUUGAGCGACGAAGUUUUGAGUUUCGUCGCGCAAAGUGACUUUGAGCGACGAAUAGUUUUUCGUCGCGCAAAAUUUGGUCGCGCAAGGGGUUUUUUUUUACUAGUAUGAGUUUUAUAUACAAUUUAUAACAAUAUUUUCAGGCAAAAAAAUGUCUUGGCAAGAAAAUGUACAAUUUGUUACGUACUUAACUGGAACGAUUACCUUCAAAUUCCUAUGGCCAAUUACCUUCUUUUUUCUUCCUUUUUUUUUUUUUUUUUUUUUUGGUUGUUGUUGUUCUUUUGAUCAAGUUGCAUAUUCCAAAGAACGAAAACCAGUACAGGCUCUUUUCCAAUGCAAGCUCUUUUCCCAUGUUUCCCUCUGUUUUUCUCCUAUUUUUCUUAUAUGGAAGUGAUUAAAAUACACCUCUAAGCUUGUUUUGCGUUUGGUAACCGACUGUAAAAGCUCAAUGCAGAUAGUUUGAGGUAGAAUUUUCUCCAAUUUUACUAGCACAGUGAUAAGCUAUACUAUAUGUAACAACAAAUUGCUUUAAUAAUGAUAAUGAAAAAAGUGUGAUCCAUCGAAUAUUUGCGGGGUUUUGUUCCAAGUCAACACAUCAAAUUCUUUUACACCAUGAAAUUAAAAAAAAUUUAUUCAACCAUCUCGACCUUAUGCUCGAUCAUUUUGCACAAGCAACCGUCCACGUACCCCAAUAAUUUAAAAGGGCUGAUGAUCUUUAAUUUGGCGAAAGCUUCUAUCUACUUCUACCGCGCUAUAUAUGAGCUAUGCAAUUGUGACGGUGUUACAUGACGUCACAAUGUCGUAGGGAUAAAAAAAUAAUAGUCAUGGUUUCUUAUUAAUGUUAAUACAGGCAUAGCAAAAAGCUUGUAUUUCUAGUGGUUAAGAACAAUUACCCAUGCACUUGAGAUAUUAUGUGCUUAAAUCCCCUCUUCCCCAAUAUUUCUUGUAUAAAAAUAAAAAUAAAAAUAAAAAUAAUAAAGAUAUUGAUAUUGUAUUCUAUAAAGUGUUGGACAUGUUUUAUACCCCUUUACUGCAAAUUACAGUUUGACACAUGUACAAAAAUAAUAGGUAAGUGUUGGACAUCAAGAGUACUUACAUAUAGGUUUAAUAGGUAAGUUUUGAAUAUUUCUGUCUUUAGCUUUAAUUAUUGAAAAUCAACCUAUUAUCAUAUUAAAGACUUAUCCAUGUUCAACGUACAUUCUCUUAUUUUUCUCUCAUUGAAGUAAAUACAAAACUAAGCACAUAGUGGAAAAGUAGGUCACGAUUAGGGGUGGGUUUGGUCUGGGUUGGUUCAGUUUUGGGCUCAACCCGAACACCGAACCGUAGACCUCGAUUUGGCUAUUUUGGAAACCAAAACUAAACCAUAAUUAAUGAAAACCGACCACUUCAAUUACCUUCUGGUCUUCCAACCAGAAGAAAACUCAAAACUUUAACCAUACCAAGUGCAACAGAAUUACACCAGGCUGGAGUCAAGUUUAUGAUGGUUAAAGAUAAAAACUUAUUUGACAUACAAUUUGAGAAUGGAAUCCUCAAAAUUCCACACCUGCGAAUACAGGGUUAAACAGAAAUUUUCUUCCGCAAUUUUAUUGCCUAUGAGCAGUGUGAGCUCCAUGAUCAUUACAUCAACAACUAUGUCUUCGUCAUGGACCGCCUGGUCGACAGUGCCAGGGAUGUGGAAUUGCUUGUGAAGAGUGGAAUUCUUGAAUCCAUGCUACCGGACAGCGAGGCAGCAGGGGAAUUUAUUAAUUCUCUUGACUUGGGGCCUAUUUUAGGCAAGCUUGAAACAAGACUAUUUCAGUUCACCAUGGGCUGGCCUGUCUAUUAUUGUAGCCGCUAUACUAGUUGUGCUCACAUUUAUUCAAACAGUGUGCUCCGUAAUGGCGCUGUAGGUUCUUCAUUUCCUCAAUUUCAUGUUUAGUGGUUGCAGAUUUGUUGCUCAUGUACGUGUUUAUCUAAAGUUAAAUAAGAGUGAUUGACUGAUAGUCUGUUAGUUUGUUUUUCUGGGGUUUUUCCCCUGUUCGUCAAAAAAGAAAAAGAGAAAGAGUGAUUGCUUGUGCCUGUUUGGGCCUAAUUUGACACACCCAAUCCAAAAUCAAAAAGUCCAUGUCAAUUUUGGACAGCCACCAGCAUUCCCUUUGUAAUUAGGCCAAAAACUGCACACCCAACCUAGCACUGGAGCCUAGAACAAACAAGGUAAACUCAGGACCCAAGCAGUUUGAUUUUUUCAUUUAAAUUGGAAUCAAGGGCCCCAAGUCAAAAAAGCCCAAGCCCAAGGCAGAUUUUUUACCAAAAAGACCCAAGGAAGCCCAGUGCAUGCGAAUUGCUUAGCCCACAAUCCCAAAACUCAAAACUAAGUUUGGCAUGAUUAAAUAAAGAUAGAGAGAAGCCCAAAAUUGAAGAAACCCAAAACAGUUUUAUCAAAAUUGUCAGCUCUCUACCCAAGACCUAAAAAGGGUCAAAAAUACCACUAUUGGCAAAAUUGACGCACUCAGCCUUGGAUCACAAAGAAAUCCACGUGACUAUUUGACUUUGAGAAGUCAACAAUUUCAACUAGUCACAAGAGAAGUUGAUUGGAAUUAAUGUAGGCAGGUCAUUACAGAAAAGACUUCUUUGAAACUCUGUAGCCAAAAGAUCAAAAUCCCUUUCUAUAUAAUUCUGCAUCAGAGUAGGUGGUCUUUCCAAGAGAUAAGCAGACUACGUUUUCAAGAGAUAAGUAGAGAAUGAGGGAGUUGUUCAACAAGAAAAGCAAACUAACCAUCAUGAUAGGUUGUGUUCUUUCUCUCUACAAAAAACAAUAGGGAACAAAGAAGAGUUGGUUUUUCUUUCAGAAAAAGGAAGGAAAAGACCUACAUGAAAACUAAUUAUUGAUGGUUCUUCUCUGCCAGAACAGAUAACUUCUCAUUUUCUUUGACAUUUAAAAAUGAAAGGUCUCGCUUUUACAAAAUCUGCCGCCCAUUAUUUAAAGAUUAGAAAACCCACUCCAGCAUUUCCUAUAAAUAUGAGAGGAGGUGAUGUCACAUCACGGGAUUGGCUCUGCCGUAGCACGAUAUUGUCCACUUUGCGCCCCCCUCUCUACCCUCACGGUUUUAUUUUUGGGAACUCACGAGCAACUUCCCAGUGGGUCACUCAUCUUGGGAUUGCUCUAGCCCCCAGCUCGCUUAACUUCGGAGUUCCCAUGACUCCGAAGCCAAUGAGCUCCCAAAAGGCCUCGUGUUAGAUGGAGGCGGGCAUGUACAUAUAAGGCACAUCACCUCCUCUCCGUUGGUCGAUGUGGGAUGUUACAGGUGAACAUAUCAAAGGACAGCCAAAAAAUCAAUCAAAGACAAAAACUCAAAAUGAUCACUUGAUCUCAAAAGCCUUCAAAACACUGAAGCAAGCAAAGCUCAUUGAGCCACAACGAACAAGUCAGCUAGAAUUCAGAAUCUUUAGAGUCAGUUCAGUUUCAGAGAAAUAAUCAAAGAAAGCGAGAUCUCUCUCGUUACAAAUUUGGUUCAGCUUAAAGCCAAAACAAGCAGAGUUCAGGUUCUUACAAAUAUGAAAACCUCAAUAAAUUUAUGGAGAGCCCUGAUCAAGCAAAACAGGUACUACAGUGCAGUUCUAGCUUAGUAAUAAUCAAAUCCACCCACUUCUGCCCCUUCCAGAUUGAGAAGGUCCCAAUUCUGCCCAUUCAAAAAGCCUUCCAAGACUUGAAAUAGAUUAAAGCUCUGCCAAACUCAAAUGUUGGAAUCAAUUCGCAGCUGAAACAUGACAGUUGAAGGUGUUGAUAGUCCAGUCCAGCACAGACAUACCCAGUCUAGCCCAGAUCAGAAGCAUUCACCGAGGCAGAAAUUGAAGUCCAAAGCUCUUUUUGUCUUUUUAGAGUUGGUCUUCCUUUUCUGAGCUUUGUAAAAGGCAAUUCUGCCUAAAACAGUUCACUUUCUUAUCAUUUAUUCUGGCCAGAACUACCAGUUUUGUACUGUGAAAAAUUAUGAAGUCCUCACCAGUCUAAGGCAAGAAAAGAACUUACUUGGGAGAUAUUCCUCACCAAAUUCACAACCGUUUGUUUAGAAAUCAGUAACUUGGUGUAACGACCCGGUCCUAAAUAAAUUGGUAAUUAUUAAUUUAUUCAGAUAAAAGACCAUUUUGCCCAUAGAAUAUUUUAAUAGGUUUACAUGUUGACCCGGGAGGCUUCGGUGAAAUUGUUACAUCUCGGUCCGAAAAAGUGUUAAAAUAAUUAAAGUAGAGUGCUGCUAAAAGAACCCUAAAAUUAACUGAGUACACCCUAUGAUCUAAGUACACCCUAAUAUUUUAAUUAAAAUAUAAAAUUAACUAAGUACACCCUAUAAAACUAUCAAAAAUAACACUGAUACACCCUAAUACUUGUAGCAUUAUUUUAUAGUUGAUUAUUUUAAUAGUGUUUAUAAAUCUUUGACUUUUCAUAUGGAUUUAUGCUUCUACUAAAAUUGUUGCCACUUUUUUUCCAAUUCCAAGUUCUUGCAAUCACCACAUCUUUCGUUAAAAACACAAUAGGACAAGCAAUCUCUUGAUUAGGGUUGAAUAUGGUUAGUAGGGUGUACUUAUUAAUAUUAUAUUUGUUUCACAAUUCCAUAUAUCCUUUUUGGUCAUUUUAUAUUAGGGUAAACCAGUAAUUCAAUAUAUACUUUUAUAGUAGGGUGUACUCAGUUAAUUUUAGGGUUCGUUUAGCAGCACUCUUAAAGUAAGAGAGAAUAAAAUGAAAUAAACAUUAAAAUAAAAUGAUUUGAAUUAAUUAAGGUUUUUGAGAAAUUAAAAUAUUAUUUAAUAUUAUAAGGGGAAAAAGAUCAUUUUAAGUUUGGGAAGGAAUUUGGAAAUUCCAAUUGUACCGUUGUGUAGAGCAUGUCGAAACGAGUCCGUAGACACGUAGUGGACUCGAAUCGUAGUUAUAACGGAGAAAUGGCGAUCAAAAGAAGUUCAGUGGCAUAGCCAUAAAUAUUUCGAAGUUCAGUUUUUUUAAAACCCAAAUUUCUUCUCUCUGGGGAGUGGGAGAGCCAACUUCAAAUGGUGAUUUCUCCCAACUCCGACCACCACACUUCCCUCUUCCUUCAGUUUUGGCAUCAUGAUGGGUUCCAUCCCGGAAUGACACAUUUUCGACGCUAAGGACGUCACAAAUGGUAUUUGAGAUGCUUUGUAAAUUUGUAACCAUGGAAAACACAAUGAACUUUAUGUUCGGAGUUGCAAGAGAACAUUAAGGGGAAUAUGGAGAGUGGGAAAAUAGUAAUAAGUGGAGAUCUGUAUGCUUACUUACUACUGAACUUCCGUCGUGGUGGUUAGUAUGAAAAAGUGUUAGAGAUUAUAGAUUUUAUGGAGGAACAUGGUUGUACACUGAUAAGUAGUCGGUAGGAGUUGAUUUAAGUUCCAAGAGAAAUUCAUUAUGAACUGGGAUGAAUUACUGCAAGAUUCUUGCUGUUUUGAAGUUAUUGAUUUUAGGGGCAUCACCUCUGAAUGAUCAUAAUAACCAUGCGUGGGCUCUGCAUGAGGUUUCUUUGACAUUGUUUGAUUUUGUGUAUUGAUAAUUACACUUAGGGGUGUCACGUUUCUAGAAACGUGUCUAUCCAAAUUGUUGUAUCUCAAUAUCCUAUGGAAGGAAAGCUGAGAAGCUGAAAAUACUGGAUUUAUGGUGGUGAGAUAAAAAUUGUCAGGAACUUUCAAAAGUCAAAUUAUUUCACAAAGGGAAAUACUGGAGAGAAGUAUUAGAGAAUUUUCUUUGGAUAAGUUAUAUAGGAGUGGAGGAGUUGCGAGUUUAACCAAGGAGGGUUGUGACAAUUUAAAUUGAGAAGUAGUGGUGUUGGGUGAAGUAUUAUUUCAUUCGCGUGGGCUUGAAUGCCGCGAUUGACAGGAAUGGAACAUUAGGGUUCUUCUUCCUUGCUCUCUCACGCGAGCUCGCCAUAGAGAGUAUUUCUUGGCGUGGUACUGGCUUCGUCCGACCUCCGAUUACUGUGAUUUUUGAAAGGACCCGGCCCAAAUUUCUCAAAAUCCGAGGCGAAUCCUGUGAAAUUCCCGACAUCACUCCGAUGCCAGGCCCACUUACUAAAGACCGAGACUUUCUGCCGAACUUUCGGCAGAGUCUCCCCUAUAAAUUGGACAUUUUCCAAAACUACCACCUGCAUAAAACACAAUUUAUAUCCCCAACUGGCAGCAUGCACAAGAUAAUUUCAUGCAAAUCACAUAAUCGGCCUGCGGCCUUCAAAUAAUUCAAAACGAAACCACCAAGCACACUAUCAAAUUAAUUCCUACCUUAAACAAGGCAAACAAUAAAUUUAAAUAUGAAUUAUGACUACUAAAUUUCAACAUACGAGGUUUUAACCUCCUAACACAAUCACAUCUAUGUCCGCGGCUGCACCUAAUAACCUUAGGCUGCCUACGUACCUUCACUGAGGGAUCAAGCCACACGUAGUUCUUCCGUAAAACCCAAUUCCACACAUAGGCAAUACCUUUAUUCAUUUCUCUGUAUUUCACAUAAUCUCCCCAUACGCCAGUACUACCAUUGCCACGUAUGGGACUUGUCAACAAGCCGGAUAACCUACACCACGUGCGAUCUCAACAUAAUAUCACAUAAUCUCCUCAUACGCCGGUACAACCAGCGCCACGUAUGGGGCCUGUCAACACGCCGGAUAACCUACGCCACGUGCGACCUCAUCAUACUAUCACAUGAUCUCCCCAUACGCAGGUACAACCAACACCACGUAUGGGGCCUGUCUCAACGCCGGAUAACCUACGCCACGUGAGACCUGAACAUAAUAUCACAUAUCUCCUCAUACGCCGGUACAACCAAUGCCACGUAUGGGGCCUGUCAACACGCCGGAUAACCUACGCCACAUGCGACCUCAAUAUACUAUCACAAUAUCUCCCCAUACGCCGGUGCAACCAACGCCACAUAUAGGGUCUGUCUCAAAUUGGAUAACCUACGCCACGCUAGACCUCAACAUCAUAUCACAAUAUCUCCUCAUACGCCGGUACAACCAACGUCACGUAUGGGGUCUGUCCGCAUGCCGGAUAACCUACGCCAUGUGGGACCUAACUUUCACAGAGUGGUACUUGUAGUGUAACCAAAAUCUGGGGAGGUGCCUAAGGUAGUGCAUAUAGCACUUCAAACUGACAUUCUCUCACUUAUCUAAACUAAUACUAGAGGUCUUCCCAUUUUAAUGGUACCAGUCUAUAGUAGAUUGUAACGUAAUUUAAUCAUAAAAAUAAUAUUAUUUCUAGACCAACGAUUAUUCACAUAAACAUGAAUUUCAUAAUUUCACUAUUUAAAAUAAUAUCUAAAAGUUUCCUAUAAUACAAAUAAACACUCUAAAGAUCCCAACUUAGUCAACACAGCUCAACAAUGCUCAAGACCUGUCAUUAGGGUCAUUAUGAUCCUUCUAGGAAGGUAAAACUACCUCGAAAGACUCAAGGUCAACCAAGGGUCAAACCACCCACAAUUGGUCAAACGGGCCCACGGGGCCCACGACCUCCAAAUUCCAAUCCGAAGGUUCCUAUGGGAUCUACAAGGUAUAGGACACUCGUCUUGCAAGUUAAGCCUAGAUCGGAUGGUCAGAUCGCUCACGAUCGCACAAUCUGAUGGUUAAUAUAAAACAUAAACUUUAAAUUAUUUAAUCGGAACAUCCGGGGCUCCCGAUUCACGAUCUGUUCCUACACGAUCCUAGAAAUACAUAGAUUAACAUAUAUUAAAUUUGAGACCAUCCAACGGUCCUAACCUAUCGAACCCGGAUAACGCGCAAUAGGCGAUAUUCGUUCGAUAGUCAAACGACGUCCGAAUUGAGAUUUACGAAAUCCUACGCACUCGUGACAACCUAAGGAUCUCAUUGAGACAUAUUGCUAUCCCAAAACCGACCGAAAUCCAAUUCGAAAAUCGAGUUACUUACGUUAAGAAUCGACCGAAUCCUACCCAACAGGCAGCUAGAGCAUGAAAAGUAUGUGAGAAACCAUACCUCACUCGUCGAAAUCAGUGGCCAAAGGAGGGAGAUCGACGAUAGAGAAGUUCGGACGAACUGACCGCUUCUUCUCCAUUUUUCAGCGAAACCACGGUAGCUGGUGGCGGGACCUAGCUGGGGUUGGAAGAGGAUGACGCCCCGGUCAUUUUGGUAUCGGCCUCGUGGUCAUCGGUGGCCGGAUGAGAAAACAGCCGGCGAAAAUGUGACCGGCUGCCGUUGCGCACGCGAGAGAGACCACGAGAGAGAGAGAGAGAGAGAGAGAGAGAGAAAUCUGAUUGUGCCACUGAGAUUCUUUUGACCAUAUCUCUCUCGUUACAACUCCGAUUCAAGCCCACCACGUGUCUACGGACUCAUCUCGGUACGACCUAUCCAAAAAUACCAAUCACUACCCCAAAUACUUUUUGGAUCAGAAAGUGACCAAAUUACCCCUACCUCAAUGGUAACUUUGUAAUUUCACUUAAAUAAUUUAAAUAAGGGAUUAAAUUUGGAGUCGGGGUGUUACAAUUUUUGUUGCUAAAUGUUGUCAUCAUUUCUCCUCUACAUCACUCAGUGAUCAUUCACUCCCAUUUCUCUAGUUUACACGGUGAAUUUUAUUUCUAAAAUUUCUUAAAAUUCCGGCCACUGUGAGUUUGACCAGCGACUUGGGUUACUUUUGCCCAUCUUUUUGGAAAUGGAACCGAUUUGAGGAAGAUUAGGAGGAAAGAUACAUAGGCCGCUGAGGCAGAAGUAAAGCCGGAGCUUUACCAUAGACAGAAGUUGUUUUAGAAGUCCUGGAAGAUUGUGAACAGGAAUUGGAAGUUUGCAUGGGGUGAUAGGAUUUUUAGUACUUGUGCAAACAGUGUUAAAAAUCACAUAAAAUACUUGCAAGAAUACAAGGCUAUUGUAGUCUAGAUGCUCAUGCAAGGUCGUUUUCCUCAAGGACUAAUUAGCAAUUUAUGUAAAAAUAAAUUCCAAUUACUACUUAAAAUAAAAAGUCAAGAAAGAUGAUUAUAAAUUUGGUUGAUUCUAAAAAACAAAUAUUAAACAAAAACAAAUACGAUUGAAAGAAAGAGUUUUGAAUAUCAAUUUAUAAAAACACUAGGGUUUCACCAUCACCUAGCAAUCCUAUGAACUUUUACCAAUUACUUAUGAUUUGCACAUGCCACUUUGAAGGUUAGGUUUUCCUAAUGUAUAUUCUACUUAGAACCUCCAACACAGAAUGUAUAUCCAACAUGCAACCCGUCCGGACGUUCGGAUCAAAUCUGAACAUGAAAGACUCAUUAAGUUUUGUGAAAACCCUUUGAAAAACCAUGCAACCCUUAAGACGUGGUGUUCAUCUUAAGUGAAAUUACAAUUAUUAAUCAGAAGAAGCUAGCAUCAAUUUCAGGGAACCUUCCGACCAAAAUUGCAUCCAAUUACUUUUCUAAAGAUCCUAAUGGUGAUCAGGCAUUAAGACAAUUAGAUAGUUUAAAACAGUGAUUAACAAUUCAAAAUACGCAUGCACUCAUCAUAAGCAAUUAAAUAAAAAUCACAUAUUCAUGCUAAGGUUCAAGGCUUCACCCUAGCAAAAGAAAUUUAGUUACGCAUACUCAUAAUUGAAAUCCAAGAAAAUAUCAUUAAGAAGAAAAGAACGAAAACACCUGAAAGUUGUGAAAACCCAAAACCCUAGCAAUUGCUCUCCACAAUGCAAAGUUCAAAAGUGAAAAGGGAGUCCUCCAUUCCUUGUGAGAAAGAGCUUAAAUACCCCUUAAAACCUAGCUGCCAAUGUACAGCUUUUCUAUCCCCACAAGGAAACUAAUUAAAAUAAAAUAAUACUAGGAAAUAAAGUCCAAAUUGGAAUAGGAGAAUCUGCUCAAAAUCUGCCCAGCCACGUUUUGGCCCCAAAUCUCCUCCAAAUCUGGCCCAAGAUAGCUUGUUUUAAAGAUAAAAAAUGUUCUGAACACUUCUUUAGAAGGCCACGAACCCAUCCGAGGUCAUCUUGGGCUCCAAAAACGCAAUAAAAGCCCAACACGUCACUAUUCCAGCACCGCGCACUGCUCCUUUAUUUUGUUGCCAGAAAAUAACCGCUUGGAAGAAAAAUCUGAAAUUUUGAUACGAUCAAGCUAAGUGACUCAAGAACGUCCUCCAACUGGAAUUACUCCAAAAUUCCUCAAUUUGAUUAUGUUUUGCUCCAGAGAGAUUCGAAAGUCCUAUAUUGGAAAUAUAAUUCAAAGUAUCAAAAGUCUUCCAAAAUAAUAACCAAAAUAUACUAAGAAUGAGGUUAAAUAUAUAAUAUAAAAUAUGUCCAUCAAAAUACCCCCAAACUUAGCUUUUGCUUGUCCUCAAGUGAAACAAGACUCAAACAAAAAUAAAAACUUAACAGAUUAGACAUCUGGCUAACACUUAACUAGGACAAAAUUUCCACCUUCAAGUUGCAAUCCAUAGAAAAUUUUAAAAACUAGAACAUCCUUUCAAUAGAUCUAAGUAAUCCCACCACAAAGUCUAAGCUAUUUAGACUCAAUUAGAAAAGAAUUCACAAACUUCUUUCGGUGCAAAGUGAACCAUUAUGGUUAUGGAGACUUGACUAAAACCCUUAACUCUCAUCCCUUUUAUUCAUACUUCACACACUCCACACUUUUUGUUUUUUUUGUUUUUUGUUUUUUGUUUUUUUGUUUUUUUUUCUUUUUGUUUUUAUAGUAACAGUAGUGGUUGUGCAAUGUUGGUUCCCUUAAGCUUUCAAUCCAACCGUGUAGCCAGCUUUAGGUCAAUGUCUCCCAAACCACUCGGGUUUUAGGGCACUAGGUGUAGAACACCCCUAAGGACUUAUUAACUCAAGCUGAAAAGGCUACGAAACCAACUAACCACCCUGCCUCAUGCCAAAACUCUACCUUUUGUCUCGAGAAUCACUGCUGAUUAGGCAGGAUUGACCCGGUUACUAGCAAAGCUUCGGGUGAGGUAAUUAUUACUUUAUAACACAAACUAACUUUAUUUAUAUUGAACAUAAAUUAAAACACAUUUGGACAAAAAGUAAGUAUUCCAAUCUCACUCCCCAAAAACCAUGUUGGUGUGAUGUGCAAAUUUCAAAGUAUAAUUCAUGAAUUAAUGUCUAAGCAACAAUAAAUAGAAAAUACUCUACCGUGGGAUUGAUUUUCACCAUGUCCAUUUGUUCUAACGUUUAAAAUAAUCUAUGGAUAUUGACUGAAAAACGAAAAUUUGUAAACAAGACUCAAAAAAUGAAAAAUAAAAAAAAUUACGUUCCCACCCCCUAACUUAAAUCACACAUUGUCCUCAAGGUGGGGUAAAUAAUCAAAAGAAACAAGAGCAGAAACAAAACGACUAAAACUUAGAAAAUGGAAAUCAAAAAUAAAGAAAAUACUCUAAGAAAAGAAAUUAGGAAGGCAAAGGAUGAGAUCCAGAUGGAUCUGGUAAUCCUAUCCGUAGAGAUGGAAAGAUUCUAUACACGCCAUUGAGACUGGAUUUGGAGAUGAGGAUUUGACCCUACCUUGUUCGACGAAUUCCCUCAAGGGGAAUUAUAGCAAUAAAAUACAUAUGCUUCUACAAACAUUUAAUUGCACUGCUACGACGUGGAAAGAGUGCUUUGGGGUCUCAUCUCAUGUGAACCCGUUCGAGUAGAAAUCUUUCAUUAGAAUCAGAAAUGGGUCAUGGUAAAGAGAGGUAGAUGAUGAUUACAGUUCGGUAAAAAUGAUCAUUUCUGACAUUCCUCUCAAAGAACCGUGUUGGCAAUGUCGUUUAUCGAUUCUAAAGAAAGAAGAAAAAUAUCAACAAGUCAAAGAACGUGGAUUUCUUUUAAGGGGAGAGCUAGAACAAAAUCAAAUCACGAAUGGAAGAGUUUAGCUUUCAGAGGAAGAUUGAGCAUUACAGCAGCUAUUAAAGGAUAUUUUUAGUUGAAGAAUGAGAUUUUUCUUCCUCUGAUUGUUUAGCUAGAGCUUUUGGCUUGACUGCCAACGUGGUUGUGGAGGAAGAAACUUGGGAACCCGAGUAGUAGAUGCGAGCCCACUACCCAUACCCCUUUUGAGUGACAGGUAUGAAAUUUCAAGGAUGAAAUUUUUAUAAGAGGGGUAGAUUGUAACGACCCGGUCCUAAAUAAAUUGGUAAUUAUUAAUUUAUUCAUAUAAAAGACCAUUUUGCCCCCAUAAUAUUUUAAUAGGUUUACAUGUUGACUUGUUGACCGGGGAGGCUUUGGUGAAAUUGUUACAUCCCGGUCUGAAAAAGUGUUAAAAUAAUUAAAGUAAGAGAGAAUAAAUUGAAAUAAACAUUAAAAUAAAAUGAUUUGAAUUAAUUAAGGUGUUUGAGAAAUUAAAAUAUUAUUUAAAAUUAUAAGGGGCAAAAAGAUCAUUUUAAGUUUGGGAAGGAAUUUGAAAAUUUUGAUUGUACCGUUGUGUGGAGCACGUCGAAACGAGUCCGUAGACACAUAGUGGACUCGAAUCGGAGUUGUAACGAAAAAAUGGCGAUCAAAAGAAUUUCAGUGGCAUAACCGUAAAUAUUUUGAAGUUCAGUUUUUUUAAAACCCACAUUUAUUCUCUCUGGGGAGUGGGACGUGCCAACUUCAAAUGGUGAUUUCUCCCAACUCCGGCCACCAAUUCAAGUAAGACCGGCCCCGUUAGAACCACCACACUUCCCUCUUCCAGUCCCAGCCCAUCUCAGUCUCGAUCCGCCGUCGUAGUCGCCGAAAAUCGCCACGAAACAAGGUGGUUUGGAUAGUUUUUGUCGAAAUUUCGUGGAGCUCGUUCUCCCUCCUCCGGCCACCGUUUCAGGCGAGUGAGGUAUCAUUUCUCACCUAUUUUCUAUGAUAUAGCUGAUGGUUGGAUAUGAUUUGAUAAAUUUUGAGCGUUGAUAGUUCGAUUUUCGAAUCAAAGUUUGGCCGAAUUUCGGGAUGAAAUUCCGGCCACUUUCGAUCACUUUUUGGGGUAGGCCCAAGAACAAAAGUGUCUUCAAUUGAUGUCCUGAUCCCAGGGUAAGAGCAUUGGUCGAAAAUUUUGAGAUUUUCCUGCUGGUGGUAUCGCUUUGGGCACCCAUGCGCUGAUGGCGCGUGUGGCAGCGUGUGGGCACUGUAGCAGAGGGCCAUUGUGUCCCAAUGCGACCCCCUUGUUGUCACGAGUGCGUAAGGGUGCUCGGAUUCCAAUUUGGUUGAGGUUUGAACCCCGAAUGGAUUUCGUAUAUUGUACAUUAUCCGGGUUUGAUAGGUUUGAACCGUUGGAUAGUCUUGAAUUUAAUAUAUGUUAGUCUAGACAUCCCUAGGAUCAUAUAGGAUUUCGCGGAUCAUGGAUCGGAGCCCCGGAUGUUCUGAUUUAAUAAAUUAAAGUUUGUGUUUUACAAUAACCGUCCGAUCGUGCGAUCGCGAGCAAUCCGACAGUCCGAUCCGAACCAAACUUGCAGGACGGGUAUCCUAAAUCUUGUAGAACCCAUAGGAGCUUUCGGAUAAGAAUUUGGAGGUCGUGGGCCCGGUUGACCAAGAUUAGGUAGUUUGACCCCUCGGUUGACCAUGAGUCUUCCGAGGUAGUUUCACCCUUCGAGGAGUACUAGAAUGACCUUAUUACAUAGUCUCGACCUUUAAUUGAGCUAUGUUGACUAUGUUGAGAUUUUUAGAGUGUUUAUUAUUAUCGUAUGAAAACUCUUGGAUAUUACUUUUAAUAAUUGAAAUUAUGGAUUUGAUGAGCGUGGGUAAAUUGAUUUGAUGAGUGGUGAAAAGAAGUCGUGGGCUUGGCUAUGACUAUUAGGAAGUGAGGGGACAUUUAUGUUGAAUAUGCAUUAAUUUCAACAAUUGAAAGAACAUGCAUGGAAUGGGUAUAUAUAUAUAUAUAGAUAAAUUGGAUUAAAGAUUGAGAAAUUAAUAAGUUGAGAUAUUAGUAAUAUUUAAUUGAGAAAUGGAUUUUGAGGUGGAAAUUGGAAGGUUGAAUUUGGGGAAUUUUGGAAUUGAGAAUUAUGGGUUAAUACUGAAAGAUGUAGGAUUAUACUAUGUAAGUACCAUCCCCUAGUUACUAGGCUUCCCAUACGUGGAGUUGGAAUUUCUGGCGUGUGGGAAGGAUAUAUGAUUAUUAGAUCUCACAUGCCGUUGGAUUUUCCAGCGUGAGACAGACCCCAUACGUGGGGUUGGAUUUUUCGGCGUAUGGGGAGAUUAUGUGAUGGUUAGGUCACACGUAGGGUGGGAUUUUCCAACGUGUUGACAGACCCCAUAAGUGGCGUUGGAUUUUCCGGUGUAUAGGGAGAUUAUGUGAUGGUUAGGUCACACGUGGCAUAGGAUUUUCCAGCGUGUUGACAGACCCCGUACGUGGCGUUGGAUUUUCAGCGUAUGAGGAGAUUAUGUGAUGGUUAGGUCCCAUGUGGCGUAGGAUUUUCCGGCGUGUUGACAGACUCCAUACGUGACGUUGGAUUUUCCGACGUAUGGGGAGAUUAUCUGAUGGUUAGGUCACACGUGGAGUAGGAUUUUUCAGCGUGUUGACAGACCCCAUACGUGACGUUGGAUUUUCCGGCGUAUGGAGAGAUUAUGUGAUGGUUAGGUCACACGUGGCGUAGAAUUUUCUGGCGUGUUGACAGACCCCAUAUGUGGCGUUGGAUUUUCCGGCAUAUGGGGAGAUAAUGAGAUGGUUAGGUCACACGUGGCAUAGGAUUUUCUGGCUUGUUGACAGACCCCAUAUGUGGCGUUGGAUUUUCGCGCGUAUGGGAAGGAUAUGUGAUUAUUAGGUCUCACAGGUGGCGUUGGAAUUUCCGGCGUAUGAGACACUAACAGUGAGAAGAGAAUGAGAUUAUUUUUCUAUAUCAGAGAAAGGUUAGAGUAUAAAAAGAAAUAUGUUUGGUGUGUGGUAAUUUAAAUUAAAACAGGGAAAGAUAACUUACCUGUACUACUGAAACAGUUGUGUAACAUUUGGAGCAUGAUUAUGGAGUGAAAGAACUACGUGUGGCUUGAUCUCUCAGUAAGGGUACGUAGGCAACCUAGGUGCAGUCGUAGACUAAACGUUAUUUAUGUUGUUUUAUUGAGAUUGGUUCUGACCCUGUCGUUGGUCCUGAAAUUCGGUUGAAAACUAGAUGCGAGUAAAUAAUUGUUCAUACUCCCGUUUCGUUGAGGGAGGAUUGUGUAAAUGUGUUCUGGUCAAGACAGGUAUAAGAACUCGUUUAGGAUUGAUGUACGAUUUGGGCUAAGGCCUUAAACUACUUGUUGUUGUAUUAGGAGAUUAAAACCUCGCAUGUGGGAUAAUUGGGAAAGUUAGAUGAUGUAAAGUGCACUUAGGCAUUCAUAUAUAUGUUUAAAUUUAUUAUUUGUCUUGCUUAACGUAAUUGUUUGACUUAUGGGCUUUAUUGGUGAUUUGCUUCAGAUUAUUUAAAGGCCGAAGGCCGUUUAUGUGAAUUGCAUUUUGAUACAUUGUGCAUGCUACUAGUUGUGGAUAUUAAAUGUGUUUUAUGCAGGUUGAAAUUUUUGGGAUUGUUCAAAUUACAGGGGAGACUGCCAAAAUUUUGAUAGAAAGUCUCGGUCAUUAGUAAGUGGGCCCGGCAUCGAGGUGAUGUCGGAAUUUACACAAGAUUCCUCUCGGGUUUUCAGGAAUUCGGGGCGGAUCCUGUUACUUGGGGUGCAAAUUAUCCAUUUGUUCACCCGUUUUCGUGUUUUACUUCUGAGGUGGAAGGGCGAAGUUUCCCACUGGCUUGGAGACCACUUGUUGGUCGACAAGUCAGCUUUCUUUGGUGUGUGUGAGCGUGCCACUGCUAGCAAUGUAAAUUCUAGCAGACUUAUUUUUUAGAGUGGAUAACUUGCGCCUCAAGUUACUGACUUCUAAAACAAAUGAUUGUGAAUUUGGGUGAGGAAUAUCUCCCAAGUAAGUUCUUUUCUUGCCUCAAACUGGUGAGGACUUUCACAAUUUAUCUCAGUAUCAAAUGGUUGUUCUGGCCAGAAUAGAUAAUAAUAAAGUAGACUGUUUCAGGCAGAACUGCCUUUUACAAAAUUAAGAAGGGAGAAAUCAACUCUAGAAAGGAAAAAAGAUGGCUGGAAUCCCAUUUCUGCCUGGGUAGAAACUUCUGAUCCGGGCUGGACUGGGUAUGUCUAUGCUGGACGGUGCUGUCAACAACUUUAGCUUGCUCGGCUUUAGUUGUAAAUCGAUACCAAAGUUCAAUUUUGGCAGAGCUUCAAUCUACUUCAAGCCUUGGGAGACUUUUGAGUGGGCAGAACUGCAGCUUCUUCAGUUUGAAGGGACAGAAGUGGCUAUUCUCGAGGAUUUAGCAAGCUGGAACUAUGCUAUAAAAUUUGUUGAGGUUUUCAUAUUUGUGAAAACUCAAACUAUGUUUGUCUUGGCUUUUGCUGAACCAAAUUUGUAACGAGAGGGAUCUUGUUUUCAGAAGACUUAUUUUCUAAGUCUGAACUUUGGAAUUCUGAUCUAAAGCUGUUUUCUUGUUUGUUUUUUUUUGAUUGACUGAUGAAUUGAGUGUCCUUUGUUUCUUUGCCUUCUUUCGCUUUUAUAAGAGAUCCUCCUAAGGAGGUCAUUUUUAAUCCUAAACAAUGGGCGGCAAAAAGAUCUCUUAUAAUGUAAAGUAAGAAGGGUUUCUUAUCAAUCAAGGCAGAUAGGUUCUGAGCAGUCACCUCCUAAAAACAGUCCAUUCCCUGGUUUCCUGGGUGGCAGCUUUCUAAUUCAACCAACGCCACCGUCUGUGUGGGCUUUUUAUGGCAGUUUUGGCUCUUUUCUUUUGUAUUUUCUGAGUGGUUCCCUGUUUCCCGUUCUAAUUUAGAAAGCGUGAUUCGUGAAUUCCUUGGGAGAUGGUGUAUUGAUUUGGAGCAAAAUCUUGAACACAGAUGGGUUUUUGAUCUUCAAUUGGCAGUGUUUCAGAGACGUCCCUCUCACAUUUUUAAACUUUAGUUGGAAUUGCUGACUUUUCCAAAGUUGAGGCAAUCACGUGGGUGUGUCUUUGAUCCCUUGGUUUUGAAUCUAUCGAAAAUUACGGGCUGAUCUUUGAAGCCCAUUUCGAAAGUUUCCACAUCUGGGCUUUCUUUGGGCUGAGGCUUUAUUUCCAACAUUCUUGGUGUGAAGCCCAAACUGUCUGGGUCUUAUUUUCGUUUUUCUCAAGUCUCUGGGCUGGGCAGGCAAUUUUAUCAUGGGCCUGUCUUCUGGUCUUGGGCGUGCCGAAUUUGGGCCCAAACAAUGCCCCCUAAGUCUGAAUCGUUUUGGAAUGGUUUCAGACUUAAUGUUUUGCCAUUUAAUUCACGUGCCAGUUUCUUCCGUGUUUUCGCCCACGUCUGCCACGUUUGCCUGCUACGAACUAGAGUUCGUGGGAAAACGGCUAGUUAUUAUCUAGUUACUAGCUAAUAAUCAUCAGGUGCCGUCCCAUCUUCUUCUUCCCACGUUUUCGAGCCCCUCUUUAAAAGAAAUUCAAAUUCAUAGCUUCUGAAAAAAGAAACCCUAAACCUUCCAGCUCUUGUUCCUGCGAGUUCUUUCUUCGAGAUUUCCAAAGCCUUCUUUAGACCUUCCUUUCUUCUGCUUCUUCCCUUGAAUCAGAAAUGUCUUCCCCAAGGUCCCGCGCUCAGUCUUCUUCCGCUUCAGUUCCUCCCGAUUAUAUCACUGGGAGCGGGAUUGAUGCUCACGCGAUAGAAAUCAGGAGCAAGCUUCAUCCCUUUGCCCAGAAGAAUCUGGACGAGAAUGUCCUCCAUUUGUUUGAGAACACCCUGGUGUUAGGGCCUCACUGGUUUGGUCCUGUUCCAGCUGAGAUGGCAGAAUUGCUAAAAAAGGAUGCCGAGGCUCCUUUGUGUUUUGAGAGCUCUUCUGCCCUGGCUUCUUAUUCUUGGGUUAGCAAGAAUUUGAGCCGGUCCUUCCCGUCCAGCGAGGUGAGGAAUAGUCUGGUCAAAUGGGCAGACUGGAUUGAUAGACUUCUCCCGAGAUAUGGGGGUCACUGGAGGAGAGCUGGGAUUUAUGACGCCAUUUUUCUGUCCAAACAAUCGAUUAACAGAGAUGAGAAUCUGCUUGCUGCUGCUUUAUGCUUCUGGAAUUCUGCCAGCAAUACAUUUGACUUCCGCGUGGGUCCUAUGGCGCCAACCUUGCUGGAUAUGGCUCAGAUUUUUGGGUUCAGGCCCCAUGGUAGGCCUGUUGAUGCCAUUGGAGAUUAUCACAGGCGAAGGAAUCAAGAGAAAGUGGCCACCCCUUUUACUAUCCCUCCAGCCGUGAUCAACCAGAACUGCUCUUUCUCCAACUAUCUGAAGAAGUUCAGUGCUGAUAAGGACAAGGAUCAGCAACAUAUGUUGUUCCUUCUGUAUUGGCUGAAUUGGUUCGUUCUCCCCAAUCGGUCUUCUGCAGUUCUGCUAGAGUACAGACACUUGGCAGAAGCACUCCACAAUCACACUGAUGUGGGGCUCGGGCCUACAGUUCUGGCUCACCUUUUCAAGAAUCUGCAUACUUCCACCCUGGAGAACCCAUUGAACCUGUCAGCCCCUGGCGCAUUCUGGAUGAUCCAGAUCUGGCUGCAGGUUUAUUUUCCAGAACUAAGGUUCCCAGACAUAGUUCUGCCUGAAGAUCAAGUCCUGGCUCUUCCUCUGAUGUCGGCAGAAGUGCCCAAGCAUUCUAUUGAGGAGUAUUUGAUGCUCUUCAGGCAUUGUACAAAGAGGUCGGCAGCUCAGUGGCAAGUGGUGAUCAGGAGGACCUAUCCUUGGUUCCAGACCGGAUUUCGGUUGUUUGAGAAGGAGCCAGAAGAUGAAGCUGCCAGAACAGAUUUCAGGAGGAAAUUUCUGAGCAUUACUCUGCCCAGAGAUCUACCCCAUGGUGGGGGCAAACCUCCAAACUAUCAUCUGGGGGCAGAAGUCUACCAUCCCAACUUCUGCGCGAGGCAGCUUGGUUGUCCCCAACUCAUUCCGCUGAAAUCAUAUCGGAGUUGUAACCGGGCCUCUUCUUGGAGGGAUGCAGAUGAUCUGGAGGUGCACAAGGAUGCCCGGUGUGCAGUGAACAAAAUCAACAACAGCACGGAUGCCCUCUAUCCCUCGUGGGAGCUGAAUUCCUGCAGUUCUGCCGACUUUGACGCAUGGUGGAAAGCCAGAUUCCAAAGUCUGCCUGCUUCUGUCACUGCCCUCAAGGUGCUGUUUGAUGGUUGGGAAAACUGGGUCGUUUUUGCGAAUGGGGAUGCCAAGACGCAUAUGAUCCAGACCAUCAAGGAUAUUAACGCGCAAAUUAUAGAAGGUAGAUUUCUGAUUCUGUAUGGGGUUCGUUCUGUCCUGAUGAUUGAUUUCUAAUGUCUAUUCUGCCUGUAUCAGAUCCUUCUUUGACCAGCGUAGGUGGGCAGUCUGUUCAUGCUGGGGAAGUGAUUGGUAAGUCUUUUCUUUUAAUUCUAUUCUGUCUUUUCCUGCUGGAUUGGUCUCUAAUGUCUAAUGCCUUGGUGCAGUCUCUUCCGUUAUUGCUGCCGGGGACUUGGAGCUCCCUUCUGCGGAUGAAGGAGAUGAGGUCCAGACAGAACAAACACCUACCGAGGCCGCUCUUUCUGGCAGAAGAAAAAGGAAAGGACCUGCCCCUCCUUCGGAUAAUCCCACGCGGCCUGGUAUUUCAGGUAAGCUCGUGAUGUUCCAACCAUUCUCUUUAAAUUUAUUAUGUCUUGCCUUCUUUUCCCUAAUACUGCUUUUUGUUCUGUGCAGCUGGAAGUCCUUCCCCUCCUCCUACCAAGUUGAAAAAACUUAAAAAGAGGAGUGAGGAGGAGUAUGUCGCCGCGGAAGAGACGGCAGCAAUUCCCACCACUACCUCCGGGACGGAUGAAGAGCUGCGAGAGGCUUUUGAGGAGGUGGAGCAGGAAAAAGAAUUGGAAGAGCUGGAAGAAACGCCUCAGGAAAAAACGGCAGUGGCGGAAGGAGAGGUAAGUUUUAUUUCUGUGAUUCGCAUCAGUUCCCUUCUCGCCCUGUUUCUUCCGUUCUGACCCUUAUUUUGUAGGAGAAGAUCCCUGCUGAGGUGAUUGCAGAGAGCAUUGCCUUGGCGCAGAAGCAACAAGGGGGUCCAAGGGCUGAGCGGACUAGCUCAGAACUAGCCCUAUUUGAGGAUGCUGAGGCAGAGCAUUCUACUGCCGUUCCAGCGGCUGAGGAUCAGGCGGAACGGUCUGCAUCAGAGCCUGUGGAUCAGGCAGAGCUGUCUGUUGUGGUUCCGGAGGCUGAAGUGGAAACAACCGCCGCUGCCCCUGUGGUUGUGGUAACUUUCUUUCUUUAUCUGUCCACACUCUCCUGCAUUUCUGCCUUGUUCUUUAUUUUUAACUGUUGUAGCCUUUUCAGGUAGAAGUGCCUAAAGCUGUUGGCGUCCUGGCAGCGGUUACCAGUCCCCAGAAGCCUCCCAUUGUUGCUGUAAGUUUUCAUAACUUUUGGGCCUUUAUUUUCCACUUUCUGCCUGGUCUUACCUUAUGCUUUCUUCUUGCAGAUGCCAAUUCAUUCCCUUCCAGGAUCAUCUGCCACGGCUUCUUUUGCUGAUCCAGAACUCGAAGAGUUUGAAGCCAUGGAUCUGGAUGCCCAAUUGGACAGAUUGGAGAAACUCAGCUCUCCUCCAGGCAAGGCAAAAUCUAGGGCAGUGGAGGAGGCCAUGGAGAGGUUGAAAAUCUGGCAGUCUAAUGAGCUGGAGUUUGAUCAAGACAAUGAAGCCUUAAAUCAGCUGAUGAAGGACCUGGACCUGCUUCACAGACAGAACAUGGCUCCAAAACCUAUCCUUGAGAUGGGCCUAAGCUUGGCCAGAGAUGUGCUCAAUCUGCAUGAUCGCUAUGAGGAUCUCAGGCCUACUUUCAAGACUUCUGAAUUCUGCAAGGCCACUCAUGAAGCCAACCUGGCUGAUUUUGCAAAGCAGAAAGCAGAACUGGAUCAGAUGGUGGCCGGAUAUAAGGAAGCCAGGGCCACUGCGGACAAGCUGGAGAAGCCGAUGGAAGAGCUCCAAAAACAACUGGCAGAAUGCAGGGAGGUGCAGAGCAGGCUUGGGGCUGGACUGAGUUCUAAAACUAAGGCCACUUUCCUUGUGCAAAGUAUGGUUGCAGCUUCCAGGACAGCCUUGGAGAUUGCAGAGGCUUCAAUUCACCAGGGGGUGCUGCUCCAGAAAGAGCUUUCUGUCAAGAAAGCGAACCUGCAGGAGACUCUUAGAAAACUAGGAUUUUAGCUUCUUCUUUCCUUUUAUUGUUCGAAUAAUUUGCCGCAAAGGUGGCUAUUUUUAUAUAAGCUUUCAAAGCAUUUUACUGCUUUUCAUUUAUUCUUGAUGCAAUAACUGGAUACGGCUUUGAAAGUAAAAAACAGAACAACUUUAAAGCAAAAAUAAAUCUAAACAAAAUUCUUUUCAAGAAACAAAAAGGUCAAACUUGUUCCUCUUCUAUCCCGGGAUCUGUUUAUACAGCCUGCGAAUCCCACGUGGUUGGAUAGAACUUCUUUAACCAUUUACCAUUGAUUGGGGCAAAAUGAACAACUCCAUCUCGGUCCUGCAACCUGUAUGCCCCCAUUCCGAGGAUUUGGUUAAUUAUAAAAGGGCCUUCCCAUGUAGGUGACCAUUUCCCAUAUCCAGCUAUGUGUGCUCCAAGGGGCAGAAUUGCCUUCCAGACUAUCUCUCCCUCUUCAAAACUCUUGUUUUUGACUCUUUUGUUGUAGGCCCUUGAUACAGCCUGUUUUCCUGCUAAGAGUUUGUUGAGGGUGUCAAUUCUGCUUGCAUCCAAUUCUUCCAAUUCCAGCAACAUGGCUUGAGAGUAAUCCUCCCCAGUGAGACCAUGCUGGUGAGCAAUUCUAAGAGACUGGACCGCUAUCUCCAUGGGAAGAAUUGCAUCGUGGCCGUAGGUUAGAGCAUAGGGGGUCAUGCCAGUUGCUUCUCUCUUUGAAGUUCUGUAUGCCCACAAAGUUUCUGAUAACUUCUCAUGCCAUUACUUUGGAUUCUUCUCUAGCAUCUUUUUGAUGAUAUUGAUAAUCACCUUGUUACUUGAUUCCACCUGUCCAUUAGCUUGAGCAUAGUAAGGAGUAGAUUGAAGCAGUUUGAACUUGAACGUUUCUGCCAUAUCUAGCAUGUCCCUAGAUAUGAAAGAAGAACCCCUAUCGGUUGUGAUUGAUUCUGGAAUGCCAAACCUUUGUAUGAUCUGUUCUUCUAUAAAGGUGAUGAUCUCUUGAGAUGUUGUGGUUUUUACUGGCUUGGCCUCUACCCACUUGGUGAAGUAAUCUGUGGCAACGAUAAUGAAACAGUGCUGCUGGUUGCUGGCUGGAUAGAUUUUGCCAAUGAGAUCCAUUGCCCAUCCCCUGAAAGGCCAUGGUUUUACUACUGGAUUCAUGGGAACCGAAGGAGCCUGCUGGAUUGGGCCGUGCCUUUGACAGGCUUCACAUCCUUUGGAGUAGUUGAUGCAAUCCUUCAUCAUGGUUGGCCAGAAGUAGCCAUACCUUCUGAUUAACCAGCACAUCUUUCUUCCCCCUUGGUGAGCUCCACAGAUCCCCUCAUGGGUUUCUCCCAUGGCUUUCAUAUAUUCUGUCUUCCCGAGGCACCUUAAUAGUACCUCAUCCUUACUUUUUCGGACCAAAUCUUCAUUCCACAUGAGGUAGUUUGUAGCCAUGAUUCUGACUCUUUUCUUAGAGGGCAGAGUGGGAUAUCGUAAGUAAGUCAUGAUAGGCUCCCUCCAAUCAUCUUCAGUGAUCAAGGCAGAAUUGACUUCUAUCUCCAUUCCUCUCGUCAAAACAGAUGGUAGACUUUUCCUUCCUAUCUUGAUGAUCCUUUGGACGCAGUCUUCGGGCAUUUGUAUGCCUGAUGCCACCUGAGCCAGUUCAUUGGCUGCAAAGUUUUCCUCCCUUGGGAUGUUCUCCCAAGUAGCUUCUCUAAAUUCUGUUAGCAGAUUUCUAGCUGCUACUAGAUAUACAGCCAGAGAAGGAUUCAGACACUUAUAUUCUCCAGCAAUCUGUUUUAGGACAAGCAUGGAAUCUCCCAAGAUCUCCACGGACUGGACUCAUAAUUCUACCAACAUCUCGAGCCCUAUAAUCAAAGCCUCAUACUCGGCCAUGUUGUUGGUGCAUUGGAAAUCUAGCUGGAAGGAAUAGCAAUGUCUGACCCCUAAUGGUUCUUCCAGAACAAUCCCUGCUCCUGAAGCCUUGUCUGUCUUUGAUCCAUCAAAAUAUAACUUCCAAGGUGUGAGAUGAAUCGAGUAGAUUGGAUUGUUAAGGCAAACAUGAGCUCUAGUUAGCAGAUCUGCAUUUGCUAUGUCCAAAGAAUCCAUGUUUUCAAUUUCCUCUCCCGAGUGAUCUACCAAGAAGUCUGCCACAGCUUGCCCUUUGACAGCUUUCUGGGGGACAUACCUGAAGGUGAAUUCUGUCAAAGCCAAAGUCCAUUUCCCAAUUCUGCCCCUCAGCAUUGGUCUUGUUAGCAUGUAUUUGAUUAAGUCUGUUUUGGCAAUGAUGUAGAUAGUAUGUGGCAGCAUGUAGUGCCUGAGCUUUACAGCAGUGAAAUAUAAGGCCAGGCAAAGCCUUUCUAUUGCGGAAUACCUUCUUUCCACUUCUGUCAAUGUUCUGCUUAGAUAGUAGGCUGCCUGUUCUUUUCCUUCUUUGUUAUCUUGAACUAUUAGACUUCCAAUGGAUACUUCUGAUGCAGAUACAUAAAGCUUGAGGGGUCUGCCCCUUUUUGGUGGGGACAGAACUGGUGGAUUUGAGAGGUAAUGCUUUAUUUCCUGGAAAGCCUGUUGGUGCUGUUCUUCCCAUUUGAAUGUCUGUUCCUGCUUCAGUCUUAACAGGGAAGAAAAAGGUUGGAUUUUUCCUGCAGAAUUGGAUAUGAAUCUCCUUAGAAAAUUGAUUUUUCCUAAGAGACUUUGAAGUUCCUUCUUGUUCUGAGGUGGUAGAGCUUCUAUGAUGGAUGUUGCUUUAUUUCUGUCAACCUCUAUACCUCUCUGGUGGACCAAGAAUCCUAAGAAAUUCCCUGCUUGGACUCCAAAAACACAUUUUUUGGGGUUCAUUUUCAGUUUGUGCUGCCUCAUUCUUAGGAAUGCCCUUCUCAGGCUUGCUACGUGAUUUCCUUCCUCAGGGGAUUUAAUCACCACGUCAUCUAUGUAUACUUCCAAGGAAUGUCCUAUCAUAUCAUGAAAAAUAGAAUUCAUUGCCUUUGGUAGGUGGCUCCCGCAUUUCUCAAACCGAAAGGCAUUACAGUAUACUCGAAAGCACCUAUAUGUCCUGGACACAUAAAGGCUGUCUUGUGGAUGUCCUGUUCUGCCAUCAUGAUCUGGUUAUAACCUGCAUUGCCGUCCAUGAAAGAUAGCAUCUGGUUAUGAGUGGCUCCAUCCACUAGCAUGUCUGCCAUUGGCAUAGGAUAUUCGUCUUUAGGAGAUGCCUCAUUCAGAUUUCUGUACAAUAUUUGCUAACCAAUCGGAAUAGACGGCUGGCCUGAUGAAUCCUGCCUUGAGCAGCCUUUCUAUCUCUUCUUUGACCUUUAGUUCUGUGUCCAUAGACAUUCUUCUUCUGGCCUGUUUGACUGGAAGGUAGCCAUCUUUAAUUGGCAGCUUGUGCUCCACUCACUGCCUGUCCAAUCCUGGCAUUUCGUGGUAAUGCCAGGCAAAACAAUCUCUGAACUCCUGUAAAAGUGCCAUGAGUUCAGUCUUGAGUGGUUCCUUCAAAAGUGUGCUGAUGAAAGUAGGCCUUGGAUCUUCUUCUGUUCCUAAGUUUAUCUCCUGUAGAGGAUCCUCUACUUCUGGCAGGGAGUCAUCCAGUGCUGCUGGUGCAAAAUCUAAUACUUCCUCCUGUAAAAUUUCCUCCUCUUGCUCUUUUGUGCUUUCAUGGGUGAAUUCUGCCAUAUUGAUGGCUGGAUUCUGUAUGAAAAGCCUCCUUUCUCCCCAGUAUAUCAACAAUCUUUUUGUGAUGGAUCGGAUUGUUGCAGCUCGAUCCUUGUCUAGUUGAUUCGGACUAAACAUCAGAGUUCUGGAAGUUCAGCACAAAAAGGUCUAUUCCAGUCCUCUAGAGAACUGGCUAAACCUUCUUCAAUGAGUCUUUGGGCCGUGACACCAUGUGGACGGCCGUUCUGAUUGACUCCAAGGAAAGUGAAAGGACCGAGGUCAUCAUGAUAAUACCUUGUUUCAAAGCACAUGGCAGAGGGCAGGAAUGGCCGUGGAUCAGCCUCUAUAAUCUCCAUGCAGCCUUCUUCAUUCCAUAGUGCUAACUGCGGGUGGAGGGUGGAAGGAAUACAAAGGCUCUGGUGAAUCCAAUCCCUGCCAAGUAGUGCAUUGUAGGUGGUGGAAGUAGUGUCUAUAACAAAGAAUGCUAUUUUCAACUCUUUGCUUCCGAUUAUGACAUCCACAUCUAAGAUGCCAUGUAUUUUGGUGAUGCAACCAGAAGUUGGUGACGGUCAAUCGUGUUGGAAUCAGAUCUUUCUCUGUCCUGCCCAGCUUGGUCAGCAUUCUGUGGGGUAAUAGAUUAAUGGCUGCACCUCCAUUUACCAUGAUCUUGGAAAUAGGAAUACCCCCAAGAUUUGCCGUUAUAAACAAAGGUCUGAGGUGAAACAAGGUUGCUCUGUAGCUGGUUUAUUGGCUGUUCUGCCUGUCUUGGGGUUUUCUGCUUGUGGUUCUGGUGGCUCCUCUGCUUCUGCCAAUCUACAUUCAAAGCUUUCCUGAGAGAAAACAUCCCCUUCCAGAGUGCUUUCUUGUCCUUCGGCUGCCCUGAAUUUACUUGGUAGGAUGAAUACCAUGUUAAUUCCCAGAUCACCCUGUAGGAGGUCUUCUAAUUCUGCGCCAAAAGCUUCUGUUUCUGGGUCCAAUUCUACACCAAAUUCCAUUAAUUCUUCCCCGUAUUCUUCCGUCCAGUCAUCCUGUUCUGCUACUUCGAGGGGCUCUUUCUGAUCAUCUGCGGAAGGUUCAUAGUCCAAUUGCUCUUCUUCAUAUUCCUCAGUGUAGUCGUCUUCUCCUUGUAACGGGGUAGACCCAGAUUUCUCUGGUGUCUGCGUGGUGUCAGGACGGCUGCUGGACGACGAGGCCACAUGGAUAGGAGACCUGGCUGGGGGUUCUGUUUUCAGCAAUUCCCUUGACUGGCAAGCUUUCUGUUCUGUCUGGGGAAGUGUUUCAGGAUUUUUUCCUUUCCUAGCAGAACUGGGUUGUGAACGUACCUGCGUAUUAUCUUGGCUCUUAAGAUAUGUGCAGUAUUGCCUCUGGAUUCUCCUUUUCUGGGUUCUGGUUAGCUCCAGAGUCGGUCUACCGCUUCUUCCUACGGAAUACCAUCUCCCUUCUAUGAUCGUUGCCAAGGAUCUUUCGUUUCUGGGCAUCUUGACUGGUAUUUCCUUUCUGGGUUGCUCCAUCCUCCUCUCGCUGUAUUGUGUAGGCCUAAGACAGCUCUUCUGCCUUGUUUUGUCUCGGGAUGAGGUUCCAAUUCUGUCAAAGACACUAGGUGUGGGCUGAUUUUGUCUGUCUAGAACCACCUCUAGCUCUGUUUCACAUUUGCACCUACUGCAGAGCACUACCCCAGCCGAGAUGGUCGCUCUUGGUAUUUGACUGGUCUCCCUUAUGAUUCUUCUGCCUCUGCUGCAACCAGCAUCUGUGAUUGGCUCGGUUUUCCUCUGUUCUGGCCAAUUUAAGUUGACCAUAUUGACUUGUGGUUGAGGAAAAGGAUCCGUUGUGACGGAUGGUGGUUUUUCUGCCAGUUUCAACCUUCCUGCCGUUAUCCCUUCUUGUAUUACGUCCCUGAAAACAACACAACUAUUGGUAGAAUGGUUCCAAGAGUUGUGCCACCUGCAGUACUGUCUGCCCUUGAGUUCUUCCGGCUUCGGUAUUCUGUGAGGCGUCUCUAUUGCCUUCUACAGUAGCAUUUCGUGGAACAAGGCAUCAACCUUGGUUAAGUCAAAAGAGUAAACCUUGUUUUACGUUGGUUUGUUUGGAACGAAUCCUCCUGUGAAUGGUGGUGGCUUUUGGUCUUUAGGUGGCUUUGUGAGGGCUUUGCAACUAAUGGGAUGUUUUAGUUUUGCCAUUUCUGCCACUGAAACCUCUUUCUCUUCUGAUUCUUCUGCAUCUUCUUGUGAUUCCACCUCGAUCAGGUGGACUGAAGAAGAAGGGGUUUUAUAGUAUGUACCUUUGGAGGAGUUCCUCCUUUGCUGUUCCUCCCUGAGUAACUCCUCAUAUUUGGAUGCCUUAUCAGCCAGUUCUGCCAGAUCUCCGAACAAUAUCCCGUCGAACCUUUUCCUGAGAGAGAUUUUAAGGGCAACUUGGGCCAUCUGGAUGAAGUGUCUUUCUUCCAUCGGGAUUCGGCACUUCAUUUUGAGCUUUCUGAACCUGGUUAUGAAAUCUUGGGCCGGUUCAUCUUCACUUUGCUUGAGGGCAGCUAGAUCACUGAUGGUGACUUCUGGCUGAAUCCUGUAAUAGUAGUCAUGGAAGACAUUUUCCAUCUGUUCCCAGGUUUGAACAGAGUUAGCUGGCAGGCUGGUGUACCAGGUAAAAGCUUGCCCAAAAAGAGAGUUGCCGAAAAGCCUUAAUUUCAGCAGAGGGUUGCUUUCUAUAGCUAUGCAUUGGACGGAGAACCUGCCUAUAUGUUCAACUGAGGAAGAAUGGGGGUCUUCCCCAUUGAACAAAGUGAAGUUUGGCACUUUGAAACCUGGAGACAACAGUAUUUGAUCGAUAUAGGCUGGGUAUGGCUUUCUGUAAGUAGGCCUUUCCCCUAUUCUAGCCUCGGGUUCCAUGAUUUCUCUGAUCAUUCUUUGCAACGCUCCUAUGUCAUUCAAAGCAUUGACUGGGGGAAGAUUUUGUCCCUGUUCUGGCUGAACGUAAUCAAACCUGGGCUCUGCUCUGUGUGGUCUGGGUGGAACUUCCUCCCUGUGUUCUUCCUGCUCUUCGACUUCUGGAUGAUUCCUCCAGUUUGCCCCCGGUCUAUUCCUGUCAUGAUUAGCAAAAAGGUUGUUCCCUCCUCGGCCUCUCCUCCUUCUUGCAAGUGGAGGGAAUGGAUUAGGGUCCAUCCUUCUGGGUCUAUAUGGCAAUACUGCCGGUGGUUCAGGCAGAAGCGCCAAAGGUUGAUCAUGUGGGAGCACAUGAAGUGGAAUGGGCUGAGGUUCUGGCUGGUUCUGAGCCAGUGCCAGGUUAUCUGGUUGAGCUGGGGCUUCAUGUUUUUGAUUAGGAAGGGCUCCUUCCCUCGGACCAGCCUGAAUUUCUCCGUGGUCUGGCACUCCAGCCAUCUGUGCAACUAGGAAAUUUUCCUGGUAUGGCCAUAUUAGUCCUGGCGGAGGGCCAUAAGGGAGAUCCAACUGCUGGAUUACAGGAUCUGGGUUUGGGUUUCUGGCCAUGGCGGAUUCUCGGUCCUUCCGGAACUGUCUGUUUACCUGCCAUUACAUCAUGGCUGUCAUGUUAUUGAGAGUGUCCUGGCUCCUUCGUACUGUGAUCUCUUGUCGGAGUACUGACUCCUGUAUUUGAUUCAUCCUUUUGGAGCCAGUCCUGGAACGUCUACUUCCUGUACUGCCGUGGGCAGAUUGCCUAGCAUCGCUUUUUUCUGAUUCGAGGCCUUCCCUGAGAACCAUCUUGUUUUUCUCCAUAUCUGGUGUGGGUUCUGACUAGAUCUUCCGGUAUUUGUGAAUCUGUGAAUGAUUCUGUCAGAGUAUAUAUACUGAGAAGUCCCACUGGGUGUGCCAAAUUAUUCACCCGUUUUCGUGUUUUACUCCUGAGGUGGAAGGGCGAAGUUCCCCACUAGCUUGGAGACCACUUGUUGGUCGACAAGUCAGCUUUCUUUGGUGUGUGUGAGCGUGCCACUGCUAGCAAUGUAAAUUCUAGCAGACUUAUUUUUUAGAGUGGAUAACUUGCGCCUCAAGUUACUGACUUCUAAAACAAAUGAUUGUGAAUUUGGGUGAGGAAUAUCUCCCAAGUAAGUUCUUUUCUUGCCUCAGACUGGUGAGGACUUUCACAAUUUAUCUCAGUAUCAAAUGGUUGUUCUGGCCAGAAUAGAUAAUAAUAAAGUAGACUGUUUCAGGCAGAACUGCCUUUUACAAAAUUAAGAAGGGAGAAAUCAACUCUAGAAAGGCAAAAAGAUGGCUGGAAUCCCAUUUCUGCCUGGGUAGAAACUUCUGAUCCGGGCUGGACUGGGUAUGUCUAUGCUGGACGGUGCUGUCAACAACUUUAGCUUGCUCGGCUUUAGUUGUAAAUCGAUACCAAAGUUCAAUUUUGGCAGAGCUUCAAUCUACUUCAAGCCUUGGGAGACUUUUGAGUGGGCAGAACUGCAGCUUCUUCAGUUUGAAGGGACAGAAGUGGCUAUUCUCGAGGAUUUAGCAAGCUGGAACUAUGCUAUAAAAUUUGUUGAGGUUUUCAUAUUUGUGAAAACUCAAACUAUGUUUGUCUUGGCUUUUGCUGAACCAAAUUUGUAACGAGAGGGAUCUUGUUUUCAGAAGACUUAUUUUCUAAGUCUGAACUUUGGAAUUCUGAUCUAAAGCUGUUUUCUUGUUUGUUUUUUUUUUAUUGACUGAUGAAUUGAGUGUCCUUUGUUUCUUUGCCUUCUUUCGCUUUUAUAAGAGAUCCUCCUAAGGAGGUCAUUUUUAAUCCUAAACAAUGGGCGGCAAAAAGAUCUCUUAUAAUGUAAAGUAAGAAGGGUUUCUUAUCAAUCAAGGCAGAUAGGUUCUGAGCAGUCACCUCCUAAAAACAGUCCCUUCCCUGGUUUCCUGGGUGGCAGCUUUCUAAUUCAACCAACGCCACCGUCUGUGUGGGCUUUUUAUGGCGGUUUUGGCUCUUUUCUUUUGUAUUUUCUGAGUGGUUCCCUGUUUCCCGUUCUAAUUUAGAAAGCGUGAUCCGUGAAUUCCUUGGGAGAUGGUGUAUUGAUUUGGAGCAAAAUCUUGAACACAGAUGGGUUUUUGAUCUUCAAUUGGCAGUGUUUCAGAGACGUCCCUCUCACAUUUUUAAACUUUAGUUGGAAUUGCUGACUUUUCCAAAGUUGAGGCAAUCACGUGGGUGUGUCUUUGAUCCCUUGGUUUUGAAUCUUUCAAAAAUUACGGGCUGAUCUUUGAAGCCCAUUUCGAAAGUUUCCACAUCUGGGCUUUCUUUGGGCUGAGGCUUUAUUUCCAACAUUCUUGGUGUGAACUGGACUAAACAGUUAGUCGGACCAGACCGUCUACACAUAUGAACUGGACUCACAAGCCUAUGUUUUUUGAGCUCCCAUAUUGGUCGAAACUCAAAUUGAGGCACAAUCUAGAUGUGAUGCAUGUUGAGAAAAAUGUAUUUAACACAUUGGUGGGCACGAUUCUAGAUAUCGAGGGCAAGACAAAGGACACAAUCAAAGCCCGUCUUGAUUUGGAAAGAAUGGGCAUACAAAGGGGUUUAUGGAUGAACAGGGACAGUGAUAAAGCUAGAAGGGAUCUUGCAUUCUUUUCUAUGAAACCGAAUGAUAAAAAAGAGUUUCUAAAGUUUGUAUCGUCUGUAAAGUUUCCUGAUGGGUAUGCUUCUAAUAUCGCACAUUGCGUGAAUGUUGACGAGGGUAAAUUUACUGGACUGAAGAGCCAUGACUGCCAUGUGUUUAUGCAACGCCUACUUCCUGUGGGUAUUCGACAUCUAUUGCCGGAAGAUGUUGUGAAGCCAAUCAUGUUGUUGUCCAGAUUUUUUUCCCAACUGACGGCAAAAACAUUGCGAAAGACAGACAUAUUUCAGUUGCGCCAUGACAUUGUCCAAGUCCUAUGCAAGUUUGAGAUGAUAUUUCCUCCAGCUUUCUUCACAAGUAUGAUGCACGUGAUGGUUCACUUGCCAGAAGAGGCAUUGCUUGCUAGUCCUGUCAACUAUCGCUGGAUGUAUCCAAUAGAAAGGUAUAUAAUCUUUAUCGUUUGUGUAUGCAUCAUUAUCACAGACUUGCUAAUUUGUAUCAUAUCGUUUUAUUUUGACAGGCUUCUCGGAGAGCUGAAAAAAAGUGUACGCAACAGGGCGAAGCCCGAAGGAUCAAUUAUAGAGGCUUGGGUUCAAUAUGAGUCGCUUACUUUCUGUGGAAUGUAUUUAAAAGAUGUGGAGACGGCUUUCAAUCGUCCUCAACGCAAUAACGACGAAGGUAUGAGAAAGGAAAAACUUUCUGUUUUUGCCCAAAGUGCACGACCCUUUGGAGAUCCUGGACGAGGAGAGUCGUUUUCUAGAAAUGACAUGGAGGUAGCGCAUUGGUUCGUACUGAACAAUUGUGAUGAGAUAAUGGCAUACUUAGAUAAGCAUGAAGAGAUGAUGAAGCGAGAACAUCCAUCACAUUUAGUUGCCCAGAAACACCGUGAAUUGUUUCCACAAUGGUUUUUGGAUUCUGUAAGUUAUAAGUGUUUUGUAUUUGACAAAUAUAAAUUGUAGUAUUUAAUUUUGUCAGACUAACAUGUGAAUGGUUUUGUAUUAUAUUAGGUGAAUAAGUUGAAAUCAUCGAAUUCCCCCACUUACAGUGAUGAGUUAUAUAACUUGGCGUUCGGCCCAAUUCGCGCUGAAUUGUUUCGGGUUGUUAUAUUAAUGGCGUCAAAUUUUUGGGAGCCGCACGAGAUGACAAGUUGUGUAUGCAAAACAGCGGUGUCCAUGUCCCAGGUGGAGGCGAAAGUACGAACAUUGAUUUCUAUGGCAAACUCACAACUGUCAUUCAAUUGCUUUACAAAGAUCGAUACUAAGUGAUCAUGUUUAAGUGUCGAUGGUUUGAUAGCAACCCAAAUAGGCCGGGAAGUGUUAAAAUCAACCAUGGCUUACUAUCUGUGAACAUUAACAGAACUUGGUAUGAUGACGACCCUUACAUUUUGGCAAACAUGGCAACACAAAUUGUGUAUCUAGAUGACCCUAAAGCCGGGAGCAGUUGGAAAGUUGUUCAGAAGAUGGAUCAUAGGAACUUGUAUGCUAUACCAGAACUAGACCCAACUGACAAUGACGUCAACAAUGUGGCUGACCAACGUUUAGAAUCUUCAAUGGAAAAUGAUGCGGAAACACUUCGAGAUACACAUGUUAUACAAGAACCGUUUCAAAUACAAGGAGUGUCUUCAAUCGAAAUACCGAUUCAGUCAAUUACAAUUGACCUCGGGGAUCUUCCAAGAUUCGAUGUUGCAGUGAGCCCGAGCAACGAAGAUGAUGUAGUUAUAGAGGAGGAGGAGGAGGAUUGGGAGACUGAAAGUGAUGAUAGCGAAGAUAACGAAAGUUAUUAUAGUUCAGAUGAUGAAUAAUUAAAUUUUUUAUAUUUUUAUUAUGCUAGUGUACAGACUUUGUGUAAAACAAAAGUUUGAAUAUAUGUAGUUGUGAUAUCCAAACCUUAUAUAUGUGGACAACUGAAACAUUAUUAAAAUAAAUUUAGUUAUAAAACAUCGGUAAAUCAAUAUAUCCAAACCCUUUUAAUAUUCAUUUAAAAUUUUUUUUUUUGACAAAAACGUUUACAAAAUGAAAAUGAUAAAAUAUUUGUUAUAAAACAUUGAUAAAUAAAUAUAUCCAAACCAUUUUCAUACAAAGUUUGAAAAUUAUUGACAACAAACAUUUUUCAAAAAUGAAAAUCCUUGCGCGACGAAGUACACCUCGUCACGCAAAGUUUGCGCGACCCAGUAAACAGUCGUUGUGUAAAGUUAAAACAUUGCGAGACAAAUUAUCAUCCGUCACGCGAUAGAAUUUUGCGCGACGAAUAUUUACUCUCGUCGCGCAAAUGUAUAUUCUUUUAUAAUAUAUUUUAUAUACACAUAUAUAUUCGAAAUUGACGAUCGAGUUAGUUCAUUGUAUUCAUAUAGGGUCAUGGAGUGUAGCUGUAAAAAAUCAUCAAAAUCGGAGUUAAAAUAACUGUUAAAUCAUGACUUUUCAUUUAUAACCGUUCAAAAAUUUUGUCCCGAUACUUGAUCUCUGAAUGUUUUUUUUUUCCGAUUUUUGGGGCCUAAGAUCUCGAAGUAUAAACAAACACGUUUGACGGCUGGAUUAUUGAAACUACUUUCGUAGAAUGCGUAUGCCAUCAAAACUAUAUAUUCACCAACAAUGAAUAGUUUACUUAUACUUUCAUUAAAUAUAACAUAAGAUUAUGUGGUAUCACCCUAGUGUAAACAUCUUAAAUUGAAGAUCAAAUUCAGUAAUUGUAUUCAUAUAGGGUCAAGAAAAGUAGCUAUAAAAAAUCAUCAAAAUCGGAGUUAAAAUAACCGUUAAAUCAUGACUUUUCAUUUAGAUUCGUCGAAAAGUUUUGUACUGUUACUUGAUCUCUUAACGUUUUUUUUGUCAGAUUUUCGGCGUAUACGAUCUCGAAAUAUAAAAAAACAAGUUUGCCGGUUAGAUCAUUAAAACUAGUUUCGGGUUUAGGAUUUCUGCAGUUUAGGGUUUAGGGUUUGCGCGACGAAGCCAUUUCGUUGGUCGCACAAAGCCUGCAAAGAACAGUCUUGCGCUACGAAACUAGGAUUCUUUGUCACGCAAUCUCAACCAGCCCUUUCACCCUCUUCCUCCUUGGACACUUAGCCAAAAAAAGUUGCGAGUUUACAGAAAGCGGCUUUGCGCGACGCUGCCGGUAUUCGUCGCGCAAUAUGUAUGCCAAUAAAACCUAAAUCCCAAAUUUUGGCGAAUUACAACUUUGCGCGACGAAUAUGGGAAGCUUCGCGCAAAGUUUUCAAUCUUUCCCGCUAAACCCUAAGUCCCAAAAUUUUGGCGGAUUGACAACAUUGCGCCACGAAAGAAGGUACUGUGCGUCGCACAAAGUUUUCAAUCUCUCCCGCUAAACCCUAAGUCCCAAAAUUUUGGCGGAUUGACAAUAUUGCGCGACGAAAGAAGGUACUGUGCAUCGCGCAAAGUUUUCAAUCUCUCCCACUAAACCCUAAGUCCCAAAAUUUUGGCGGAUUGACAACAUUGCUCGACGAAAUAUGGUACUGUGCGUCGCGCAAAGUUUUCAAUCUCUACCCAAUAUUUUGCCGGAUUGACAACAUUGUGCGACGAAAGACGAUACUGUGUGUCGCGCAAAAACUACCCUGAUACCAAAUUUUGGGAUUAACAAUAUUGCACGACAGAAGUUAUACUUAUGUCGUCGCGCAAGUGUCAAUUAAAAUAUUUUGCGUGACGCUUUUGUUUGUUCGUUGCGCAAAAUCGAAUAAAAUUGCAGAAACGACGCGAUAGCCUCCUUCUUCCCCAGAUUUGUUUUUCUACCCUAACUCUCUCUCUCUCUCUCCGCCUUCAGCUCAGCCCCCUACCCCAGUGGAUUUUGGACGACGGCGCCACAACAGUGGUACCCCGGAGGUUUCCCGCCGUCACCGUCGAGCCAGCCGCCCUAAUUCCUCGAUUUUCACCGAAUCUGCGCCGCCGUCGUUCUCUCUCCUUCGGCGACCAAAUCCGACACCUGAGGUAUGGUUUCUGUCCUAUUUUUGAUGCUUUAACUGAUGGUUGGGUAGGAUUUGUGUAAUUGUUGCAAUAGGGCAGUGGAUUUGAAACCCUAAAUUUCGACCGAUUUUUGAAUUCCAAUUCCGGCCACUUCUGGCCAUUUUUCAGGGUAGGUCCGAGAACAAAAGUGGCUCCAAUUGAUGUUUUGAACCUAGGGUAGGAACCUUGGCCCUUAGUUUUAAGAAAUUUUCGACGAUUGGUAUCGCUUUGGACACCCACGCUCUGCCAGCGCUUGUGGUGGCGCGUGGGGUACUGUAGCAGUCUUGCAUUGGGUCCCAGUGCAAUCCCAUAUUUGUCACGAGCGCGUAGGUGUUUUCGGAUUGGAAUUUGGUUACCGUUUGAGUCUCGAACGGAUUUUGCCUAUUGUGCGAUUUCCGGGUUUGUUAUGUUCGGACCGUUGGAUCGAACUCAAACUCACGUAUGGUGUACCUUGUAUUUCUUGGAUCGUCUAGGAUUCGACGGAUCGUGGAUCGGAGUCCCGAAUACUCCGAACUCGCAAACCCUAGGUCAAGAAUCUUAAUAAAAUUGUAUGUGCUUUCAAAUAUUCGUAUGUUUUAUUAAUUUGUAUGUGUAUUAAUGAAAUUGUGUAGAUGUCAGACCUGAUUAGACGUCGUAGGGCGGUGACGACUACGCAGAGUUCUGAGCCCCCGGCUCAACUGACAUCUGCUGCCACUGCGCCAGCACUGAUGGACCACUUGGCAGUUGGUCCCGCGGGGUCCCAGGCUCCUGCUUCAUCAGCUUCAUUAGUGGCACAACCUGUUAGCGCCAGGAAGCGUCAUCGGCCUGCCAGCACCACCGACACCACAUCCACUGAUGCGUCGGGGUCACAGCCAGGUAUAGAUUUCCUUAAACUCCAGUUAUUUAUAUUUUUGUUUUUGUUUUUAUUUUUGUUUUUGUUUUUGUUUUUGUUUUUAUUUGUGUGUGUAUUUUAUAGUUAAAUUUGUUAUUUAUUUAACAUUAAUGUCAUCUUUCUUUGCAGCCAAGAAGAACACCCGAGGGCCGUGUCGGUAGUUGAAGACGGCGAAGGUCACUCGGGUGACCAACAGUCGUAUCAACAUCGGAUACGACAAGCGACAUCGGGCUGCACCGACGGCGGAGUUGCAUAGCUCCUUGGCCCACGACAUUGGUGAUGUCAUUCCGAGCCAUUGCCCGAUGAAAUGGAAGUCUUGGAAGGUGAUGCCUGACGAGACCAAGAUGGAGGUUCGCGGCCAGUUGUCAGUAUGUAGGCCUUUUAAUUCUUUUUCUUUCAAAUUUUAUAUUUCUAUUAUUUAAAUGUAUUUAAUUAAUUUAUUGCAGACGAACUACAACUUGGAGGACCUGGACGACGAGUCGUUGGCGUACAUCAACAGACUCUUCUCUGAGAGGUACAAAUAGUGGAAGAGCGACUUGCACCACUAUUUUGAGGCGUUUGAUGAUCCAGAAGUCUCUCUUCAGGAGGGUUGCCCGAAGGAGCUUGAGGGGCGGGAGGAUAGUUGGGCGUGGCUCUGCUCUCAUUUUCAGGCGCCCGCUUUUGUGGUAAUUUGUAAUAUGAAUUUCAAAUUUAUUAUAUUUUUCUUACUAAUGUUUUUUUAAUGUUUUAUAUUUAAUUUCAAUUUCAACUAAUACGUUUUAUUUUUUGUAUAACAGAAUAAAGCCAAAGUCAAUAAGGGCAAUAGGAAGAAGAAGACUCUUCUCCAUCAUUCGGGUUCCAGGCCCUUCUCCUAUAGGAUGGAUGCAUGGCGGCAGGUAAUCAUAAAAAAAAUUUUAUUUAAUUUUUAAUAUUUAAUUAUUCUUAAUUUAUUUUUUUGUACUAAUAUUUUUCUUCUCUUGUUCAAUUUAGGGGGGUCCAAAUUCCCAGAGAUCGACGUCUUUGGCGACGUUUAUGUUCGACCUGGGAAUGAGUUGGGCGAGUCCCUUCAUGUAAGUAUUAUUUAAUUUUAAUUAUUAUGUUACGCAUUCAAGUUUAAAGGUUAUUAUAUGAAUGUUUUAAUUUAUAUUUUAUGUUAUGCUAAACAGAUGACGAUGGUGGAGAGGAGCCAGUUGGUUCUUCAAGAGUCCGCCUCCCAACUUCCUUCCGAUACUCCGAUCGAGUCUGUGGAUCCUCCACAGGAUGCUGGGUUUCAGAUCUUGACGGAGACAUUGGAUCAGACUCUAGGGAGGAGACCGGGGAUAUAUUGUCGAGGGAUGGAGAAUGCCAGGCGGAGGGAAGCCAGACCCCGUUCAUUAGCGCAGUCAAGCAGUCAGGUCACUGCUUUGACAGCACAGGUGGCCACUCUUCAGAGUCAGAUGUCGGACAUUCUGCAGUCCCUCGCACAGUUCGGCAUUCCAGUCCCGCAUUUUGAUGCGCCGACCUCUGAGCCCGUCCAUCCUGAGCAUCCCCACCAGACGACGGCCCUUGUAGACCCCCAGACCUCUGAACCGCAUGUGCCAGACGACAAUGUAGAUUUUGGAACAUUAUGAUUAGUUUUUUUAUUUUCAUAAUUAUUUUUUAAAUAUUUCUCUUGCAGCAUACAUUUAUUUUAUAUAAUAAAUAUGUUCUUUACAAUUCUUUUUUUUAUUGGAAUUUCAUUUUAUUACCCAAAAAAAAAAAACCAAAUUUAUUUUUUUAUAAAAUAAAAUAAAAAGUAAUAUUAAAAUUAAAUAAUAAUUAUAUAUAUUAAUUUUGCGCGACGAAAUCUUUCUCGUCGCGCAAAUUUAUAUAUUACGAAAUAAAAAUGUUUCAUUUUUUUAAAUACAUAUAAUUUAUUCUUGCGCGACGAAUAUUUUCGUCUCUCAAAAAGGAUUUGCGCGACAACAGUUUUUCGUCGCGCAAAAUGUGUUGACACGAAUUGCACGACGAAGAUAUCUUUGUGCCGCAAAUAUCUACGACACGUAUUGCGCGAUGAAAAUGUUCGUCGCGCAAAAAACGUAUGCGCGACAACAAUGUUUCGUCGCGCAAUACGUGUAGACAUGAAUUGCGCGACGAAGAACUCUUGGUGCCGCAAAUGUGUACGAGACGUAUUGUGCGACGAAUAUUAUUCGCCGCGCAUCGUUGUGGCGACGAACCCGCUUUCGUCGCGCAUAAGUUUGUGCGACGAACUAUUGCAUCGUCUCUGAACCUUUUGUGCAACGAAGGGUAACCGUCGCACAAAUUUGCGCGACGAGUGAUACAAUCAGUCGCGCAAAGUCUUUCUUCACCAUCUUUGCACCACAGAUUACGCGCGACGAAUUUUCUGUCGUGCUUGAGUUUGUGCGACCAAAUUUAACUCUGCGCGACGAAAUUGGCUUCGUCGCGCAAAUCGUAAAAUGUAGUAGUGGAAGUUAUCAACAUCUAUAGGAACCCCAAUGAAAAGGCUGUUAACUAAUAAUGAAGUAAACCCCUCAAUGUUUCCGCGUAUCAGAUAUCUCUCAGAAUAUGCGAUUCCAUACUCAAUAAGCAACUCCACAUCCCCUGAGGUUUUCACCAAACCACCCAUUAAGGAAACAUACUGACUCAUGUGUAAUUAUCAUUACUCAUCGGGUAAUGCAAUUGUUCAAAGGCAAGGACAUUUCUCAUUAUUUCUGUAGUGAACCCCAAUGGAAAUGGUGGGAUCUUCAGAACCCCAUUGGUGCUACUGAAUUGUAUGUCAAAUAUGUUUUCACCUUGUCGCGCCUCAAACUUGACUCCAGCGUGCUGUAAUUCUGUCAAGCUGGGUAUGGAUGAUGGGAGUUCCCCUCCAGCUUUUGAUUCCAACGGUUGAUAGAGUUUAAAUAUUUUCCUGUAAAGAUCAACAAUAUGUGCCACUGAUCUAAAAGUCUCCAAAUUGUCUUCCAUUUUGUCAACAGGCAAUAGAUGUUCGAAGAAACUGAAAGAAAGACUAAUUAUUGAAAGCCCCUCAGUAAUGCAGUUAUUGUCAGCAUCAGCAGGGAGUGUAAUUUUCUGUGGGUCGAAAAGAUCCUCGAGAAUGAAGAAUGGCAACUGAUUUUCAAGCAACCACAUAUCUGUCCAUACAUCUUGCAACAUACCUGGUUUGUCAAAUAUGCGGUCAUUUUCAUCCCAAAAUUUGAAGUAGUCCUUCAAUAAGAGCUCAAUAACGAAGGCGGCAUCCACUAGAAUGAUUGUUACAAAUUCAUCACUGCUAAACUUGAUGGGUUCUCCAUAACAACGUCUCAAUCUUGCUUCGUGGUCCUUUAUUUUCUUAAUAUAAUCCUCCAAACUCACAUUGGUCCGACCUAUAAAAUCUUGCAGGUAUCUCUGUUUGUGCUCUUCCUAUACGACAUUCAAGCCUUCCUUUCCAUGGUGAAGUGGGCCUAUAGAGACCACCUGAGGUGUGCAGAGCUUUUCAUUCACACUUCGUAGUCGUUGAGGAACUCUGUAGAUACAGCACUUGGAGGAUGGGGGAGACAAGCUAUUGAACCCUUUUCUCAUCGAAUUUGCUAAUGAAAUGUAUGGGUUUUCUAUGUCAUUUUGAGCAGAUUGAUGGCUUCCUGCCAUUUUCCAGCUCCUGACUAUAUGUGGUGUUCCGAUUGUAACAGAUUACAAUAAUGAUGAGUAUGGAUAACUGAAUUACUGAUAAAACAAUCAAGAAACAUUUCGUUAUUUUCCAUUCCCAAUAACGAAAUCAAAAUGUUCAAGGAAAUAUAAUCAGGAUAUUGCAAUUAUAUAGCCAUUCAUAAGCUGCCUGGCAUGGAAUAAGAGGUGGAAACCAAAUCUACUUAUUGGCCAAAGUUCGAAUUCACUAUAUAUAGAUAUAUAUUUUGCCAAAAUCUAAAACUGACCAACCUUAGAUACAAAAACACGGUACAGCCCGGUUAAAGUAAUUCCAAGUGCGAAGAAAGAAAGGAAUUGAGCGUUUGUACCUCUACAGCUAGCCAAAUUUUCUAUUGAUUCUUUAAAUUUUAGAGAGCAAUUACUCUUAAUUUGGUAGGUGUAGGACUGUGCAACUUCAAGCUUUAAUGAAAGAAGCCAAGUUUAUUCUAAGGGGACAAGUCAGAGACAACGAAAUUUUGCUCAGCUUCAUUUUCAAAUUUGCUGCUUAAGAAGGAAAUUUAAUAUGUUUGUUUCACAAAUUGUAUUGUCAUCAAUGAAACUCGUGCACACCCAACGAAAUUUGCAUGGCUUAUUUUCAAAGGAGUACUGCUAUUUCCAUCCUCUGUCCUAUUUUUCCACUCACCUUAUCUUCAAAAUUUUAAAGACAAAAAUAAACCCCUUUGUAAAAUGCUUAAAAAGAAAUUUAAUAUGUUUGUUUCAAAAAUUGAUAUUGUCAUCAAUGGUUAAAGAAUUGCUGGUGACAACAUAUACUUCUUUUCUACUGUAUUAAUUUCUUUCUUUAUUUUUUCUUCAGUAUAGUUCUGCCUUUCUUUUACAUGUUUAUGCGCAUAUUUGACACGUUCAAGUAUACUUAUAUAACAAAUGCAAUGAGUUUGUAGUCACAAAAAUCAAGGAUUGAAAACAAAAAGUAAUAUUAUGUGCAAGAGAAACUUACCUGCAGAAACUGAAGAACUCCUCUAGUUUCUUCUCUGUCGCUAUGUACUCCCGCGUUCAAGUUAUUAUUCUUACAAUGUACAUACACUAUUAUAUAAUGGCGAGAAGGCUCUGAUUAACCUCCUUUUUGCUUCAUUGGAUGGGGCAAGAAUGGAAUUGUCACCGUGGGUGUGGAGGUGAUCUACCAUUUGAGCAAGAAAUUCCCACAUAUUCUUUAACUAUUUUUCAAGCAUGCAUAUUCCUCCCUAUCAAUCUUUGGUCUCUUCUUUUACUAUUUUUCAAGCAUGCAUACUUUGAUUUUAAAUCAUCUUUUCCGCACUAAUUUGCUUCAAUCAAGAAACAGUUAAUAUAUUUUGUAUCAUCAUUAGAGAACACUUGAAACUGCAUAAGUUAAUUUUGAAGAUGAUGGCAGAACCAAAAUGUGUAUAGCUUAUAACUAUAAUUUCUUGAUUACAACAAGAGGUUUCAAGUUUUCAACAACACAAAUAUGAAUCUCCCAAGCAAAGAUAAACAAUAAAGCAAGCAUACGGAUUGUCAAAUUGCCUUCAAUCACUCUAAAAUACUUCAUACCGUCCGACACUGGCUUCAAUUACUCUACAAUACUUCAAUUCAUAUAUUGUCCUAUUUUCACAUGUACAUCCUGCUUUUACUUAAGGGUUAAUUGUUGAUUUACCCCUUGAACUUGUACUCUACUUUCAAUUUGCACCCUCAACUUUUUUUUUUGAAAAUUAGGUGCAUGAACUAAUUUUUAUUGCCAAUUCCCCCUACCAACAUGUCAUCUAAUAGUCUGUCAAAUCAUUAAAAAAUAUAAUAUUUUUGGAAAAAAUUAAAGAAAAAAAAAUUCCUAAGGACCCACAGACCCAGAACCCACCCUCCGUUGCCCCCGCUUGCUGUUUUCUUCUCCUCCCAGUCCCCCAUGACCACCACCCUCCACUGCCACACCAAUCCCCUACCCAACAGACCCCUCACCCCUUCUUUUUUUUCACCCCCGAACCCAGCAUGAGUUAUUGGUUAAUACCAUUUUCUUAAUUGCCAAAUAAAAAAAAAAAACAGAGUUAACCCUCUGUUAAGCUAGCUGACUAGUGGGGCGAAAUGGAGGAAAAUCAAUAUGGAGACAGCGGAUCCGGUCCCGUGUAAGUGUAUCUGAUGGAAUAAAAGAAUGAUAUUAUUGGUGGUGGGUACGGUUAUGUGGAAGUAAUAAUGGGUAAGAGAAGAAACUUGUUCUCUUGUGAUAAUCAAAAGACAGAAAGUAGUGGGAAAAGACAGAAAGUAGUGGGACACUAUUUUAGAUAUGAUAAUGUUCCUUCCUUGAUUGAUGCAAAUGAAGAGAAAAGGGUGGCUUUAUAUAAUAGCCACUACCGACCUAACACAUUAAAAACACAACUAACACCAAACAUAGUUAAUUCAACUAACUUCUACCACACCAUUAAUUUAACACACAACUACUAACAAACUGCCAACUAUUUCAAAGUUACCAGCCGACUAUUAAUGAAGUCUAGAUUACUUUAACAUCCUCCCUUAAGCUAGACUUCAUUUACGCCAAUUAAUUUUCUCAUCUUGAUGAGCGGCUCUUUCUUCAACGGUUUGGUGAACAAAUCUGCCAGCUGAUCUUGGGACUUGCAAUACAGAACCUCAACUUCUUUAUCUUUGAUUAGCUCUCUGAUGAAAUGGAACUUGAUCUUGAUGUAACACCCCGACCCCAAAUUUUCCCAAAUUUUACCCUUAUUUAAUUAUUUAAUUAUUUAAGGGUAUUUUAGUCAUAUUUUUAACCGGAGAGAGUUUGGGACCGUGACUAGUAUUUUUGGAUAGGUCGAGCUGAGACGAGUUCAUAGACACGUAGUGGGCUCGAAUCGGAGUUGUAACGAGAGAGAUAUGGUCAAAAGAAGCCCAGUGGCACAAUCGUAAAUAUUUCGAAAUGGGAUUUUUUAUAAAAACUCAAAUUUUUCUCUCUCUCUCUCUCUCUCUCUCUCUCUCUCUCUCUCUCUCUCGCGACUCCUCUCUCUCUCUCCCGUCGGCCUCUCCUCUCUCUCUCUUCGUAACUCCGGCCACCGGCCGCGGCUGCGGACGGGGCCGGUGUCAAAAGAACCGGCUCGACCUCGGCAUCACGACCCAGCCCAUCCCCGCCAUCGGCCGCCGCUCCAGCCGCCGGAAAAUGGCGAUUUUCGCCCAGAUGUCGCCGGAACUUCAACGCCGUCGAUCUCCCUCCUCCGGCCACCAAUUCCGUCGACCCAGGUAUGGAUUUUGAACCUCUCGAGCUGCUCUAGCUGAUGGUUGGGUAGGAUUAGAUCGAUUCUUAGCGUAGAUCACUCGAUUUUCGAAUUGAAAAUCGGCCGAAACUUCGGCCGCCGUGAUCGGCCAUUUCCGGCCACUUUUUGGGGUAGGUCCAAGAACAAAAGUGGCUCCAAAUAGGGUGUUAUACCUAGGGUAGGAGUUUGGAGCCGUGGUUUUGAGAUUUUCCGGCGGAGCGUUAUCGCUUUGGGCACCCACGCGCUGCUGGCGCGUGCGGCGGAGCGUGGGCACUGUAUAAAAAGUAGCGAUGUAUUCCGAUGAGAUCCUUAGGUUGUCACGAGUGCGUAGGAUUUUGCGGAUCUCAAUUCGGACGUCGUUUGACUAUCGAACGAAUAAUCGCAUAGUGUGCGUUAUCCGGGUUCGAUAGGUUGGGACCGUUGGAUGGUCCCAAAUUUAAUAUAUGUUAAUCUAGGUAUUUCUAGGAUCGUGUAGGAAUUCACGGAUCGUGAAUCGGAACUCCGGAUGUUCCGAAUAAUAAUUUUAAGUUUAUAUUUUAUAUUAACCAUCAGAUCGUGCGAUCGUGAGCAAUCCGACCGUCCGAUCUGAACCAAACUUGCAGGACAAGUGUCCUACACCUGGUAGAACCCAUAGGGACUUCCGGAUCGGAAAUUGGAGGUCGUGGGUUCUGCAGGUCCGUUUGACCAGGGUUAGAGUAGUUUGACUCUUGGUUGACCGUGAGUCUCCCGGAGUAAUCUCACCCUUCCAGGGGGAAUUAUCGGGAGCUAGACUAUUGUGGAGGGUUACACAAUAUUAGAAUUAUUUAUAUAAAUUAUGUGGUUGUACAAGGGUACAACAGAGUCUAGAAUGUCAGUUUGGAGUGCUAUACGCACUACUCUAGGUACCUCCUCGGACUUUGGAAUUUCUACAAGUACCACCAAGUGAAAGUUAGGUCCCACGUGGCGUAGGUUAUCCGGCGUGUCGACAGACCCCAUACGUGGCGUUGGUUGUACCGGCGUAUGGGGAGAUUUGUGAUAUGAUAUUGAGGUCCCGCGUGGCGUAGGUUAUCCGGCGUUGGGACAGGCCCCAUACGUGGCGUUGGUUGUACCGGCGUAUGGGGAGAUAUUAUGAUAGUAUGGCAUGGUCGCACGUGGCGUAGGUUAUCCGGCGUGUCGACAGACCCCAUACGUGGCGUUGGUUGUACCGGCGUAUGGGGAGAUUUGUGAUAUGAUAUUGAGGUCCUGCGUGGCGUAGGUUAUCCUGCGUUGGGAUAGGCCCCAUACGUGGCGUUAGUUGUACCGGCGUAUGGGGAGAUAUUAUGAUAGUAUGGCAUGGUCGCACGUGGCGUAGGUUAUCCGGCGUGUUGACAGGCCCCAUACGUGGCGUUGGUUGUACCAGCGUAUGGGGAGAAUAUGUGAAAUACAGAGAAAUGAAAUAAGGUAUUGCCCAAGUGUGGAAUUGGGUUUUAGGGAAGAACUACUUAUGGCUUGAUCCCUCAAGGAGGGUACGUAGGCAGCCUAAGGUUAUUAGGUGCAGCCGCAGACUAAAUAUUAGUCAUAAAUUGUAAUUGAACUGUUUGGUAGUCGUUUGAGGAAGUAUUGAAAGGCCGAAGGCCAUUUGUGUGAAUUGCAUGAAAUUAUAUUGUGCAUGCUGCCAGUUGGGAAUAUUAAAUGCGUUUUUAUGCAGGUAUAAAUUUUGGGAAUGUCCAAUUUACAGGGGAGACUCUGCCAAAAUUUCGGCAGGAAGUCUCGGUUUUUAGUAAGUGGGCCUGGCAUCGGGGUGAUGUCAGGAAUUCCAAAGGGUUCGUCUCGGGUUUUGAGAAAAUUCGGGGCGGGUCCUUUCACUUGAUAUGCUUACUCUUGCUGUGAAACAUUGGAUUUUUGGAAAGACAAAUAGCUGAUUUGUUGUUGCAGAACAGCUUUGUAGGUCCUUCUUGAACUUGACCCAUCUCUUCUAAAAUACUUUUCAGCCACCUAGCUUGACAACCUGCUGAUGCAAGAGCAACAUACUCAGAUUCUGUAGUUGAAAGUGCCACUAUAGAUUGCUUUUUGGAGGACCAUGAAAUCGCACUUGAGCCAAUGCUAAAGACAUAACCAGAUGUGCUUUUGCAAGUAUCAACAUCUCCACCCAAGUCACUGUCACUGUAGCCAGUCAAAUUUAGAUUCUGAAUAGGAUAAUAAUGCAAACCAUAAUUGAUAGUUCCAACCACAUAUCUUAGGAUUCUCUUUCCAAGCUCCCAAUGAACAUCUUUUGGUGACUCCACUAAACGGCUGAGGAAGCUUACUGCAUAUGUAAGAUCUGGCCUUGUUGUAGUUAAAUACAAGAGGCCACCCACUAGACUUCGAAACAAAGUUUGAUUUACCAUUGUGCUUCCAUCAUUCUUACCUAUCUUAACACCAACCUCCAUUGGAGUAGCAAUUGACUUUGCAUUUUCCAACCUGAACCUUUUCAACAAUUCCUUUGCGUAUUUCUUUUGAGAAAUAUAGAUACCAUUCUCAUUUUGUUUGACUUCAAUUCCAAGAAAGAAAUGAAGCAAACCAAGGUCUGUCAUUUCAAAUCUUUGUGACAUAAUCAUCUUGAAAUUAUCACACAUUUGAGCAUUACUUCCAGUAAAUAUUAAGUCAUCCACAUAUAAGCAGACAAUCAAAAUCUCACCUUGAGAGUUCUUCUUGGUGUAAAGAGUAUGCUCAUAUGGGCAUUUGUGAAACCCAUACUCUUGGAAGAAUGCAUCAAUCCGACUGUACCAAGCUCUUGGAGCUUGUUUCAAACCAUAUAAAGCCUUCUUCAAUCUACACACUUUUGUUUCUUCAUUUCCCUGCACAUAACCUGGAGGUUGAGCAACAUACACUUCUUCUUCCAAAAAACCUUGCAAGAAUGCUGGUUUAACUUCCAUUUGAAAGACUUUCCAACAAUUUUGGGCAGCAAGAGCUAACACCAUUCGGAUGGUGUCAAAGCGUGCAACUGGAGCAAAAACUUCAUUGUAAUCAAUUCCAUAAUUUUGCUUGUAGCCUUUAGCUACCAAGCGAGCUUUGUAUUUCUCAACUUCUCCUUGAGCAUUCAGCUUGGUCUUAUACACCCAUUUUACUCCUAUAGGCUUCUUUCCUUGAGGAAGAUCAACCAGCUCCCAUGUGUCAUUUUUCUUAAUGGAAUCAAUUUCUUGAUCCAUAGCCUUCACCCAAUUUUCAUCCUUUGAAGCCUCUUCAAACAUAAUUGGGUCUGCAUCUACAAAUAGAGCAAAAUUUGUGCCACCAUUAGUGAUCAAAACAUAAUCACUAGAUGGGUACCUUGUGGAUGGUUGAUGAGCUCUUGUUGAUCUCCUUUGUCCUCUGCAAAUUUCUUCUUCCUCACUGCUAUCACUAGAAGAAGUUGAUGAUGACCCUUGUGAUGAAGAUUCCUAUGAUGAUAGAGUUGUUGGUGGAGUUAAAUCUGGAUUUUCAAGGCCAAUGUCCAACAGUAUUGGACUUUGAUUUUCAGCUUCACUCCAAUUCCAUGCUUCUUCUUCAUUGAACUUGACAUCACGACUAACAAUAAUCUUGUUAGUCAAUGGAUUAAACAACUUAUAUGCCUUGGCCUUUUCACUAUACCCAACAAGAAUGCACUUUUCUGAUUUGUCAUCCAAUUUUCUCCUUGUUUUAUCAGGAAUAUGAGAAUAAGCAAUGCUGCCAAAUAUCCUUAAGUGACUAAUACAUGGCUUGAGGCCACUCUAAGCUUCUUGAGGAGUCUUGCCUUCCACACUAUUGGACGAUGCACGGUUCAAGAGAUAUACAGCACAUGCCACUGCUUCUGCCCAAAAACGAUUAGGCAUUGCUUUUGCCUUCAACAUGCUUCUUGCCAAUUCCAUAACGGUCCUAUUUUUUCUCUCGGCCACACCAUUUUGCUGUGGGGUGUACCGAGCUGUGAACUGAUGCUUAAUCCCAUUUUCUUUUAGAAAAUUUUCGAACACAUUGGAUGAGAAUUCUCCACCUUGAUCAGACCGCAAGGUUUUCAAUGCAAAUCCACUUUGCUUCUCAGCCAAAGCUUUGAAAACUUUAAAGUAAUCAAACACCUCUGAUUUAUAUUUGAGAAAAUAGACCCAUGUCUUUCUGCUAUAAUCAUCAAUGAAUGUAAGAAAGUAGCGGUUACCUCCUGUUGAUGUUGUGUUCAUGGGCCCGCAUACAUCUGAGUGCACCAGCUCAAGAGGAUGGGAUGCUCUCCAAGAAUUUCCUGUAAGAAACGAAUUUCUCUGAUGUUUUCCCAGCACACAUGCUUCACAAACUUGUGUUUGAUGCUGUAUCGUUGGUAGGCCUCGUACCAUAUGUUGUUUCCCCAUCAAUGAUAGUGUAUUGAAACUCAAAUGCCCAUAGCGUAGAAGCCACAACCAUGAGGAAUCCUUGAUAAGUGCACUUAAGCAAGCAAAAGAUUCAUACUUUAUGUUCAGAGAAAACAUAUUGUCUCCUGACAUCUGCACCUUUGUAAUUAGAGAGUUGUACUUGUCUCUAAUUACACACUGGUCUUCCCUGAACUGAAUAUUAUGGCCUUUAUGAAGAAGUUGCCCCACACUAAGGAGAUUGUAAUUUAAAUCUGGAACAUAUAACACAUCAGAGAUUCUUUUUUGUUCUCCAGACUUGGAUAGAAAAAGAAUAUCUCCACAUCCUUUGGCCACUAGCUUUCCACCAUCACCAAUCCUUACUUCUGAGUUGUUGGUAUGCUUGAAAUUGACAAAGGCACUUUUGUUGCCUGUCAUGUGAUUACUACAUCCGCUAUCAAGAUACCAUUUUUCUGCACACACGUUUCCUUCCCUGGCAGCUGCAUAUGCAAGUAGAACCACAUUAUCAUUUUCCCUUUCAGAAGCUUUUUCAUGCACAAAGCUUGAUUCGGCUCCUCCAUUUGUUUUGUUUUUGCAUGUUGACUUGAUGUGCCCAUAUUGCUUGCAAUUGUAGCACUGAAUAUUAGAAAGAGAGGAACCUUGUUCUCUUCCUCUUCCUCUUGAAUAACCACCAUAAUCUCCUCUUCCUCUUGGAUAACCAUAAUCUCCUCUUCUUCUUGAAUAACCAUAAUCUCGUGCAGAGCCUUCAUCAUUAGUUUUUUUUAGGUCAUUUGCAUAGCCACGUCCUUGAUUAUUUCUUCCUCGUCCACGAGUAAAGCCGCCUCUUCCUCUUCUAGAACUUCCUCUGAAUGAGACUUGAGAUUGAAAAGCUUGCUCAACAGGGCCAGAGUCAAACUGCUUCAGUCGUAACUCAUGGGAUUGAAGAGAACCCAUUAAACUGUCAAGAGACAAAGUAGACAGAUCUUUGGAUUCUUCAAUUGCCACCACAAUAUAUUCAAACUUUCGGGGACAUACUUCGAAGAAUUUUUUCAGCAACUCUCUGAUCUUCAAUUUUUUCUCCAUUAAUUCUCAGUUGGUUGACUAGAGAAAUGACACGAUUGAAAUAGUCUUCAACAGAUUCUGACUCCUUCAUACGUAACAUAUCAAACUCACCUCUUAGAGUUUGCAGUCUUGCCAUCUUCACUUUAUCUUCUCCUUUAUAUGAUGCAAAGAGAGUGUCCCACGCCUGUUUUGAUGUAAUGCAUGAUGAGAUUCUUUCAAAGAUAGCUUCAUCCACUGCUUGAAAGAUAAAGAAUAAAGCUUUUUUGUCCUUCUUACGUGUCUCCUUCAGCUCUGUGAGUUGUUGUUGAGUGAGGACUGCUUGAUCAUUUGGCUCCACAAAGCCAUUUUCAACCACCUCCCACAAAUCUUGAGCAGCAUACAACACCUUCAUUUGGAUGCUCCAUUGACUAUAAUUCUUCCCUGUAAACUUUGGAAGCUGGGGCUGUAACAAGUUGUUGUUUGAAGCCAUAUGAUUCUGAGUUUCCAGCUCUGAUACCACUUUGAUGGAAUAAAAGAAUGAUAUUAUUGGUGGUGGGUACGGUUAUGUGGAAGUAAUAAUGGGUAAGAGAAGAAACUUGUUCUCUUGUGAUAAUCAAAAGACAGAAAGUAGUGGGACACUAUUUUAGAUAUGAUAAUGUUCCUUCCUUGAUUGAUGCAAAUGAAGAGAAAAGGGUGGCUUUAUAUAAUAGCCACUACCGACCUAACACAUUAAAAACACAACUAACACCAAACAUAGUUAAUUCAACUAACUUCUACCACACCAUUAAUUUAACACACAACUACUAACAAACUGCCAACUAUUUCAAAGUUACCAGCUGACUAUUAAUGAAGUCUAGAUUACUUUAACAGUAUCGAAUCUAGCUUUAAUAUGUAUUGGGUCCUCUGGACAAGAAUUCUAUCCUUUUCGUCCUAACUAAUAUGUAGGGGAAAAACAAUACAUCAAUUAUCCUUUUCGUCCUAACUAAUAUGUAGGGGAAAAACAAUACAUCAAUUAUGAAUUUUUUUUAUCUGGGUUCGAAAUUAAAUAUGAAUGGAGUUUUGGAGGCUUAAAAGUUAUAAGCUCAAGAAAGGAAGGAAACUAUAUGUACAUUUGGGUCGGAGGCAAAGGUCCAGUCAUCUACCGUCCAGGAUAUACAGUAUCAAAAAAGGCUUAAGAAUUGUAAUAAGGUGACAUACGCCCACAUACGGCCAACGCUAGCAUAUUUCGUAAGUGUAUUAUAUGUCUUCUAAGUAUAUCAUAGUUAUGUGUCAAUUUUAGAUCCAAUUGCACACCCAAAAUACAGAAACAAAAUCAUUGAGAAUACACUUUUUUUCACUUAUAUUUUGAAUAUGCAUUGCCUGUAUUUCAUGUGUAUGAUAUAGGGGCUUCACUUAUAGUUUUUGCACAAAACCUCCCUUGAUGAAGGAUGUCUUAGAUUAAUGACAUCAAUGAUUUGUUACAUUUGGAGUACCCAACAUAACAGCUCUCUGAUUAACAAUAAAGUUAUAAAAUUUCAACAGUUUCAUACCUAACAAGCAUAGAGAAACAAAUAAAACAACCACAUUGCUUCGAUCACUGUACAUGCACACAGCUCACUUUCACUAACUACAGAGGCUAUAUUUUCUACAUAUACACUAACUUUUUCUUUCUCCAGCUCUCUUACACCACCAGGCUGGUGACAAACCCAGCUCGCGUCAUGUGGAGGACCAAAAGGAAAUGACAAGGAGAAAACGGCUAAGGAGAGACUUACUCUCAACACUUAGAAGGCAGAGCAGAGAUAACAGAGCACACUGCUUGUAUAAAAGUGAGUAUGAGGAGAAAAAUAGCGGUAGCAAUUGAAAUAGUUGCCCAAGGUGUGUUGCAAUAGUUUUGUCUCAAGUUUGCCUGCCAUUUGUGCCAAGACGUUCUGCAGUACUUGUUGAGGUCUGCACAAAGAAUAGCAAAAUAGAAGUCAUUAGAGUCCACAAUGACCCCAUCUGCAAGGUUGUUGAUCAGAGUAGACCCUCCACUACUGUCACCGAGCAUAUUUUCGACGAUUCCUUGCUUAACAACCAACUCCACAUCCGUUGCGGUGUUCACAAAGCGAUCCACGAUGACAACAUAAUUGUUUAUGUAAUUCUCCAUGCAAUGGCAUUGUUCAAAGGCAAGGAGGUUUCUGAUUGUAAGCUCUGUCUCAUCACUUAUUGCUAAUUUUGGAAUUUCUAGAAUCCCAUUAGCGAAUUGUAUGUCGAAUAAGUUUUUGGGUGAUCCCACCUUAAACUUGACUCCUGCUCUGUGUAACUCUGUGAUGCUGGAUGUGUUUAAGAGUUUCAAGUCGCCCCUUAGCAGGUGGUUUCAAUGGUAGAGGUAGAUACAAAUUUCUACAAAAAUCUACAAAGUGUUCUACUUUAGAAGUACAUAAUUUCUCCAUAUUGCCAUCCGUUCCCUCUAUGUGCAUUAGAGUUUUGAAGAAAUUGUGGCAAAGGUUAAGCAUCGAAAGCCUCUCAAUAUUGUUAUUGUUAGAAGAGACUUUGAUUUUUUCGGGGUCAAAAAGUUCCUCAAGAAUGAAGAAUGGCAGCUGAUUUUCAAACAACCGCAUGUCAGGCCAUACGUCUGGCAACAGCCAUGGUUUGUUAAAUAUGCGGUCAAUUUCAUCCUGCAAUUCAUCGAAACGAUACCUCAACAAGACCUCAAUGAUGAAGGCGGCAUCCACUAGAAUGAUUCUCACAAAUUCAUCACUGCUAACCUGAAUGGUUUCUGCAUAACAACUGCGCAGUUUUGCUUCUUGGUCUUUUACUUUCUGUACAUAAUCGGCUAGGCUUACCCUGGUCCGACGUAUAUAAUCUUGUAAGUACCUCUUUUUGUGAUCUUCCAUGGCUUUUAGGCCUUCCUCGCCAUGAUGAAGUGGGCCUAUAGAGACUACCUGAGGUGUGUAGGCCUUUUCACUCACACGCCGUAGUCGUUCAGGAACUCUAUAAAUGCAACACAAGGAGGAGAGGGAAGACAAGCCAUCCAACUCCUCACUCAUUGAAGUUACUAAUGGAAUGCAAGGGUUUUCAAUAUCAUGUGGAGCUUGAUCGCUUCCUUCCAUUUUCCGCUGAUGUGUUUGUUGUUGUCAAUCAUAAUGGAUGAUAAUGAAAUGAUAGUCACUGACACAACAAUAAACAAAUUUUUCAAGAUGGCUGAGAAAAUUAAUACAAACAUUGCAAUUAUAAGACCAAACACACAAAGACUUUUGAUCCUUGUAACUCUUACAUACCACACUAGUGCCUUAAGAAUUCGAUUUGAAUGCACCAAAUUCAUUCAAAACUCUUCUGGUCAACUCUGUUUCUUGUAAUUAUUCUUGGAAGAUUCUAAUACAUUUUUGAUUGAAAAAUUCCUACUAAUCAUGUGAAUCAGUACCAAAGUUUAUUUCAAAUUAACAUACAAACCCCACUUUUUUUUUCCUACAUAUAUACUUCUUUAUUUCCCCUCAACUUAUUGGAGCUUCUAAUAAAGCAAAUUCUUUCUGUGAUGAUAUCAGAUAGUAGAUUAUGCUUCCAGUCAAAACAUAGACAAACCAAAAUCCCAUUAGAAGAGAAGAAAAUAAUAUACGACAUUCACAUAACCUUCUGCUCAAUUCCAAUUUCCAACUACAAUGAAACAUAAGACACUUAAAAGCUUCAAGAAAUUGGAUGUGCAAGCAAACAUAGCGAAAUUAUGAAAGACAGAGAAAGGUGUUGGGCAUUGAAAACAUACCUGAUACGUAUUGAAACACAAUUUUUUUUUGCCUUUGGUAGAUGGAGUAGCUAGAAAAGCUCAAUGCACUUGCUCUUCUGCUACAUUUCAAUAUAAGAACAUUGUUUGGAAGUCCGGUCAAUUCCUCAAAGCUUCCUUGCCUUUGUUUUGACAUGCCGAUGCCCGUCUUGGGGAAGUUUGAAUAAUCCAUUGCAGGCCCCAUGAUAGGAUUUUUAGUACUUGUGCAAACAGUGUUAAAAAUCACAUAAAAUACUUGCAAGAAUACAAGGCUAUUGUAGUAUAGAUGCUCAUGCAAGGUCGUUUUCCUCAAGGACUAAUUAGCAAUUUAUGUAAAAACAAAUUCCAAUUACUACUUAAAAUAAAAAGUCAAGAAAGAUGAUUAUAAAUUUGGUGGAUUCUAAAAAACAAAUAUUAAACAAAAACAAAUACGAUUGAAAGAAAGAGUUUUGAAUAUCAAUUUAUAAAAACACUAGGGUUUCACCAUCACCUAGCAAUCCUAUGAACUUUUACCAAUUACUUAUGAUUUGCACAUGCCACUUUGAAGGUUAGGUUUUCCUAAUGUAUAUUCUACUUGGAACCUCCAACACAGAACGUAUAUCCAACAUGCAACCCGUCCGGACGUUCGGAUCAAAUCUGAACAUGAAAGACUCAUUAAGUUUUGUGAAAACCCUUUGAAAAACCAUGCAACCCUUAAGACGUGGUGUUCAUCUUAAGUGAAAUUACAAUUAUUAAUCACAAGAAGCUAGCAUAAAUUUCAGGGAACCUUCCGACCAAAAUUGCAUCCAAUUACUUUUCUAAAGAUCCUAAUGGUGAUCAGGCAUUAAGACAAUUAGAUAGUUUAAAAUAGUGAUUAACAAUUCAAAAUACGCAUGCACUCAUCAUAAGCAAUUAAAUAAAAAUCACAUAUUCAUGCUAAGGUUCAAGGCUUCACCCUAGCAAAAGAAAUUUAGUUACGCAUACUCAUAAUUGAAAUCCAAGAAAAUAUCAUUAAGAAGAAAAGAACGAAAACACCUGAAAGUUGUGAAAACCCAAAACCCUAGCAAUUGCUCUCUACAAUGCAAAGUUCAAAAAUAAUUAAGAAGUCCUAAAUUCCUUGUGAGAAAGAGCUUAAAUAUCCCUUAAAACCUAGCUGCCAAUGUACAGCUUUUCUAUCCCUACAAGGAAACUAAUUAAAGUAAAAUAAUACUAGGAAAUAAAGUCCAAAUUGGAAUAGGAGAAUUUGCCCAAAAUCAGCCCAGCCACGUUUUGGCCCCAAAUCUCCUCCAAAUCUGGCCCAAGAUAGCUUUUUUUAAAGACACUACUACAAAAAGUGAAAAAGACGACCAGAAAACAACGACGGUCUAAGUGAAAACCGUCGUGGUUUUUAAAAAGACGACGGUUCUAAAAACACCGUCGUGUAAUACCACCUUAGACAACUAAAAAAUGGAGAUUCAAAUGGCUGUUCAAAAACAACGACGUACCUAAUUAAACAACCGACGUCUAUUUGAAACAGAUUUCCGCAGUGUAAAAUCAAAGCAAACAAAGAACGGCAGAAGUUAUGAAUAGACCGACGUAGAAAGUAAAGACGACGAUUUCAAUAAAAGCCGCCGUUUUUACUCAUAAAAUAACACGACGAGGUUUUCGUAUAAGACGCCGUAUAAUUACAAACAAAUCCACGGCUUUAAAAUACAAAAUAAUCUUAACAGAUGACACAGAUUUGCAAUCAGAGAGACAAUUUUUUGGAAGUUGAUCAACGUCGUUGAAAAUUUGCAAUCAGAGAGACAAUUUUCAACGACGGUUAUAUUAUACCUAACGACGUUUAAAAACAAAUCAACGUCGCUCAACAAAUAUAUUACGUCGUCUUAGUCUUACUUAAGACGACGAAAAACGACGACAGUAGUAAAAAAACAGUCGUUGUUUUUAUAUUCUUAUUUUAUUUAAAUCUGUCGUGUUAGUUAAAAACGACGGCAUAACAAAAAACCGUCGUUUUGUUUCAAACUGAAUUAAUUUAAAAUUUCUUCAGGAAAGCAAAAUCUAUUUAUAAUUUCCUCGGGUUAGUAAUAUUGUGUCGUGUUAGUUUACAAAUUCUAGAACAUUAAUUUCCCUCAUUUUAAAUUUUCUCGGGAAAGAAAAAUCUAUUUAUCACGCUUUGUAAUUGAAAACUAAAACUGAAAGAAUUCUGGAAAAAAAACUCUAUUUAUAAUUUAAAAAUAAAAUGCACGUCGGUUGUAGUACACUUAACGACGUUUAACAAAAUAAUCUACGUCGGUAAUUAUAAAUCUACCGCCAUCUUACCCUAAUAUAGACGACGAGAAAAGACGACGGUAGAACAGAAAACCGCCGUUGUUUCAGUUUCUUUAACAGUUUGGUCCUUUAUCUUUCUGCAGGACUUGUAUAGUUCAAAGCAUUGACAAUGUCUUCAUCAUAUCUCCCAGCAACUACUGAUUCGAUUGCUCAUGCUUUAGAGGCCAUCUGAAGCCAUUUCUAUUCUUUAUCGCAUUCUUGAAACCCAUCUUCUUCUUCUGAAGCUCUACGGAUAAAGGAANNNNNNNNNNNNNNNNNNNNNNNNNNNNNNNNNNNNNNNNNNNNNNNNNNNNNNNNNNNNNNNNNNNNNNNNNNNNNNNNNNNNNNNNNNNNNNNNNNNNNNNNNNNNNNNNNNNNNNNNNNNNNNNNNNNNNNNNNNNNNNNNNNNNNNNNNNNNNNNUUUUUUUUGGGGUUGGUUUUUUAUAGUAACCAGUUAUAACAGUAGUGGUUGUGCAAUGUUUGGUUCCCUUAAGCUUCGAUCCAACCGUGUAGCCAGCUUUAGGUCAAUGUCUCCCAAACCACUCGGGUUUUAGGGCACUAGGUGUAGAACACCCCUAAGGACUUAUUAACUCAAGCUGAAAAGGCUACGAAACCAACUAACCACCCUGCCUCAUGCCAAAACUCUACCUUUUGUCUCGAAAAUCACUGCUGAUUAGGCAGGACUGGCCCGGUUACUAGCAAAGCUUCGGGUGAGGCAAUUAUUACUUUAUAACACAUACUAACUUUAUUUAAAUUGAACAGAAAUUAAAACACACUUGGACAAAAAGUAAGUAUUCCAAUCUCACUCCCCAAAAACCAUAUUGGUGUGAUGUGCAAAUUUCAAAGUAUAAUUCAUGAAUUAGUGUCUAAGCAACAAUAAAUAGAAAAGACUCUACUGUGGGAUUGAUUUUCACUAUGUCCAUUUAUUCUAACGUUUAAAAUAAUCUAUGGAUAUUGACUGAAAAACGAAAAUUUUAAACAAGACUUAAAAAAAACUAAAAAUCUAAAAUUUACUUUCCCACCCCCUAACUUAAAUCACACAUUGUCCUCAAGGUGUGGUAAAUAAUCAAAAGAAACAAGAGCAGAAACAAAACGACUAAAUCCUAGAAAAUGAAAAUCAAAAAUAAAGAAAAUACUCUAAGAAAAGAAACUAGGAAGGAAAAAUAGAAGAAUAAUAAAAUAAAAUAAAAUAAGAAAGAAAAGGAGAAAAACAACAAUAGAAAAGAAAUAGGAAAGAAAAUACCCAAAAAUGAGACACCUUGGGGAUUCAAAGGCAGGACCAGGCGGAGUGUUGCGAAAAAGCGCUGACCAACUCAACCACGUCCACACUGGCAUCAAAUAGGAGCGACAGCUACAAUAUAACCUGCUGUAGCUGCUGCAUCUGUCAUUUGAAAAAUAUUGGAUUCCCUUCUCCUACCCCGAGCUCAGAGCCGAAAGGCUCUCUUCUGUCCAUUCCCAUUUUGCAGAAGAAAAAAGAAUAUUGCUGGAUAAACCAAAGCCUCCGCUGUGUCCAGAGAAUCAGAAAAGGUCUCUGAUUUCUCUCUUCUCAAGGCCAUCCAUCUCCGCCUUCACUCUUCUUCAUUCUCUCCAACACUCACGAUCCUUUCCUCUCUUUCAACCCAAUUACACCAGCGUUUUCAUCUGCGUGAGGAGGCCACAUUUGCAGCAAACACAACCAGUGAGGUUGAAUUAUCUGAUGCACCUGAAUUUUUGGAUGGUUUUGGAGUCCCUAGAUUCCUCAAAUUCAGAUCUGUCUCCAUCCAUGUCACCAGAUGCUAACUUGUUCCAAGAUGAAAACAAGCUGAAGCCGAACAAGAGUCUAUUCUCCACCAGUAAGGACCCCAGAUCUGUGCAUCCCGUAGGUAAACUUUCGAACCCCAGAACUGGUUUUUUUUUUUUUUUUUUUCCGUUUUUUUUUUGUUUUGAAAAUAAAAGAAGUAAAGAGUUUAGAAAAAUUGGGUUGCCUCCCAAUAAGCGCGCUAUUUUAAGUCUGUAGCUAGACUUUGCAGAAGCCUGGUGGUCAAAUCACUGGUUCCUUCAGAGUCAAAGACUCGGCUGCAAUGUCAAAGGGUGUCUCCACGUAGGGUUUUAGCCUAUGACCAUUCACCUUGAACGUGUUGCCUUUAUCUUCAUUAGUGAUUUGAACUGCUCCAUGAGGAAAAACUUGAGUCACUAGGUAGGGUCCAGUCCAGCGAGAUUUUAAUUUCCCUGGAAACAACUUGAGCCUUGAACUAAAUAACAGAACCUUUUGCCCUGGCUGAAAUUCCUUCCGUAAAAUUUGACUGUCAUGAAAUGCCUUAGUUCUUUCCUUGUAGAUGCGAGAACUAUCAUAAGCACCUUGACGAAUUUCCUCUAGCUCAUUUAACUGCAAUUUCCGCUUUUCCCCAGCUGAGUCAUAUGCAAAAUUUAACUCUUUAAUGGCCCAGUAAGCUUUAUGCUCCAGCUCCAUAGGUAGAUGACAGGCUUUCCCAUAAACAAGUCGGAAUGGUGACAUCCCAAUAGGAGUUUUAUAAGCUGUCCUGUAUGCCCACAAAGCAUCAUUUAGUUUGAAACUCCAAUCCUUGCGUGUAGAGCUCACUGUUUUCUCCAAAAUACGCUUUAUUUCUCUGUUUGAAACUUCAACUUGACCAGAUGUCUGUGGGUGGUAUGGUGUAGCCACGCGAUGAUUAAUCCCGUAUUUUGCCAGUAGGUUAGCAAAUGGUUUAUUAAUAAAAUGCUUCCCCCCAUCACUAAGAAUAACACGCGGUAUUCCAAAACGUGGAAAUAUAACCCCCUGGAGGAACUUCAGGACCACUGAUCCUUGAUUAGUUGGUGCUGCAAUGGCCUCGACCCAUUUUGAAACAUAUUCCACAGCCACUAAAAUAUAUUGGUGCCCAUUAGAAGAUGGGAAUGGCCCCAUGAAAUCAAUACCCCAAACAUCAAAUAGUUCAACAAUUAGGAUACUUUGUUGGGGCAUUUCAUUCCUUCUGGAUUGAUUGCCGACCCUUUGACACCGAUCACAUGCCUUGCACCAAUUCUGUGAAUCUCUAAAAAGUGUUGGCCAAAAUAACCCACUCUGUAGGAUUUUCUCUGCUGUCCUUUUCUGCGCAAAAUGUCCUCCUCAAGCAUAGUGAUGAGCAAACUUUAAAACACUUUCUUGUUCAGCCUCCGGAAUACACCUGCGAAUAAUCUGGUCUGCACAAUACUUGUAUAAGUACGGUUCAUCCCAGAAAUAGUGCUUUACAUCAGAUAAAAACUUCUUUUUCUGCUGGUAGGAAAAAUCUGGAUGCACCACACCCUUAGCCAAAUAAUUGACAAUAUCUGCAAACCAAGGUGUGUCAAUUUUGACAGCAAAUAGCUGUUCAUCUGGGAAACUUUCACUCAAUGGUAGAGAAUCUGCCUCUGUAGCUGCUGGAAUAAUUAAUCUAGAUAAAUGAUCAGCCACAACAUUCUCACUGCCCUUCUUGUCUUUAAUCUCUAAGUCAAAUUCUUGAAGUAAGAGAACCCAACGAAUCAAUCUAGGCUUUGCAUCCUUCUUAGACAACAAGUAUUUUAGUGCAGCAUGAUCUGUAUAGACAAUUAUUUUAGCCCCAACCAAAUAAGACCGAAAUUUCUCUAGUGCGAACACAACUGCCAACAAUUCCUUCUCUGUAGUUGCAUAGUUAAGCUGUGCAUCAUUUAGAGUACGACUUGCAUAAUAGAUGACAUGGGGAAGCUUAUCUUUUCGCUGCCCUAAAACUGCCCCGACAGCAUAAUCUGACGCAUCACACAUUAGUUCAAAUGGUAAAUCCCAAUUUGGUGCAGCAAUGAUGGGUGCCGAAGUUAGGAGUGCUUUCAACUUGUUGAAUGCUUCUAAACAGGCCUUAUCAAAAUUAAAUGGUGCAUCCUUAGCCAAUAAAGUGCACAAAGGUCGACUAAUCUUGGAGAAAUCCUUGAUGAACCGACGAUAAAAACCUGCGUGUCCUAAGAAGGACCUCACACCUUUUACUGAUGUAGGAGGUGGCAGCUUUGCAAUAACUUCAAUCUUUGCCUUGUCAACCUCGAUGCCUUUGCUAGAAAUUGAAUGACCCAAGACAAUUCCCUGUUCAACCAUGAAAUGCCACUUUUCCCAGUUUAGCACUAAAUUUGUCGCUUGACAUCUCUGAAGAACUAAUGAUAAAUUCUGUAAGCAUUGAUCAUAUGAAUCCCCAAAAACAGAAAAAUCAUCCAUAAAAACUUCCACAAUAUUUUCGACCAAGCCAGAAAAAAUACUCAUCAUACAACGUUGAAACGUAGCAGGUGCAUCGCAUAAUCCGAAUGGCAUCCUCCGAUAAGCGUAAGUACCAAAUGGACAAGUGAAAGUAGUCUUCUCUUGAUCCUCUGGUGCUAUUGGAAUCUGAUUAUACCCAGAAUACCCAUCAAGAAAACAGUAAAAAGCCCGCCCAACCAACCUUUCUAACAUCUGGUCAAUAAAAGGCAAUGGAAAAUGGUCUUUUCUCGUCCCUGUGUUAAGCUUCCGAUAAUCUACACACAUUCUCCAACCCGUAGUCAAUCGUGUAGGAACUAACUCAUUAUUAUCAUUUUUCACCACUGUAAUACCGGUCCGUUUAGGCACAACUUGAGUCGGGCUAACCCAUUUACUGUCAGAAAUAGGAUAAAUCAUACCUGCAUCAAGUAAUUUCAUAACCUCUGUUCUAACCACCUCUUUCAUAAUUGGGUUAAGGCGGCGUUGAGCAUCAACUGUUAGCUUUACGUCGUCUUCCAUUAAUAUUCUGUGCAUACAUAGUGCUGGGCUGAUUCCCUUGAUAUCCGCAAUUGUCCAUCCCAAUGCAUCUUGAUAUUUUCUCAAUACACGAAGCAAUUUAUCCUCCUCUGUCGGUGUUAAAUCUGCUGCAAUUAUAACUGGCAACGUCUCUGCAGCUCCUAAAUAUGCAUAUUUAAGAUGUUGUGGUAAAGGCUUCAGCUCCAAUUUUGGCGGCUGCUGUCUGGAUGGUUUAAGGGGCUGUUUGGGCUCCCCUAAACUCUCAUACACAUUCCUAAAUUUUGGCAACACUGUGGGCAGACUGUUCAAUGCGUGUAUGUACUCAUGAACACCUUCAUCUUCAAAAUCUGUCUCAAAUGCCCCCUGUAAAACAUGCAACAACUGAUCUGUUUUUGAAUUAGCAUAAAAUCUGUCCUGCACCAUACUGUCUACCAUGUCAAUACGCAUACAAUCUAGCUGUUCAGCAGGACGUUUUGUUGCCGCAAACAAAUUAAACACCACAGAUUGGUCCUGAACCCGUAAAGUCAAUGUUCCAGCUUCCACAUCAAUUAAGGUCCUAGCUGUUGCCAUAAACGGCCUCCCCAAAAUAAUAGGUGUUUGAAGGUCUUCAUCCAUGUCUAAAACCACAAAAUCUGCCGGUAGAUAAAGAUUAUCAACCUUAAUAAUUAGAUCUUCAAUAACACCUCUUGGAUAAGUGAUUGAACGGUCAGCUAGUUGAAGUAUAAUUGAUAUAGGCUUUAAAUCUCCUUGCCCCAAUCGCUGAAAAACAGAAAAAGGCAUCAAAUUAAUACUUGCACCCAAAUCAAUUAAAGCACUCUUAAAAUUAGAAUUUCCAAUAGUGCAAGAAAUAUUAAAACUCCCUGGAUCUUUUUUCUUAGGUGGUAGUUUGUGUAGCAAAACUGCAUUGCACUGUUCUGUCAAAAUAACUUUUUCCAAAUCUGAAAGCUUCUUUUUGCUGCUGCAAACUUCCUUCAAAAAUUUGGCAUAUGAUGGAAUUUUCUUGAUUGCAUCCAGUAAGGGAAUGUUGAUUUGAACCUUGGAUAAUGUCUGCAUAAAGUCCUUGAGUUGCUGAUCUUUUACUUUUGGCUUCAAACGUUCUGGAUAUGGAAUUGGGGCCUCAUAAACACGCUCAGGUACUUGUUUUGGAACAGUUUCUAGAUCUGCCAUAUUAUGUUUUUCUACAGGUUUGGCAGGUUCUGCUGCUGCAAAAUUUUCUGUAUGAUCCUCCACUGCAUGCUGCUCCUUUUCAAUGUUAUUUUCACGAUUGUCAUAGCUUUUUCCACAUCGUAAAGUCCGAACAACUUUGCAAUCUUCACGUCCAUUUGGAUUAGGAAUUGUUUGACUAGGAAAUUUGCCCUUUUAUCUGUCUGAAAUCUGUGUAGCUAGUUGUCCAAAUUGUUGCUCCAAACUUUUAAUAGAUGCUUCAACAUUUUGAAAUCUUUGAUUGUUGCCCUCGAUGAAUGAUUGAGUUGUUGCUGCCAGUUUAGCAAGUUGAUCUUCCAUAGAUGGUUUGGAGGGAACAAAAGGUUUUUGUGCAUGCUGGAAUGGUUUGGCAUUAGUCUGAUUGUCACCCCAUUUGAAAUUAGGGUGAUCCCUCCAUCCAGGAUUGUAAUGAGUUGCAUAUGCAUCAUUCCUAGGCCUUUGAUAGCUGUUCAUCAUAUUGACAUGUUGUUCAACAAGCUCUGGGUAAGAGUCUCUAUGUGGGCAGCCCAUUAUGUCAUGUGUAGCCAUACUGCAUAUAGUGCAAACUGUUGAUGUAGGUGGCUGCUGUGUAGAACUUGCUAUAUGUUGUAGAAGCAUAUCAAACUUUGCAUCAAUUUUCUUAUCCAUUUUUUCCAUUUGUGCAGACAUGUUGGGAGAACCUACUGAUAACUCAAAAAUGCCCCUUUUCUGUGAAUGUUCUGCUGCCCAUUGCUGAGAUUCUGUAGCCAUCAUAUCAAACAGUUCAAAUGCCUCUCUUGCAGAUUUAUUUGAUAAUGAUCCUCCAGCUGAUGCAUUCACAUGGCUCUUAGAUGUAGGAUUAAGCCCAUCAAAGAAAAUAUUCAUUUGUGUAUCUGAAUCAAUUUUAACAUGUGGACACUUUAUGUACAUCUUUGUAUAUCUCUCCCACGCUUCAUGAAACUCUUCAUUAGGCUUCUGUGUGAAUGUCAAAAUCUCCCUCUUGUAAUUCAAUGUCUUGGAUGCUGGAUAAUAUUUGUUCAGGAAUUUUGUGUGUAACUGCUGCCAAGUAGUAAUGCUAUUAGCUGGUAGAGUGAAUAACCAAGUUUCUGCCUUGUCCUUCAAAGUGAAAGGGAAAAGACGUAACUUAAUAGCCUCAGCAGAAAAACCCCUAAUCAAAAUAUUCUUGCAACCCACAAUAAAUUUUGCAAUAUGUAUGUUUGCAUCUUCAUUAGGCAAUCCCCGAAAAGUAGGUAGAAUUUCAAGCAUAUGGUGCCUGAUCUCGAACGAAUCACCCUCUUCUUGUUCAGGAUACACAAUGCAAUUGGGAACAUCAGUGGCACGGGCUUCCAAUGACUCCCUGAGUGGUCUACCUGCCGCAGGUAAUUCUAACGCCAUGUUACUCUCGUUUGCAAACAGAUCCUGCAGAAAAGUGCCCUGCAGUGAACAGUCCCAAGCCCAAGUAACUUCUCUCCGCUGUCUAUGCAGUGUGCGCUCUGGUUCUGGAUCAAAUUGUACAAUCUGUGUAGUUCCUGAUCUGGUCUGGACCAUGCAGUCUGCAAAAUCUGCAACAGAAACAAAAUUGUUCAAUUUCAAUUUUUUUUUUUGGACGAAAAUUAAAAAUAAAAUAAAAUGAAAUAAAUCAGAAAAAGGUUAAACAAAAAUUGUCUAAAAUAGUCCCCAGCAACGGCGCCAAUUUCUUGAUAGGAUUUUUAGUACUUGUGCAAACAGUGUUAAAAAUCACAUAAAAUACUUGCAAGAAUACAAGGCUAUUGUAGUAUAGAUGCUCAUGCAAGGUCGUUUUCCUCAAGGACUAAUUAGCAAUUUAUGUAAAAACAAAUUUCAAUUACUACUUAAAAUAAAAAGUCAAGAAAGAUGAUUAUAAAUUUGGUGGAUUCUAAAAAACAAAUAUUAAACAAAAACAAAUACGAUUGAAAGAAAGAGUUUUGAAUAUCAAUUUAUAAAACCACUAGGGUUUCACCAUCACCUAGCAAUCCUAUGAACUUUUACCAAUUACUUAUGAUUUGCACAUGCCACUUUGAAGGUUAGGUUUUCCUAUUGUAUAUUCUACUUGGAACCUCCAACACAGAACGUAUAUCCAACAUGCAACCCGUCCGGACGUUCGGAUCAAAUCUGAACAUGAAAGACUCAUUAAGUUUUGUGAAAACCCUUUGAAAAACCAUGCAACCCUUAAGACGUGGUGUUCAUCUUAAGUGAAAUUACAAUUAUUAAUCACAAGAAGCUAGCAUAAAUUUCAGGGAACCUUCCGACCAAAAUUGCAUCCAAUUACUUUUCUAAAGAUCCUAAUGGUGAUCAGGCAUUAAGACAAUUAGAUAGUUUAAAAUAGUGAUUAACAAUUCAAAAUACGCAUGCACUCAUCAUAAGCAAUUAAAUAAAAAUCACAUAUUCAUGCUAAGGUUCAAGGCUUCACCCUAGCAAAAGAAAUUUAGUUACGCAUACUCAUAAUUGAAAUCCAAGAAAAUAUCAUUAAGAAGAAAAGAACGAAAACACCUGAAAGUUGUGAAAACCCAAAACCCUAGCAAUUGCUCUCUACAAUGCAAAGUUCAAAAAUAAUUAAGAAGUCCUAAAUUCCUUGUGAGAAAGAGCUUAAAUAUCCCUUAAAACCUAGCUGCCAAUGUACAGCUUUUCUAUCCCUACAAGGAAACUAAUUAAAGUAAAAUAAUACUAGGAAAUAAAGUCCAAAUUGGAAUAGGAGAAUUUGCCCAAAAUCAGCCCAGCCACGUUUUGGCCCCAAAUCUCCUCCAAAUCUGGCCCAAGAUAGCUUUUUUUAAAGACACUACUACAAAAAGUGAAAAAGACGACCAGAAAACAACGACGGUCUAAGUGAAAACCGUCGUGGUUUUUAAAAAGACGACGGUUCUAAAAACACCGUCGUGUAAUACCACCUUAGACAACUAAAAAAUGGAGAUUCAAAUGGCUGUUCAAAAACAACGACGUACCUAAUUAAACAACCGACGUCUAUUUGAAACAGAUUUCCGCAGUGUAAAAUCAAAGCAAACAAAGAACGGCAGAAGUUAUGAAUAGACCGACGUAGAAAGUAAAGACGACGAUUUCAAUAAAAGCCGCCGUUUUUACUCAUAAAAUAACACGACGAGGUUUUCGUAUAAGACGCCGUAUAAUUACAAACAAAUCCACGGCUUUAAAAUACAAAAAUAAUCUUAACAGAUGACACAGAUUUGCAAUCAGAAGAGACAAUUUUUGAAGUUGAUCAACGUCGUUGAAAAUUGCAAUCAGAAGAGACAUUUUCAACGACGGNNNNNNNNNNNNNNNNNNNNNNNNNNNNNNNNNNNNNNNNNNNNNNNNNNNNNNNNNNNNNNNNNNNNNNNNNNNNNNNNNNNNNNNNNNNNNNNNNNNNGGAAGUUGAUCAACGUCGUUGAAAAUUUGCAAUCAGAGAGACAAUUUUCAACGACGGUUAUAUUAUACCUAACGACGUUUAAAAACAAAUCAACGUCGCUCAACAAAUAUAUUACGUCGUCUUAGUCUUACUUAAGACGACGAAAAACGACGACAGUAGUAAAAAAACAGUCGUUGUUUUUAUAUUCUUAUUUUAUUUAAAUCUGUCGUGUUAGUUAAAAACGACGGCAUAACAAAAAACCGUCGUUUUGUUUCAAACUGAAUUAAUUUAAAAUUUCUUCAGGAAAGCAAAAUCUAUUUAUAAUUUCCUCGGGUUAGUAAUAUUGUGUCGUGUUAGUUUACAAAUUCUAGAACAUUAAUUUCCCUCAUUUUAAAUUUUCUCGGGAAAGAAAAAUCUAUUUAUCACGCUUUGUAAUUGAAAACUAAAACUGAAAGAAUUCUGGAAAAAAAACUCUAUUUAUAAUUUAAAAAUAAAAUGCACGUCGGUUGUAGUACACUUAACGACGUUUAACAAAAUAAUCUACGUCGGUAAUUAUAAAUCUACCGCCAUCUUACCCUAAUAUAGACGACGAGAAAAGACGACGGUAGAACAGAAAACCGCCGUUGUUUCAGUUUCUUUAACAGUUUGGUCCUUUAUCUUUCUGCAGGACUUGUAUAGUUCAAAGCAUUGACAAUGUCUUCAUCAUAUCUCCCAGCAACUACUGAUUCGAUUGCUCAUGCUUUAGAGGCCAUCUGAAGCCAUUUCUAUUCUUUAUCGCAUUCUUGAAACCCAUCUUCUUCUUCUGAAGCUCUACGGAUAAAGGAAGAGGCUAUCACAAAUCUGACGGAUCUUCUUAGUCAAAAAAAUCAAGCAGAGGAUCAGGCACAUCUGAUCUUCAGAUUUCCCUGAGAAGCGAACUUUCCUUCGACAGCGAGUGGAGGCCAGGCUUGCAUCUCUUUUGAUGGAAAGCAAGGAGUAUUCAGAAGCACUAAGUGUCCUAUCAGGCUUGAUCAAGGAAGUGAGAAGGCUAGUUGACAAGCUUCUUCUUGUCAACUAGCCUAAAUGUAAGCUCAAUUUCUCUUUGAGAAAGACCUCCAAAUUAUUGUCUUUGAGAUGUGAGAGACAGUGUCUCUGAGAGAGGAAGAACUUGGAACCCUAAAUGUAAACCGCGAAAAUGAAUGAAAGCGACAAAUUUAUAGAAUAAAUUUUUAAAACCAACGGCGGUACUUACCAAGAAACCGCCGUUUCAAUUGUAAAAUCAACGUCGGUAUUACUGACGUAUAUUACAGAACUCCACGUCGGUACAUUAAUAAUCACGACGUCUUAAAUAAUCUACCAUGACGCGAGUUAUUACUUAUGUACUUUAAUUUUUGAGUUUACUACGACGGUACCUACAACACUACUGUCGUAUUUAUUUACCACGUCCGAAGUUAAAUUUACCGACGUAUUUUGUACUUUAUACGUCGUAGUUAUAUGUAACCGCCGUAUUAUUUUUUUGAAAUGGUUUUAUAUGUAAGCAACUUUUCGUCUACUUGACUUACACAUUAGUUGUUUUUAUAUUCUUAUUUUAUUUAAAUCUGUCAUCCAAAAAAGAAACUUUACAUAUUGCAGAAUAUUAAUUUCCUUCGUUUUAAAUUUCCUCCGGAAAAAAAACUCUAUUUAUAACGCACUGUAAUUGAAAAAUAAACUGAAAGGUCACGGGAAAAAAAAUUCUAUUCAUAAUUUAAAAAUUAAAAUCCACGUCGGUUAUAUUAAACCUAACGACGUUAAAUGAAAUGAUUCCACGUCGAACGAAAAAUAUUUCGUCGUGUUAGUUAAAAACGACGUAGUUAAAUGUAACCGCCGUAUUAUUUUUUUGAAAUGGUUUUAUAUGUAAGCAACUUUUGGACUUACACAUGCACUGUUUCCAAACCCGAUUAAAAAUUUCAAUCUCCAGAGAAACCUUUUCGUCUUUUUUCCUUGUCAGAGCAUUAUCAGAGUUUCUCAUCGUCUUCCUCUCGUCUUCUUCGUCGUCCUUGAACUUAAACAUCGAUCAUCUUCCUCUUGCUUUCAUUGCACGCAAAAGGUAAGCUUUCAUUUUCACUAUUUUGGUUACUGUUUUGCAUGCUCAUACGUUUUUUGUUUGAAAAAUCUUUUUACCUUUUUUCUGGCCAAAAUCAUUUUACUUCUUUCCAAGUUUGAUAAAAUAUACAGACAAAAAGGGAAAGUUUCCAACUUUGAAGACAACUACCUCAACUAAAUGAGACGACGGUAGACCACGACGGUUCGUCAGUUGUUCUAGCGUCGUCUGAAAAUUGACAAAGUUGUUUUUAAAAUAAUAGUCUUUUUUUAUAUGCUUGUUUAAUUGCAGGUUUGAUUUCUCUGAACAAUGGUUUUUGUUUUUCCCUUAUUUGAUAAAAUAUAAAGAAAAAGAAACUAGGGUUGGUAUCUAAUAUAGACGACAAAAUAUCUUAUUGUUUUACGUCGUGUGAAUGUUAAUACCACGACGGUGUAUUACUAUUAACGUCGUAUGAACAUAAAUACCACGACGUUAUAUAAAUAAUAGUUUACCACGACGGUGUAUUACUAUUGACGUCGUGUGAACAUAUAUACCACGACGUUAUAUAAAUAAUGGUUUUAAACAUUUAUUACGUCUGAGAUUAUUUCAUUGCGUCGUCUAAAAUCAUAUCAUACGUCGUAUUUUUUUAAUACCGUCGUUUGUGUUCUUAAUGUUUUCCUGAAAUAUUUUCACUUGCAGUUUUGUCUGUUAAAAUGGUUUCUCAACAACAAACUAAGGAUUCUGGCUCCAAGAAGCUUGGAAUGGUAGCUCCUCAAGACAAGUCUUCGAAGGAGAUGAAGUCUUCGAAGAAGAUGAAGUUUGCUUCAUCAUCUGCUGAGACAGAACCAACCAGCCAGACAACAAUCUCUGAUGAUUCAAAGACUGGUCGAGGCAUGAGCACAAUGCCUCGUGUUGUGAAGAGAAAGCUUCAGAAACUGAGGCCAAUUGUUGAGUACAAUAAAAGGGGGAAAGGUGUUGGCCAAGCACAUAUUGAGAUGCAGUCGUAUAUUGGUGUGUUGGCACGCUCCAGGAUCCCACUUGUGGACAAGAAAUGGUCCCAAAUCCCCAAGGAUAUAAAGGAGCAGAUUUGGGAAGCAGUUGACAUGGCUUUUGUCGUAGGCCAAGGGGGCAAGACCUCUGUUUUAGCUUCUGCUUCCAAGAAAUGGAAGGAUUUCAAGUCUACACUAACGAGGCAUUAUAUCCUUCCAUACACCAAUGACAGGGAGAAAUUAAGCCAACCCCCUGAAACAUAUAAAUUCAUAGAGAAAGCACAAUGGGAUGCCUUUGUAGCUUCAAGGCUAUCCAAAGAUUUUGAGUCUGUGCAUUCUCAACAUGCACAGAUUAGGGAGAAACUCGAGUACAAUCAUCGAUUGUCUCGAAAAGGAUAUGCUGGAUUGGAGGAUCAAUUGGAGGAAACCAUGCCUGGGGUAGAAAUUGAUCGAUCUACCUUAUGGAAGAGAGCUAGACAGGACAAACAUGGUAACAUCCCUGAUCCAAAGGUGGCAGAGAAAGCAAAAUUAAUUGUAAGCCUACUAUCACUCUGUUUUAAAUUUUUAUUAAACUGUGAAUUAUUCUUAUUACGUCGUAUGUUAUAUUUUUCGUCGUGUGAAUGAUAUUACCACGUCGAAAAGUUUUUAAAAACGUCGUUAAAGGUCUAAAUAGGAAUCACUACUAAUUUUCUGUAAUUAUAGCAUAAGACGUCGGUGGUUCAUUUUCGCGUCGUUUGAAUGAUAUUACCACGUCGAAACUUUUUUAAAAACGUCAUUAACGGUCUAAAUAGGAAUCACUACUCUGUUUUCUUUAAUUAUAGCAUAAGACGUCGGUUGUUUAUUCAUUUCGUCGUUUUAAAUAAAUAACCACGUCGGUAUAACUACCGUCGUGAUAAGUUAUAAUAACGUCGGUUUAUACGUUAUUGCGUCGUGUGAAAUUAUAUAAUACGUCGUUUGUACAUAAAUAACCGUCGUGUGUUUUUUUGUUUAUCUUUGUUUUAGGAUGAAUUGCAGAAACAAGUCUCGGAAGGCAAAGUCAGAGUAGAUGGCAGCAAUGAUGUGCUGACCAUGGCUUUGGGCCCCGAGCAUCCAGGCAGAGUGAGGGGAGUUGGUGCUGGUGUUUCCCCAAGGCAAUAUUUCAAUUUGCCCAAACCACAGAGGGUGAGCUUUGACGACCAUUUGAAGGACAGUUUAAGAGUUCUCCUUCAAGAAGAGACUAAAAAGAUGGAGGCUAAGGCAAGGGAAGAGGCCUUAAGAAUGGAGGCUAGGACAAAACAAUUGGUAGAGGCUGAGAGGGAGCAUUUCCUGAGUCAGCUUUCCCAAUUAAUUCCCAAUUUUGAUCCAAGCAUGCUUAAACCAAGAAUUAGCCAAAGCCCCAAAAAUCCAAUGUCUGACAAAGCUAGCUGCUCUGGAGGUGAUGUGAGAUCCCUACAUUUGGAGGAUGAUACUGCCAAAAUGGGGAAACAUCAGCCAGAUGAAGAGAAGGAAGAAGAAAAAAGAGAUGAAGAGAAGGAAGAAGAAAAGGAGAAAGAAGAUGAAGAAAAGCAUGACGACAAGGUAUGUUCACAUAACUUUGCCUUUUUUAUUUGUUUUUCAAAAUUUCAGACGUCGAUAUUUUUAUUUAAUCCGUCGUUUGUUUAAAACUUAGACGGCGGACUUUUUUUAAGACGUAAUAAAAUAUUUAAACGACGGUUUUUGCACCGUCGUUUAAAUGGUUUCAGACGACGCUUUAUUCAUAAAAUCGUCGUCUUUAUUGAAUUACCACGACAGUUUUUUCACCGUCGUUUAAAUACUUUUAAGACGACGUUUUAUUCCUUAAACCGUCGUCUUUGUUGAAUUACCACGUCAUUUUUUUUAUUUCUUUAAACAGGUUAUUGAAGUUGGUGCUUAUUCAAAUAUGGAGGCGCCAUCUUCUUUAAAAACCCUUUGUCGUUUUGUGGAAACGACACUCCUGCCUGAGGAUAAGACACUCCAAUUUACAAUUGAUAAGGAGGUGUUUGGUGGUGAGCGCGAUACCUUCCUCCUGCCUGAAGAUAUUACACAAUUUGCAGGCAUGGAAGAAAUUGGAGCUACUGUAUUGGCUGUAUAUAUGAGGUUUGUACUUCUAAAAUAAUACCUCGUUGGUUUAUAUAUUGCGUCGUCUUAACUAACUAACCACGUCGUCUUAACUAACUACCGUCGUGAUAAAUAUAUUAUAACGUCCUCAUCUAUUUCAGUACGUCGUGUGAAAUAUUAUAAUACGUCGUUUUUUUAUACAUAACCGUCGUGUUUGUUUGUGCUGACUUGUUUAUAUUAUUUUAUGUAUUUAGGUACUUACACGAUGUUUUGAAACAAGCCAAUAUGUGCAGCAUGGUUGGCUUUAUCGACCCUGCUACAGUUAGUGCCAACUCUGGCACAAUAACUGAAAGAUCACGACUGGUAGCAGCUCGACUUCAGAAGACAGACGGUGAACAGAUUUUCAUGAUGCCUUACAAUCCAGGGUUAGUCUCCUUAGGAUUUUGUUUUUAUGAUUUUCAAUAAAUGACAGCUUAUAAACUAACCACGUCGGUGUUUUAUUUUAUUUAGUCGUUUGAAACUACUAACCACGUCGGUAUUUAUUUAUCGUCGUGAUAAAUAUAUAAUGUCGUCGUUAUCUACUUUAUUUCGUCGUGUGAAAUACUAUAAUACGUCGUUUUUGUAAAUAACCGUCGUUUUUAUAUUCAUUUUGUGCAGCCGUCAUUGGAUCUUGCUGAUUGUAAGAGCAAAGAAGGAGACCGUCUAUUUUCUGGAUCCUCUGCCAGGUCAUCGUGUGGUCGACGAAGAGGCGAAAAACAUCGUGAACAGUGCUUUAAAAAUAUAUAAUACCCACAUAGCCCGAGCACGACGUAAAAAUGUAAUUUGGAAAACUCUCUCAGGCACACCAAAGCAACCCAGCAAUGUCGAAUGCGGGUACUAUGUGAUGCGCUUCAUGAGGGACAUCAUCAUGGAUCCUUCCUUGGGGUUUGAGAAUAAGGUAAGAAGAAAUUACCUUCAUACAUUUCACGUCGUUUUUUGUAUUAUCAACGACGGUCAUGUAAAAUUAACGUCGUUGAAUGGAUAUACUACGUCGGUUAUGAAAAAUAUCGUCGUCUGUGAUUGAAUUUCUUUUUAUUUAUAAACCCUAAUAGUCAUUGUUUAUGCAGUAUGCCAAGGGAAACCAGGAAGCUUCAUACCCCCAAGAAGCCAUUGAUGAAGUCCGGAAUGAAUGGGCAGAGUUUGUUUUCCAAAUUAUUAAACAGGGCAAUUAUUGAACACUUGAUAUUUAUGUAUAAUGUACAAAUUUUCUCUAUAAUAUGUAAUGUAAAAAUUUGUUGAGGUUUUCUUAAAUUAAAAAAAAAACAAACAUACAAAUUGCUUAACCGACGUGUAAUACUUUUCCAACGACCUAAUAAAGUCAAAAACCGUCGUAUUUUGUUGUUUCGUGUUUUAAACAAAUACGACGUAAAAAUAUAGUUAGACGACGUUCUUUGAACAAUUGAGUCGUUUAUGGUUUACAACAUCUUCAAUUUCUUAAGGGUUCAGGGUAUCAUCGACGACGUUUAUGUAACGACAGCGGUUAAGUCGUGGAAUAUAUAUUUUACGUCGUAUAGUUAAAUAGCCGCCAUGGUUUCUCAUUUUAACGACGUCAUUUUAACGACUUAGUAGUCUAUUACAAUUUACAACGUCUACAAUUUAUUAACACCGACGUGGUUUGUUGUUGUGGUAAGAAUAUUUUAUUAUUUUUAUAUCAAAAUAUUCAAAAUAAAUUUAAAAUAAAUCAGAAAAUUGAAAAGUCAUCUCCUAUGAAGUCAUUGAUAUAUUUUCUUCCACAUAAACCUUGAAAAAAUUCAUUUUGAAUAACAAAAAUUUAAAAUGACCAUCCAAAACAAAAUUGUUUUGAUGAGUCAUAAAAUCACUUCUAGUUUUAUGGUUUAGGGUUUAGAGUCUAGGGUUUAGAGAUUAGGGUUGUUAUUUGUUGGGGUUUAUUUUUAAAGUAUAAUUUUUGGGUAGUCUAGGGUAUAUGUUAGGCUUUAAAACCAUAAAACCUUUUAUAAACUUAAUUUUUUAAAUUGUAUAAUUUAGUUUUAUGGGUUUAGGGUAUUAAUUUUUAACGACGGUGGUUGCGUCGUGGAAUACAUAUUUUACGUCGUACAGAAAAACAUACGACAUGGUUUACGCUUUAAACGACGUCAUUUUAAUAUGUAAGUCGGUUUAUAUAAUUUACAACGUCUUUAAUUUCUUAACACCGACGUGGUUUUUCAGUCGUCGUUAUAUAAAAAAUUCAAAAUAAAUUUAAAAUUAAUCCGAAAAAUGAAGCUUCAAAAUGAACGGCCUUACGUUCUUAAUCCGAAAAAUGAAGUUUCCGUCGUGGAAUAUUAAAUUUACGUCGGUACUUGUAGAACUUUCGCCUUGGUUUUUCUUUCGACGUUUUAAAACGCGCGAGCUCUAAAAAUUUUCGCGUGACCUAAAUUUUUUUAGAUUUGGCUCUUAUUCUUAUACUUCGAACCCUGAAACCUAAAAUUUUCAGAUUUCGCUCUCUCACUUCUGCUCUAAUUAAAAGUUGCACUCUCCAGGCUUCGUCGAAUCUGUGAGCUCGUCCAACCUGUAAGUACAAACCCUAUCUUCCCCUUGUAAAUUCAUUGAAUGAUAUUAGGUUGUUUUGUUAAAGGGUUUUAUGUGUAUGCUUUGCGAUCUGUUAAUAAUGUGCUUAUAGGUAUGGGUUCAUAGAUUUUCUGUUUAAUGGGUUCAUGGAUUACAUUAUCUGUUAUGUUGAAUUGGGAAUGGAUUUAAUUUUGUCGUAUCUUUUAAUCACCCUAUGUUAUGUUGAAUUGGGAAUGGAUUUAUUGUUUUCAUGCUUGGUUUCAUGUAUAUGUUGGUUUCUUGCUUGGUUUCAUAUAUAUGUUGUGUUCUUAAUGGGUUUUGUGUUCUUGAAAAUAAACUGAGACACGACAAAUUUUAAGGCAUACGACGACGAUUACACGACGGUUUUUUUAAACUACCGUCGUUGUAUUACUUAUACAAGACGGUUUUUUCAUAAACCGUCGUUUGUAUUACUUAUAAUAGACGACGUCUGUUGAAAAUCCGUCGUCUAUAUAUGCCAAAUACGUCUGUUUUUGUUUAAAACCCGUCAUCUCUGUUGUGUAUUACUUGCGAUUAGAUCAUUGUAUAAUCUGCUAUAGUGAUGGUCAUUGCCUGUAUUUUCACUUUAUUAUAGAUAAUAGGUUAUAGUGUCGGAGAUGGAUAAGUCAUGGAUGCACUCGGAUAGAAGAUCGAAGGCAUAUGAAUUUGGGGUGGAAGCAUUUUUGAACUUUGCUUGAGAAGUACUUUCCCCCUUCAUUCUUUGAUAUCAUGGUUCAUCUAGUAGUACAUCUUGUCAGAGAAGUUCGUCUAUGUGGGCCAGUAUAUUUUAGGUGGAUGUAUCCGUUUGAAAGAUAUAUGAAAGUGCUGAAGGGGUAUGUUCAGAAUCGUACUCGUCCCGAAGGUUGCAUUGCUGAGCGGUAUAUAGCUUAAGAAGCGGUAGAGUUUUGUACUCAGCAUUUAUCUGAUGUUAGUACAGUUGGAGUGCCUUCAAGCCAAAAGAUGGGACUUUCAAAGCCAUUAUCAGGUUGCACAGUGAGCGUAGUUGAUCAGGACCUGUUGAAUCAAGCACAUCUAUAUGUCUUGGAGAAUACGGAGGAAGUCCUACCUUAUAUCGAGUACGUAUGAGCUUUAUUCUUUAAGUUUCCAUUUUAAAUUAUUUCUUAUGUUUAUCUUCUAUAUUUGGGACCGUAAUGCUUGAAUUUUUCGUGUCAUGUAGGCAACAUAUGAUCCACAUCAAGAUUGCUUAUCCAAAAUUUAGAAAGAGAACAAAGUGGCUGCAGGAUAAGCACAAUAGCACUUUCAUUCAAUGGCUACGCUUCAAGGUAUAUGUUGUUGAAUAACAUAUUUCUCUUUUAAUUUUCUUCUUAUUUAUAUGUUAGAUUGAAUUAAGAUAUGAUUAAUUUGCAGGUUCAAAGUGAACUUGAGGAAGACAAUCAUGGCGUAUCAGAAAAUUUAAGGUGGCUAGCAGCUGGUCCAAACAUGUCAGUGCCAUUAUAUAGGAGCUAUCUUAUUAAAGGUAUUAAAUUCAAUAUCAAGGCACAAGAUGAUGUGCGGACAACUCAAAAUAGUGGAGUUUAUUUACUUGCACAUACCAUGCAAGUUGCUAGUGCCAAGGAUAAAAACCCAAUUCUCUCAAACAUGGGUUUCUAUGGUGUCAUUCAAGAAAUUUGGGACCUUGACUACCAAAAGUUUACAAUCCCAGUCUUUAGGUGUGAUUGGAUAGAUAGUUCUGGUCUUGUAGUCGACGAACUUGGAUUUACCCUUGUAGAUUUGAGUAAAAUUGGACAUAGGAAUGACCAAUUUGUUUUGGCUUCUCAAGUCAAACAAAUAUUUUUUGUUGACGACCCGAUGCAUCGUGGUUGGUCGGUAGUGUUAUCAAUGCCUAAUAGAGAAUAUAAUGAUGUUAUUGGUGAUGAAGUCUUAGGUGAUGUGAUAAUUGAGUGUGAGCCAUUUACUAGAGGGAUGCCAAAUGUUGACACAUUUGAUGAACUGGUGGGUGAGUUAGGCGGUCAAAAUAUUCGAGAUGGGUGUGAAGAUAUAUGGAUUGAAUGAUGCUUAUGUAAUUGGCAGUGUAUGACAUUAAUUUUGUAAUAUAUUGUAAUGUGAUUUCUUCACUUUCUACGUUCAAAUAAAACACGACGUUAUUGUGAACCAGUUAUUCAGCAUAUUUACCGACGUCUUAAAGCAACGUAACAAUGAAGAACCACGACGCUAUUGUGAAGCAAUUAUUCAGGAUAUCACGUCGGGGAAGGAUUAAGAACCGCCAUGUAAUUCAAAAUAACACGACUCCAAUCCCAUAAUACCGACGUCUAAAAAACGAGAUAUAUAAUCUGAACGUUAAAAAAUACGACGUCAUCAUACAUUUUCCACAUCGCAAGUUCUUUUAUAAACGAAGAGGAACGAAAUGAAUUCCGACGGAAAUUCAUUAUAACCGCCGUCUAAUAACAAUUAAACGACGUUAUUUGUAAUACGGCUCUCAUCAUAAUCAACGCCGUCUAUAUGUUCUGUAAUACGGCUCUCAUUUAUUUGGAACCGACGUUGUUUAGAAGUUCAACGUCGUCUAUAUUAUUAAGUGCGUCGUGAGUAAUGAUGAUAGAUAUAAAUACAACGUCGACUAUAUAAAUGCCACUGACGUUGUUUCGCAUUUCAACGUCAACUGUAUAAAUACAUACGUCGUAAAUAAUGACACUGACAACUAUUUCCACGUCAUCUUUUUUAGAAAAAUCGAAGUGGAAAAUUUAUUUCACGACGGUUGUUUGUAAAUAAGAGACGUAGUAUAUUUCAAUAACGUCGUCUUCUCAUGUAUUUAAAGACGUCAUAUUUUUUCUUGUCGUGUAAAUUAUAUUUAACGGCGUAGUAUUUUAGUUGUCGUCGUUGUAUGUAUAUCUUGCGGCCUUGUUCUUUUAACAUGUGUCAUAUUUUUCCUUUUUAACGACGGUGAUUUGUUUGAGUUGGUCGUCUAUUCUCAUCCUCGACUAUUUUCUAGAACUUUAGCAGACUAAACACGUCUGUUUUUAUUGUUUUCCGACGUUGUUUUAUUUAACAACGUCUAAUAUUUAUCGUCGUUGUUUGUUUCUGAAAAUAUGACGUAUAAAUUUUGUAAUACGACUCUCAUAUAUUUGUAACCGACGUUGUUUCGUUUUUCAACGUCUACUCUAUAAAUACAUACGUCGUAAAUAAUGACACUGACAACUAUUUUCACGUCAUCUUUUAUCGAAAAAUCGAAGUGGAAAAUUAAUUUUACGACGGCUGUUUUUAUAUAUGCGACGUAGUAGGUAUCAAUAACGUCGUCUUCUAAUGUAUUUAAAGACGUCAAAUUUUUUAUUGUCGUGAAAAUGAUAUUUAACGGCGUCGUAUUUUUAUUUUCGUCGUUGUAUGUCUAUCUUGCGGCCUUGUUCUCUUAAUAUGUGUCAUAUUUUUCCUUUUUAACGACGGUUUUUUUAGAGAGUUGGUCGUCUAUUCUCAUCCUCGACUGCUUUUUUAGAUCUUUUUGCAGUACAAAGACGUCGUUUUGUAUUUGUUGAUGACGUUGUAUAUUUUAACAACGACGGUGAUUUUGCGUCGUGGUUUAUGAGGGAAAAGAUGACGGUGGAUUCCACGACCAUUGAAAAACCGAAUACACGACGGUGAUUUACCGUCGUCUUUUUGCUUUUUUGUAGUAGUGAGAUAAAAAUGUUCUGAACACUUCUCUAGAAGGCCACGAACCCAUCCGAGGUCAUCUUGGGCUCCAAAAACACAAUAAAAGCCCAACACGUCACUAUUCCAGCACCGCGCACUGCUCAUUUAUUUUAUUGCCAGAAAAUAACCGCUUGGAAGAAAAAUCUGAAAUUUUGAUACGAUCAAGCUAAGUGACUCAAGAACGUCCUCCAACUGGAAUUACUCCAAAAUUCCUCAAUUUGAUUAUGUUUUGCUCCAGAGAGAGUCGAAAGUCCUAUAUUGGAAAUAUAAUUCAAAGUAUCAAAAUUCUUCCAAAAUAUUAACCAAAAUAUACUAAGAAUGAGGUUAAAUAUAUAAUAUAAAAUAUGUCCAUCACCCCACAACAACUAAAGAACCAACAUUUUGUAGAAGGUUUUGUCUAUACCUUUGACUGUAAGUAAAUCUCUUGUAUCUGCUCCUGUGGUUCGGUGAAGUUUCUUUGUGUCCUUUCUGCGGAGUCUCCCAUGCUUGUUCCAUGAAAAUGUUCUAGGAGAAAAUACGGUUGUUUCUUACUAGAUUCAAAUGAUUAAGAAAAAUAAAAACGCAAGAAAAAAGGUAUUUUCUUGAUGGACUUGGUGAUGAAAAAUAUCACUCUCUUUAUAUGUCGUCUUCCUUGGACUUUGAGACCUUGGGUUUCGAUUCUUCUUGAGGAUUGCAUAGGGUUUCUAGGCCCAAGAAUACUUUGAGUUAGUUUUUGCGUUUUGGGCUUUGAGACUUUGAGACUAUAAUGAGUGGAAAGUUAUAAGGGGUAAGUUAUAAGGGGGUCACUUUAUAGCCAUCAGAUUAAUCCAAGGGCUGGGGAGAAUUGAGAUAAAGUUUCACAAUUGGGUAGGUGAGGAACCCAAACCCGAAUUGAAUAUCCAGCACGUCCAAAAAGAAGAAGAAGAGGGAAACACGUCCGAAAAAGAAGAAGAAGAGGCAAGUUCGAAGUUUGAACAGAAAGAACUCAUCUCUCUAAAACACAGAGGUCUGAGAUACCCAAUGAAGGCAACGGCUAACGACAGUUGAAGGCAACAAUUCGCCACUCCGUUCUCCAGACCCCGAAAAAGUAUUUAUUUGGAGUAGAAGGGGCAAAGGUGUGGAUUCCAAAUCAGUGAAGGGGCGAAGCAGUGGAAGGGGAAGGGGAGAAGCUGUAUUCGUUGGAAGUGUAGGUUCCAUUUGUGGAGCAAAGAAAUAGAAAGACCCCACACAGACACCUUGCAAUAACCAGCAUUUGGUGAGUAAUUUAUGGAAUUUGAGUUUAGGGUUAGAGUAAUGGUUUUCCCCAAUUUGUACCAUAAAUUUUGUUGGAUUUGGCAUCUCUUCGUUGUGCUUCAGUUGCAUGUUAAUUUUUGCUUAGGUAUAUGUUAAAAAAGGAAUGAAAAUUAAGUCAAUAACAAGUGAAUAACAUGUCAAUAAUGAUAUGAAUAAGAUAAUGGUGUUGAAUUGGAGGAGGCCCUCAAAACCUUCCACAUUUGAAGCAGUGCAUAGUGCAGAUUAAGAAGAGGCGCUAGAAUAUAUAUAUAUAUUUUAUGAAGUAAAUAUGAUUUCCUUUGUUACUAAAUUUGCCUGAGAAACAUUUGAACAGAUAAUAAUAAACUCAUGAAUAGAACUGCAAAGCAUUUGAUGAGCAAUGUAAGGAAUUUAAGUUUAGGGUUAGAGUAAUGGCAUCUCUUAUUUGUGCUUCAAUUGCAUGUUAAUUUUUGCUUGGGUAUAUGUUAAAAAAUGAAUGAAAAUAAAGUCAAUCACAUGUCAAUAACAUCUCAAUAACAUGUCAAUAACAUGUCAGUAAUGAUAUGAAUAAGAUAAUUGUGUUAAAUUGGAGGAGGCGCUCAAAACCUUCACAUUUGAAGCAGUGCAGAGUGAAGAGUACCUCUCUGGCACUAGAAUUUAUAUAUUUUGUGAAAUAAAUAUUAUUUCAUUUGUUACUAAAUUUGCCUAUGAGAAAUGAGAACAGAUAAUAAUAAACUCAUGAAUAAAAGUGCAAAGCAUUUGAAAUGAAGGUUGAUCUAUGACGAUUGUGGGUGACUGAAGAAAAAGGUAGAAAGAAAGAAGGAUGUGGCAAUUGCUUAGCAAGCAGAUAGCAGAGUACAUGCUUUGCUUUGCUUCCUUCCACUAUAUUUCUUAUUUAUUUAUUUUGGGUUGUGUAUGAGAUGACAAUAAUUGUCAUGUGUGUGAAGUGCAGAACUUGCCUACAUUGCACUCACACGAGUAUGGAUGCAUAAAUAAAACACGUGAAAUUGUUUGUAAUUCACAUAAUCAUUGCAUUAACAGGUAUUUGCACAAAAAUUGUCAUAUUGCUUUGAUGAUGUUAAAGGCUGUGAUGAGUAAUCCCUAUGCUCAUGUACUUUGUAAAAGUUGUAAUGUGCCUGGUUGACUAGUUGUGAUUGUGCAAAUACGUGGUAGUAUAUAUGUUCACGUUAUUUCACAUUGUAUUUGAGGAAAUGGGAUCCAACGUGGAGCUGGUAUGGCCAGAGGCAGAGGUAUAUUCGUCACGGGUGAACAACUGCUCACAUGCAAAUUCAUCUCUAGCUGCAAUUCGAGCGAAGUUGAGUGCGGAACAAUUAGAACAAUUCAAGACAUCAUGCUUUGGCCAUCUUCUGAAUAUAGAUAAGAUUCAGUUUAGCGGGCAGAUUGUGCAUGGGGUUGUGUUGCGUAGAGUAGCGGGGCAGGGUGUGAAAGACUUGGAUGGACUGAGUUUCUUAUUAGGGUGUGACGUUGCUCAGUUCACUCGUCAGGAUUUCUGUUUGAUCACAGGGCUUCGUUUUGGGGAAGUGCCUGAAGUUUCCAGUGGAGAGAGUGAUGAAAUCAGACUUCAGAAAAGAUAUUUUAUAGACGAAGGAAUUACAUGCAAUGCUUUAGAAGAAGCAUUUGUGAGGUGCACAGAGGAAGAUGACAUCUACAAGCAAGCUCUUGUUUACUUUGCUGAGUUAGUGGUUUUGGGAAGGGACAAACAUUUGAACAUCAAUCUAAAUUACCUGACCCUUGUAGAGGACUUGGAUGCGUUCAACAGGUAUCCGUGGGGUUCGGUGUCCUUUGACAAAACCCAAGACAGUCUAUUUUCUGCACCAACAAAGUAUGUGAAAAGCUUGGAAAAUGAAGAGGGAAGAGGGAAGGGGAAAAGUAAGGUAACGGGAACAAGCCGGAGAAAUGAGAAGGGCAAGAAGGAUAAGCAUGGUGAAGCGCAAAUGAGUGGCUGGAGUUUUAAAGGUUUCACGUAUGCUUUCCAGGUACAUGGUAAUAAUGUUCAUGUCAGUUAUGUUUUGUUUUUCUUUAAAACAUAAAUAAUGACUUUUGUCCUGUGAAUUGUGUAGAUUUGGGUAUAUGAAUUAAUUCCUAGAAUGGCGGACCUGAAUUACUGCAAGGUUGUUGAUCCGACCGUUGUCCCGCGUAUUUUGCGAUGGAGAACUACUACGUCUGUUCCAGAGAUGAGAAAGUUGAACAAUUAUUUUUUCCAGAGCAAAGAGGUUUGGUUUGCAGCCCUUGGAACUAUUGAUAAGAUUGAAUGAAAUUAUGAAGUAGAAUGAUUUGAUAUGACUCUUGUCUGUAUUCUGAAACAGUCAGUUCAGUUGCGGGCGCUAUGUCCGAGUGAAGAGGAAAUGAGACAGCCAUAUUGGAGUUGGCCACAGGAUCGCCCUGCUGUUGUCUCAGCAGAGUCAAUUCCUUCUUCAUGUGGUGAUCUUGAUGAGUUGAACAAGGUGGUAAGUUGGUUGAGGUCCGAGUUGUUUCAAGUAAAGCGGGAAAAAGACGUCCUUCACUUAAAGGUCAUACGGAUGGAAAAACUGUUGGACCAAUGUUUAGGUCCUCAGUUUGAGCAGGAAGUAAGGAGGGACCUAGCUUUACUGAAACAGAGGACGAAUCGUUGUGUCAUCUCACAUCUAUUUAAGGGAUAUGGGGAAAUGGAUGACAUUCAAUGGGAUGAAGGGCCAAGUAACAGAAAUGAGGGAGAGGAAAAGGAAGAUGAAGGGAUUGAAGGGGGUGAAGGGCCAAAUAAUAGAAAUGAGGGAGCACAUAAGGAAAAGGAGGGGAUUGACGGAGAGGAAAAGGAAGAGGAGGGGAUUGAAGGGGGUGAAGUGCAAGGAAAACCAAGUGAGGUAGAGGAAGGGCAAAGGAAAAGAAGUGAAGGAGAGCAAGUGCAAGUAAAAAGUAGCAAAGGAGAGGAAGCCCAGAGACAGAGCAGUGAGGGAGAGGAAGUGAAAAGAAAAAGCAGUAAGGGAGAGAAACUGCAAAGGAAAAAAAGGGAGGGCAAGGAAGUGAAAACACAAACAAGUGAGGAAAAGGAAGUGCAAAGAAACCAAUGUGAGAAAGAAGAUAAUGAAGUUAUGUUGCUUGGGGGUGACAUUGGCGAGAGCACGGAGGGGACACUGCUUGAGUUUACUGUCGGGGACAUUGAUUUGGAUGAACCUACAGCUGUGCUAUCUCAGUUGAACGUGUGGUUGAAUGAUAAAGGUAAAGCUCUGGCACAAGGGGUCCAAUUACGGAAAAGGAAGAGGAUCAUUCCUUUGUGGAAGAUCAUUGAAGGCAGUGAAUUGGUUCCAAAAAUUGGGGCACAGACAACCGGACUGAAGAUGUUAGACCCAAUGAAGGCGAUUUCGCAUGAUGAUCUGGUGAAAUUGCUGAAACUUUGUUGGGAAUGGCGCCAGGACCCAAAGUAAGUCCCUUGCAAUUAUAAGAUACAAGCAUGACUGUAUAUAAUUUUUUAUAUACAGUGUUCUAAAACUGUUUUAUAUUCAUAGUUUGGUGAUGCAAUUUGGCAACGUGGAAGCUGAGAUUGAAUUCUUCGCUUCCCUCGUGAAAGCUGAUGGUUGGCUGAAAGGAGAUGUAAGUGUAAUUGAUUAUGCAUUUGUUUUAAUGUACAUACAUUAUGAGAUUGACAAGAAAAACAUGUUGCAGCACAUUGAUUUGGGGUUGUAUCUCAUCCGGAAGCGACAACAACAGUUGGAGACAGAUUCGGUAGAAGUAGCGGACUGGACAACGACCGAUGUUUUUUUUAUGGUAUGUCAUCGGCCUUGACCAAGUGCCGUUAAUAAUUACACAUUUUCCAUACACACACUAGUGGAGGUGUUUAACCAUUGAUUGUUUUGUAUUUCACAGAAUCACAUUCGUACUUGCUUUGCGGAUAAUAAAAGAAAAAAACAGCAGCUUGGGUGGAAAAUCAGGAAAAGUUUACUAACCGUUGUAAAUGGGAAGGUUCCUCCGUGUGGGUUGGAUUGGCAGACCGUCUAUAAGGUGUAUACCCCAUUUAUGUUGACGAAGUACAAGCAUUGGGUGGCUGUAAUGAUUGAUCUGGUAUUGUGUGAAAUCAAAGUGUACGAUUCAAAGGUUUCACUAAUUCCAGAUGACAUCGUAAAGGAAGAACUCGGCCCGCUAUCAAUUACGCUUCCAAAUCUUCUCAACACCAUCGACUUUUAUGAAAAAGGUGUUUAUGCAAACAAUUGCAGCCAAGAUUAGUGGUGUCCGUGGCCAAUAGAGCGUGUGGAUGUUCCACAACAGUCUAAUGAGUAAGCACAACUUGCAAUUUAAUUUUAUUACUUUCAAUUGUCAAUUACGUUAGAAUGUCAUUAGUUGAAUUGAUCGAGUUCUUGUUUUGCUUCAGAGGCGAUUGUGGCAUGUUUGUGUUAAAGUACAUUGAGCUUUUCAGCGCUGAGCUUCCGUUAGCUACUUGCACCUCGCACAACAUGCCUUUUUUUCGGUUGAAAUUGGCUGCGGAGAUAACAAGGGGAGAUGCUUACUUCCCAUGAUAUUGGUUGAAGAUGACAAAUGGUACAUGAGAAGGUUUUGGGAAUGUCCAUUCUCAAACUAAUGUAAAUACACAAUAGAGAAGUACGGGUCCUUAUCGAAUUCUACCGCUAACUCCUUCAUGACAUUUACAUGUUUGUUAACCAAACUGCAUUGAAUUGGAAUUUUAAGACUGCAUAUGUGAAUUGGGAUUUGAAGAUGGCUUUUUAAGUGUAUUACAUCAUUGCAAAGUGAUAUGUCAUUGUUGAUGCAAGCCACCAUUAAUCGCAAUGUGUUGCAUCAUAAUAGGUGUCUAAACAUGCGAAAGGUUUUCCGCAGCUCAGUAGCAUAAAAGUAGAAACAAAGACAAUAUACACAAAAUGAACAACAAUUCACAAAUGCACCGACAAGCAAUACACACACAACAGACAAACAAUAUACACAAACUUGGCCUGCCAUAUACAGAGAAUAGACAUGCAAUAUACACACAGUAGACAUGCAAUAUACACACAAUAGACAUGCAAUAUACACACAAUACUCCCUUAACACACACAAUAGACAUGCCCUUGCCCACAAUAAUGAUGCAAUAUACUUCAGUCCCCAAGUACACCAACCAUAGGGAAGUCGUAUUGAAUAGGAUAUUAAACUUAACAGUUGUUCUUCCUACUAAAAGAAAGAAUAAGGUUCGUUUCCCCCCUUCAUUCUUACUUGAGUGAUACUUGUGGCCCCAAUAAACAUCCAAUUUUGGGGCAAUGAUAUUCCAUAUACAUGCAGCAAACUAUCAAUAAACCUUCAAUAAACCUUCAAUAAACAUUCAAUAUCGUUUCUAUAACAUGCGAAAUACAUGCAGUUACCAAAUAUUACAAAAUGGGUUUAGGGUCUCAUUGGUGGUGCGUGCAACAUGUCUUGUGCGGGAGAACUUUCACAAUCUUUUAAACCGUGCAGUUAAAUGAUCAUUAAAAGAACAAAUAAAAUGACAAUUGAUACAACUAAUAAAACUAAUACCAAGUCCUUAAUGGACUUCAGCAUGUUCAGCACUCUAGCAUCAUACGUGUCAUCUUGAUGUUCUGCUUCAGCGGAGGUUACAUCAACCCAUUCGAAUCCAUUGCAACUGGUGGCUCCCUAAUUGCAGGCAUCAUAUAUGGAAUAUAAUUCUGUCAGAGUUAGACAUAGGUUUUUUUUCACCCACAUACAUAUUCUUUAAAUUAAAACUUACAUAGGAGGUUAGACACUUCCAGAAUGGCUUCCCUCGAUUUUUGUCAGAUUUUGAAACCCGAAGCACCAUUGUAGCUCCACAAUACUGACACCUCUUUGUUUGAGCGGGAGAUGAAGAUGAAGACAUGUUUAAUCUUCUCAGUUGUACCUCUUCUCACUCAGAUCUUCUCACUGAAACCUCUUCGGACUCAUACCUUCUCACUCAUAGUUGUCAUUCAUACCACUUCACUCAUAACCCUAAACUUGUCACUCAGCUCUCUCUCAUCUCUGCCCAAAUCGAGUUAUAUUUCUUUUUUUUGGGAUCAUUUGGUGGGUUGGUCACGAUGUCGACACCUGUACCGUCAGCAUUGUGACAUCUUUUAGCCCGAAAAGCAAUAUAAACUACUUCACUACCAAAUAUAUUUUCUGAAUAAUGACGGGACACUGCUUCAAUUUUAUUAAUUUAUUUAUAUUUCAUUAAGGCAACUAGUUGGAUAAGAAUCCGUCAUUAUUGGUUCCAUUUUAAUAACAUUACUAGGGGUAAUUGGGUGUGGGAAAAUGAAAAAGUAUAUGAUGGGACCUUCUGUCACUAGUCAGUAAUCCAUCACAUUUGUAUCAAUGAAUUUGAUAGUGGGAUAAACCCAAAAAUGGCUAUGCAAAUAGCCAUUUAAUUAACUUUUUGACUGUCUGACUCUGUAUGCACCGUUAUGACGUUUUCCCUUCUUUUGUCUUAAGUUUUAAUUCACUGGGGUUCAGUUUCUUUCAAAAGGGUCAACUUGGAAAAACCCCAACUGGAAACACCUUUUCAAAACACUAUAAACAGAGGCUAAAACAAAACGUGUACCCCAAAUAUUAUCAUUUAUCCCCUCUGCCACUCCUCAAAUCGUUCCAUUCCAAAAACUUUUCAAUGAAUUCGAAACACUUCACUACAGUCGGAGGAAAGAGAAGGAAGCAUGUCCAUUUCGAUAUGCCCGAAGCCUUCAUCCCGGAGUCCGCUUGGUUUCAAGUCAUGUUAUACGUGGCAACCGAAUCAUCGGAAGAUCUCUUCCGUAUGGCAUCUGUGUGACGAUUGUUCCGAACUUUGGCAAACAGUUCACAAGUGUGGAACACCAUUUCAAUGGCAAAGUACCCAGACCAUCCUAUAUGGUACCGUGCCAGACCUGCGGUCCAGCAUUUCUUGCAACAAUGCAGGGCUUGCGAUAACCCUGAGUCCAUAUUUAGAGAAGCAUUCGAAGGUUUUUUCAGGCACGGUAAGGUGGAAGCGUUGUAUGGGAUGCGCAUUGCAGCCACGGCAGGCCAUAUGGAAGCGGCAUAUGUAGUUGGACUACUUGGUAUGUCCGGAAUUGGUCAGUCAAAAGAGGAUGCAUUACAAUUCUUGUGUUCUUUGAAUCAACGUAACAACAUUGAUAUGAAAGGAACCAGGGAUGCUUUGACAGGAAGAUUUCACGGAGCAUUUGUUGCAAGACAUAUCGUAGAUAUGUUUGACUAUGGGAAGAUUAAGUUCAAUCGGUGCAGCGCUUGUAACAACAAUGAAUGGUAUUUUGUUAUUCCAGGCUGGCCUAGUGAAGACAAGAUAAAUCCUGCGUUGUGGACUUGUUGCAAUCGAUGCAAAUGGCACCGUGAGAGUAUUUUUUGGUGCAAACUGAUGCGUGAGUAUGUUGUGCGAGGGAAUCACGUAUUUUUGCAUUAGUUUUAGUACGAAUUUACGGUUUUGAUGCAUUGUGGACUUGCUUCUCUUCACUUCUAGGUUGGCUGGCUACGUUAUACCUAUCUCAGUUUAAAUGUUGUUCAAAUGUUGGUAUUUUGUCAUAAACCGUUUUAUAUAUAAAUGUAUAAUAUUUAUUAUAUAGCGGAAUUAUUACUUACAUCAUAGACGGCUAGGAAUGACAUUUUACUGACACAGAUAUUUUGCUCACCGACCCCAAUCUUCAUAUUUGAUAAACGAAAAGUUAUGCAUGGAGUAAAUAGGUGUCUUUUCACCAGUGCUUGGGAAUGACAUUUUCCCACUUAGCAUAUCCGAAAGGAUUUGGUUACACGUUUCUUAACCUAGGGGGUUGAACAGUGAAUGACGUAGACUAUUUUUUGUGUGUGGAAGGAGUACAAUGGAUGACUUGUAUAUUUCCAUAUUAUGUUUCAAAACAUCCCUUCAACCUAAAAAAUAAAAAAAUUAACAAAUUGAAGAACAGAGAAACCGAUGAGCACUACAAAUGGCCUAUUCGCACGGAAAAUAAAAUUGUUUUCAACAAGUUGGACUAAAUAUAAUUAACAAAUGGACAGCCUAAAAAGUAAUAUCAUAAUAAUUAUAAUAAUUGUGGAUAAAUAAUAAUAAAAUACUAAUGUAACAUAACCAUUAAACAGGGAAUGCAGUAGGAAGAUGAAAUCGCAAUAAGUUCGUAGAAAUUUUGGGAUCGUUUUUCUAAUUUUUGUGUAUUUAGUUAUGAAUUUUCCAAGAAAAAAGGUAAUAAAAUAAUAAUUUAGGGUAAAAUGGGAGGAUGUGGCCAUGUUCGGUAACGUACACUUGUGCAAGUAGUCAAAAGUGACGGGCUGAGAUCGCGCCAGGUGUCAUAUUCUUGUUAAUUUUGGAUUCUUUUGUUAAAAAAUCUUUGAAACUAGGUAAUAAAUAGUAGGAAAAUCGUAAAAAUGGCCCAAAAAUUACUCCGGCCUCCUUUUGACGUCCUAAAACUAGGAGAACCUAUAAAUCAUUCGUCUCGCAAUGAAAUAAUCCAAAUUGUGUUACAUAACUCACUUUCCUCUUAACCCUAAGUAUUGAUGUUUGUUAACUUCAACUUGAAUAACCUACUUCAACAAGCAUCUCCCGUUAAUAUUGGGAAUUAAUUUUACAAAUGCGUAACAAUGAAUCGGAGAAUUCAGCAACGGAGAUGGAGUGUCAAUGAGUUCGUAGCAAUUUUCGGAUAAUUUUUUUAUUUUGUGUGUAAUUAGUUCUGAUUUUUGUAAGGAAAAGUAAUAAAAUAAUAAUUUAGGGUAAAAUGGGAGGGUGUGGCCAUGUUGACUGACGUACACUUGUGCAAGUAGUCAUCAGUGACGGGCUGAGAUCGCGCCAGGUGUCCUUUUGCUAUUAUUUUGGCUUUUUUAGUGCAACAAUCUGUGGACAUAGGUAAUAAAUUCUACGAAAAUCCAAAAAAUGCCCGGAAAAUGAGAAAAUGAAAAUUAUUUGUACAUAACUCACUUUCCUCUUAACCCAAAUUCACGUUAACACGUAUAUUUCGGAUAAUAUUCGAAAUAUAAUUUCUAAUAAUACAAUAUUUAGUUUCACUAUAUACAAUAAUAUGUUUUUUUUAUAAUAAUGUACAUAAAUAAUAAUUGCACAUGCUUUGAAGCCAUCAUUGCAACUACGCCUAGAGCUUUGAAGACGUCAGUUCGUAUUCAAUAAGUUGUCCACAUGCAACUGCACCUAGAGUUUUCAACACGUCAGAGGUAUUCAAUAAGUUGUCCACAUGCAACUGCACCUAGAGUUAUUAACACGUCACAGGUAUUCAAUAAGUUGUCCAUAUGACGCCGCAUUGGGAAUCAGUAAUAUAUUUUCAAUCAUGUCAAAUCACAUAAAUAAUGCCAUACUUUUUCUCAAUAACCUCACACAAGUGAAGCAAUUUUAAAACCCUUAGUGAAUAUUUAUCCUAGUCUAUAUGAGUGAUUAUAUAAUCAGUUGCAUAAUAUUUUUUUCACAGUAUAUGUUAACUUUGAGAGGGAUUCCACAAACAUAAAAUAUAAAGAAAGCAAGAAAUAGUAGGAAAUGAACCAGUACAAAAAACAAUAUAUAAAGUGUACAUAAUAAUUCCAUAACCUUGUCACAAACGCACUCACAAAAGCUUUUCCAUAAACCUUGUCCUAACAUAUAAUAAAUAAAGGCAACAUUGCAUAUGAUGCAACCAUGUCCAAAUCUGAUAAGUGAUCAAAAACAAAUGGACAUGGCAGCAACAUAUGAUUGAAGUAGAUGGGCUCUUUGCAUCUUCUGUUUUCGUAAUUAAAGACAUCAAAAUAUUAAGGUUUAAAUCUUCCAUAGUAGUUAGCAUCAAAAUAGCUUUGAAGCAGAGUGUAACGAAAAUUCCAAUUCCACUUAUUUGCCUCUGCUCAAACACGAGAACCAAAAUGGUUACUUCCCUUGCUGAGUAUAUUUGGUGACGUCGGAAACGGUAAUAGAUGACCAAUCAAACCCGGGUACGACGAGUUUUGCAUAGGAUCGGAAGUAGUCGAAUCCAGCUUGCAUCACACGCUUCUUUGACUCCACUACAUUAGAUGAGUUCUUGUAUUUUUGAACAGCUACACUCUGAAGUCGUUUGUGUCUACGCUUCAUGCGCUGCAACUUCGCCCUAUCCAGAUUGGCCUGCCUUUUGUCAUCUUCAAUUUGGCCUUCCACAAAUUCCAAACGUGCCCUUGCCCUUUGGAUUUCAUCACCAAGUUGAAGAUGCCUCUCCUUCCAAAAAGCAACAACUCUUUCAGACUCAAAACUUCCAACAAAAUGGUCAUUCUGUCUAGCAAUGUGACAUUGCUUGUCUGGUGACUCACUUGCGUGUCGAAGCCGGUCUUUGUUUGGAGGGGUGUUUAUUAUACUCACAUCAAACUUGGUUGUGCUUAUGCUCAUUCUUUGGGGGGAAUGAGUUUGUUUGCUUGAGAGAGUAUCGGUAGAUGGAGACAGAUUCGGUGGAGGAGUGAGUUUUGUGUGGAAGGAGAUUUUAUAUGAAAGGGGUGAUAGUAAUACCAAGAAAAGGGUUCCCGCCAAAAAAUAUUUGGUUGACAAAGUAGAAAUUAUUUUUUUAGUCUGAUACAAUCUAAGUUUAAUCCUAACUAGUUUGGUUGAGUUAACUAAGUAGAUGUCACUUCCAUUGACUUUCUUUCAACAACUAUCAGUGGUGUAAGGAGAGUGUGAGGUUGACAUGCUUGAAAAGCAAAAGCUGACACCUAUUUUUAAAAAAUUCCCGCCAAAAAGUACAUAUGUUGACUACACACAAGCUUUGGUAUGUUGGUCUAUAAACCUAUGUUCCCUUUCUCAAACGAAAUUGCAUAUGCAAUCCUCAUCCUCCCAAAACAAAGAGGAUUAUUCAAGCAUGUCAACCUCUUCAGGCGCCAACAACACAAUCGAACAUGACAAAUUGGAGUCACAGGUUCUAUUUCCACAUUGUACUCGCCGACCCCUUCCUUUUUCAACAUCAUUUGGGAGUGAGGGGGACUCCGAUGAUCCAUUAGAGGCAAUACAUGCAGUCAGUGGCAAGCUGGAUUAUAAUUCCAGACUGAUCAAUUCAUGGCACGAGAAAUGUGUUGAAGACGAGGCAAUUUUGGCUGAUCUUAACAUUAGGGUGAGCAAAGCGUUAUCCCAAAAGAACAAGUACUUGAAGCUGAGUCAUAGCAGGAAGCUGAAAGCUGAGGAGUUGGAUACAGUAAUGAAUGAUGAAAUGAAAGGUUGUUUGAUGAACCAUAUGCGAUGCGAACAGCACCAUACUGAACUGGAGUUGGCAUUCAACGAAGGAUUCGACAAAUUCCGAGCAUUUGCGGCAACUACUCAUACAAGUUAUGAUUGGAACUAUGUGUCCCCUGAUGCUGUGAGAGAGAUACUAGACGAUGGGGGUGACAUGAAUGAGCAUAAGCACGUCAAAGCUGCUCGGAAGAAGCCGACCGAUACGACUAAGUGAUUGCGGCUACCGCUGUUCAGUUAGUUGAGGGUGACCGUGGUAUUGCACAUAUACUCCCUUAAUGUCAUUAUCUAACUUAAAAUAACACAAAUAUCAGUUUCAUUUGCUUGAUAUAUAAUUAUUGGGACUAUGUAUUGCAAGUCAUCAUGUGUUAUAAUGUCUAACAUUAUAUUUUGCAAAUAUGGAAAUAUUAUUCAAGAAGCAGUCAAUAUCACAGAAAGCCGGGAAUCAGUAAAUGCUCCUUAUCAUGUCCAUUUACAUUAAAGAGCUGGAGUACUAAUGUGUUCAAAAAAAACUGACACGUGAGUCAUAAGUAACAUAACAUGUGCUAUACAUUGUUUACUGAAUGGUUUAUGGUUUAUUUGUAUAUAAUAAAAUUUCAAAUAUUGCUGAAGAUUUAUUUCGUGUAUAUCACUAGGGAUAUGAGUGGCCAUAAGCAUGUGAGACCUGCUAAGAAGAAGCUGACGAGUACGACCCAGUGAUUGGCUACCGUUGUUCAGUUGGUUGGGGAGAUCGUGGUAUUGCUAUGAGGAAGCACACAAUAUGUUUUGCAAUCAAAUGUUCUUUUGUGUGUGGAAUUAUGAGUAUUUAUGUAAGUUAGUGUACCCUUUAAUAUUUUUCACCUAAGUAUCGAAAUGCAGUUUUUGAAUGUUAUGUUUUUUUUUACCCGCUGCUUUCUAUUUGCUCUGUUCCAACAAAGUGCUUCAAGUAUCCUUCACUUACAAAAGUGUACAAAAUCGUGCCCCUAAUAACCAGUCGGAAAAAGUGGCUACUGCUGGAAAUGAUUACUGGUAAUGGAAACAACAGCUGGCUGCUGUAAUUGCUGCAUUACCGUGAGGAUUUGAAAAAUGAAUCUCUGUUAAAACAAAUUUCACCCUAAACUGCCCAUUUUACAUGGUAAAAGUCAUUGCUUCUUCAAAUCUUUUGCAGCUACACGAUGCGUGGUCAGAAUCUUUGACAUAUACGACUUCUGCCACUCUUGUUUCCCAAUUUUUUCUUUCGCUCACGUUGAACACAACUUUACAAGCAUCCUCUGUUUUGAGCUCUAGGAAACAUGCUGUACUUUGUAUUAGUUCUUGCUCAAACUUUUGAAACAUUGUCCUUGUGUACAAGGUAGCCAUUUGUUUGUUCAUUGGCAUCGGUAGAAGACAUUGAGCCACUUCAAAUGCAUCUGCGUGAUCAGCAACUAACUCUUUUUCACGUUGAUGAGAAAGUGCCCUCUCAAAUCGUAUUAUGAAAUCCAUCAACGAAUUUCUCCUUGAUAUGUAUUGCUUGAAAAAACCAUGAGAACCUUCCGCUCUUUGGCUGCUUGACAUUCCAGCGGCAAAAAAUUGUCGUGCGUAGGCUGGAACCCAAGAUUCCCUUAAAUCAAACAUUGAACUUAGCCAUGGAUGGUCAGUCAAACCAGCCUUUGUAACCACAAUAUUCCAUUUUGCAUCAAACUCAUCCUUAUUGUCAGUAUCCCAUAUGGCUUUCUGAAAUUCAGGCCAAUACUCCUUAUAAGCGUCACGUGGUAACUUAACAGAGAACUUUGAUGUGAUGUGCUAUAUGCAAAGUCGAUGAAAUGUACUCGGGAAGGCUAUUGAAAUCGCUAUGGCCAUUGCCGCAUCUUGAUCUGUAAUGAUCGUUUUAGGUUCCCCACCUGGCAUGGCUUUCUUAAACUCCUCAAACAUCCAAACAAACGACUCAGUCGUUUCCUUGCUCAAAAAUGUGCAUGCUAACACAAUUGUCUGACCAUGGUUAUUAACUCCCAACAUUGGUGCAAAUGUCAAGUCGUAUCGAUUCGUGUUGAAUGUGGUAUCAAAUACAACAACAUCUCCAUAAAACCCAUACGCCCGUCUAGAAGUUGCAUCUGCCCAAAAACAUCGACUAAACCUAUCAUGCCCAUCUCCCUCAAUCUUGAAAUAAAAAGCCUCAUUUUUUUUCUGUUCAGCCAUAAAAUACUCGGUCACUAGUUCAACAUCGUGGUUCCUCAGCUUCCCAAUCACACUACAUUCAAGAUUGUAGAUAUCUUUUUUGAUAAAACCGAUUUUAUCCAUUCCUCCGGAUUGCACCUCGAAAAUACUUACCUUCUGAUGAAUGGGAAUAUUAACUGAACCCAACUGUUUUGUGAGUACUUUUGUAGAAUCUGAAAUAUGACGGUGUGAUCUCAAUAAAUGCAUUCUUUCUAAGGGUGUCAUCUUAUGAUUGUGUCCCUCUGCAAAAAGAGAAAUGUUAUACUUGUUGCUCCCAUUUGUCUUCACAACCACAAUCUUUGCUUUGCAAUUGCAUCUACUUAUUCCCCGUUGUCUUUUUCUCUCCCGAGUUUCAUCCUUCCUGUAUGCACCUUGUUUGCAACAUACAAAUUCUUUCCUCAAAAUCUCUUUCUUAUUUUUCCCCCAAAAGCUAGAAUGAAGUCGAAUACCAAAGCCAGCCAAGAAUGCAUAUCUAUUAUAGAAAUUGUAAACGAGGUCAAGCGAGUCAAACUUCAUCCCAACUGCUGGUGUUUCCUCAUUUCUUACUUCAGGAAUAUAAACCCUCCCAUUAGCUGUUGCACAUUCAUCACUCUCUGAGCCCCCAGACAUUUUAUCUACGUAUAUUAUUGAUCCACUUCUAUAUUACUGCAUAGCAAUUAUUCAUUCAUUAAUCAGUCAUUACUGCAUCACAACAUAUCAAUGCAUUCCACUUACACAAAACAUUGCCCAAAUUGACACAAAAUACGCAUAGCCUAACUUCCGAUUACACAAAACACAAGCAAAAUUUCAUAAAAGUUACGUCAUCUCUUGUGAAAUAAUCUGGUCAAAAUAACAUUAGAACCAACAUGUUCAACUAAGAACACAAAUGUAAUUCAAACCACCAAUUACAGAACUUCACCCAAUAUCCUCUCCAACUGCUUACUCCUAAUGUCAUUAAGCCUAAGUUUAGGUUCUUUUACCUACAUUUCAUAAUUUUUCACCCCGACCAACAACAAUGAACUAAGUAUAUUGAAUAUUCACAAGGAAAUGACACAUUAUUGAUGCCACAAAUGACGAAUUUCCCACCCUCACAAAAAAUAAACCUAACCCAAUAAAAUCAAUCCAGCAAGUGAACUUACCUCUCAAAAUCAAUCGAGAGCUCUGAAGUCAGUCAGCUUGAAAGAAUGUGGUGGACAUUAGAGAAGACUCUUUGGUAUUUGAGACUCCAUCUCUAUCAAAAUCGAGGAACAACUGCUGCUGCGGCUUCUAGCUACAAAAACAGAUAUGCUACUUUGCUUUCAUCUAGAAUCUUGUCAGCUGAAUGAAAAAGAGAAGGGGUUUUCACUUGAGCCAUAGAAUCAAAACAGGGCAACAGCUAGGUAAGAGCCAUUCUUCGUAAUACCCAGGAUACCAUAGAUCGCAGGCCUCCCAACGAGCUAAUGACAGUGGAGUGACUAUAAGGUUUGGGAGAUUUGGAUCCUUCUAAUUGUGGGUUUGCUUUACAUUCAAAAAGAAAGGAUUGUGUUCUUCAGUUUUUCACAGAGAGGGAAAGAGGGGAACAACUGAAGUUGGGUUUCUAACGGGUUAGAUUUCAACCCGAUUCUACAUGCACCCUCUUUUAAAAACUCACCGUUGGAUGAAAUCCAACGGCUCUUACAUACCCCUCAAAAACACCCCUUAUAACUUCCCACUCACUAUAGAAGCUCCCCCAACUAAAUCCCAAAAGGGAAACAGAUUUGAACAACAUACAAAUUUGAAGGACACACAAAUAUGAAUCUCAGCACCGGUGAGAAAUUAAUUUUAGUUGAGGUUGGUAGGUAGGCAUUGGAAGUUUUUAUUGUUUUUGCUCCAAGUCCCUCCUCCACUCACUAAUACAGAUUACUCGCAAAUGAACUAAAGUCUGCAGGGAUAUAUGGACUCCCCUGUCCAUACGAAUGUUGGAAGAAAUGUGUGUUAAAUUUUAGAGAGACGGGUCUGUGACCCACCACUAGCAACGUUGAUAUUGUCUCCAACUUAACUACAUGUUUAGUAGAUGUGGGGUUUUAUACAAAAAGUAUUGAUGUUAUUGGGAAUGGAACCACUUAUUAUAAGUUAAAAUUUAUUUAGUCAAGUUUCCUAUGUGGGACUUUCUAUUCUUCAACAAGCCCCUUCAUGUGGGACCACCACAUAGUGGGCCACACGUAGAGCCAAGUCCACAUCGGAGUCAAUCAUUCAAGCCCAAUACCUAAACACCACGUAUUGUGUGAGGGGUAGGGGUAAACAUUCAAGCCCAACAUAUGAACACUGUAACAUCCCAACUCCAAAUUUAAUCCCUUAUUUAAAUUAUUUAAGUGAAAUUACAAAUUUACCCUUGGGGUAGGGAUAUUUUGGUCAUUUUCUUACCCGAAAAGAGUUUGGGGCAGUGACUAGUAUUUUUUGGUAGAUCGUACUGAGAUGAGUCUGUAGACAUGUAGUGGGCUCGAUUCGGAGUUGAAACGAAGAAGUUACGAGCAAAACAUCACCAAUGGCAAAACCGUAAAUAUUUCAAAAUGAAUUUUUAAUAAAAAAAACCUGAAAAACCCUCUCUCUCUCUCUCUCUCUCUCUCUCUCUCUCUCUCUCUCCUGCGCACAGCCCCUUUCCCCCCUUCGUUUUUUCUUUCCGUGGCUUCCAAGAGCCACCAUCGCCACCACGAAUCACCACCGGCCAUGAGGCCGGACUCGUUCGAACUGCCGCCGCAUCCUCUUCCUGUUCCGGUCGCUCCCAGUCGCUGCCAUCCGCUGUGCUGGCCGGAAAUCGAAGAAAACCAGCCGAUUUUUGUCAAACUUUCGGCCGCUCGUUCUCCCACUUCCGGCCACCAUUUUGGCCAUCCAGGUAUAGAUUUUGAACCUCUCGAGCUGUUCUUGCUGCCUGUUGUGUUAGAUUUGGGAGAUUUCCGCGUUUUGAAGGUCGAUUAAACGAUGGAAGUUUGGCUGGUUUUUGGCCUCCGAUUCCGGCCACUUUCGGUCACUUUUUGGGGUAGGUCCAAGAACAAAAGUGGUUCCAAAUAGGGUGUUAUACCUAGGGUAGGAGUCUUGAGCCGUGGUUUUGAGAUUUCUCGGUGAUGCGUAAUCGCUUUGGACACCCAUACGCUACCGGCGCGUGUGGUGGCGCGUGGGCACUGUAGAAAUGGGGUAUUGUGUCCCGAUGCGAUCCCCUUGUUGUCACGAGUGUGUAGUGUGCUCGGAUUCCAAUUUGGUUGACAUUCGAACCCCGAACGAAUUUCUCCUAUUGCACGUUAUCCGCGUUUGAUAGGUUUGAACCGUUGGAUAGUCUUGAAUUUAAUAUAUUUAAUCUAAGCAUUUCUAGGAUCGUGUAGGAAUUCACGGAUCAUGAAUCGGAACCCCGGAUGUUCCGAUUUAAUAAUUUAAAGUUUAUGUUUAUAUUAACUGUCAGAUCGUGCAAUCGUGAGCGAUCCGACCUUCCGAUCCGGACCAAACGUGCAGGACGUAUAUCCUAAACCUUGUGGAACCUAUAGGAACUUUCGAAUCAGAAUUUAGAGGUCGUGGGCCUAGUGGCCCCGUUUGACCAAGUGUGGAUAGUUUGACCCUUGGUUGACCUUGAGUCUUCCAAGGUAGUUUUCCUUCCUAGAAGGAUUAUAAUGACCCUAAUGACAGGUCUUGAGCGUUGUUGAGCCAUGUUGACUAGGUUAAGAUUUUUAGAGUGUUUAUUAUUGUCGUAGGAAACUCUUGGACAUUAUUUUAAUAAUUGGAAUUAUAAAAGUGAGUUUUGGGUUCGGCUAUGACUUUAGUGAAUGGACUUUAUUUUUAAAUGAAUAGCAUGGCUUUGUGAUGGAAUUUUUAGGCAUGUGAAUUUAAUGGUUUAUUGAAAUUCAUUUUUAUAAUUAAUAGUUAAUUUAGCAGUUUUGGUAAAGUAUUAGUGAUGUGUGGGGUACUUGGGAUUUUGUUGAGGUUUAUACAAUAUUAGAGAUUAACUUAUAUAUUUAAAUAUAGGUAUGAAUGUAUGAAAAGAGUUUAGAAUGUCAGUUUGAAGUACUAUACGCACUACCCUAGGUACCUCAUCGGAUUUUGAUUACACUAUAAGUACCACCCUGUGAUUGUCAGGUCACCCAUGGCGUAGGAUUUUCCGGCGGAAUGACAGACCCCAUACGUGACGUUGGAAUUUCCGGCGUAUGGGGAGAUGAUAUUAUGAUUGUUAAGUCACACGUGGCAUAGGUUAUCCGGAGUGCUGACAGACCCCAUAUGUGGCGUUGGAAUUUCCGGCAUAUGAGGAGAUUAUGUGAUUGUUAAGUCCCACGUGGCGUAGGUUAUCCGGCGGGAUGAUAGACCCCAUACGUGGGGUUGGAAUUUUCGGUGUAUGGGGAGAUGAUAUAAUGGUUAGGUCACAUGUGGCGUAGGAUUUUCCGGCUUGAUGACAGACCCCAUACGUGGCAUUGGAAUUUCUGGCAUAUGGGAGAUUAUGUGGUUAUUAGAGAGAUGAAUUAAGAUUAUUAUACUGAGUUGGGAACGAAUGAUGUUUGAAAAAGAUUUUGUUUGGGAUUUCUGCAAUUGAUUGCAUGUUGAUGGACUUGGAAAUUUUGUAUGAAAGAACUACGUGUGGCUUGAUCCCUUAGUAAGGGUACAUAUGCAGCUUAGGGUAGUGCCUAGGUGCAGCCGUGUGCUAAACUUUACUCAUGUUGUGUGAUGGAGAUUCGUUCGGACCUUGUUGUUAGUCCUGAAUUUUAGGUGAAAAUGAGAUGCAGUCUUGUUAGGAGGUUUAAAUUUUCUACGUUUAAUAUUUGGGAAUUUAGAUGAUGGAAAUCGCAUUUGGCGUUCAUAAAUGUGUUUGAGUUUAUAUUUGCAUUGUUUAGAGUUAGUUGGUGGUUUCGUUUCGAAUUAUUUGAAGGCCGAAGGCUGAUUAUGUGAUUUAUAUGAAAUUAUCUUGUGCAUACUGCCAGUUGUGAAUAUCAAAUGUGUUUUAUGCACGUUGAAAUUUUUAGGAUUGUUCAACUUACAGGGGAGACUGCCGAAAUUUCGGCAUAAAAUCUCGUGCCCUUAUUCCUUAUUGGGAAAAAUGAUUUAGUUUUAGAAGUGGGUUCGACAUCGGGGUGAUGUCGGGAAUUUUCACAGGAUUCAUCUCGGGUUUCGGGAAAUUCGGGUCGGGUCCUGUCAAACACCACGUAUUAGGUAAGGGUAAAGGCUCAAUUCAGGCCCAGUCAAUCAACCCAUUAUGAUAUCAUGUUAAAUUUCAGAUAGACGGGCCUGUGGCCCACCACUAGUAACAUUGAUAUUGUCCCCAACUUAACUACAUGUUUAGUAGGUGUGGAGUUCUAUACAAAAGAUCUCGAUGUUUUUAGGAGUGAAACCACUUAUUAUAAGUUGUAAUUUAUUUAGUCAAGUUUCCAGUCAACCUGACUUUGAUACCAUGUUAAGAUUUUAAAGGGACGAACUCUUGGCCCACCAUUAGCAAUAUCGACAUUGUCCCCAACUUAACCACCUGUUUAACAAGUGUGGGGUUUUAUCCUAAAGAACUCGAUCUUAUUAAGAGUGGAGCCAUUUAUUAUAUGAAACUUUCUAUUUUGUUAACUCUGUGUAUUCUUCAUCAAUGUGAACACCCCUAAACCAAUCAUACCUGAUACGGAUUGAAACACAAGUUUGUUUUUUGCCUUUGGUAGAUGAGUAGCUAGAAAAGCUCAAUGCACUUGCUCUUCUUCUGCUACAUUUCAAUAUAAGAACAAGGUUUGGAAGCCAGGUCAACUCCUCAUAGUUUCCUUGCCUUUGCUUUGACAUGUCUAUGCACUUCUUGGGGAAGUUUGAAUAAUCAAUUGCAGGCCCCACGACAACUAAGGAACCAACAUUUUGUAGAAGGUUUUGUCUACACCUUUUGACUAUAAGUAAAAUCUUUUGUAUCUGCUCUUAUGUUUCGGUGAAGUUUCUAUGUGUCCUUUGUUGAACGAAAAAAUGAGGUUGUUUCUUACUAGAUUCAAAUACUUAAAAGAAAAAAAGAAAUUAUUGUUUCUUAAUUGAUUUUAUGGUGAACAAUAUCAAACUCUCCUCUUAUACGUCUUCUUCGUUGGACUUGGGGUUGUUUUCCUUAUAUGUCCCUUAUAUAUAUAGGGCCUUUGGUUGAGCCCACAAAUACCUUCAGUUAGUUUUUGGGUUUAGGGGCCUACAGAACCUGCACUAAACAAUAAAAGAAAAUACCUAAUUAGUUUAGUACGAAUUCUAUAAUGAAGGCUUUAUUAGGUAAGAUUUUAUUUCUUAAUCGUUAGAUCAAAUUUGACAGGACCCGUUCCUGAAUUUCUCGGAAAUCAGAGCGAACCCCGUCCUUGUUUCGACAUCACCCCGAUGCAGGGUCCACUUACUAAAAACCGAGACUUUCUACCAAAAUUUUGAUAGAAUCUCCCUUGUAAAUUGAGCAAACCCAACAAAAAUUUCAGCCUGCAACAUACAUAAAAAUAAUCCCAACCAGCAGCAUGCUUACAACAUACAACAAAACGUACUAAAUGGCCUCCGGCCUCACAAGUAAAAUUUAACAUGGGUAAUCUACUGAUGUAAACGAUUCGGCCUUCGAACACUGCUUGCAACCUUCCUGAAGCGACUACUGGCUAAGGGGCGCAAAACAGAAAACAUGUGAGUGGACAAAAACAAGAUUCAAUUAAAACAACAUAGUAACCCCACCGUGUAAAAAUAAUGCUCAAGACAUGUAGGUUUACAAUUCAUAAUUAAAUAUUCAAAAACAAAUUUCAUUUAAAAUUCUUUAAAACCACAAAUCACUCCAUCCAUAAAACCUCAUGCCCACAAUUUUACUGCUCCUACCAACCCACUGUAUAGACUCUAAUUUCUUCACAAUCACAACUAUAUAUAAAUAUAUAAAUUGUAUCAUACAACAUACUCCUCACACUACUUAGGUACAGGGGAAACAAUCCAACCGGAGGAUCGUUUAACUAGCCCGCAGGAUUUUCAGGUGCUAUCCUGAGUCUAGGAAUGAGUGGUCCAACCAGGGGACGAAACUCUAUAGCUCACACACCGGAACAUCCAACGCCACGUGUAGCUCCAAUACUAAGUCCUACAGGCACAGACUGGAUCACCACACACCGGAACAUCCAAUGCCAUAUGUGAUAAUCCCAAGCAAUAUACAGAGUCUUCCCAUACGUCGGAACAUCCAACGCCGCGUAUGGAAAGUGUUCACACGCCGGAACAUCCAACGCCACGUGUGGGAAGCCUAUUAACUGGGGAAAGUACUUACAUAGUGUAAUCAUACAAUUUCUCUCAACAACUCCUCAUACUCAAGUUCUUCCACAAACUCACCUCAACAAUCCCAAGUACCCCACCUAUAGACAAUAUAUAUAUAACUUCCCCAAAAUCUAUACAAAACAUACUCUCGAUAUCCAAAUAUGCCAAACUCACAAUAUAUUGCCAAAGUGCAAUACAAACAUCAAAAUCAACACAUGAAUAUAAUAUAUAUUCAAUAUACCAUUUAAAACAUUAUGCGUAAAUCUUUCAUCAAUAAAACCAUGCGUAUGAUUGAAAACAAAGUCCACUCACAAGUAUUCCUACGCUGCUUGACCACGAGAGAGUCCUGCCUGCUGAGUACGUGCAGUAGGAGCACCUAUUUUGAGAUACAAACCUUUAAUUAAUAUAAAAUUACUUCAAAACGGAAAACACAAAUUAAAUACUUAAAUCCCCAAGUUCCCAGUACAUGUACGUUGAACGAGGUAUCCUAAGGUCUAGUUACAAGUUUGGGAAUCGCUCACGAUUGGACGGUUAUCGCUAACCCACAAAUUUUGAAUUAUUGAAUCGGAACAUUCGGGGCUCCGAUUCACGAUCCGUGAAGUCCUACGUGAUCCUAGGAAUACCUAAAACAACAUAUUUUAAUUGGAAAACGCACAAUAUGCGAAAAUCCGUUCGAUAGUCAAACGAUGUCCGAAUUGAGAUUCGCAAAAUGCUACGCACUCGUGACAACCUGAGGAUCUCAUCAGGACAAAGUGCAACUUCACCACCCUCACCCACGCGCCGGCAGCGCGUGGGUGUGUAGAGUAAAUUCCGGCGAUGGAAAAACUCCACACCUACUUGAGGUCAGGAUCUCAUCACUCAACUACAGGGAGGUUCAAUUAGGACGGCAACUGGCCGGAAUUUCACUUUGAAAUCCAGCCAAAACUUAGGUUUUCUAAUCGGUUCCUAGACAACAAAUCGAUCUAAACCUAUGCAACAGUCAGCUAGACUAAGGAAAAAGAGGAAGAAACCUCACAUUUUUCACUGGAAUCGGAAGGGAGAGGCGACGGGGCGACGUCGGGAAGACUCGGGUUUGAACCAGUCGAUGCCGUUGACGAUUCUCGCAUUUUUCGGGGGGACUUUGGGUGGUUCGGGUUAGUGGCUUCACGACGAGUCGAACGGGACCGGUCUCGGGGGCUGGGGUGGUCGGGUGUGGUGGCGGUGUGGUGGUUUUCGUCUCGGUGAACAGUAACAGGGGAGGGUUUCGCACGCGCAGAGAGGGACUCGGGAGAGAGAGAGAGAGAGAGAGAGAGAGAGAGAGAGAGAGGAGAGAAAAGAAAAAUUAGAUUUUUACUCUCCUCUUUUCAAAAUAUUUACAAGUUUGCCACUAAUGAUGUUUUGAUCGCCAUUUUCUUGUUACAACUCCGAUUCAAGCCUACCGCAUGUCUAGGAAUUCAUCUCAGUACCACCUACCCAAAAUUACCAGUCAUGGUCCCAAACUCUUCCCGUAACAGAAAAUGACUAAAAUACCCCUACCCCAAGGGUAAAUUCAUAAUUUCACUUAAAUAAAUUAAAAAUAGGAAUCAAAUUUGGAGUCGGGGUGUUACAAAAUUGGUUAGUACGAUCCAACGGUUAAUAGAUAAAACUUUACAUAAAAGUCAUAUAUAAGGCCCUCACUAUAGAAUGACUCGUUAGUUUAGUCUCUUGUUACAUAUCAACUGUUAGAGAUAUUUUUUUAAUAAGGAUCUACCAUACCACAUAGUUGGAUAAGACAUUAUACACAACUUUUGUAAGAGCAUCUCCAGCGAGCCAGGCCAGCCCAAGCAGCAAGGGGCCUUAAGCCCGGUAAGCAGCUCCAGCGCUCAAGAUUCAGCCCAGGCAAGGUGUGGAACCCACAAGGAGAUCUGGCCCGUCACCUUGCCUUUGGGUUUCAGUCAGGCUGAUGUCAACGAAAGAAUUUCAAAAAAAUUUUGCCGUUGCAAUGCACGCGCCAACGAUAAAUUUUCUUUGGAUUUCUUGCGUUGAUCCACAGCUACCAAAAACCAACGGCUACAAGCCACGUGGCUUCUCCAAGAGCCUCUGAUCCAAAAAUCUUGUCAAAUCUAACGGCUGUCCAUUUUUUGGCUAAAAAAAUAUCAAAAAAUUAUGGAAACAUUUUCUAUAAAUACCUACAAAUAUUAUUCACUUCCCACACCAAACCUUCAUACAAAUUCAUAUCCUUUCAAUAUUUUUCACUUUCCACACAAGAUUUUCUACUACUAAAUUUCAUUUGUGUAAAAAUACAAGUGGCCUCUUCUAUCAAAGCCGGAGGCGCGUGGACAACCGUGGAAGAUAUUUUGUUGUGUGAGUGUUGGGUCAAAGUUGGUCAUUGCCCGAUCACCGGCAAUGAGAUGAAGUCCUCUCGUAGGAGUUUCUGACAUCGCAGCGAAAGUAAGAUGUGAUAUGAGAAUGUAAGGAAUUUGAUGAGAGGAAUGGGAUUUGAGGAGUUUGAUGUAGGAAUUGAUGUUGAAUUGGAUUUGGGAGGUAUGUAUAUAUGAUUUGAGAGUAUGUGUUUAGGGAUUUUGAUAGGAGGAUUUGAGGAAUUUAGAUUUGAGGGAUUUGGAUUUGGGGAAUUUAAAUAUGAGGAAUUGAUUUAGGGUUUGGGUUUGAAUAUGAGAAAUUUGAUAUGAGAGUUUAGAGACAACUGAUGAUUGAUUGCUCUAAUACCAUGCUAAAAUAUAAAUAUGGUUUGAAUACUUUAGGUUGAGUUUUAUUCUUUUCCAUAAGGAGGUAUAUAUAGCAGUUUACAUGAGUGUUUUACAAGGAAAUAGAUACAGUAAUCAAUUAGGAUAAUAUCUCCUAAUUAUACAAUAAUUUGUCAACUAUAUAGAAUAGGAAAGUAAAUUCCUUAAUUAAUCAAGAAAAUAAAUCUCAUUGAUUAAUUAAGAGACUAACGUCAACAUUUAUAAGCCAUGGAAGAGCAGAAAAAGAGGUACUUAGGAGAUUUUAUACGUCGGACUAAGGUAAGCUUAAAGGACUAUAUCAAAAAAAUAAGGGACCAAGAAGCAAGACUGAGAAGUUGUUAUGCAAACCCAUUAAGUUUAGCAGUGAUGAAUUUGUAAAAAUCAUUCUAGUGGAUGCUGCCUUCACUAUUGAGUUCUUAUUGAGGUUCUAUCUGAAAGGAUGUAGACAUGAAGGAGACCGCUUAUUAAACAAAUCAGCUCCCAUUCUUUAUUCUUGAGGAUCUUUAUCACACAUACAUAAUAACCGACUCUUUUAGGAAUUAUUACAGUACUCAUGAUCAUGAGAGGCUUUCAAUAAUUAAUAUUUCUAAGAAUUUCGUCACAGCUGGAAUAUUGAAUUUGGAGGGGAAGGGAGACAAAUGGAACAGAAUAUCAUCUUCUUCUAGUGUUGGAAAUUUUAUAUUAUUUAAUAAUAUUUAAUUUCUAUUGUGAAUGAAAAAUAAGUUUCUUUAAGAAACGUGUGUCUUAGGCCAGUUUUUCUAACUGGUCGGCUUCCUUAGAUUUGUGCCUAUUGCUUUUCAAAGUAUAAUGAUGCAAUGGUUGUAUCUCGUUCAGGCAAAUGGAAGGUAUAUAGCAAUUUAUAGAACAAUACAGUAAUCCAGAAGAAAUAUUAUGAAAUGAAAAGAAUAAAAAGUAAAAAAAGAGAAGGAAAGGAAUUCCCACCUGCAAUGUAUAUGUAUGAAAGGAAGGACCAAGUUUGUUUUAAAAUGGUAAGAACAAGUUGAUUUAUAAUUGGGUUCAGAUCAACUCAUGGAUUUCUUGCCUUUUCUAUUCUCCUUCCUUGGACAUGAACUGUUUAAUCUUGGCUCUUCCCCAUCAUGUUGGGCCUAUCUUCUUCUUGAGGAUUGUAUAGGCCCAGGAAAUGCUUCAAGAUAGUUUUUGUGUUUUGGGCAUUGGGACCUAACUUCACAAAAAGAAAACAGAUUUGGCCAAAAAACAAAUUUGAAGGACAUUGAAAUUGUACCUGUAGGAUAGGUUAAAACACUGUAAGGGAGGUAAAUAGUACGUUUACAUAGUUUAAGUGUAAUAAAGGAAUAAAAACAUGCCCAGAGGAUUGAUAAGUGAUAUCAAUUCUUGAAUAUAGAGAACGUAAAAUAAAGGAACACGUAUAAAAUUAUUUUAUGUGGUAAAACCCCAUCUCUAGGGAAAAUCCACGGGACUUCUUAGUCCAAAACAAAUCUAUUAUAGAACGAUGAUUACAAGAAGUACUCACACACUUAUCCUAGACACAUUCUAGAUAAUGUUUACUGACCUCUUCGUAACUCAACUUCUGUCACAGGAUGAUCUUUCGACACUUCUUAUGUUGAACGCAAUACUAGUCACGAUUUCUUUCAAGCUCAUUGGAGAAAAACCGCCACAACAGUCUCGGUGCCCUCAAUCUUAUGAGUCACUGAACAUGCAAAUGAAUACAAUAUGAAUGAUAAAAGUGUUUGAUAAAUCACCAAGUUAUGGAACACUUGAUGAUUUAUUUCAAGUAAAAAUUCAGCUUUCCAAAGUUUAUGAAUUGAAAAUAUGAUCGUUAAAGCUCUCUAAACAAAAAAAACGAAGGUCUUAUUUUAUAGACUUUUUCUUUACAAGAAAGAAAACACGUUGAAAACCAAAUCUCCAAUUUCAAGGCUUGACAGAAAAUCACAAAAGUAUCUUUCCUAUUCUAGAGAUUGGUCACAUGAAGUCCAACCAAUAGGAAAUGAGAUAUUUAAGAAAGGAAGAUUUUGAUCAAUAUCAAUAUCAAAUGAAUUCUUAUAUGCCUAGUCAACUAUUAAGGGUAUCUUAACUACUUGAUAUUAUGAUAUGAUUGAAACAUGAUUUCCACGUUAGAAAAUUAAGGGGAUUUUAAAACAUGAAAGUAAUAGGAGAAUCAAAUUGAUUUGGACCAAAAUUGCCUAAAAAGAAAACACUCCUAAAUAAACUUCAAUUCACUUUUAAAAACAGUAAAACUUGAUUGAAUCGUUCUUUAAAACAAUUCCCUAAUAUACAUGCAUGAUAGUGACAUCACUUACCUCUGAAUCAGAUGCCUUUUACGAGUCAAGCCACAAGUUUGUGUUUUGGGGAUUGCUGAGCUGCAUCAAUCCUGCCAAUGUCAAUUCUGCCCCUAGGCUCUCUCAAAGCACGUUUACAAUCUAUGCUAAUAUAUACUAGAGUUUAUGCUAGUAUCUAGAAAAUGCCAACACUAAUUUCGUAACACGUAGAAAUUGUUAGAGAUUGGAAGUUUUUUUCAUUUUUUUCUUCCAGACUCUCCACCACUCACUAAUACAGUUUACUCAUGUGAUGAAUUUACAAAACCUAUUUCUCUACUCUCACAAAGACUAUACUUAGGGGGGGUGUAUUCAAUUAGGAGUCUAGAGCGUUUAAAAAGAUUUUGUUUAAGUGCCAGCUUUCAUAGAACUUGAUGGAACUUUAUAAUUCGUAUAGAACUUGAUAGACUUUCAGAAGACUUCUGUAUAAUUUGUUAAUAAAACUUUCUUAAGCUUUCAUAGAACUUGAUAGGCUUUUAUUCCAGAAUUAUGUAGACAGUAUAUUUCAUUUUAUCCCCAUCCUUGUCAUUUAAAGAAAGAAACUUGAAUGUUUUCAAUCAAAUUUGUUUUUGUUACCAAAGCAAAAACAAAAAGUACUUGUUUGCGAAGGAAGAACAUAUGCACAGUUCAAAAUGAAAAGAAUAAGAAGCAAAGUACCUAUUGGACCAAUGAAUGCUGUGUCAACUAGAGAAGCAAUUGGAUCGGCUGUCAAAGCCAAUGCUACAGGCAAUGCAUCGAUGGUCCAAAUUGCAAUAAAAAAUAUUUUGUAUAAUGGUUCUUGCAGACAAAGACCACAUAAAUUCUGGACUGGUCCAGCUUGAAUAAUAAGGUUAGAUUAGCCGAUGGAUGAGAGUAAAAGCAAAGAAAGUUGAUGAAUUCAUCACCAAUUAUUUAAUAACUGUAACAUCCCACAUUGACCAACGGAGAGGGGGUGAUGUGCCUUAUAUGUACAUGCCCACUUCCAUCUAGCAUGAGUCCUUUUGAGAGCUCACUGGCUUCGGAGUCAUGGGAACUCUGAAGUUAAGCGAGUUGGGGCUAAAGCAAUCCCAGGAUGGGUGACCCACUGGGAAGUUGCUCAUGAGCUUUAGAAACAAAAAUCAUGAGGGCAUAAAGGGAGGCCCAAAUUGGAUAAUAUCGUGCUACGGCGGAGCCGAUCCCAGGAUGUGACAAUAACCAAUAGAGUAUUUAAACAUAAACAACAAUGUUUGAUAAACAAAACAAAUAGUCCAAAUAUUAUCCAAAAAACAAUUCUAAAACCAAUCAUUCCAAACAAACUAGUCAUUCCCAAAAACUCUCAAAAAACCCACUCAUUCCAAAUUAUAGGAUAUCCAAUUUGAGCGCUCCUCAGGAGACAUUUUCAAAAAUGCAUCCUUUUUUGUGUUACUAUGCAACAAAGAGAGCGCUUUAUAAUGAGCACGUUCAUCCAAAUUUGAGGUCUCCUUAAUGGCAUCCCACAUAUAACUCUGCUGCUCUCGCUCUUUUCCCCUUUUUGCCAAUAGGUUAUGGACCUCCCGGAAGUCGGUGACAAUUGAAUCAAUGCUAAGGCUAAUUCUUCCCAUAGCUUGUUGGGUGGUCACAUUUGAGAUGGCAUUCCCUUCCAAAUCUAUUCUAGUUCGUUUCCUCUAGUAACAAGCAUAAAUCCUAGUAACAAGCAUAAACCCUAAUCCCAACCUAUAACCUAAUAACAAGAAAAACACGAUGAAAAAAAAAUCAUGGAAAAAGAAAACCCAACGAGGUAUUGAUCAAAAAAAAAAAUAGGGAGCAUACCUUCACAGAUGGAGGAAGGAAGCUGUUUGUCUUCACAGAGAGAAAAGCUAGGGAAAGAGAAAAACGUCUGAUGAAAUACUUUGGGGGGAGGUUGGAUUUCUUUUGGUCUUUGAUAUUUAUAACUCUCCCCUUAAAACCUACAAAAAUUUAUCACUUAAUGAAAUCCUUCCAAAUAUAUGACCUUUCGAAUACACCUAGAUUUGAUUCAACUUUUUUAUAAUCCUAAUUGAAUACACCCAUAUUUGAGUGGACUUUUUAAAAGUUCAUAUAAGUCCGAAUUGAAUACACCCAGACUUGUAAAACCUCUUUUAAAGUUUGUAUAAAUCCAAAUUGAAUACACCCGGAUUUUUAAAAUAUUUUUUAAACGCUUUAUAAUCCUAAUUGGUACAUCCCCCUUAUUCUCAAAAGACUAUAUCACUUUACCUCUAUCUCUGUGAAAUGUAAAAAGUUGAAACUUUAAUGUCAAACCUCGACAAAAGAUGAACUUCCAUCAGUUGCGUUGAAUUUGGAUUUGUUGAACUAAAGUGGUUUUACUUUCUCUGUCAGUGUUUGAUGACUUAAUUUGGUAUUUACUUCUUUUUUUCCUUGGAAAUGUGUUCCACCAACGUGAGGAAGAAAAAUGUGCACAAAUUAAUAUAUUUAAUAAAAGCCCAAGAUUUCGGAAGCACAUAAUUUCUACAAAAAUCUAGAAAGUGUUCUACUUUACAAACUUCUUAUGUCUAUCAAUUUCUACUAAAAUUAAUUUCUCUGUGGUGCUCAGAUUCAUCAUAUGUGUGUCCUUAAUUUUAUUGGAAAUUAGAAGUUUCCAUAAUUUUUAUUUUUUGGGAAUUUUCUGAACCAAGAAAAAUCAAGUAAAAUUAAUAAAGCUUAAAUUGGAAAGGGAAAAUAUCUAGAGGACGCAUUGUAGGAUUUCUCAUGCCGAUAAUUGUACCCUCUAAAUAUAUAGGGACAUAUUUUUUUUGUUUUCAUGACAUGUGGUCCUAAAAUUAUUGUUCCUAGCGGGCUCUCCACCCCCUCUCAAAUUUACGUGGUCCAUUAUGAUUAACCAUAUAUUUUAUUGACCAUCCAGCUGUGAGGUUUUAUCCCAAAAACCUUAGGUACAUUUCUCAAUUAUGUCUGAUACAUCACAUCAUGCCACAAUUGUAUAUUCACAAUUAUGUCUGAUACAUCACAUCAUGCCACUUGCCUCAAAUGAAUUUAAGUGAGUGUGGCAGUGGGAAGUAAUUACUUCUAGGUGCCCCUCAUCAUUCGUCUAUAAAAUGGUGAAGCCAGUGGCUAUAAGAGCCAGCUCCAACUUUCUUUUAUUCGUCUAUAAAAUGGUGAAGCCAGUUGCCAAGUUAAUUUCAGUCCUAAUGGGGUUUCAUCUCCCACUCAUCUUUGCUAUUCUCAGUGUAAGCUCUGCAAUUUGAUUAACUUUUCCAUUCUCUCUCAUUGUACUCUAUAUAAACGAAAGUUUUGUGUUCCUAUAAUUCUCUUUGAUUUUAUUUAGUACGUACUUAAGUGUCGUCCACUAAUUAAUUACAGUUUGUGAGAUUUGAUUUUAAUUAGAGUUCGAAUUAAUGUUGCAGCUAGCAGUGGUUGCACUGGCAAACCAUGCUGCUCAACCAGCACCUCAACUUUACUGGAACUCCGUCCUGCCAAACACACAAAUGCCAAGAUCUAUCAGUGAACUUCUGCAUCCUGGUUUGUGUUGAGCUCUUUAGAAUCUUAGAUAUCUCUUCUACCUGCCAUUUUACUAAAAUAUGUUCGACCACAUAUUUAUCAGUUAACUACUGUCAUUACAUGAGUGACACUUAUUCACAAAUCGGCUGAUCACUUAUUUUCCAUUUUACAUGAGUGAUAUAUAAUUUGCAGACUCCACAAAUGAAGAAAAUAUCGUGAAUGCUGUUGGGAAUGGAAAGCGCAAACCUGAAAUUUUCCCAUUGAGAAAUAUAAAUUACGUUCAAAGCCAUUAUGGAGUGUUAAAUAGAAAUUACGUUCAAAGCCAUUAUAAAAAACGUCCUCCUCCACCUGAAAAUAUCCCAUUUGCAAAUCGAAAAAAGUACGCACUAGGUUCUCCUCCAUCUGACAAUCAACUACUCCAUUAUAAAGAGUUAGCUAUUUUCUUCUUCGAGAAGGACAUGCGCCCUGGCGCAACAAUGAAGUUCCAAUUCCCUAGAAAUUCAAACACGGCUACUUUCCUGCCACGCGAAAGUGCUCAAUCGAUCCCCUUCUCCUCUAACAAACUACCAGAAAUUUUCAACCAUUUUUCAGUGAAGCCAACAUCUGUGGAAGCCAAAACAAUUAAGCAAACAAUCGAAGAGUGUGAAGCUCCAGGCACUAAGGGAGAGGAAAAAUAUUGCGCCACAUCUUUAGAAUCAAUGGUUGAUUUUAGCACUUCGAAGCUUGGAACAAGAAACGUUGAAGCAGUCUCGACGGAGGUAUUGGAAAAAGGAGCCACCAUGUCCAUGCACAACUAUACAACAAUGCCGGGACUGAAGAAGUUGGCAGGUGACAAAGUCGUUGUGUGUCAUAAGGAGAACUAUCCCUAUGCUGUGUUUUUCUGCCAUGCAAUAAAACAAACAGCAGCUUAUGUUCUCUCCCUGAAAGGCGAUGAUGGGGAGAAGGUUAAAGCAGUAACCAUCUGCCAUCUAGACACAUCAGAAUGGAACCCAGAGCAUUUGUCCUUCCAAAUCCUCAACGUUAAGCCCGGAACCGUUCCCAUCUGCCAUUUCAUUUCCACUGAUGCUAUUGCCUGGGUUCCAAAACACAAAUUUGCAUGAUCAUCACUUAGCACUGUGGUGUAAGAUAUAUGAUGAGAUAAAGUUUUUGGUAUUAGUGGUCGGGUUGCCUGAAAAACACAGAUUACAGAAACUGCUUGAAAUUAACCCGAUCAUGUUUUCUCUUGUAAGACUUCAACUUGUACUCCUAAAGCAAGUUAUAUUUAUGAAGAGAUAUUAAUCUAUAUAUAUUUUAUGUAUAUAUAUAUAUAUAUAUAUAUGCUUUGGCUUUGUGGUUCUACCCAGUGUUUGAGUGUUGAAUUGUUACGUUGGAAUAGGCUGAUAAUGCGUGUAGUUAGAGAAGCCUUCAUUUAUAUCAAAGUCCUCAAACUAUCAAGAACUAAUGUAUCCAGAAACAUAUACCAAGACGCAAAACAACAUAUUUUCCAUGCUCUGUCUGUAACGCCAAAGCAAACUUCCUUUAUCACAUCAUUUAAAGGAUCAAAUUCCAGUACUAAUCUAAUCCAUCAUGUAAAGCAUACAAGUGCCUCCCUAAAUUUGUCCAUUGGAUAUAAAUGUUGAGAAAAUUAGAGUACACAACUCUAAUAUGAUAGUUGUACACAACUCUAAUAUCAUAAAGCAAACAAAAUUUCUAAGUUAGUUUGCUUUAUGAUAGUUGUUUUUUGAAGGGGUCCUUAGAUCCUAUCUCAAAAAGUUUGGCUUUUAUUAGGUUUAACUCUGGUUUUUAUCUCUACCCACUAACUUUUAUCUCUCAUUUUUAUUACCCAUUUUACCCUUUAAAAUAAAUAGGGCAAUAAACUAAAAAUUCUGAUUUAAUGCAUGUUUUACUCAUAAGAGAACUAAAAACUAAAAAUUCUAUACUCUAACACAAAAAAUGAAAACUAAAAACUAAAAUUGAAAUGGUUUCAAGCAAUUGCAUGUCAGGCGCUAUAUAUAAUGUAUUAGCCAUGGUUUGUUUAAUACGCGGUCAUUCGUCAUUUUCCCAUUCAAAAUAUUGAAAUUACGAACUACAUACCAUGAAAGAUAAGAAACUAAAAGCUUCAAGCAAAUAGAAAUGUGCUACAAACAUAGUAAUGAAGAUGUGGAAGCAUUAUCUCAGACGAAUGAUUCUGAAGUGGAAAAAACAAGAACAAAAAAGGAAGUGAGUUAAAUUUGCACCUGCUAUGUUCAAACGACAAAGUUGGUUUCCCUUUGGUCGAUUACAAGAGAAGCUCAAUGCAGCUUACUUGGUUCCUCUGGUAGAUGAAAAUAUAAUUUUUCUCCUAAUAAUAAGGGUAUAGUGCAAUCAAUGAUGGGCUGUAUAGAACAACUUUUUUGUUUUAUGUGUUUAUGUGAGACAUGUUUUGCCAGAUUGAAUUAAUGUCUUCUAGCCAUGUACCUUAUCUUUUUGCCGGGCCAUGAGUUGAAUGUAGAGGCAAAGUAUGGACUUGGGGUCAAGUUUGACUUGUAAAAUAAUUAGGAAUUGAAUGGCUCCUACGUUCAAUUAUUUUAAUUUUUUUUCCCGAGCCAUUCAAUUCCUAAUUAUUUAGAUUUUCGAUUUAGUGAGCAUCCACAAUCAUGCUCUCUAUUUUUAAGUUAAAUUUUAGUUAAAAACAUAUAAAAGUUAUUUAGGAGCUCUCUAUAAAAUUUAAACUUCAAUCGUUUUCUAUAGUUUAGGGAGUCAUAAAUGUCAUAACUCUUUUUUGAUUGGUCCAUCUCUAUUAAAAAAUAAAAUAAAAAAUAGUUAGCAUGAAAUAAAGGUUUGAAAUACUCAUUAAAUAAAGCAGCAUUAAAUUAUAGGGAGCCACUAAGAGUCCUUUCUCUCUCCUCAAGUUUAGGAGCUCCUAGAGGUCUCCCUAUUUUAAGAGGUGGAUAGGGAGUAUGGUUGGAAUUGUAUUUUUACAAUUCCUCCCUAAAAAUUUUCUAUGGAUAGGUGGUUUUAAGGAACCCAUUGUGGAUGCUCUGAUCUCAAAGAAAGAAAACCUCGAGUUUGCAAGCAAGUUUUCUACGUAUGUAUAUAUGAAAAACUGACAUUUAUGAAAAUAAUAAAUCCAUAUUUUUAUGUAAGCCAACUUUCUAAAUCCAUGUACUAUAUUUAUUAGGGAAAUAUUGGAGAAACUGAUUAUUUUGAAAAAUUAAAUGUGAAAAACUGAACAAAAAUUUGACAGGUUACAUAUUUCAACUCAUUCAGCAGCUUAGGUUGUGAAGACCUCAGAAGAGGCUAUGCAAUGAGCCUAGCUAGUGCACUGUUGAUCACUUCAGUGUUUACCGAUCUGUAAUUUUUCCAGAUUGGUUAUAUUUUCCUUUACAUAUUCUUAUAUUUUUCCCAGUUGGGGAGACUUAUAAAUAAACCCAAAAUGGGUACAAUAUCUAUACAGAAGGACAAAAUUAAAGUGUUUGGACAAUAAUCCCCUAUUCAUUUUGGGAUUGCCUAAGGAAUUCUUUUUCUGAUUUUCAAUGAUGCAAAGGACUGUUGUUUGAUGCUUGCCGUAUGGAGCUAAGAAAACUUGCUUUGAUAGUUUUGGACAGAUGCAAGCUACUGUUGUUGGUAGGGGUGGGCACGGUCCGGAUUGGUUCGGUUUUACUCUCAAACCACAGCUGAACCAAUAAGAAAAUAACGGUUCGGUUUGGUUCGGAUUAGCCUAAAAUCAUAAUGGAAACCGAACCAAUCCAAACCACUUGUAAUCGGUUUGGUUCGGAUUGGUUCGGCCGGUUUGUGCCUAACACAAAACCAUGCAUUUUUCAACCUGCUCUUACAUUAUAAUGCUAACAUUUUGCCAUUAUAUCAUUCCAUUCCAUUCCAUCAAAGGCUAAUACAACAUCAUUCCAUUUAUUCAAAGGUUGUCCAAUGUCUAGCAUGCAUCUAAGUUCACAAUUUCCAUCAAAACAAACAUAUACAUAAUUUGCAUUAACCAAGUAGCAUUACAUUUACUCAUUGCAUUCAUCACAAUUCAUAAGAGAUGAGAACGAAUCAAUUUUACUUUAACAUAUUAAACAAAUGCAUUCUUUGUAAUAGUUAAACAUUCUCACAUCAUGAAUAUCGGCAAGCUUAUAAAGCUGCUGCACCAACUUGCUAAUUGAUUCGUCUGUACCAGGAACAACAGUAGUAAUGCGAGAGAACCCCUCAACUUCUGCAUGGCCAACAGCUAAACUCUGGAAACGAGAAACCAGCUCAAUUAUAACAAAUGCCUAAAACUUCUACCUUAACAGAAGACAAAGGAGGAAAUAACAGCAGAAGGAAACCAAAUUUCUCAAUUUAAUAACUGAUAUUUCCAAAGGAUUCUUAAGUCUAAAAUUCGACCAAGACUUGAUUAACUAUUCCAAUGUCUAGCAUGCAUCUAAGUUUAUAACUUUGUUCCUUCUUUAACAAAAAGAACAAGGAGAAAAAGCUAAUAAUAAGGUAUCCUUCUUUAACAGGCAUCAAGCAUAUCACAUAAGCAACAUUUUAUAUACAUUAUUCUAUGAACAAAACUAAAUCAAAGCAAGGUAUGCUACAGUCUUUUUGUACAAUAAAAUAGAUUAACAUAUUUUAUAACCAUAAAAAUGAAAAAUUAGGCCUCAUAGAAAAUACCAUUUUAUUUUUCAACUCUCUAACUUUUUAUAUAACCAGUUAUUGGAGACAAUACAAAAAAUAAAGUAGUAGACAGAACUAGCAUAUUUUACAAACCCAGCUGAUGAUGACGAUCCACCACCAACAAUAUUCCCAUAAUCAAUCCUUGCAUAACCUGAUGGUCGAUGAUGGAACUUGGGUUUUGUAGAGAUGGAUUUCGCUGAGGACAAAUGGGUGGGUUUCGCCGAGUUCGAAUCAUGUUGGCUUGAGUUAGCGUCGAGGGAGAGGGAGAGGGAGAUGUAGCAGAGAGACAAAGAGAGAGGGAGAGGUAGCAGAGAGAGAUGGAGAAAUAAUGAGAGGGAGUUGCGGCUAGGGUUAAGAGACGAAGGAAGGGAGAUAGGAGAGAGGCUCUUCUGAGGGAGAGAGAAUGGUUAGAUAACUUAGAUGUGUCCGUGAGUUGUAGUUUUGGAGUCCAAUCAAGUGUUGCAGGGUACAUGGUACACUCUUAAAUAACCACUCAAACCUUGCCACAUGUAAACUAAAUUAAAUAAAUAAUAAAUUGAUUUAUAAUCGGUCCGGUUCGGUUUAGGACAGUUUUUAAAACUCUCAAACCACAGCUGAACCAAACCAAACCGGUUCGGUUCGAUUUUUCAAAAUGUUGACUUUUUCUUUGGUCAAAACCAAACCAAACCAAUCCAAUAUAAUCGGUUCGGCUGGAUUGACCUGAUCGGCCAGAUUGAUGCCCACCCCUAGUUGUUGGGAUGAUCUUUUCACGUGAAAUGAGGAUGACGAUACUUCUACACUACACAAUCCAACGAAUUCACAUUUCUAUUUCAGAUACAUGUAUAAACAGACAAGGCUUUAAAAUAUGGGAUGCUGCACUGUUGUUGCUGCUGCUGACACUGUUACUGUGUUGCUGCUACUGUUACUGCGCUGCUACUGGAAGAAGGACAAGGACUUCACAUGUUGCUUUCGUCCUUUGUGGAGGAGAGAGACCUAGGACUUGCAUGUCUUAGAUAUUUAAGAUAAGGGGCUUUCGUGCCAUUUUGAAAAUACUUUGGGUGUUUUUGAAAGCUGCUUGUUUCUUUUGGGUUUCUCACUAAAUUUCGCUAUUAGAAGGGAAAAUAAUAAUAAUAAAAAUACAGCUCUUAUUAGCAACAGGGUUACAAAUUCUUCUACAACACACCAACUGUUGUAAAAGUUUGAAGGUGGAGCCCACAGAGGAAGUUUCCUUGCAUCUUCCAGGAACUUUCCCUUCCCUGUAUUUAUCAAUUCAGGAAGUUUCCUUGCAUCUUCCAGGAACUUUCCCUUCCCUGUAUUUAUCAAUUGAGGAAGUUUCCUUGCAUCUUCCAGGAACUUUCCUUCCAUGUAUUUAUCAAUUCAGGAAGUUUCCUUGCAUCUUCCAGGAACCUUCCCUUCCCUGUAUUUUACCAAAACCUUAGCCUAUAAAUAGGCUUGCUCAUUCACUUGUAAUACACACCAAAAUGAAGAGAAGAAUGAGUGAGGAAAGAAAGAAAGGAAGAGAAGGAAGAAAGAGGGUGAGUAAGUAGAGAGAAAAAUAGAGUGGAGAGAAAUUAGUGAGCCACAUAUAUUGUAAACACUAAAGUUGUAGCCCUAUUAUUUUACAUAGUGGAAAAGUUACUACUGCUGCUCUCCGGGGACGUAGGCAUAGCCGAACCUCGUUAAAUACUGUGUCUCAUUUACUUUACGUGCAGCUCAAUAUUCAUACAUAUUCCAGGUUAUUUUUAUAACACGUUAUCAGCACGAGAAGCUCUCAGGUAUAAUUUUUGUGCUGCACUAUUAUCUAUACUACUAACCACUAACAAAAAUGGACCCUUGGUAAUACUAAACAUAUUAUCAGUGGGAGACCGUUACUAAUACUAACUUUUUCUUAUUUUAUUCGGUGGUGGUUUUAACCCCACAUUUAUUUACUGUAUGGUGUAGGUUUAUUACCCAUACAUGCACCUUUACUUUAUCGCAAAUUUAUUUUACCGCAUAUUUAUUUUAUUUACUGUAUGGUGUAGGUUUAUUACCCAUACAACAGUAUUUAUUUAAAAGGGUGGUGCGAGUUUAUCGUCCACGCCUUUGCUUUUAUUUAAAUGUAUGGAGCAGAAUUAGUGCCCAUACAAGCACAAUUUACUUUACCGCACAUUUAAUUUUAUUUAAAGUAUGGUGCGGGAUUAACGUCCAUACAGCAAGCAAUUUAAUUUAUGAAUUUAAUUUACCGCACAUUUACAUUUAUUUAAAAGGGUGGUGCGGGUUUAUCGUCCACGCCUUUACUUUUAUUUAAAUGUAUGGAGCAGAAUUAAUGCCCAUACAAGCACCUUAACUUUAUGAAUUUAAUUUACUGCACAUUUACAUUUAUUUAAAGUGUGGUGCGGGUUUAUCGUCCAUACCAGUAAUUUAUUUAUCAGCAAUUUAUUUUAUGGAUUAAUUGUUUAUUUAUCAGCAAUUUAUUUUAUGGAUUAAUUGUGCUGUAUGAUGAGUUUUUCCAGUAUGCAGAUCAGGACCAGAAGUUCCUUGAUCCUCAUCAUACAAUUACAUCAGGACUUGAAGAUCCUUGAUGAUGAUAUUAAAAUGAGAGCUGGCAGUCUCACCGGUACUGUAUUUGUAAACAUGUGAUUGGACUUAAAGGUCCUUGAUCCCUGACAUGUAAAUAAGGACCUAGAGUUCCUUAAUGAUGUAACAGUACCGUAUUGGUUCAUAGUGCCGUACACAUUGAUGAUAACUGUACUGGCAGAUGAAUAGAUACGUAUUCAUGACUUGAUGAAUAGUACUAUUCACAUGAAUAGUGACGUAUGCAUAAAUAUUAACCAUUUUGGGUAAACCGUCACUAUAUACAAAAGGGAACCUGCAGUUCCUUAAACUCAUGGAUGAGCAAUUAAAUGAGAUGCCAGAAGUUCCUCAAAAUAUGGACAAUUAUGUAAGGGCUUGAAGUCCCGAAAUAUGUACAGAAAAUUGUAAAAAUGUCCAUACCAUGAGAAUAUGUGGCUUUGGCCUGAAGUUCCAAAUUUAACAGUGUUGAGAACCUGAAGUUCCAACAAUUAAAUGGACAACCCUUGAGGUAUUAUUGCAAAUUGUGGUAUGCCACAUAUUUCUUUGGCAUAAGAAGAUGAUGAAUUUAAUAAAGUUCGAUUUUGUUAUAAUCGACACCUCAAGGAAGAAAUAUAUUUUGUGAAUUCCGGUUGUUAAGAAUACACCGCGAAAUGGAUAAUAUUAAUAUAAACCUCAAAUAAUGAAUUGAGACUCCCCACAUAUUUUGUUAUAUCUGGGCCGGAAGCCCAUGGAUCCAAAUAUAUGAGAGAUCCUAAACUUGAAGUUGUGGGUAUAUAGUAGUUAAUGCUCUUCACUACUAUAUUGCGAUAUUAUCAUGGCUUUUACUCAAUUCAUAUUUCAUGUCCAUUUGAAAAGGGCAAAUAAAUUCUGAGUUUGUGCCCAGGCCAUAAGUUCCGGGCUACCAUACGUUGAAAUAUGAAAUUUGGGAGAGUCGAUGUGGUUAUUUGAACCUAUAAGGCACAAGGUUCCAAAUCGUCAUUUUGAAAAGACGUAAAAACCAAAGGUGCAAGUUUAAGAAUGUGCGCAAUUAUUAUUACAGGAACAUACAACAGAUAGAUUUUUUCCACUUGCAAUGAAGGUGCAGGCCCUGUAAAAUCUAUAAAAUUACAUUAUGUUCUGGAAGCCUCUGAAGGAAGAGGACGGCGCCUCUUAAGCUUAGCCAUGAGCUUCUCAUGGUCUCCCAAAAUUCUUUCAUUGGAGACCUGCAGCAUGUCUAGCCUUCUCAGUGUAUCAACAGAGUACGAACUCACCAGUUUCAACAAGGAAUUAUUCUCUCCUUUAAGUUUCUCAACCUCCUGUUGAGACUCAUGAAGCAUUCUUUGGAGAGACGAAUUUUCAGUUGUUAAAUUCUCAACCUCGUUUGCUCUGGCACGCAAACGAUCAGCCAUGUUAGAAACAGAAACAGCACUCUGAAUGCUAAAAGCCAUUGAGUCAUCAAUAGCCUCUUCCUCUGAUCUCCCCGUCAACAACAUUUCAUCCAUUGGAGUAAUGAAAUUCCUAGCUACUAUGACAGCAGUAGCAUCAUUCAUCAUCACAGAAUCAUUAACUGUGAGAUGACGAUUUUUGGAUACAAAGGAUGGACGCCAAACUUGGGCGUCACUGGUAGUUGUGGGAGUAUCAUUUAAAUUGAAAUAAUUUGGGCAGGAAGAAGAGGAAGCCAUUUUUAAGAAGGUUUCGAAGAAAGCCUUAGGAAAACUAAAGUUUCAUAAAAUGAAGGAAGUUAAGUUGAAACGCAAUUGCUCCAAUCAAGUUUUGCAAAGGCAAUAUCUAUAGACGAAAAUAUGGCAAUAUCUUCAGGAUUCCAAUAUCUUCUCGAAUCCCCAUAUUAUCUUUUUCUUUCCCAGAGUCCAAAACUUCACGUGGCCUCUAAUAAUGCCUGUCGGCACUUUCGGCGUUUUUCAAAGUAUUAUUUUCAAAGCCGAUCUUGCUUUACGGAUUUCACGGAACUACUUUUUCAAAAGUAUCCCGAGAAUCUCGCAAUUUUCCUAUGGUUAAUUUGAAAUUCACCGGUUCUACCUAUUUAUUGUAUUUAUGUAUAAAUGUGUUACUAACGAAAUUUUCUUUGCAAAAGACAUCCAGUUUUCUCCAUACCUAGUGAUGCGAUAUCUACUUAUUUUUCUUAUCAGUGAGCACUUAAUAUGCCUGAGAAGCAAGACUAUCUCUGAUCAUACAUUCAGGAAGCAAGACUAUCCCUGAUCAUGUUUCCGCUACAUUAGGGAACUGUGAAGGUGACCUUAUGCUCCAAUCUCCUGAGGUCUUUCUAGACUAGGAGAAAUGAGAGCUUGUUGUUUGCUCCCACCAGCUUCCUUCCUUGAUUGCUUACCUUACCUUGCAAUCAAUAUCACAAUCUUUUUGCAUUUUUUCUCUUUUUAUAACUCUCUGUUCAUAAGAGAUUUUAUUUCUUUAGAAUGAACAUCUGAAGAAUGAAUCCAUGAAGUAAUCCUAACUAUGAGGGUUAUUUGUUUUGACAGAGGCAAAAGAGUUGUGAUUUUUGCUCUUGCAGGAUAUAACUAGAUCAUCAAGCGCUACAUUAUAUUUACUGGGCUGAUAUGAGCUUGAAUGAUACUUGAGAAAAGUUUCUCCCACCUAAGGAUGUAAGCAAUACUUGUGUUAUUUUAUGCUUAUAUACCUAUUUGAUAUUUUAUCUUGAAAGGUAACUAAAUGGGGAGAUAAGUCCGUUCCAAAAGAAUGACUUGUAUGUAUCCAUGAAUUAUUAAUGCAAAUUUUACAGAUUGCAAGUUGGAUACAUUGAUAAUACACUGCACAGAUUAAAGUCCCAUAAGAACAGAAUAUGGGUAUAGCAGUGAUCAAUAUGAUGCACGCCUAUUGCGUAGCAAAUGAUAUGGAUUGAAGUCCCGAAAGGACAAUCCUUUGACAUUUCAAUAUUGAUAUUAUGCACGCCUAAUGCGUAGCAAAUUAUAUGGGUUAAAGUCCCAUAAUAUGGGUUAAAGUCCCAUAAAUUAAUUGACAUGUAUGUAUUAAUCUGUGGCAUGCCUGCAGCAUGACAGAUAUAUGGGUUCUAAAUGUUCCAACUCCCUAAAUGGAGAUUAUCCACGCCCUACUAUAAAAUAACGCUCCAUUGGAGGUUAUAAUCCACAUUCUCACAUAAUAAAAGCCCCCUGCAGUGGCUUGGGUACCCAAAAGCAAAGAAAUGCUUAUAAUUGAUGCAUGCGCAUGCACAUGAGAAUGGUGGGAUCAUGAAUUGAUGAAUGACAAUUUUUGAUCAUGAAUUGAUGAAUGACAAUUUUUGGUUUUAGAGUAGCUACUCAAAUCAUCAAUGGGCUGUGUUGAUUGGAACCACGUUCAAUUAUUAAAUGUCGACAAUAUCAUUGGCCAAAAUGGAACGAGGUAAUUCCAUUAUAAAUGAGAAUGAACGUGAAAGAACAAACCCACAAUACGAACCCCAAAAUUUGUUAAUACUAAAAGUUAUACUUGGGUGUUCGGAAUAAAAGGAAAUAUAUCUACUUUGUAUGACACACUGUUUCUGGCAGAAACAAGGAAUGUUGGGUUUUCUCCAUAUUUACAGAUUCAAUUGUGCCCCCCUUAUUACACAAUUACGGAGACCAACAUAUUAUCUUUAAGGGUUAUUAAUGCACAGAGCAUAUCGCCAGAAGCGAUUUCCUAAAGAUGUAUAAAUAGCUGGGUAAAAGCUAUAUAAUGUGUCAUAAAGUUUAAUCCCUUUUAACCAAAAUCUGUUGAGAGGAUUGAUAUUGCAUAGAGCAAGUCCCUAAAGAACAUGUGCUUGAAGCACAAAAUUUGUACUCAAUAUUAAUAUGCAUAAAUUACCUCAGUGAGUACAUUGAUUAUAAUGUGAUUGCAACACAUUAAAGCUUCUGCAGAAUUCAUGAAAUAUUUGUCUCGAUCGAGCAUUAUGCCAACGAGAUUCUUGCUUAUACUAAGAAAGUAUUAAAGUAUUUUUAUGAGGAUUAUCCGUUGGACACUUUAAUGAUUUUCCGGAAGUAUAUUGGACCGGACAUCAUAUUUUCCAGAUAGGGCUCAACUCCAUCACCAUCAUUUUGGGAUGAUGUGAGGUAUAUUUGAUGCUAUCUAAGCAUAACACCAUAUAGGGGCAUAUUUUUUUAGUGAACUUAUAAAUAGCCCAAGUGUUCUAAGAUAUGCGGACUCAGGAAAUCUCUAUGGUCGCUUACUGGAAAAAGCUAGUCAUGAAGUUUUCAGGGGGAGAUAUUCAUCAGGGAGAGCAUGGUAUUAAUAAAGACCUUCAUACACUAUUGACUCACAGCAGCAGUGUCAACUAUGAUAUUCAGACAGAUGAUCAACAGUAUGGCUUAAAGAUAUUUUGCCAAGCAUCAGGGGGAGCGUGCUGUCAAUACAGACCCUUACCCACUGUACUCUUUUUCCUUCGUCCAGGUUUUUAUCCCACUGGGUUUUUCCUGGCAAGGUUUUAACGAGGCAGUGUCGCACGCGCGUCAAUAUACACAGAAUUUUAUGUUACACGUGAUUAUGUACUCUUUUUCCCUUCGACCAGUUUUUGUCCCACUGGGUUUUUACUGGCAAGGUUUUUAACGAGGCAUAUUCCAUAUCAUUUGUGGUCUCCAAGGGGGAGUGUUGUAAAAGUUUUAAGGUGGAGCCCACAGAGGAAGUUUCCUUGCAUCUUCCAGGAACUUUCCCUUCCCUGUAUUUAUCAAUUGAGGAAGUUUCCUUGCAUCUUCCAGGAACUUUCCUUCCGUGUAUUUAUCAAUUCAGGAAGUUUCCUUGCAUCUUCCAGGAACCUUCCCUUCCCUGUAUUUUACCAAAACCUUAGCCUAUAAAUAGGCUUGCUCAUUCACUUGUAAUACACACCAAAAUGAAGAGAAGAAUGAGUGAGGAAAGAAAGAAAGGAAGAGAAGGAAGAAAGAGGGUGAGUAAGUAGAGAGAAAAAUAGAGUGGAGAGAAAUUUCUCCAAGAGAGAAAAAUUAGUGAGCCACAUAUAUUGUAAACACUAAAGUUGUAGCCCUAUUAUUUUACAUAGUGGAAAAGUUACUACUGCUGCUCUCCGGGGACGUAGGCAUAGCCGAACCUCGUUAAAUACUGUGUCUCAUUUACUUUACGUGCAGCUCAAUAUUCAUACAUAUUCCAGGUUAUUUUUAUAACACCAACAUCAAUCUAGCCCUGAUCCACUCUUUUACAUACUUGAAAACAAAACAAAACACGAAAAACAAAAAACAACAGGGAGAAAAUGGCUCCGGAGAGACUUACUGCUAAUACUUGAUCAAUAACAGAGAUAAUAGAGCACACUGUUUGUAUGGCAGUGAGUAUCAGAAGAAUAAUAGCUGCCCAAGGUGUGUUGAAAUACUUUUGUCUCAAAUUUGCCUUCCAUAUGUUCGUGGUCUUCUCGCAAUACUCGUUUAGUUUGCCAGCAAGAUCACCAAAAUAGUAGUUUCCCUGGUUAAUCAUAAUGGAAACCUUACUGUUGUCACCUAGCGUGUUUACAACAAUUCCAUUGUCAACAAGCAACUCUACAUCCUUUGGGGUGUUUACAAAUUUAUCCAGGAUGAAAACAUAAUCGCUUAAUUAUUUAUUAACGCAAUGGCAUUGUUCAAAGGCAAUGAGAUUUCUAAGUGUAAGCUCUGUGUAAUCAUGUAUUUCAAUUUUUGGAAUUUCCAAGGUGUUUUUCAAGAACUGUAUAUCGAAUAAGUUCUUGCUUGAUUCAACGUUAAACUUAACUCCGGCCUGGUGUAGUUUUGUCAUGCCGGGUGUACUUUGGAGCCCUACAUUUUCUUUUAGGGUUGGAUCUGGCAGAUGUAAAGUUCUAAUAAAAUCAACAAAUUGUACAGGUUUUUUAGGAUCAGGAGGCAUAAAAGACUUACGGAAGGCUGGUGAGUUCUCCAAGUUUUCUAAACGCAGUGCCUGUUGGAAGAACCUGUAAGAGAGUUCAAUUAUUGAAGGCUCCCCAGUCUGGGCACCUGUAAGAUUGUAAAGAUCCUCGAGAAUGAAAAAUGGCAGCUGAUUUUCUAGCAUAAGCAUGUCAGGCAAUAUAUUUUGUAGCACCCAUGGUUUUUUAAAUAUCCAAGCAUUAUCAUCCGGCAAUUUUUCUUCCUGAAAUUUUUCUUCGGAUUUAUUCCUCAACAAUAGCUCAAUGACAAAGGCGGCAUCAACUAGAAUGAUAUUCACAAAAGCGGCAAUGUUAAACUUCUUAGUGUCUUCAUAAUAAUGACGGAGUUCAACUUCUCUCUCCUUUAGGUACCUGAGUUUGUGAUCUUCCAUGGCUUCUAAGUUUUUGCUGCCAUGGUGAAGUGGGCCUAUUGAGACUACUUGUGGUGUGUAGGCCUUUUGUUUUACGUUCCGUAGUCGCUCAGGCACCCUGUAGAUACUGCAGGCAGGGGACAGGGCACGGAAGUUUGUCAACUGAUUUUCCAUGGAAGUUGCUUGGUUUUCUAUGUCAAAAGAAGCUUCAUUGCUGCUUUCUUCCACUUUCUUCCUCCGCAUUAUGUGUUGUUCUGAUUGUAAGUGACGAGGAUGGUGAUGAUUCUAGACACCAUAAUCAACAAAUGUUUCAAUCAUAAUUGACAUUUCAAGAUGCUCCGACAAAAAAUUAGAAAACAUUCAUCACAAAAUGCGAACUCAUACAACAGAUGGGUUGAGAAGAUCCACACAUUGCAAUCAUACAAUCCAAUUGAACAGGGAUUACUCCCUAUUCUCCUCUCUCUCUAAAAAAGAUUUUCAUAUCGAUAACAUCUUAUUGCAAGGGACUUGUACAUCAAGUGGUGAAGAACAGAAAUUCAUAUUCUUUCAAUCAACAAAUUUCGAAGAAGUUUGUUUGUUUUAUUUUUGGGGGAAAAAAAUCUGAGCAUAUAUAGAUGCAUAUUAUACGUAGACCUAAGGUGAAAACAUACCAGAUUUUUACUCCAUUUUUCAUGAGGUUUAAGUUCUUGAUGUAUAUAUUUAUCUCAAGUGUAACAUCCCACAUUGAUCAACGGAGAGGGGGUGAUGUGCCUUAUAUGUACAUGCCAGCCUUCAUCUAGCACGAGGCUUUUUGGGAGCUUAUUGGCUUUGGAGUCAUAGGAACUCUGAAGUUAAGCGAGUUGGAGCUAGAGCAAUCCCAGGAUGGGUGACUCACUGGGAAGUUGCUUGUGAGUUCCCAGAAACAAAACCGUGAGGGCAGAGAGGAGGGCCCAAAGCGACCAAUAUCAUGCUACGGCGGAGCCGAUUCUGGGAUGUGAUAAUUUGGCAUCAGAGCUACUCUGCCGUGUGGUGUGAGUGUGCCGACGAGGACGCCGAACCCUUGAGGGGGGUGGAUUGUAACAUCCCACAUUGACCAACGAAGAAUGGGUGAUGUGCUUUAUAUGUAUAUGCUUGCCUAUAUCUAGCACGAGGCCUUUUGGCAGCUUACUGGCUUCCGAGUCAUAGGAACUCCGAAGUUAAGUGAGUUGGUGCUAGAGCAAUCCUAGAAUGGAUGACCUACUGGGAAGUUGCUCAUGAAUUCCCAGAAAAAAAAAGCUGUGAGGGCAGAUAGGGGGGCCCAAAACGGGCAAUAUCGUGCUACGGCAGAGCCGAUCUUGGGAUGUGACAUCAAGAAUUUAUAUCCUCCCUUUUCAGAUCUCAUGUUCCAGUCAAUACAUAACGAAACAUAAGAAACUAAAGUCUUGUUUAUACCCAUCCUCCCACCCACCCACGGCCAUCCACCCCUACCCCCUAUCUCCAUUAAAUCUACAAGUAGCUCAUCAAUUUCUCCACCAUCCCAAGUUCAAUAUACCACCCAACAACCAUCUUACCCAUCUUCUCAUUGAUCUUCCACCCAACAUCCAACACUAUCUUCAUAAACUCUUUAGCUUAAUCUCUCUGUUGCUUUUGUUUUUUGUUUUUUAGAAAUUAAAUUUUUUAGUUUAUUUUUUUGUUGGUACAAAUUCAAUGAUAAAGAACAUCGAACUCGUCGCAACAUCCUGUUCUAGAUCCAAGCUCUACCACCAUCACAACCCUCUCUUGACCUCCGACCAACCUUAACACCCAACUUCAAAUCUAGGUUGUUUGAAACCCAGCCCCCAACAACCCCCCCAAGUCAUCCCAUUGCAACUGACUUGUAGAUGAAGUAGUAAAGAACAAAAAGUCAUAUUCUUCCAAUCAAAACGUAUCAAGUCAAACAAAAUUUCUAGUUAGUUUGCUUUAUGAUAGUUGUUUUUUGAAGGGGUCCUUAGAUCCAAUCUCAAAAAGUUUGACUUUUAUUAUGUUUAACUCUAGUUUUUUGCAAUUUUUUUUUAUCUCUACCCACUAACUUUUAUCUCUCAUUUUUAUUACCCAUUUUACCCUUUAAAAUAAAUAUAGUAAUAAACUAAAAAUUCUGAUUUAAUGCAUGUUUUGCUCAUAAGAGAACUAAAACCUAAAAAUUCUAUACUCUUACACAAAAAAUAAAAAAUAAAAACUAAAAUUAAAAUGGUUAUCAAACAGACCCUUAUAUUACAAAAAACCUUAACUGACCACCUUAUAUGGCAACUGAUNNNNNNNNNNNNNNNNNNNNNNNNNNNNNNNNNNNNNNNNNNNNNNNNNNNNNNNNNNNNNNNNNNNNNNNNNNNNNNNNNNNNNNNNNNNNNNNNNNNNUAGCAUUCUAAAAAAAGUGGCCUCAUGGCAGCAUUCAUUAAUUGACAUGGCAUGACACAUCAGUUGCCACAUAAGGUGGUCAGUUAAGGUGGUCAAUGUUGUGUGUCCAAAUAGCAUUACUAAAAAAAAAUCAAAUAUUGAACUCAUCAUAAGAGAACACAGAAAAACCUCACUGCUUGCAACUCUUACACCACCACUACACGAACAGAACAACUGCUAAUUAAAAUGAGUCACAUGUCACAUGUCACAUGUGGUACUUAACUCUAAAAACUUAUUUAGAUUAUAUAUCCAUAUUUAUAUAUCCUACUCCUCGAUCAAAACAACCAUGAAACAUAAGUGACUUAAACCUCUAGGCAAAUGGACGGUAUAUAGCAAUUUAUAGAACAAUACAGUAAUCCAGAAGAAAUAUUAUGAAAUAAAAAAAAUAAAAAGUAAAAAAAGAGAAGGAAAGGAAUUCCCACCUGAUAUGUAUAUCUAUGAAAGGAAGGACCAAGUUUGUUUUGCCUUUGGUUAAUGACUAGAAAAGCUCACUUGUAUAUUGCUUUCUCCGGCCGUAGAUGCAAGAGAAAUUUUCUCUUAAUAAUAGCACAAUGAUCGGGUAAUCGUAAGAACAAGUUGAUUUAAAAUUCAGGUCAACUCAUAGAUUUCUUGCCUUUUCUAUUCUCCUUCCUUGGACACGAGCUGUUUAAUCUUGGAAUCUUCCCCCAUCAUGUUGGGCCAGUCUUCUUCUUGAGGAUUGUAUAGGCCCAGGAAAUGCUUGGAGGUAGUUUUUGUGUAUUGGGCCUUGAGACCCAACUUCACAAAAAGAAAACAGAUUUGACCAAAAAAACAAAUUUGAAGGACAUUGAAAUUGUACCUGUAUGAUAGGUUAAAACACUGUAAGGGAGGUAAAUAGUACGUUUACAGAGUUUAAGUGUAAUAAAGGAAUAAAAACAUGCCCAGAGCACUACUACAAUUUUUCCCUGUCCUGGCAACCCUUUGUGAUCGGUAAAAACACCAUUAUUGACGGAACUUCGUCAGUAAUUGCUUCUUGACGACUGCAGCGACGAAAAUGAGUAUAGUCAGUAAAAGUCCCGUCAGUGUUACUAUUACUGACCAACUUUUGCAACUUAUUCGUCAGUAGAGGUGUGUCUCUGACACAAGUCAUGAAGUGACUCUAAAUUAUUACUGACAAAACAAAUAGCCACUAUUAAACAAGCUUUUGUCAGGAUUAUUAUUUUAGGAUGGAGUACUAGUGGCAAAGAUUUGUCAAUAUUGUUUUCAACAAAAAAAAAAAUUCAGUCAAUUUGCUUCUGAGCUGAUGCGCCUUUAGAUAUCCUUUUCUGAAAUGUCUUUUGUUUUCUAAUAUAAUGGAUGUUUUUCUUUAAUAAAAAUUUAAUGGAUUCUGAAAAUGUAAUAACAAUUAUAAAUACUCAUAGAUUGAACCAUUCAACCCCCAUCCUUAUAAAUAUAAACUACCAAUGUCGAUUACAAUAGCCAAAUAUUACAAAGUCUGCCUACAUCAGUAGAGUUCAAAAACUUUAGGUGCCCUUACUAUACAAAAGUAUGCAAUUCCAAAUAUUCAACAAAUACACUACAAAAGCAUGCAUACCCCAAUAGGGUCCAAAAUACAACGUCAGCAACUAUAUAUACCAAAAAUGCAUAACACUAAGUAACUGCAUCUAUUCAAGUCCAUGAGUACCUUGAUCUGAUUCUAAAAAGUCUGUCUCACUUGGGUAUGCAUCCCCCCUCAGCAAUCCAGUUAACCCACCAAUAGGAGUAACUGACCUGGCUUGAUAAGGCAUUUGAUGGAACAUCUGCGGCGAGUAAUAUGACAUAUGGAAUGGGUUUGGCAGCUGCUGGUACAAUGGGUGAUGCGAAGCUGACGAGCACGAUAACAUCUGCCUCAUUUCCUCAAUCUCUUGCUGGUUAUGCUUCAGCAACUCUUGCGUCGCCUUCAAUUCAGAACGCCAAUGAUCCUGGUCAUGUUUGUACCUUUCUUGUAACUCUACAUACUGUGACUCAAGGUGAACAUAGUCGUGCCCUCGCAAUCUCUUGGAUGACCCUGCUUUCGUUUGAAUCCAAGGCACCUGAUGGGGUUUCACCCCAAGUCCUUCACCACGAACACUAUUAUUUGUCUCAGGACCCAUUGCCUCAACAUAAGCCCUUCUUCGUGUCUCUAAAUUAUCAGGACAUUCAUCUUCAACCAAUUCCUUCAACUUUUCCUGCAUUUCAGCCUAACAAAAACAAAAUAUAUAUCCUUCUCCAUCAAAUUGUGGUCAUCAUAGAACUAGCCCAAUAAACUCUACAAUGAUGAAUUGCAUUAUGUAAUAAAAAUUUAGGCCAAUUAGUCUUCUGGACCUCUACUGUUUUGUUUUUCAUAUGCUUAAACAAAUAAAAGAACAUAAAGAAUAGUGAACAAGAAAAAAAAACUACCUCCAAACAACUUUCCAUAUGCUUAAAAAAAAAAAAAAAAAAAAGUCAACCAAAACAAAAUAAGAGAAACAUCCUGGACUAUGGCUAACAAUUCCUCAUGAAAAUGAACUUAUAUAUAAUUAUUCCAAUAUAUAGUCCAUAUGCUUACAUAUUUCUGCUCAGCCACCAAGUUAACCCAUGAUCGAUCUUCGUCACGCCGUGUAUGCUUAUCUUGGAAAAACCAAAUAGGAUCGGGGUCUUCACCAUGUUUCUUAUUCUUAGCAUGCAAUCAAUAAAAUAAAAUAAGAUAAUCAAUUAGCUAACACGACCUCAUAUGCUCAAUAUUUGAAUAUAGUAAAGAGUAAACAUUCAAGUGCAUCAUCAAAACUGACAUAUUGUGCUUUGCUGCGAGCAUAAGACUUUGUUCUAGAUGUGUGAUUCAAUGUUUGUUUACUCCGAUUUUCAACAUUUCUUUUAGCUUGCUCCUUUUAUUAGCAAAAACAAAACAUACUUAAUCAUUGCACAGAUUAUAUAUACUGAGUGUUGUGUAAUAAUACGUACUGCAAUCUCAUCUUUUUCCCAAUGUUCAACCAACACCCUCCAUUGAUCUGGGUCUACACGAGAAUCCCCACAUUGCCACCGUCUUUUACUUCCUGUGAAAGGCUUAUAAUAAGCUUUCUUCAAAUCACUCUUGAAACUUCUCCACAAUUUUUCAAUAUUCUUCAUUGUUACAUCCUUGAAGACAUGAAUCAUAGGUUGUUGUUCAGGACGAAAUUCAAUGGUGCCCUGCAUCCACAAUAAGGUAGUCUUACAUCAAGUUGAAAUAUACCUAUUAAACUCAAUUUCAUGCAAUAAGUAUUCAAUAAUUUUAGGAAAACCAAACCCGUAGAGUGUCCCAGACAUCAAGUUUGCAAGAGUCUGGUACUUUUUCCCAUUUUAAAUACUUGAUCGGAAUUAGAUUGGCAUCCCGCGCCAAAAUACCCAUGUAUCUAGAAAAAUGGGGACUAUUGUCACUAAUAACUCUGCCAAAUGGAGAUAAAUCAACUGACUCUUUUUUGUUAUUUAGAAACCAGUUGCAUUUCCCUUGACCUCGACCUUGCUUCGCCUCCUUGCCUACAUGAAAAGUUAAUUUUAACUGAUCAAUACAACAAGAAAAUAAUAAGAAACUGUAAGGUAAUAAGUUUCUCACACAUUAUUCAAAUGAAAAAUUAGCAUAGCUAUUUGGAGAUGAUGUGAUCGUGAAACAUCCCAUAUUCAAUACAUUUGUAUAUGAUUAAAACAUACCAAUUUAUUAAAAGAAAAAGGAAAAGAAAACCAACAUACCAGUAGCACUUAUAGAACCAUCUCCCUCUAGACUAUCCCUAAAGUCAGCGUUGGGCCCUUCUUGUGAACUAUCUUGAGAACUGCUCAUCUAAAAAAUUUGAUAUGCAUAACAGUGAAGGGGUAACAAAUUAAUCAGACAUCAUUGGUAAAAGAAACUAUUACUUCAACAUUCUAAUACAAAACAAUCUACUAAAGAAAUUCUUGUACAAUAUUCUUAAAAUUACGUAGUCCAUUUAAGCUGACAGCUCAUCAAAAUACAUGAAAAAUUCAAUACUCCAUGUCAUCAUAAAGCUCAUCCUCGUUUUCAGUAGAGAGAUCGUCUGAAGACUGUUCAUCUUCUUCAUCCUCAUUUCCGGGCUCAUGCUCAUCUACCAUCUCAUCCAUAUCAACCCUAAUAUGAAAUUCCUCAUUGUCUAGCAGCUGAUCAUCAAGAUUCGGAAUGGCAUAAUUAUCAGUAGCACUUAAAAGGGUUAUCUAUAGUUGGAGCUAGAUCACUAUCUUCUAGCACAUCAAAAAAAUCUCUUGGUUGAGUUUGGGUUGGCACAUGCCAAUGACUGUCUUCUGGAUCUACAACAUAAAACACUUGUGUAGCUUGAGAAGCCAAUAUGAAAGUGUGUCUUUCGUUUGUCGCAACCGAUUGAAACUAACCAAAGGGAAACCAUACCCAUCAAACCUCAUCCCCCUAUCACUAGCAGUAUCAACCCAAUCACAGUUAAAUAAUGUAAUUUUCCGACCAUUAUCAUUCUGUUCUAUUUGACCCCCGUAAUUAAGUUCAUAAAUCUCUUUAAGAACACCAUAAUAAUCAACAUUGCCAAUUACUGGAUUGCGAUCUCUUGCGCUUGAGUAACUAGAUGUCUCUGCACAUUGAAAUACACCACUAUUCUGAUUCUUCUUUUUAUCGUCUACUGAUUUAAUCCGGAACCUACACCCAUGAAUUAUGUGAUUCUUAUACUUGUUCACAAAUCUACUAGGACCAAUUGAUAGCCAACGCAAGUCCUCAGAUAUUGACAGAUCAUGGGCUGUGUACAAUUUAGUAACCUAUAAUUUAAAACAACAACUAAAGUAAAUAACUUUAAUUAAAAAUAUGGUGCAGCAACAUAAAAUGAAUCAUAUUACAACUAAACAUACUUACAUGAUCCUUGAACCAAGUUGGAAAUAUCUUAUUUCUCAUCCCCUCAAUUUCCUGUAUGGUCUUCCGUCGAUUACUUUGUCUCAAUUCUUGGAAGCAUUUUCUGUUUUACAAUAUAAUAUAAUGACUUGUUAGUUAUUAAUUCAUAAUUGAGGAUUGAAAAAAAAAAAUAUCAACAACUUGCUUGUUUUUAUUCAUAAAUAUCUUACUCUAAAAAAGGGGAAACUUCAUCGCAAUUGAACAAGACCACUCUGCGACAUUGGUCCCAAACAUCUUUGUCAAGAUAUAUUUGUUCAGCUGAACCCUUAGAAUGACAUGAAGAGUCAAAAACUUUUAGCUCCCCAAUGACACCACGACCAAUACCAUCAGCAUUUCGACCCUUUCGAUUCCUUCGAGUCUCAACGUUGCUAAGAUACAUGGUACACAUAGCUAAUCCCUCGUCGACAAGAUAUCCUUGUUCCAUACUUCCUUCAGGAUAACUCUUAUUCUGAACAUAUUUCUUUAAUGUUUGUAGGUAUCUAAAGAUAUGGCAAAAUUGAACAUGUUAAUUUACAAUUAAAAUGGAAAACUAGAAAUAAUAAAUAAGAUUUGAACUAAUUACCUUUCAAUGGGAUACAUCCACCGGUAUGGGGCAGGCCCUGCGAUUGCAGCCUCAUCUGCCAAAUGCAUGAUUAAGUGUACCAUCACAACAAAGAAGGAAGGAGGGAAUAUCUUUUCCAUCUGGCAUAAUGUCACUGCAAUCCGAGGUUUUAAAGCCAUGUAUGACGCUUCAUAUUCCUUCUUACUACAUAACCGUCUAAAAAUUGCACUUAGCUCAAGCAAAACAAUGGUAACAGCUUUUGGUAAUACUCGUCGUAUUGCAAGGGGCAGCAGCUGUUGCAUUAUAAUAUGAUAGUCAUGACUUUUCAAUCCGUGUAUUUUUCUCUCAUUCACAUUAACACAUCUAGACAGAUUUGCAGAAUACCCAUCAGGAACUCUCACAUUUGCCAAGACUUCGCAAAACAUUGUUUUUUCCCUUUUCCUCAUGUCAAAAAGUGCUGGAUCAAAAACUUCCUUACCUUUCCCAUUUAUAUAAGGGUGCUGUUUUCUCCUUAUAUUCAAAAUUUGAAGGUCCUUACGAGCUUUUAUUCCAUCCUUUGUCUUCCCAGGAAUAUUUAACAGUGUACCUAAAAUGUUUUCACAAACAUUCUUUUCAAUAUGCAUUAGAUCAAGGUUAUGCCGUAUCAAAAGAUAUUGCCAAUAUGGUAACUCAAAGAAUAUGCUUUUCUUCUUCCACUGAACUUUGUUACUAUUUAUAUUCGUUGUGGGAUAGGUAUUUGUAUUCCUAAUGGGACAAGAACAUUUUUUGGGUUUUCCUUGCCCAACAAAAACAGCUGACUUCUUUUUGGGUUUUCGAAAUGUGAAUGUCAAACUUGACAAUUUUUCUAAACACUGUGAACCUGUCAAGGGAAUAGGUGGAAGAGCAUGUUCUUCCUUACCGUUAAAGGCUGCUUUAUCUCUUCGAAACCUAUGUUGUAUAGGUAGAAAUCUCCGAUGACCCAUAUAACACAUCUUACUACUAUUUGCCAAAUGCAUUGAGACUGUAUCAUCCAUGCAAUGCGGACACGCUUUCUUCCCCUUCGUGCUCCAUCCUGAAAGAAUUGCAUAUGCGGGAAAGUCAUUAAUCGUCCAUAACAAUGCAGCCUUCAUUGUAAAAGUUUGGUUGGCAAACACAUCAAACGUCUUAAUACCAACCUCCCACAACUCUUUCAACUCAUCGAUUAAAGGCUUCAAAUACACGUCAAUAUUAUUGCCAGGCCCAUCAGGACCAGGAAUUAUUAACGAUAACAAUAAAUUUGGUUGCUUCAUACACAUCCAUGGAGGCAAAUUAUAAACUGACAGUACAACAGGCCAUGUACUAUGGGGUUUGUUCAUAUUUGAAAAGGGAUUAAACCCAUCACUUGCAAGCCCCAAUCGCACGUUGCGUAUCUCCGAAGAAAAUUCAGGGUAUAAGGAAUCUAAAUGCUUCCAUGCACGAGAAUCUGAUGGGUGCCUCAUGAAUCCAUCUUUAGGACAUUCGGUUGCAUGCCAUCUCAUAUCUUCAGCGGUAUGCUUCGACAUAAACAAUCUUUGCAACCUUGGUUUUAAUGGAAAAUACCGAAGAACCUUGGUUGGAACCUUAGCUGAUGUGUUCUUACUCAAAGAACCUCCCACAAUAUUGACUUUGUACCUUGAGGCACCACAAAGUGCACACUCAGUCAAGUCUGAUGUAUCUUUCCAAAACAGCAUACAAUCAUUGGGGCAAACAUCAAUCCUCUUGACUGUAAGUCCCAACUCCCUAAUGAUUUUUUUAGCAUCAUAAUUAUUUUUUGGUAAACAAUUCCCCUCUGGCAACAAUUGUUUAACCAAUUGUAACAGCAUUGUAAAGACAUUAUCGCUUCCCUAAACAUUUAAUCUGGAACAGUCUUACAACAGAAUACAAUUUCUUAUAUUUACACCUAGGGUACAACUCCAUAUCUGCUUCUUCAAGUAACUUAUAAAAUAUUUCAGCCUCAGGUGUUUGGCCAUCAAAGAUAGGUGGCUCUGUCGAAGUCCCAACAGUUUCUCCAAUUAUUGGUUGCACAAAGGCUUCAUUGAGAAAAUCAUGAAUGUCAUCUAUACAAACUUCUUCAUUAUGAACUGAUUCUAUAUCCUCUUGGAAUGGUAAAUUUGUCAUGGGCUCCCCAUGAUGCCUCCAAGGGCCAUUCAUAUAUGUGGGAUCCAUUCCUUUUUCUAUAAGAUGAAGCUGGAUGAUGUUUCUUUCAUAGUGAUAACGGUUACAACAUUUUUUGCAAGGACAUAUGACCCUCUCUCCAAAACCCACUUUGGCAAAGACGUCAUCUAAAAACAUUCUCAUUCCGUCUGCGUAUUCCUUACAAUUUCUCCUUAAAUGUACCCAACUUUUAUCCAUAGUUCACCUAUAUUGAGUGCAAGGCACCAAAUACAAUUAUUCAGCACAGAUCAUCCCUCAUACUUAUUGUCUAUAAAUUCCUAUCAGGUGGGUCAAUUUAUUAUCCAUUAGAUGACCCUCAUGACCAUCUACAUCAAUUCACAAGAAAAACCAAAUUAAAAUAACAAAAACCUGAGUCUAAAGAAUAUAUUAACUAAGAAAUUGCACAUUCAUUCAACUGAAGAAAAGAACUAUAACACCAAACAACUAGACCCACUUAAUAGCUAAAGAAACUCACGUCAUAACAACAAAGUAUACAUAUUAAACAACAUAUCAACUCAUAGAUAAAAGCCCGAUAAUCUCAAUACUAUGAACAAUCUUAUUCAAAAAUAAUAAGAUAACAGCAACAUAAUAGAAAAAAGUAAAGGGAAACACACCUGGAUUCUAAGUUUCCAACAACAAUUCAACACUCCUGCAGUAGAUUAAUACAUACAUACCCACAUAUCAAACUUCACCAACAAAUAAUAAAAAAUUAAAACAAGAGCUUUGAAAAAUCAAAGGAUUCGUGUCACAUCCCGGAAUCGGCUCCGCCGUAGCACGAUAUUGUCCGCUUUGGGCCCCCCUCUCUGCCCGCACGGUUUUGUUUCUAGGAGCUCACGAGCAACUUCCCAGUAGGUCACCCAUCCUGGGAUUGCUCUAGCCCCCAACUCGCUUAACUUCGGAGUUCCUACGACUCCGAAGCCAGUGAGCUCCCAAAAGGCCUCGUGCUAGAUGGAUGCGGGCAUGCACAUAUAAGGCACAUCACCCCCUCUCCGUUGGUUGAUGUGGAAUCUUACAAUCCACCCCCCUUAAGGACCCGACGUCCUCGUCGGCACACUCGCACCACACGGCAGAGUGGCUCUGAUACCAAAUUGUCACAUCCCGGAAUCGGCUCCGCCGUAGCACGAUAUUGUCCGUUUUGGGCCCCCCUCUCUGCCCGCACGGUUUUGUUUCUAGGAGCUCACGAGCAACUUCCCAGUAGGUCACCCAUCCUGGGAUUGCUCUAGCCCCCAACUCGCUUAACUUCGGAGUUCCUACGACUCCGAAGCCAGUGAGCUCACCCCCUCUCCAUUGGUUGAUGUGGGAUCUUACAAUUCGUUUAUAUCUUGGAAUAAAAUCAGUAUUCUAAUUUUUAUAUCUAAUUGGAAGGAUUCAUGGGUCAUUACCUACACUAAAAUACUUGAAAAAAUAAAAUAAACAAACAAAAUAAGAACAAAAAUUUCACCAGAACAGAGGCACAAAAAUCUCACCAAAACAGAGGGCCUCUUUAAUGAAGGACAACCAAGUCAGCCCCAAUUGAAAAGAGCAAAGAACCCCCAGAUUUAAUCUCUCUCUCAAUCUGAAUCAGCAACCCCAAUUGAGAAAAGCAAGGAAAACCCCCCAAAUUUAAUCUCUCUCUCUCAAUCUGAAUUAGCAACCCCAAUUGAGAAGAGCAAGGAAAACCCCCCAAAUUUAAUCUCUAUCUCUCUCAAUCUGAAUGAGCAGACACGAAAAUCACUACCACACAUGACUCCAACUCCAUUAGCUAUGAGGAAGAAUACAAUUCAUUCUUCAAUGAAAAGAAGAGGGAAGAGAUGGCCGGUUUGGAGGAAGUAGAAAAGCUCAAGUAAACAAUUGAAGUUUUUUAUAUAUCAAUAGGAAAAUUUUGAAGUUAAAAAUUAUAUUUAAGAAUAGUAUUGGCAAUCGAACUCGUCAGAAAAAAAGUUGGCUUCCUGGUGUCUGAAAAUUUAGGCGCUUAUGUUUUCACUUCCCGCGUUAAAAGAGACUGGCGCAGUGUCUCGUCAGUAAAGGUAGUAAUGACAAAAGACUUUGUCAGUAUUAUUUACUAGUGAAAAAUCACUUUAUUUUGCUAGUAUUUGGUCUCAGUACUGACUAAGCUGCUCUUUCAUCAGUAUUAGUCCGUCAGUAUAAGCUAAAAUUGUAGUAGUGAGAGGAUUGAUAAGUGAUAUUAAUUCUUGAAUAUACAGAAUGUAAAAUAAAGGAACACGUAAAAAAUUAUUUUAUGUGGUAAAACUCCAUCUCUGGGGAAAAUCCACGGGACUUCUUAGUCCAAAACAAAUCCAUUAUAGAAUGAUGAUUACAAGAAGUACUCACACACUUAUCCUAGACACAUUCUAGAUAAUGUUUACUGACCUCUUCGUAACUCAACUUCUGUCUCGAGAUGAUCUUUCAACACUCCUUAUGUUGAACGCAAUAUUGGUCACGAUUUCUUCAAGCUCGUCAGAGUUCUUCCAACUCUCCUAAUAUUGAAUCCGAUACUAGUCACGAUUGAUUCAAGCUCAUCGUAGAAAAACCGUCACAAUGGUCUUGGUGCCCUCAACCGUAUGAGUCAUUAAACAUGCAAAUGAAUACAUAUAUGAAUGAUAAAAGUGUUUGAUAAAUCACUGAGUUAUGGAACACUUGAUGAUUUAUCUCAAAUAAAAACUCAGCUUUAAUGCUUUCUAAACAAAGAAGACGAAGGUCUUACUUUAUAGACUUUUUCUUUACAAGAAAGAAAAUAAGUUGGAAACCAAAUCUCCAAUUUCCAAGGCAAAAUCACAAAAGUAUCUUUCCUAUUCUAGAGAUUGGUCACAUGUAGUCCAACCAAUAGGAAAUGAGAUAUUUAAGAAAGGAAGAUUUUGAUCAAUAUCAAUAUCAAAUGAAUUCUUAUACGCCUAGUCAACUAUUAAGGGUAUCUUGACUCCUUGAUAUUUUGAUAUGAUUGAAACAUGAUUUCCAAGUUAGAAAAUUAAGGGGUUGUUAAAACAUGAAAGUAAUAGGAGAAACAAAUUUAUUUGAACCAAAAUUGCCCAAAAAGAAAACACUCCUAAAUAAACUUCAAUUCACUUUAGUAAAACAUGAUUGAAUCGUUCGUUAAAACAAUUCCCUAAUAUACAUGCAUGAUAAUGACAUCACUUACCCCUGAAUCAAAUUUGUUAAUGUAUGCAUUUUGAGUUUUUUUUUCUUUUGGCUUCCCUUGACAAUUUUGUAAUAGGAAAAUCAUUGUAGUUUCUCAAGCUCUAAGUUUAGAUUAAGAAUUACUUCUCUAGGUGUUCUUAUCUGCCUACAUUCUGAUGGAAAACAAUGCGUUUGACAAAGGUAAAUUCUGCAUUACACUACAUUGCAUUCACUAAAUUUCUUAAGAUUAUGACUAGUCAUCUUUCUUUCGUAUGACUAGUCAUCUUGCAUUCGUAUGACUAGUCAUCUUUCCUUCGUAUGACUAGUCAUCCUUUGUUUCAAUUAGGAUUUCCAGCUCACUGUUUCCAGCUGGGGCUUAAGCAUUUUUUUGUCCUUUUCUACGAAUUUCUCAGCUUCCAUGUGUCUAUUCUGACCUAGGAAUUUUUGGUAAAAGCCAUAGAAUUCCUCAUUUGGCAGCCGUCACUUUUGGGGACAAGUUGUGGAAAGUUUCAUAGCAAACUUUCGCUUCUUCUUCCUCAAGAGUAACCUUCAUAUUUUUCAUCUUUGAGUUCUCUAAAUUGUUUCUUUUUGAAAACUGCAUUUGAAAUAUGAAAACUUCAUCUUGCUAGAUCAAACACUCUAUCAUAUACAUCUAGGUCAGAUUCAAGAUUGAUUUCUUCAAGAGUAUGGUUUCUUGAAGAAAUUGGUCAUUUUCUCCAUGAAUCCAAAUUUCAUUUCUGUCUGAGUUAGAGCUUGCAAGCUGGUGCCAUGGGAUGAAUGAGCUGAAGAAGGAGCUGCCAUUGCCAUGAAGAACUGAGCUUCAAGCUUUGCUAAGUUGGAGAAGAAGAUUGCACAAAGGAGAUAUAGCAUCUUCCUAAAUAGACCUAGGAAUUUCUUGAGCUUGCUAGUGUUCUUUGUAAGAAUCUUUUUGCUUAGUGGAUUGCCUGGUCGGUUGAUGACCCCCAGUUUUUCCCAAUGGUGGGUUUCUGGGUGAACAAUAUCUGGUUUCCAUCUCUGUAGAUUUUUUGGGUUUGUGUUCUUGAUAGUUGACUAGUCAUCUGAAUUUGUGUGGUUGACUAGUCAUCUUUUUCUGCUGUUUGGUGUUUUCUUGAUUAUGUUGUCUUCACACACUUUUACCAUAGUUGUUGCUAGCACAAGGGAUGCCUAGAUUGAUGGGUCCUUCUGAGUGCCUAGGUUGUCACUAGUAAUUCUCUAGGCCUGCAGGUACAUCUUGGUAUGCUUUGUGUAUGUUAUUGUUUGGUUUAAUUCAUAUCUAACAGUUGACUAGUCAUAAGAGUAUUUGGUCAAGGUCUAGAGUGUGUGAAGUUUGUUGCGUUCUUGAUUGAAUAUCUUUUAAAUUUACCCUUCGUCACCUAAUUACCAAUUUGCAGACUCCACAAAUGAAGAAAAGAGCACAAAUAUCGUGAAUGCUAUUGGGAAUGGAAAGGGCAAACCUGUUCAAAAAGGGUAUGGAGGGGGCGUUAGACUUUACGUUCAAAAAGGGUAUGGAAAACGUCCUCCUCCAUCUGACAGUCAACUACUCCAUUAUAAAGACAUAGCUAUUUUCUUCUUCGAGAAAGACAUGCGCCCUGGCUCAACAAUGAAGUUCCAAUUCCCUAGAAAUUCAAACACGGCUACUUUCCUGCCACGCGAAAGUGCUCAAUCGAUCCCCUUCUCCUUUAACAAACUACCAGAAAUUUUCAACCAUUUUUCAGUGAAGCCAACAUCUGUGGAAGCCAAAACAAUUAAGCAA